rnacentral:lncRNA from 1 species
AAUGGCCACCCAUGGUGUUGGUGGCAAAUAUAUUGAUAUGGGGGAUUUAAAAACCCCAACCAAAUUACAUUACAUUACAUAUUAGGAAAUAAGAAAUCAAAAAUAAAAAAUUAAACGACAAACUACGCCUAUCUACUCUUUUGGAAACUUGAAACGAACACAACCACCUUGACAUAAACCCAAUCUUUGAAGCUGUCAUAAAACUGAAAAAAUGCACGUCUCCCUCGACGGUUGAGAAUUAAAGCGCCACAUGCCAUCCAAAAGCCAGUAGCAAAACCCAUGCCCCCACCAAUAUAAAACCAUCUCUCAACUUCAUCAUCUAUGUCUUCCACAUCACCCUCACCUUUACCAAUAAGAGGUGGUACUUCUGGUUCUUCAUCUCCAGGACAAUAUUUAGUAAGGGGAGGUCCGCAUAGUCCUUUGUUUCCAUUGUAUCUUGAAGGUUCAAAGGAUUGGAGUUGAGUGCUGGUUGGGAUUCUCCCUGAAAAGUUAUUGUAAGACACGUCUAUGUAAUUCAGGAAGCUCAUAGUAGACAUGCUUGGUGGUAUCCCUCCCGAAAAACUAUUUCUGGAUAAAUCCAAAAUCUCAAGAUUUUUCAUCUCACCAAUUUUCGGUGGAAUCUCUCCAGAUAACUCGUUCUUUGACAGGUUCAGGGAAACCAGGUCAUGAAGAAUGGUAAUUUCAUUUGGGAUUUGUCCUGUUAAUUUGUUGCUUGACAGGUCAAUGGUCUUCACCAAUUUCAGAGUUCUACUAAAUUCACGUUCAUCUCCAUGCCACUCAAUAGUCGCAUGGUCGGCAUAUGUACGUUGUGUACGUACAUUAUAACUUCUCACAAAUUCAUAAUCAAAUUCACCUUUUGAGAGUCCUCCUUGUUGAACCAUGCUCGUAAGAUUACUCAAACAUGAAGGGAUAGUUCCAUGGAGAUUGUUCAUCGACAAGUCCAGAACUUGAAGAUUAGCUAAAUGGCAUGACUGUAAGGGUAUGGUUCCAAAGAAGUUGUUUGAUCUUAGGAUAAGAACAUACAACCUUGAUAAGUUUUCACCAAUCCAGACAGGCACUUUACCAGAAAACUUGUUGGCCCCCAGAUUCAAAGAGAUUAAACUUGUGCACUUUUUUAAAGACAGAGGCAAUUCUCCAGAGAAGUUGUUCUUGUAUAAAUACAACGCAUUGAGUUGCAUCAAAGAUCGAAUAGAGGGAGGAAGCCUUCCAAAGAGCUUGUUGUGUUCGAGAUUAAGAACUUUUAGCUCCUGGAAAUGCCACAAACAGUCCGGGAGUUGUCCAGUUAAUGAGUUAUGAGAGAGGUCAAGAAAUGAUAAGAACCCAUCAACAGCUUGGCAUAUGAAGGAGAUUCCUCCAGAGAAUUUGUUUCUGGAAAGAUGUAAUCUUGACAAAGAGGAAGAGACAUUUGGUAUCGGACCACGAAAGCUGUUGGAACUCAAAUCUAUCACAAAAAGGUUGGCAAAAUUUGAUAAUAAAUCUGGUACUUUCCCACUAAUGUUGUUGGAAGAGAGAUUCAGAUAUUCUAAUUGAGAAGGCCAGCUGUCCCAAAACUCUAGACGAAUUGUGUCCGAAAUUCCAGUAUUGUAAAGAUCAAGAAAGGUAAGAUUUAUAAGUGUCUGAAUAAUCCAUUUGGGGAAGCGAGGCCCUAGCAGCUUGCAAGAGCUCAGAUCAAGAUAUUUAACAUAAGAGAUGUUUGACAAGUGAUAUGUGGAAGGAACUGUAAGAUUAUUAAAAGAAAGGUCAAGGGUUUGGAGCCUGGGUAGUUCCCACAGUUUCUCACUUAUACUUCUAUUUAACUGAUUAUGAGACAGGUCCAAAAAAUAUAGGGAUGGAAACCUUUGGAUAUCAUCGGACAACGACCCUGUAAAUUCGCUUUCUGGAGCAUACAAGUAUUGUAAUGAAAGGGAUGUGCAUCCAGACAAGUUGUUGAGAAAAUCAGGAAAUUUGACCACUGCAGAGUUGUUAUUGAAGUACAAAGUUUCCAGACUACAGAGGUUACCAAGAUAUUUGGGUAUCCCAUCUAACAUGUUGCCAGAGAGAUCAAGAGAACGGAGGUUAUUGGUGGUUAAUGGGAGCAACAAGCUAUACAUGGAUGAGGUCAGAUUGUUGUUUCUGAGAGAAAGGUAAGAAAUAGAUGAAGAAGAAGACGAGUUGAGAAAUGAAGAAGAGUAUGGAUACAUCACCUGUGAUAGCUCACAUCCAUCUAAACUUAAAAGCGAGAGUUUCGGGAGACUCAGAAUAAUAUCUACCCAGUGAUUUUGUUUGGCUAGGGAAAUCCCAUCCAUUUUCAGCCACUCCAAAUGUGAGAGAUGUGACAACCACUCAAGGUUUUCAACUCUACACCUUCCAACAGAAUCAAGAUGAAGGUAUUGCAAGUUGGUGAGGUUUCCAAACUCUGGAGGAAUGGUUACAUUAAGAUUAUUGCUACCGAGGUCGAGGUAAGUUAAUCUAGUCAAGGAACCAAUAGAUGUGGGAAUGGUUCCAUAAAAAGAGUUACUGGAAAGGGAAAGGUAAGUUAAUCGAAUCAAAGAACCAAUGAAAGUGGGAAUGGUUCCAUUAAGAUUAUUUCUACCGAGGUUGAGGUAACUUAAUUUGGUCAAGGAACCAAUAGAGGUGGGAAUGGUUCCAUAAAAAGAGUUCAUUAAAAGGUUAAGGUACCUUAAUCGAGUCAAAGAACCAAUGAAAGUGGGAAUGGUUCCAUUGAAAAAAUUGAAGGAAAGAUCAAGAUGAUUCAACUUUCAAGUAGUUUAAGUUAAGCAGUGAAUGGCUUAUCUCACCUUCAAGCAAAUAUUCAUUGAGAUCAAGCCCUGUGACAUGACCAGUUUGGUUGCUGCACUCGACUCCACUCCAUUUACAGCAGUCAUGUUGGUCAGAUCUCCAUGUAGAGAGAGUAUCAUAAGGGUCGUGAAGGGGAGCUUUGAAGAGAAGGAGCGCAAGUCUCUCAUUAUCCAAACACUUCUUUUUCAUAUCAUUUCCUCCAGCAGCUACCAAUUGGCUGCCAGUUGUAGUCAAGAGAAGUGACAAAAUAAUAAAAACACAAGGAUUCAUUAUGUAAUUGUAAAUCAAAAUCUUAAUUGCUGAUUUUUGGUUUGUAUUGAAUAUUGAUGCAUAUAUGAACUGCCCCCAUGAGGGUUUAUAUAGUCUCCACUAUCAAGAACUCAAGAUAAAUGAUUCUAAGCCGGUGGCCAUAAAUUGCCACAAAUUAACCUUCAAACACUUGCAAGUCAUGCAACUUGUCUUUAUUAUAGUAGAUAUCUUUUCCCAUCUUGUCCUAUUUUUUGGUAUGUGAUAUAAAUCCCAACAUCUAAAACUAAUGAGAUCAUUCAGUCAAAUAUAAAUCUACCAAUGAAAACAUUAAGUCGAUAAUGGUAUUAUUUGGGCCUAAGAAUCUAAUCAUGACUAUGAAAUGAAGUUUUGUCACUUGCAUUAACUAAAUCAUCAACUUAUAUCAAUGAAACCAUGUUUAUCCAUUACAGAUUAAUCAUGGUCUUUUCCAUCCUUAAAAAUGAUAUUUAAGAUAACACUACAUUAUUAAUGACUCCAUUAAAAACAUAUUAGGAUGAUAAUUAAUACUACAACUUUUGCAACGUUUUUUGUCCAUAUUCCAAAUAAAAUGACUAUAAUUAAUAUCAGCUAUACUCGAUCGGGGACCAAAAAUAGUCAUUUUAACUGAAACAUGGACCAAAACGUUUCAAGAACCUCAUAUAAGGACCAAAACUGAAAAUUUCAGCUAUACUCAGGGACCAAAAACAUUUUAUUUUAAUUGAAAAUAAACAUAAGAUGCACAUACAGAAGCAGUUUUAUUUUGCAGCAAUUCUUACCUUCUGUUUACCUAAAUUAAAUUCCUGUCAAUCAAAAAUCAAAUAUUAAAGACUCCACUCCAUUCACCUUUACCACUUUGCACUACUCAUUUACAAAAUUUAAGAAAAUCAUGUUAUUAAUAUUAAUCAGAAAGACAAAAUAUUGAUAUAUUAAUUAUUAUAGUAUCCUACUUUCAUAGUUGGCUACCUCUUGAUGUAAUACAAGGGGUAUGUUGGUCAUUUAAAGACAUCCAGGAUAAUACUUUUUCCAAAAAAAGAAGGCGUUAAACCAGAUACAAAUUACUAAUAAUAAUUAUUGAUAUGAUUAACUUAGAUUCUGCUUCAUAGAGGUAUGUAGAUAACUAGUUCUUAACUGAUAUGAGUAUUAUUAUAUGGAAAUUUAUUUUUGCUCGUGUAUUGAAUGUAAAAAACCGUGAAAGUAUAAUGAUGUUUUAAUUACUAAACCUUAAUUGAGAUGCUCAUUACAAUAUGAUAGAUAAUUUUCUUUGUACAUGCAAUAAUUUAAAAAAAAAAAAAAAAAGAUACAUUAAAGUAUAUUCAAUAAAAUUUUCAUUUUACUCUCUAUGAUAGCUGUUAGAAGAACACAUUAAGUAAUUAGUAAUUAGCCUAUCCAUCAACUAAACUACAUAGUGAUAGGCCCCCAAUCCGUCAAGUUUACACUCGUAAGAAGAAGAAGAAGCCCAUGGGUGGCAGCCCAGUAAGGGUGGUCCAGUCCAGUGAAUUGCGGGGGACAGACCAUAUAAACUAAAUUAAUAAAUUUAUAAAGGCCUUAGGGUAUUAAAAAAUGAAAAAGAAUGUCCCGAACUUUUACCAUACUUAUGAAAAAAAUUAAAAAUUAUGUCUUCUAUUAAUAGAAAAAACAAGAAAUCAAGUAAUUUAUUCAUUUUUGGGAUAUUACCGAGUUAACUCUAAUUCAAUGGAUUGAUUUGUCGAACCGAAUGUUAGGUGAGUAUACUAGAUGCUUAGGUGGCUGGUAGGGUUAUAUUGAAACCCAAUGCACCUUAUUUGAUGAUCUAAACAACCCUAAGUCGUACAAGGAGGAGGGAAAAUGGAACCAUCUUCUUUUGUGGGAAUUUGAAGCGUAUGAAGUGCAAAUUGAUCAGUUUGUCAAUGUGGAAGGUGUAGGUGCACUUGUGGAUAUCAAUGUCCAAAAUGGGUUUCGUGGAUUCCAAUGAUGUAGACUCUUUGGUUGCCCUAAUUUAAGGGCAAAAGAAGUAAACUUUGCACAUGUUAAUAAUGAUUUUACUUUUAAAGAAUUUAACGGUCUAACCUACUUGAUGAAGAGAAGAAUUUCAAAUAUUUUUCUUGGAUAUACCAUGCAUUACCCAACUUGACCCAACAAAUAGUAUUGAAAUGAUCAACUUAGAUUCUGGUUCAUAUGUGUAUGUCUAUAACUAGUUCUUAACUGAUAUGAGUAUUAUUAUAUAAAAAUUUAUUUUUGCUGGUGUAUUGGAUGUAAAAAAUUGUGAAAGUUUAAUGAUGUUUUAAUUAUUAAGAUGAUUAAGUUAUAUUGUGCUUCUUGUAUGUACAUACAUAAUUAAGCCUUAAUUGAGAUGCUCAUUAUGAUAUGACAGAUAAUUUGCUUCUUACACGUAUUAAAUUUAAAAAUACAUGAAAGUAUACUCAAUAUAACUUUCAUUUUACUCUCUAUGAUACCUGUUAGAAGAACAUAUUAAAUAAUUCGUAAUUAGCCUACCCAUCAACUAAACUACAUAGCUUCUCCAGUUUAUAAUAUCCUAACAAAAUUACAAAUUUGUUUAAACAGCUAAAUCUGGUUGUUCUUUGUUGGUCUUAAGAAUGAUCUAUAGCGCCAUACUUUCAAUUUUUUAUGAAAAAUAUGACACACCAAAAAAAGUAUCAGGAGAUGAGAACAAGAUAAAGAUAAUAAAUACAAAUUGCAAAAAUAUCACAAGAUGGGAACAGAUGUCUAUAAUACAGACAAAUUGCCAAUUUGAACGUCUAUUUUGGGCCAAUUAAUUUCAAUUCUUCAAAUCUCAUGGAAAUCACAUGUUGUAUGUCCCACUUAGAAUCAUUUAUCUUGACAGUCAAAGAUUAUAUAAAACCUGAUAGGGGCCCAGGAGUUACCUUUUGAAUCCUUUUCUUUUUAUAAUUUUCUCACAUCAAUAAAAUAAUUUACUUUUGAAAAAUUGGUUGGUCCCAGGAGCAUGUUGGGGUCUUCUAACAACGACCAUGAAUUACCUUUUGUGGAGCCCAUUUUUAACAACUCUGAUCACAUCACUUUUUUAUAUGUCUUUGAAAAUAUCACAUGUUUGGAAAAAGAUUUUGAUAAUAAAUACAAAUUGCCAAGACUUUCAAGUCUUUGAACAGUCUUACUUGGGACUGGGGCUGUUUAUUAUAACUCUUCAUCUUUAAUUUGUCUUUUAGUUUUAGGUUCUAAUUUCAUGGAAAUUAAGCAUUGUGUGUUCCACCCAUUUAGAAUCAUUCAUCUUUAAUUUGUCCUUUUUUUUUGGUAGAAAUAUCAUUAUAAAAGAAAAUAAUAAACAAUUAUAUGUAAUUAACUGUGUUGUACUUGUAUGGGGAAAAAUGUUAUUGAUACAAAUUUCAUACCUGAUGAGAGCAGUUGUACAUGUGUGAUAAAGCCCAAAUUGCAGUGAGAUGUUAUGUACAAAUCAUAAGCAUAGCAGUUAAAGAUGCCACAUGAAUAACAAUUAAUUCUAAAUAAGAUAACCCCAAUUUUUUUUUAUAAAAAUCAUUUAAGGAAAACAAAAACAUCUACAAUUGCAAGAAUUAUGAUUCCCUAAGUAGUUAAGGUAUUUUUUUGUUUUGAGUUAAUAAACUUAAGUUGACAUGGAGGGUAUUACACCAGCUUUCUAUUAGGGGCUGAGGACAUUAAAAAAAGCUACAAGCAAAUGCAGUUUCAUAUACGUUUGUUAAGAACCUUCAGAUAUAAUCGGAUCGAAAGAAGCAACUUACAUUUGGGCACUCAAAUCAACUCUCCUAUUGAGCAGCAAGAUCACUGACUAUCACAUCAGAAAAAUGAAAUUUGGGAACGGCUUCACCAAGGCAUAAGAGGUCCACUUGAAACGGGUGUCUAAAUUUGUAGAAAGAUCGAACACGAUCAGCCUUAAAUAGACAAAUUGAAAACAACAAAAAUAGUAUAAAAGAGAGAAAGGAAGAUACCUUUUCAACGUUAAGACUCCAUAGACCUCACAGAAUGCACAGCGGGGGUACUUCAGGUUUGCAACCGCGUAAUUGAAGCUGACAGAGAGGAGGAAGAAAUAGAAGAAGGCUUAAGGGAGUGAGCGGUUUUCAGAGCUGGAAUUUGCUGAGUGAGAUGAAGAUCUUACAUUCUUUUCUUCUUCUCAUUAAUCACUUCAAUAUGUGAAAAAACGCCAAACCAGUAGGGCAGGAUCCGAAAUAUGGUGCAUGACCUUUAUCGAUUCAUGGAAUCAAAGAAUUUUGAGAUAAAGAUGACAAACUAAUUUUUCUAUUGAAAUCAGGGGGGAAAAAAAGAGGGAACCAGAGUAUUUAAUUUUGUCGUACUUAAUUUUUGUACAGAAAACUGUACAAAAAACUCAUGCAUAAUACACAGCAAAAAUUACAAUAUUUAAAUCAGGAUUAUCCGAAUAGUUUUUACCUGAAUAUACAAAUUCAGAACCAUUCUGUUUUACGUAAUCUUCCUCCUUCUGGCCUGUUUGUUUAUCGAUUCAUUGGCUUCUUCCAGAAACUCGCCAAUGUUUAAAUCAAUGAACUCUCCACAUUUUUCUUCUCCAAAUCUCCAGAAAAACCUUUCAAUUUUGUCUCCUGGCGUGGUGUGUACAAUUCUGUGUUGUUCAUGUGUUUUUACCCAAUCAUUUACUUUCAUAGAUUUAGAUUUUGUUUUUCCAUUAUCAGGUAAACCUUGCAAAGAUGUUGCUGGAGAUGGGACAGGGACACUUGUUUGAGGAUUAAUUGACCGGACACUAGAGAUGACGAUGAUGAGAAAAAAGCUUUACUUGUUCAGGUACUUGAAUUGUUUUGCCAAUUUACUUGUUAAGAAAUUUAGGAUUUGGUAAGGUAAGAUACAACACUCUGUUUCCAAUUGCAUUCUAUGGAAUGUGCAUAUUGUAUUGUGUGAUCAUACACCGAGGCGCUAUGUUAGUUAGAUCCAUUACUGUUGCACUCUAUUAAUUGAACCUGUCUUGAAAAAUAUGUAAAUGUAAGUAAAUCUGGCUUAAAUUCAUGAUGGUAAAAUUGGUAUUAAUUUUUGAAUAGUUCUUAGAUGAUAUUGUACUCUAACAAACUUCAAUCCAGAUUCCAGAUCAAAUGAUAUUUCAAAAUCCGAAUCAACGUAAUCAGUUAUAAACUUCAUAAACUUUGACCUGGUGCUAAUUUGUUCAUACAAAUUCUAAUGGGAUAAUGUCCCUGUAGUACAUUAAACUUUUUACAUUUGGUUGAUUUGGUCCUCUAAUUUUUUUUUGAUACAUUAUACCAUUAAACUUGUAUAUGACCUAUUAAUUACACCAUUAUCUAAAAAAUUAGAAGGUUUACCGGUUACAAUGCUUAUGUGGCACGCUGAUGUGUCCAAUAAGCUUACGUGGGAUGCUUAUGUGUCGAAGAAGUCCACUUGUCGAACUAGGCUUAUUAAUUGAAACCCUCAAUCGGACCUCCAUUAAAGUGUUACUUACCCUUUUCUGAAAUAUCAAAGACUUCCCCCCGACUAUUUCUGUCCUGAAGAACAAUGUCUUCGAGCUCAUCCACUUCAAGGAAUCAGCUGCAAGUGACUCAUGUUCAGUCCCGAGAAGGCGUAAAGCUUUGUGAUUAUGGCGUUCCAGCUAAAGAACGAACGUGUUGGAAGAUAACAAACCUUGGGAGGCAUUUCUGGAAUUUUCAAAACAGUAUGGUAGGUCCCGAUACUCCUGAUCUUGAUAACUUACUAUUUUAAGGUUUGUUGUGUUGUUUCUUCCUAUAAAGACGAUCAGGUGGAUUUGUAUUUUGUUUGCUUAAAAAAACCGUAAUUUUAUUUGCUUCUUGACGAUGAUUUGUGAUUGUGAAUCAAAUCCAUUUCGUUAGUACAUUAAAGGUAGCUAAUUUGUGAUUGUGAAUCAAACCCUAAUUUUAUUGGCUUUUAUAGACUAGGUUGAAGAAAUGUAGCUUCUUUGAAUGGAAAGAUGAAGAAUAGGCAGAAGGGUACUACAAAAACCUUCUAUAUUCUCUGAAGCAGAAACUGGAUGCUAAAGAGGAUCUGUCUGAGAUGAACAAUUUGAGGAGAAGGAUUGCUGAAGUGGAGUUUCUGCUGUCACAAGAGCAGUAUAAGGUGGCAAAGAGUGAGAAAGAAGUUUAUGAUGCAAGGAAGGAAAUAGGCUAAUACAGGAUGAUAGUUGCCUUGUUGUUUGCUUGGUUGGUCAUUUGUGUUUUGAAGUUAGGGUGUGAUUAUACUUAGUUAGGUUGGUUGCUGUAAGCUUUUUUUUUUUUUUGGGAUCCCUUGUAUUUUUUGUAAAGGUAGACUAGCAAGUCAGUAAUGAUGGGUUGUAUGUUUUGAAGCUGCUUUUAGUUACAAGUUGGGGCUAUCAACCUUGAUGUGUUGAUGUUGUAAGGUGGUAAGUCCCUAAUGAAAGGGCAUAUGAUAACAAACGUAAAAAAAAUAUUCAAAGACCCAAUUGUAGGGCAUUUUGUAUAAUCAGAUGUUGAUGUUAUUGAAACAUAUGCAUGACCUGUAUUCUCAACAAUUAUAUCUAAUUAAAUUGGUUGUUGUUCAUGUUUUCAUUUUGGGAACAAAUUAGAAAGUGGUCCAUGUGGAAGUACACUAUAUGUAUGGGGACCAUCUAUAGUUAGUAGUCAAUGGGUGUUUUUAUAAUGGAAAAAUGGGACCUUUGAACCCAUUAUAGAACCAUAUUCGGGACUAUAUAAAACAUUCACAUGCAUGCACAUUAUUCCAAAUUUUUCCAUGUAGAAAUAUUCAAAGCCAUAUGUCAUGAGUUUACUUAAAAAGGCAACAUACUUUUAUAAGUGAGUAAAAUAUCAUUUCAUGUCAACAGUUUCAUUAAAAAGGCAACAAAUAUCCAUUACUGACCAAAAUACCCUUUUCUGGGAUGAGUUAACUUAAAAAGGCACCAUCUAUACAUAAAUGACCAAAAUACCCUUUUAUGUCAAGAGUGAACUUAAAAAGGCACCAUCCAUACAUAAAUGAUGAAAAUACCCUUUUAUGUCAAGAGUGAACUUAAAAAGGCACCAUCCAUACAUAAAUGACCAAAGUACCCUUUUGUAUCAUGAGUGAACUUAAAAAGGCACCAUCUAUACAUAAAUGCAAAUUAACAUCAUCCUAAUACAUAAACUUUAAAACCAAAUUACCAUCAUCCUAAUACAUAAACUUUAAAUCCAAAUUACCAUCAUUCUAACACACAUACUUUAAAUCCAAAUACAAAGUAAAAAUCAACACUAAUCAAUUACAAGAGCUUUCCCCCAUAGAAUUUCAUGGAUCAUCAACACCACCAAUUGUUUUGCCUAAUUUCAGCUUCAAUAUUCUCUCUGACUUUCUUCUCCUUGUCCUCUUCAAAAUCUCUGAAAUUGGCCUAACCCUUACCUGCUAAACCUGGAUAACAGGAACAACCUCUUGAAUUUGAACAUUAUCAACAACUUGGACAUUAGGAUUAACCUCAUCAUCUUGAACAUUACCACUCUCCUCAGCUUCCUUACCCACAACACCCUAAUCACCUUCAUAACUUCUAGGUGGAGUAAAUUGCAUAAACUGACUAAAAUCCCCUGUACUACUGGAUUCAACAUCAGUAGGAGUAACUUGUAUAUCAUUUUGAGUAGUAUCCAUCUCAAUUGGAGUCAUUUCAACCUAUUCAUGUUGUUGUGGUUCACUUAUACUAUCGCAUAUGCUAUGAUAUAAUUAUGUUAGUGACAAAUCAUAUGUAAAUAAAUUUAAAUUUUAAAUGGUUUUACUUGUCCUGCAUUUUGCUUCAUACAAAAUUUUUGUUGCUUCUGUUUCUUCACAUUUAACUUUUGGGGCCUUCUCUGUGCACAAGUUGCCUUGUUGUGACCUAUCUCCUUGCAAAUACUACAUCUGAUUUUCUUUCCAGCCUUAGAAACCAUGUGUGUUCCUGUAUUCUCUGUAGUGCAUUUCUUCCUCUUAGUAGCUGGCCUACCAGGCAUCCUUCUACUAAUCAUAGACAAUUGUGGAGUAUAAUUUGUCUCUGGCCAUAUGUCACUGCUAUUCAUGGGGGCAAUUAUGUAAUUGUAUGCUUUCCUAAAUGUGGUUGUGCUAAACAUGUUGUCUACAUAGGCUUCUACAUCCCUAUUAAGAAAGGAUAUGCUAGCUACAAAAUGAGCACAUCCAUAUUCUUUCAAUUCCCACAACCUACAUGAAUAGGUUUUCCUUUCUAAGUCCACCUCAUAUGCAUCUGUUGCUCCCCUUACCUCAAACUGGUUUAAUCCACUAGGUAGGACCUGAUAAUGCCUUUGAAUUGUUUUAAGCAAAUUCACCUUAUCCCUUAUCUCUGGACAAAUAUGAUUUCCCCAUUGUCGUCCCUUUAAUUUCAUGUUGUAAAUUUUGUCCACCAUGUAUAAUCGUAACUCUUCUAACAUGGUUAUUAUGGGCUUCUUCCUGGAAUCUACUAUUACAACAUUAAAACUUUCUGAGAAGCCAUUUUCAACUGCAUCAUAACACCUUCCAGCUUGAAAGAAAGCUCUUGACCAUGUUUUAAGAUCUUUAUCCAUGAGAUAUUGAUGGGCAUAUGGGUUCAAUGUCUCAGUUUCCUUCAUCAUAACUUUAAAAGCAUGCUCAGUUAUGGCUUUAGAUGCUCUCCAACACAAGGUAUGAUAUACGGCACCAGUGAAUCUCUUCUACAAAUUCUGGUAAAUAUGUCUAGCACACUGCCUGUGCUCUACAUAUGCAAGCAACUCUUUAACAACCUCUAUUAAACCCUAUAUUAAUACAAAGGUUUAAAUCAGAUAGUAUAAAAUAAAUAUAAAUGAAUUACUAUGUAAAAUACUAACCUUAUGUUGGUCUGACAUUAAACUGAAACCAUUGCCUAAAUUCAAGUUUAGAUCAUCAAUGAGAAGCUCUAAAAACCACUUCUAAUUCUACUUUUUCUCCACAUUAACCACUGCCCAAGCAAUAGGAUAUAUCUGUUGGAUAAGGUGUCUAAGUCCAUAACUAUUUCUGGUAUGUACUUGACCCGACCCGGCAUGGUCCAUUUGGGUUGCAUGGCACCAUGCAAUUGGAUAGACUAAAUGAGAGAAAUAACACUUUGAGAUUAUUAAUAUAUUAUAAGUUCUAAUAUAUUAAUAAUAUUAUUUGAUUAGUUUGAUCAAUAAUUAAUUUAGAAUUAAUUAUGUGAUCAAAAGAGAACUAAUUAAAUAUAUGGGUUGAUUAUGUAAAUCAUCCAUAUCUUGUAUAGUGGGCUAAGAGGCUCCAUGGAUUAUCAAGUUGGGUUCUACCCAUAGGAUGCUCCAUGGAUGCUCCAUGGGAGUUACAAACCCAUGGGUCAUGGAAAUGAAGAGUCAUGACACAUUAGGGUUUACAUGGUGUAACCCUAGAUGUGUCAACACUAUAUAAGAGUCCCAUUCUCCACAAAAUUGGCUACACAAGUUGAACACUAAGAAACUAGAGGGCUUGGCCGAUUUUGAGAAGUGUGUGUUAUCUCAAGAGUCUUUCCAAGAGCAUUUGGUGUUGUGUGAAGCAUUUGAGGCAUCACACUUGGGGUGCUAGGCUCACAAGGUUUCAAGGAACACAAGCAACAACAAGGUAAGUUAUUCUAUCUAUGAUUCAAGUUAAAAUUGUUCCCCAUGUAUGCUAGAUAGGAAUAUAACCUUGGAAUUCAACUUUGCAUGAUAAUUAGACAAACAUAGAUCCAAGGUUAUUAGGGUUGCAUGUACACUUAGGAAGUGUUAGAAUGCUCAAAACCCUUCAGUGGUAUCAGAGCCUAGGCUUGUUUGCUUUUUAUUUGUGCUUAAAAGUUGAAAAAAAUGGAAAAUCUUGUUGUCUUACAAAUGGACUCGUCGAGUCCAUAGGGGGGACUCGUCGAGUUCACGUGUAUGUUCAACCUACUCGACGAGUAAGUUCAUGCACUCGGCGAGUAGGGUCGAAAGAUUGCAGAAUUUCGACUUUAGUUGCUGGAAAUGGACUAGAAACAUUACCCUAAACUAUUUUGGUACUUGAAAACUUGUUUUGAUGGUGUAAUGUUCUUUCUAAUUCAUUUACAACAACUAGUUAUCAAAAUUACAAAGAUUAAAUGUGAUUUUGAUUCUUGAAAGUGUUCAUAUUCAUAUUCUUGUUCUUAUGAUGUUUAGAUGAUCAUAGGAAUUAUUUGUAACCUAUGUGGUAGAUUAAUUCUUGAUCAUAAUGUGUUUUAAUGGAGUCCAUAACUUGUCCUCAAGUUAUGGAAAACCAAGAGUCUCACUUGAAUUAAAACCAUUAAAAAGAACACAAGAGUUAGAAAAUGAANACCAUUAAAAGAACACAAGAGUUAGGAAAAAUGAAAAGUCCUCAUUUUAUUACUCUAUUAAACUCAUAAGUUACAAGAAAUGAAAAGUUUUGAAAGUUUACAAAACUUGCCCUCAAGUUUUGGAACAAGUAAAGUUAAGUUAAAACUUUAGUUCCAACCCCUAGAAUUUUAAAAGUUAAAAUUCAAUCCUUAUACCUAUAUUAUGAUGACUUAAUAAUUAUAUAUAUAUGUAUAAGAACAAAGUCGUCUUACCGCUAGUACGCCUCAUUCACGAAGCCGGUCUAUAAGGUGGGUAUAAGGUUGUUGCCUAUAAAAUGGUGACUUAAUGGGUGUCCACUCUCACCCACCGCUUGCUUGAUCGGUGGAGGGUCGUUAGCCGAACGGGUAAGACAAGGACUUAUUAAUUCUCAUUCAAAGUAUGAUGAAUAUUAUAAAGUAACUAAAUGUUUUAUUAAAUUCCCAAUCUUAGUUACUUUAGGAAAAAUGUGAAUAAGGUGCUAUUCCAUGAAAUUACACUUUACACUUUGAUUAAGUCGUUGGUGGAGCGUGUGUGGUUAACCGGCACACUAACUUGGACUUAACAAGGUAGGUAAAGGGUGACUUAGGGUUUAUUAUAGUAUCGAUGGAGCGUGUGUGGUUAACCGGCACAUCGAUUGAGUGAUAAACUUUAAGGGUACCAAGUGAUUUGCAUGGUUACUUCACACCUCGUUUUGUGAUCCUCGGUAUCCCAGUCACAAAACUUGGAGGGCACACUCGAGAUUGAAACAUGCCUUUGAAAAGUUCAUUGAAUCUCAAAGAAUCUAGGAAUUUCUAAGAACCAUUCAAAAACCUAAUACUAAAAUAUUGCGGUUUUCGUGGUGGAAAUUGGUGAAUCGUCAUUCACCUACCUUUCAAAUAUGAUAUAGCUUAGAUUACGGCAUACCUCUUCUAAGUUAUAUUAUAUUGUGAUUGGAUCCUAGCCUUAAUAUUACAUUUGGGUGUUUUAUUAAGGACUCUCUUAUAUCUAAACUAAUCUUGUCCUCUUUCCUUCAGAUGUCUUUCAACAAUGCUUCUGGCUCUAAUCCUAAUGGCUCCUUUACCCUUAUGAACUUGUGUGGGAAAGUCACCUUUGAUGGAUCCAACUUCAAUGAGUGGAUCAGAAACAUCAGGAUGAUUACCCGCUACGAGGACAAAGAAUAUGUCCUUGACAAGGAGCUUAAGGAGAUUGAUGAGUCCACUGCAACUCCUCAGGAGAUCGCUGAAUUUCGGGCACAUGAAAGGGAUGCUACGAAAGUGGCUUGCAUCAUGAUGGCCACGAUGACAGCGGAACUCCAAAAGUCUUAUGAGGAUUUCUACCCUUAUGACAUGCACCAAGAUUUGAUGGAAAGAUACCAUCAAAGUGCAAGACAAGAGAGGUAUGAAAUCAUCUGCUCCAUGAUAACAACCAUGAUGAAGGACGGGGAAUCCGUCACGAGCCACAUGCAGAAAAUGCAAAGGUAUGUGGAUCGUUUGCUGAAGCUUAAUGUGAACUUCCCGGAGGAUCUUGCAAUAGAUAUUAUUUUGCAUUCCUUACCAUCGUGCUAUGAUCAAUUCCGCAUGACAUAUCACAUGAACAAGGAAGAAGUCACCCUCAGCAAACUUCAGGGACUUCUCAAGACCGCAGAAACAGGUCUUAAGGGGAAGUCGGUUGCUAUCACUCCUACUCAAAACUCUACUCCGGUUUUGGCAAUCGGGAAAAGUCGAGGGAGGAAGAGAAAGAGCUCUUCUAAGGGUACCAAGGCUCGGACCCUUGAUGGCUCUUCUUCAAGUGGAACCAAGAAAGGUUUCGUUACUCCUUCUUCUGACCCAAAAGAGGCUGAAUGCUUCUAUUGCCAUGAAAAAGCUCAUUGGAAGCGGAACUGCCCAAAAUACCAGCAAGAUGUGAAGGAUGGGAAAGUUAAACCCAACCAUGCAGGUAUUUACACUAUCAUUUCUAAUAACUCACCCCAUUCUAAUUCUUGGGUCCUUGAUACCGGGUGUGGUAUUCACAUUUGUUGUGACUUGCAGGGACUAAGAAGAAGUGAGGAUGUGGAGCAAGGAAGGAUAAACUUGAUCAUGGGGAAUAGGAAAGCUAUACCUGUUACCAAGAUUGGAGUUUAUACUUUAUCGCUAAGUAGUGGGUUUAGUUUAGAUUUGAAUAAGUGUUGUUAUUCGCCAGGAAUGGCAAGAAAUAUUAUUUCCUUUCAUGCUUUGUACAAACAAGGGUUUACCUUUUCAUUUAAUAAUGAAGUUGGUUCUAUAGAUGUUUUCUAUAAUAAUGUCUUUUAUUUUAAAGCAUUACCUUGUGAUGGUGUGUAUGAAGCUGUAUCUGUUGUAGAUAACUUGGGAAAUAAUGUUUUGUGUAUUGAUUCUACUAAUAAUAACUUGGAUAAAGCAUCUUUAUGGCAUUGUCGUCUUGGACAUAUAAGCAAGAAACGCAUAGGCCAACUCCAAAAGGAUGGAGUCUUGGAGUCGUUUGACCUAAAGUCAGAUGAUAGUUGCGAAUCAUGCUUACUUGGAAAAAUGACAAAGUCACCCUUCACAGGUUCGUGUGAGAGGGGUGAAGGUUUGUUGGACCUUAUACACACGGAUGUGUGUGGACCAUUCAAACAUGCCACAAGGGAUGCUAAUCGUUAUUAUUUGACUUUUACUGAUGAUUAUAGUAGAUAUGGAUAUGUCUACUUGAUCAAGCAUAAGUCAGAGACUUUCGAGAGGUUUAAGGAAUUUAAACAGGAAGUCGAGAAUCAAUUGGGCAGGAACAUUAAGAUGCUUCGAUCCGAUCGUGGUGGUGAGUAUCUUAGUUCAGAGUUCCUCGACUAUCUAAGGGAAUGUGGGAUAGUCUCACAAUUGACACCUCCCAGGACACCACAGUUGAAUGGUGUGGCUGAGAGGCGUAAUCGAACCUUGUUAGAUAUGGUUCGUUCCAUGAUGAGUCGAGCUACGCUACCAAUCUCAUUCUGGGGGUAUGCCUUAGAGACUGCCGCCCAUAUUCUUAAUCUAGUCCCUACAAAGAAAGUUGCCAAAACUCCUCACGAGAUGUGGACUGGUAAAGUACCUAAACUAGACCACAUCAAGAUUUGGGGUUGCGAGGCUUUCGUGAGACGCGAGACUCAUGAUAAGCUCGAACCUCGAAGCGAGAGGUGUAUUUUCAUCGGUUACCCACAGCGAUCCUUUGGUUACCUCUUCUACAGACCUAGUGACAAUGUGGUCUUUGUAGCAAGAAGAGGAGUCUUUCGAGAAAGAGAGUUUAUAAGCCAAGGAGACAGUGGGAGGCAAAUUGAUCUUGAAGAAAUUCAAGAAUCAAGCGGUGAAGGAACUUCAAACUCUAGCCCUCAACUUGAGGAGGAAACUCCUGUUGAGCCAAUUGACAAAUCUGUACCUCUGAGACGUUCCACGAGAGUUAGGAGUGCACCUGAGCAUUACUAUGGAUUCCAUAUUACUGCAGAAGGUGAGACACUUAUUAGUGAUGAGACACUAGUAAGUCAAGAUGACCCUAACAGCUACGAGGAAGCCAUGGCAGGCCCCGAGUCUGCUAAAUGGAAAGAGGCUAUGGAUAGCGAGAUACAAUCCAUGUAUGACAAUCAAGUUUGGAACUUGGUUGAAAAUGUACCAGGUCGUAAGACAGUAGGGUGCAAAUGGGUCUUCAAGAAGAAGACCGACAUGGAUGGUAAAGUACACACUUAUAAGGCUAGACUGGUUGCAAAGGGCUUCUCUCAAAUUCCUGGAGUGGAUUAUGAUGAGACCUUUUCUCCGGUAGCCAAGAUUAAGUCUAUUCGGGUUCUGUUAGCCAUAGCUGCAUUUCAUGACUAUGAAAUAUGGCAGAUGGAUGUCAAAACCGCUUUCCUUAAUGGAAAGUUGGCUGAAGAUGUUUACAUGAGUCAGCCAGAGGGUUUUGUCAGCAACGAGUACCCUAAUAGAGUGUGUAAGCUUGAGAAAUCCAUUUAUGGAUUGAAGCAAGCACCUCGCAGAUGGAAUCUUUGCUUUGAUGAAAAGGUCAAGGAAUUUGGCUUUUCUAGGAGUGAAGAUGAAUCUUGUGUGUAUGUCAAGGCUAGUGGGAGUAUAGUUAGCUUUUUGGUAUUGUAUGUGGAUGACAUACUACUCAUAGGAAACGACAUUCCAACCCUGCAGGAAGUAAAGUCCUGGCUUGGGAAGUGUUUCGCUAUGAAGGACCUUGGUGAAGCUGCCUAUAUUCUAGGGAUAAGAAUCUUGAGAGAUCGGAGUAAAAGACUAAUUGGACUUAGUCAGAGUACCUACUUGGAUAAGGUGCUGAAGAGAUUCAGCAUGCAGGAUUCCAAGAAAGGAGAGUUACCCAUCCAGAGUAACACCAGAUUGAGUAAGACACAAAGCCCUAGCACUGAGGCUGAGAUAGCAGAAAUGAGUCGAACACCUUACGCUUCGGCUGUAGGAUCGAUCAUGUAUGCUAUGACGUGUACUCGACCCGAUGUAGCUUUUGCCUUGAGCAUGGUUAGCAGGUAUCAGGCGAACCCUGGCAAGGCACACUGGACUGCGGUAAAGAAUAUCCUCAAGUACCUACGGAGGACUAAGGACUGGGUCCUUACCCUCGGUGGGAGUGAUGACUUGAGAGUUGUAGGGUAUAGUGAUGCUAGCUUCCAGACUGAUAGGGAUAAUUUCCGCUCUCAGUCGGGCUGGGUCUUUACCCUAAACGGAGGAGCAAUUUCUUGGAAGAGUUCCAAGCAAGAGACAGUGGCAGAUUCUACUUGUGAAUCAGAGUAUAUUGCAGCUAGUGAAGCAGCAAAGGAGGCGAUAUGGCUGAAGAACUUCAUUGGAGACCUUGGAGUUGUACCAGCUAUUAAAGAGCCAAUGGAAAUUUUCUGUGAUAGUGAAAGUGCUGUUGCCUUAGCCAAGGAACCAAGGGAUCAUGGGAGAUCCAGACACAUCGACAGAAAAUACCAUUUCAUUAGACAUCGGAUCGAAGAAGGACUCCUCGUGGCAAAGAGGGUAUCAUCGGAUGAGAACCCAGCAGAUCCCCUCACGAAGGGACUGAGUAGGGUUAAGCAUCUCCAGCAUGCUCGGAGCAUAGGGCUGAAGGAUGAUAUAAGUUUUAGUAGUUAGAUAACCCAGAAAUUUGUAAAGUGUAAUUGACAUUUGAUGAUGAAUAAAAGGUGUUUUAUUUAUGAGUAAAGUGUUGCUAUCUCUUGUCGAUCGUUUACUAUAUUUCUUUUGCAUGUUUUGACUUCCAGAAUAAUUUUGUUUGGUAUAACAUAUUAUUCAAACCUCCACAGUCGGUCAUAUGUUGGAAGUAGAUAUGAAUCAAGACUGUCAUGUUUGGUUGUAGAGGUCUUGGACAAGGCUACAACAAUCAUGAGUGCUCAUAAGUUCUGAGCAUUGGACUCAACCCACGCUCACUGGAAUCACUUCAUGGAAUUCUAUCUCGAGUGAUCGUGAGACGGUAAUAUCAUAUAAGUCUUCAAACCUAGAGAUAUGAUUUGUUACUUACAAGUUGGUUAUGCAUUGACUGUACGAAACCGCAUUGGUAACUCGAUGUUAUAAAACGUACUUUUGUGUGUAAUUCAAUGAGUGGUAGAACAAACAUAUGAGUCGAAGUUUAUCUGUUCCUUCUUGGAUUAGAAGCUGAUAUCUGGGCCCCUCGAUGAUUUUGUUUUGACCCAUGUACCGGGCCCGGUCAGAACUAAGUUGAUGUGUUCAAUUAAGUUCUAUGUCAAACAAAUCGGAAAUCGGGAAACAAAUGCUGGACAAUAAGCAAGACAAUGUUCCAUGUAUUUGUCCGGCUGAUAUCUAGAACGGAGGAUUAUAUGAUCACUUAUCUUAAAUGGCGUACCAUCAUCUUCUCAGUUCCGAGAGACCUUGAAAGAGCUACGAUUGCCGGUCGGUUCCUGAAGUACUAGAGAUAUAGUUAUUAGACUUAUCCAAGUGGGAGACUGUUGGAUAAGGUGUCUAAGUCCAUAACUAUUUCGGGCUUGUACUUGACCCGACCCGGCAUGGUCCAUUUGGGUUGCAUGGCACCAUGCAAUUGGAUAGACUAAAUGAGAGAAAUAACACUUGGAGAUUAUUAAUAUAUUAUAAGUUCUAAUAUAUUAAUAAUAUUAUUUGAUUAGUUUGAUCAAGAAUUAAUUUAGAAUUAAUUAAGUGAUCAAAAGAUAACUAAUUAAAUAUAUGGGUUGAUUAUGUAAAUCAUCCAUAUCUUGUAUAGUGGGCUAAGAGGCUCCAUGGAUUAUCAAGUUGGGUUCUACCCAUAGGAUGCUCAUUGGAUGCUCCAUGGGAGUUACAAACCCAUGGGUCAUGGAAAUGAAGAGUCAUGACACAUUAGGGUUUACAUGGUGUAACCCUAGAUGUGUCAACACUAUAUAAGGAUCUCAUUCUCCAACAAAAUCGGUUACACAAAAGAAACAAGAGGGCUAGGCCGAUUUCAAGAAGUGUGCAUUCUCUCAAAAGUCUUUCCAAGAGCAUUUGGUGUUGUGUGAAGCAUUUGAGGCAUCACACUUGGGGUGCUAGGCUCACAAGGUUUCAAGGAACACAAGCAACAACAAGGUAAGUUAUUCUAUCUAUCAUUCAAGUUAAAAUUGUUCCCCAUGUAUGCUAGAUAGGAAUAUAGCCUUGGAAUUCAACUUUGCAUGAUAAUUAGACAAACAUAGAUCCAAGGUUAUUAGGGUUGCAUGUACACUUAGGAAGUGUUAGAAUGCUCAAAACCCUUCAAUAUCUUGUCAUUUACAUCCCUCCCAAUAGCACAAAGCAAUUCCCCCUUAUAAACACCUUUAAGAAAACAUCCAUCAAGACCUAUUAUCCUUCUACACCCUUCAAUCCAACCUUGUUUAAAUCCUUGAAAACAACAAUAGAACUUGCUAAAAUAUUUCUUUCCAUCUGGACCAUCCUCCACAUCUAGUUUCACAAUUAACCCAAGAAUUGUCCUUAAAAUCUCAUGACCAUAUGACCAUAGCUUACCAUAAUGUUCAACAAGGCUACCUUCAACAAGAUUUUGUGCAUAAUUCUUUGUUUCUCCACAUUGCCACAUACUAACUUGGAUACCAAACUUGGCCAUUACCUUUACCCUAAGCUUCCUUACACUUAUUUUCUAACUUUGUACAAUCUCUUUGGUAUAGUGACUCCCAAUCCAUGCAUAUAUCACCAGUGAUCCAAACUUGAAGUUCCUAGAACAAUUAUGAUCAGCUUUUAGUGGCCUGAUUUGGAAACUCUCUUUAUCACUCAUCCAAGAAGCCCAUAAUCUAAAUGUGCAAGCACCCUUGCUACACCUCACCAAAAGUCUUUUCCUAUCUUUUUUUUAGAACAUAAUUAGUAUCCAUUAGCUACAACAUAGUUGCACAAAAUUCAUUUUACUUGCCUUGGACCCUUAAAUCUCAUCCUUAGAAUUGGUUUUUGUUUUUUCCAGUGUAAUAGCUCAUUAAAUAUGGAAUGAGUUUCAAUGUUAAGUUCAACUUGUCUCCCAUUAUCAUCAUCUACAAUGUUGUUAUCCUCCUCAUAAUCAACACAUAACUUACUCAAGAAAGGAUCAUUUGAUGUCCUAUUCAUAUACACUACAUUGUCAUUAAUUUCAAAGGCAACAUUCCUAAGUUCAUCUAUGUUAUAUUCAUUUUCACCAUCAAUACAAGACUCAUGUUCAUCAUCAUUGUUGGGUAUUAUGUGUUGCGUCAUGUGCCAUUCUUUUAUAUAUCCGGUUUGGGCCUGUCCAACCGUGAUUAUAGAUUAGGGUUAUGUAUUAUAUAGUGCAUGCAUGUAUGCCCUUAAUAGGCGAGUAUAGGAUUAUCUUUUGUAUUGUAACCCUAAGCACCUCUACAGUCGAAGUUCUUCAUUGAGCUCUUCUGGGGUGUUAAAGUUUAAUCAUACAACAUCUUCAAAGCCAUUCAUGUGUUCUUAAUUACAUCUCUAAUUGUUUCUCUGCUUAGAAUCUAUCGAUCCUACUAGAACUUUGUUCCUACAAUUGGUAUCAGAGUAGGAGACUGUGUGAUCAAUACACAUUCCUUCUGUAUUAAGAAUUCUUUAGGGUUUCCACUUUUAUCGAAUAUUAAGAAGUCGUCUUCUUCCUGUCGAAGGUAACUCUGGUGUUUGAUAAAACCCUAAUCACAGUUUACAGGUCUUAUUCUAGUGGUUCUAAGGAAAGGCUUACCAUGUCUCACAAAGAUUCUUAAACAAAUCCUAUCAACUUCUCUAACAACAUUGGAUCCACUACAAGGGUUCCCAUUCUCUACACACAAGACUAUGAAGUAUGGGCACAUCACUUUGAAGAUUACAUUGUUGGAUCUAAAGACAAUGGCUAUCUCAUUUGGGAAGCACGCUUGGGCCGUUUGGUCACUCUGGAACGAACAUGACUGUGAAGAGUCAAAAAGAAUACAACAAGCUUGUGACGGACGUAGAUAAGAUACCGCAGGAUGAGAAGGACAAGUUGUUAUCUAAUGUGAAGGCCAUGAUAAUGAUCAAAUUCACUUUGCAAUCUGAAACUUUACUGUUAGUUAGUUCAUGCACGAUGGUUAAAGAAAUCUGGGAUAGGUCGAAGGAACUCUACUCAACCGAUGAAGAUCUAGAACACUCUAUUCAAACCUUGUUGCUCUCUGAAUUUGUAGUUUUCAAAUAGAAACCAGAAGAGAAACUGAUACAAACAUUCGGUCGCUUUAAUCAUCUCCUAAGCAAGAUGAUCAAGCAUGGUAUAGAAAGGAAGUUGAUCGAGCAAAAAGUAACCUUCAUGAAUGGUUUGAGACUAGAAUGGAUGGCUCUGGUUUCAAUAGUGAAAGCACAUGAACAAUUUAAAUCUUACUCACUAGCAAAACUUGUGGGAGUACUUAAGUCCCAUGAGAGUGUGGUAACCAAGGAGGCGAAGGUGGUUUCAGGUGUGGGAUCAUUAGCCCUUGUUUCAAAAGGAGAAAGUGUUGCAAAAGAAGAGGAGGAGUCAGAUAUGUCUGAGUGUGACCUAACAAGCGAAGAAUAUGCUAUGAUGGUCACCAAUCCAAAGAAGAUUGCACGAAGGAAAUUUCCUGUCAAUAAGAACCGAAACUGGCAAGGAAGUUACAGUAUUGAGAAAGUAAAAGAUGAAACGAAGAAUACUUCUCAAAAGGAGGACGACAAAAAGCAGAGCAAGCUUGCAGGAGACUCUGGAUUCGACUGCAAUUACUGUCAUGGCAAGAACCACUUUGCCAAAGAUUGCAUGCUUAGGAAAAUGGAUGAGAAGAGAGAUGGUGAAGAUGAUGAGGCGUACUACAUGCGAAAGUUGGAAGAGAUCAAGAAAAAGAAAGCAACUAACAGUUCAAUGAAUGCCUUGAUUGUGCAGGAAAAUGCAAUGAGGAUGAAUUCGGUGGGGUUGAAGUUUGGUCAACCGAUUCUAAGGAUGAAGAGGUGAGAAAGCCAACGCAUGGAAGAGCUUAUGUGGCGAAGAAUGCAAGUUCGGCUGGAAGGUGUUUGGUGGUUACUACUGGUAGAUCAACCGAAAGUGAAAGUAAGGAGCCGAACCUAACUGAGGACAAGUGCUUUGCAGCCAAGCCUGUGAGCGAGAAGAUCAACGACUGUGAUCGGCUGAUCAAAAAGGUACAUUCUAUACUUGAGUCACAUAAAGUUACGGUAACGAAUUAUGAAGAAGAAUUAGAUGAAUUAAAAUUUAAACUUUCUAAUUUAAGUGGAAGUCUCAUGCAAACACGCUUAGUGAAAUCUAACCUAACUGACCAACUCAGCAGGGUGUCUUCAAAGAGUGAGGAGAGAAGGAUGUGGAUUGAGCUGAAGGAGGCGGAGUUAAAUAGGGCUAGGGAUGAAACUAUUUAUUUACAACAAGACAAUUUAAAGUUUUUAAAACAAAGGAAUGUUUUUUGUUUGAUUGCCAAGCGCUUAUACACUAAUAUUGCUCAAUUGCACUUAAAUUAUGAAAUAAGGAAAAAGAUUCAUAAGAUAAUCUUACCCUUCCUUGAAUUUAAAGAGGAUCAGGUUGUUGCUGAAUGUGAAUCAAUAGUGUCCUCAGAAGAGACAUUCGUCGCUUACAAAAUCGGAUUGGACAAGAUAGAGACCUUCAUUGACUCUAAGGAACAUAAAUGUAUGCUCAAAAAUCUUUUGGAUGAAAAUGAUAUGCUAAAAAUUAAGUCUGAGACCAUUCAAUCAUUUGAUUCAUCGAAUGGUAAAUUAAUUUCAGAACUUAAAAUGAACAUAGAAAACUCAUCUGACUUUGAUGAGGAAAGUGAGAUGAGCGAAAUCUUAGUUGAAGACGUGGUUGAUUGCUUUGAGUUUAUGAAGAGCGAAACCGAGAAUCAGAAACCUCUCAUUUCUGAAAAUUCGGUUGAAUACGCUCGCCUAUUAAAGGACAGGCCACAGAAACUGAAAGAGAAAGCAAUGGUUUAUCAAAAGGUUCAAACUGUGCCAAAUCAGGUGUAUGUUGUUACAGGGGUAACUGCAAAACAAACAACAUAAUUGAAAACCUUGGUCGACAAAGACAAUGCUAAAAGAUGCGAAGAGUACUUAUGGUCAGUCCUUAUUGAUAACGAAGAUGAAACCAUAGGCUUAUGUGAGCAAACCUCAUGGAGGGUAAAAGGAAGAUAUGUUGUUGAACCUAUCAACAAACCCUCGAGUUAUGACAAACCAAGCACAUGUGGAAAAAAAGAGAUCCCUGAAGAACCAAAGAGAGCACCAAAAGUUCUUACUUAGACAACCGAAGCUCAAAAAGAAAAGUCAAAGGCUAGUUUCAAUAUCCACAAUUCUCAGAAGGAGUUAGCUGAAUAGAAACGCCAAAAAAAUCAAAGAUACAUGAAAAAUCUAAAUGAGCAAAAACGUUAUUGGCAAUCUCAAAAUCCCAAUUAUGUACCUCGUAAGAAAGAAUCAAUUGCCAAAGGAAAGGAAAAGCUAAAAGAAAAAGGAAAUUUUAGUCUAAGCUCCUACUAUUCCAAAGCACAGAACUGAACAUCUACUUUCGGCUACAAAACUAGCGCUCAGAACCGAAUGUCUAGUUUUGGUCCCAACGUCAAGACCAACAACAAAACAUCUUGCUUUGGUUCCAAGCCAUGUUUCGGUCCUUCCUACUCCCAAAGUAAACCGACACCAGUGAAGGACAUCAAAGGAAAGGGAAAGCUUAACUCAGAAUCUAAGUUCAAUAAUAAGAAAAAGUCAGCUAACCCUCGGAUUCAAAAAAAUGUUCCAAAACCGUCUAACAAUACACCAUUAAAUACACUAAAAUUUAAACAAGACAAAACCAAAAUCAAGGUAUAUACCAUCAAAUGAAAAGAUCAAUCCACUCUAAUUAAAAGAACCUAUUUGGUUGAUAUUUCUACUACAAUUCCUUUUUCUUUAAAAGACUCACCAGGGCCCAAGAAACUUUGGGUUCCUAAAUCUACUUGAAUUUGCAGGUUAUUAGUGAUGAGCAAUUCGAUGACGAAUGGUAUAUAGACAGUGGCUGGUCGCGUCACACGACGGGAAGGAAGGAAGAGCUAAGGAAAUUUUGGUCCCAAAAAGAUGGCGGAUGCGUGAAGUAUGGUAAUAAAUCUUAUGGCACAAUCAAAGGAUAUGGAAUGAUAACCAAAGGAGAUUUCUCGAUUCGAAACGUAGCUUAUGUAGAAGGGUUGCAGCAUAACCUCAUAAGUGUAUCACAAUUAGUUGUGGGAACAGGUUUGAAGGUUUCAUUUGAUGAUGAGGGAUCAAAAAUUAUUGAGAAGCAAUCGAAAAAGGUUUUGUUAAAGUCUGAACGCAAGGGAGAGAUGUAUCCUUUGAAUCUCAAUACAAUUCGUGGAAAACCAGCAAUAUGCUUGCUGUCAAAGGCGAACACUGAUUUAAGCUAUUUAUGGCAUUGACGUCUAUCGCACCUAAACUUCAAAGACAUUAAUAAGUUGGUGCUUGGUGAUCACGUUCGAGGCCUUCCUCUUCUCAAGUUUGGUAAGGAACAUAUGUGUGCAGCGUGUGAGAUGAGCAAACAAAGCAGAAAGAGCCAUCCUACAUGAACCAAUACAAAGAUUGUUGAAGCUCUUGAACUUCUGCACAUUGACUUAUAUGGACCUUCGGCAAUCGAAAGCUUUGGUGGAAGUAAGUUCAUUAUUGUCAUAGUAGAUGAUUUUUCACGCUUCACCUGGGUUUUCUUUCUUAAAAAGAAAUUAGACGCUACUCCCAAGUUCAAGACGUUCAUCAAGCAAGUAGAAGUACAACUACAAAAGCUUGUGAGGAACAUCAGAAGCGAUAAUGGGCUUGAAUUCAAGAAUAAAGAUUUCGAGGAUUUUCUAGCUGAAAAAAGAGUUUCUCAAAACUUUUCGGCCCCUUAUACACCAUAAUAGAAUGGGAUUGUCGAAAGACGAAACCGUUCUUUGUGUGAGGCCGCCUGAACCAUGCUAAGCUUCGCUUCUCUUCCACUAUACUACUGGGAUGAUGCAGUUGCAACCGCAUGCUAUACUCAGAACCGAUCCCUACUCAACAAACGAUUCUCAAUCACUCAAUAUGAGAUUCUGAACAAUCAAAAGCCCAACGUCAAAUUUUUCCAUGUGGUCGGUUCAAGGUGUUUCAUCUUUAAUUCAAAAGAGAACCAAAACAAGUUCGACGUCAAAGCUGACGAGGGAAUUUUUCUUGGCUAUUCACUCUCUUCAAAGGCAUAUAGAGUUUUGAACAAACGUUCUAAACGAAUAGAAGAAACAUACUAUGUAACCUUUGAUAAUAAUUAUAUGAAGAAAGUUCAAAGAAGCGAAAGUGCCUUGGGGGAAAUAUUUCCUGAAUCAGGAUAAGUCUCAGUUCCUAUUUCAAACCUAUUAGAAGAGUACAUAAGGUUAUUUGAUGAACCAUAGAAGGCUGCACACUCAGAGGCGAAAGCAGUAGACAACAAAAUUGACAAUCUGAAAAAGAUUAUAGAUGAAGCUGAAAAAGAAAUGGAAAAUAAAUCUCCUAAACCAACUGGUGUUCAACCCUCAACUGACUCUCCAAACAACUACUCAAUGUUCAAAGGGGAGAGUUCAUCAGCACCAAAGACAACCGAUAUGUCUUUCGAGGGGGAGCAUCCAACUCCAACACGACCCAAUGAUAGUCCAAUGGAGGGGGAGAAUCCAACUCCCAAAGAGGAUGAAAACUAUGAACCUGACAAGGGUUACAAUUCACCAUUUAAGGGGGAGAAAGAGCAAACAACUGAUGAAGACGAUCAAUCAGUACUUGAAGAAGAAGUAAACGCAGAGUUGGAUCCAACUUAUAACCCUAAUUACCCUCCUCUAAAUAAAUGGACUAAGGAUCAUCCAAAAACACAAAUAAUUGGCGAUUCAUCUGAGAAAGUUCUAACACGUUCACAAUUGAAAGCAAAACAAACUGCAUUAUUCUCUAAGGUUGAAUUCUGUAUGUUUAACUCGUUUAUAUCCAAAUUCGAACCAAUGACGGUCAAUUUUUCAGUUGAUCAUGAUGAUUGGUUACAAGCUAUGCAAGAUGAACUCCAUGAGUUUGAACGUGAUCGAGUUUGGAGGUUGAUUCCCACUCCAAAGGAUGCUUCGGUGGUCGGCUUAAAAUGGGUCUUCGGGAAUAAAUUGGACAAAGAGGGGACUGUCAUUUGCAACAAGGCUCGGUUGGUCGUGAAAGGAUAUUGCCAAGAGGAAGGGAUAGAUUAUGAGGAAACCUUCUCUCCUGUAGCAAGGUUGGAAUCAGUUAGAAUUUUUCUAGCAUAUUGAUGUACACGAAAGUACCUAUUAAUUUUAAUAUUUAUAACCUAACAAACUUAGACUAACUAUGCACUUAUAGGCAGUGUACCUAGUCAGAUUACAAUAUAGCUUAGGUAAGUCGGGUGUCGAUCACAGGGAACGGUAGAUUAAUUUAAUACAUUUGAUUAUAGGUUACAGGUUACACGAAAAGAAUAAAGAAAUAAAUCUCAAACUAACAAUUAAUUAACUACUCUCGAUAAACUAACAGGAAAACAAAUCUCUUUAGGUACUUUGGUUUAGACAAAUUACACCUUAAAAACAUAGACAAUUGCAUACACAAAUUCAUUUAUUCAUGUUCACCGAUUCCUAAAAUGAUUAGAUUCGCGUUCACUAUAACUAAUCCUUUUAGCAAGCAAGUCAAUUCAAACAGUGAUCAGUUGGUUAAACUAACGUGCUUCCUAGUGUUCAGUUCGUAUCGAGCAAGACUUGUAAAUAUAGUUAAUGAAAUUAGACAUUCAAUUAACCUCUUGUUGAUGAUCAUCAAACAAGGCUCACACAUUAACUUACUUACUCCCAAGUUAAUCCUAGUUUCACAUUCGUUAUUCCUAGACUUAUAAUCUCGAUGGUCAUCAAAAUCAUAAGAGACAAGCAAUCAAGCAGAUGUUCAUACAACUCAAUUCACUUAACAAUUAACAGUAAAUAAUUAUCAUUAAUACAUAAGGAUCUUUUAACAAGCUCGGCAAGAUAAAUUAAACACAAACAAACUAUUUAGUAUAGCAAUUAGUCUAAUAAUCAAAGCUUCAUUCAAUCAUAAACACAAAGUAAAAGGUUUUUACACCCAAAUCAGAAACUAAAUACAGAAUAGUAACACAAUGGAAUGCUAAACAUGGUCACGUUAGCAACCCUUAUGAUUUCCGACACGUAUCCACUCUCCAAUCCUUCCGAUCUCCGCUCCCGUUAGCUUAACGGCCUCCCGUCCACCUUCUAGACCCUCAAAACGGCAAUUAUGAAGUUUUCUUGUCGCACAAGUCGAAGUGGAAUAUCAUAGAUUCUUCAAAAUGGUGGAAUGAUAUGGGGUAUUUAUAGUUGAAGGGAUAUGAAAUUAAUAUGGAAUAUUAGAGUUGUAUUAGAAUAAGGAAACUAAUGGUGGCUUAGGGAUUAAGCAUCUUUUCAGCUCCAUUCUCUUUCUUUUGCAUUCCAUCUCCCAUUUUAACUGUAAUUAAAUAUUUCAAAGAAUAUUAAGUUUAUUUGAGUUCUAAAUAAUAAUAAUAAAUGCUAAAAUAUUAAGAUAUGUUAUACAUAAAUAUAUACAAAAAUACACAUAUCAAAAUACCCCACACUUAGCCUUUGCUUGCCCUCAAGCAAAUUUACUUUUAUUUUACCAAUAUUGCACUAAACAAUCCAUUUAAAACUCAGCCAUUAUGCUAAGACCUCAACGCAUGCAUUUGUGUCUAAAAUUUUCCUAAAGUACCCCCCCAUACUUUAAAUACUCACAAUCUUCAUAAACACUCGCCCACUUUUUCCGAACAAUGCUCAUUUUAUGCAACCCUCCGAAUCCAUCCGCAGAAAACCUCCUAACCUCAAGGUAUUUUUAGUUGAGCAACCUAAGCAUGCAUAAUUUAGAAUUACAAUUUAUGAUAUCACUAUGGAGCUUUUUAGGAAUUCUUCACUUUCUUAACAAUUUGAUCUUUGAUUUCUUUGAAUUCACCACCUUAUUUGAUUUGAUUUCUUGGUAUCUUCAACUUUUUGAAUUUCUUGGAAUUUUGAUCUUUUGAUCUUCACUUUAUUUGCUCCAAAAUUCUUCAAACUUUUUCGUAAUUCUCUCUCUUUUUUUUUUUUUUACAUGUACCUCUCUUUUUUCACUCAAAACCUACAUGCUUAAGCAGAGGCGCUCAACCUCAACCUUUAUUGGUUAAUGAUAAUAAUUUUCCUGGAUACAUUUCAGGUUUAGGCUGCUAAACAUAUUGCAUCCUUCAAACCGAGCGGGGUUAUGUUUUUGUUCCAUGAUUUCACUAAAAUAAGGGAGGCCACAAAUGCACUAUAACGUAUAUUGGCUCAACUAAACAUUUGAGUUCUCAUCGGAUCAUCUCAUACAAUAUUAGCAAAAUUUUAAGUUAUCACUAGAUUUUUCUAAAUUAAACUAUUAUUUCAAGUUUUCUUUUAAAUUUUUAAAUUUCCCUAAAUCUAGCAAUUUCCAACUAUUAUUUCAUUUUUAUAAUUUACUUUUACCGACCCCCUACCCCACACUUAUUUCAUACAAUGCCCUCAUUGUAUGCUAAAACAAAUUAAGAACAUAAAAAGGGAGAAAAAGGAACAGACUCCCCUGGGUAGUUGUGGCGAGAUCGAAUGGGGCUGCUAUAGGUUGCUUCAAAUAUUGCUGAAAAACUGAAAACUGGAACUGCUGCUUCUGAAUGUACCGUAAAAUACAAAAGAACAUUGACUUAUGAAAUAUGGUGUGAACGAUUGCAAACUAAAGCAAUGUAUAGUGACCAUGCCGUGGGAAAGUGUCAACCACGUCGUGUCGUCGAGUGAGGAAAAAUCCAUAUCGCAAAUAAUAGCAUGGCCAUGACGUGGUAAGUGGUGGUCACGUCGUGGCAUGUAGAAUAGCAGCCUCCUCUCGCGAUGAAAAACUCCCCCAUGACAUAGGAAAGUGUCAACCAUGUCAUGGCAGUCGGGAUGAUACUUCUACAUCACGUCAAAAUAAAACUCCAUGGUGUGGGAACAACUCAUCCAUGCCAUGAGAAUCAAUGUAUAGUUAGAAACGCCACUCUUCGAAAUAAUAAUCCCUCCAAAUAUCGACGCGCACCCCACACUUAUUGAAAGUCAUGGCUCUCAAGUGUCAACUUCAAACCCUCACACGGUUUUUUCUCUCGUGACAAAUCAACAUUCGACCCCAAUUAUUGAAAUUUCUGAAAGCAUCUGAAGGGUAAAAGUUCUGCAAAGAUCUGAAACAUCAAGAGCAUCAACAUGGAAAACAAAUUUUAAACAAACUAAAAAUAAAAAUAAAAACUCACUAAAAUAACUAAAAAACCAAAAUAACUAAAAAGGAUAUCACGAUCACAUGUCUUCGUCAAAAUCAAACUACAAUUUAUGAUUAAAUCCCUUGCAUGCAAGGGGUGGUUUGUGAAAACAAAAACUUUCGGGACCUGUCAGACUAUUUCCUUUGUAUUCUUUGACCCAUUAACUAAAAGUAGAACAAGAGUUGACCCAACUAGUCAAGUGUAGCAAGAGUUCAGUCUUCCACUUAACCACCUCGAUACGCCUUGCUAUACUACGCCUCGUGGAUUGAGUUGGACAAAUCACCAAAGUAGUAGACUAAACAAGUCAAGAAUUCCCUAAUCGCUUGCAAUCUCGAAAUCCAUGCAAAAGGUAAAGCCAAUCAAUGUGUAUGAUCACAAAUUCCUGCAAAUAACAACAAGAACCUUCCCGACAAGCGAAAUGAUAUCAACGAAAAUAAAACUAAAAAAAUAAAAUACAAAAAACUAACUAAAAAUAAAUAACGAAUAAUCAAAUAAACUAAAUUAAUUGAAAGCCGUUCCCUGGCAAUGACGCCAAAAACUUGAUGUGCACGAAAGUACCCAUUAAUUUUAAUAUUUAUAACCUAACAAACUUAGACUAACUAUGCACUUAUAGGCAGUGUACCUAGUCAGAUUACAGUAUAGCUUAGGUAAGUCGGGUGUCGAUCACAGGGAACGGUGGAUUAAUUUAAUACAUUUGAUUAUAGGUUACACGUAACAUGAAAAGAAUAAAGAAAUAAAUCUCAAACUAACAAUUAAUUAACUACUCUCGAUAAACUAGCAGGAAAACAAAUCUCUUCAGGUACUUUGGUUUAGAUAAAUUACACCUUAAAAACAUAGACAAUUGCAUACACAAAUUCAUUUAUUCAUGUUCACCGAUUCCUAAAAUGAUUAGAUUCGCGUUCACUAUAACUAAUCCUUUAGCAAACAAGUCAAUUCAAACAGUGAUCAGUUGAUUAAACUAACAUGCUUCCUAGUGUUCAGUUCGUAUCAAGCAAGACUUGUAAAUAUAGUUAAUCAAAUUAGACAUUCAAUUAACCUCUUGUUGAUGGUCAUCAAACAAGGCUCACACAUUAACUUACUUACUCCCAAGUUAAUCCUAGUUUCACAUUCGUUAUUCCUAGACUUAUAAUCUCGAUGGUCAUCAAAAUCAUAAGAGACAAGCAAUCAAGCAGAUGUUCAUACAACUCAAUUCACUUAACAAUUAACAGCAAAUAAUUAUCAUUAAUACGUAAGGAUCUUUUAACAAGCUUGGCAAGAUAAAUUAAAUACAAACAAACUAUUUAGUAUAGCAAUUAGUCUAAUAAUCAAAUCUUCAUUCAAUCAUAAACACAAAGUAAAAGGUUUUUACACCCAAAUCAGAAACUAAAUACAGAAUAGUAACACAAUGGAAUGCUAAACAUGGUCACGUUAGCAACCCUUAUGAUUACCGACACGUAUCCACUCUCCAAUCCUUCCGACCUCUNCUCCGCUCCCGUUAGCUUAACGGCCUCCCGUCCACCUUCUAGACCCUCAAAACGGCAAUUAUGAAGUUUUCUUGUCGCACAAGUCGAAGUGGAAUAUCAUAGAUUCUUCAAAAUGGUGGAAUGAUAUGGGGUAUUUAUAGUUGAAGGGAUAUGAAAUUAAUAUGGAAUAUUAGAGUUGUAUUAGAAUAAGGAAACUAAUGGUGGCUUAGGGAUUAAGCAAAUAAAAUAAAAUAAGUGGAGCUUGGGGAAUAAGUAACUUGGAGGGAAUUUCCGCCCAGCUUUUAUGCUUCAUAUUCAAGGCCGAUUUUGGAUAAGAUAAGUGUCGAAUUAGCCAAAAGUUCCUCUCACAUAAGUCGUAGGAAAUUCCGUCUAGUUUUCAGAACAGUUUGAAACUCGUCAAUUGGACUUAUGAGUCAUCAGAUAUACCUGAAACACUGAAGAGGGGUCAAUCUGCCAACAAUAUCCUUUUUGCAUCUUUUCAGCUCCAUUCUCUUUCUUUUGCAUUCCAUCUCCCAUUUUAACUGUAAUUAAAUAUUUCAAAGCAUAUUAAGUUUAUUUUAGUUCUACAUAAUAACAAUAAAUGCUAAAAUAUUAAGAUAUGUUAUACAUGAAUAUAUAUAUANNNNNNAGAUAAAGUGCAUAUAUAUAUAUAUAUAAAUACACAUAUCACAUAUGUUGCUCAUAAAAAGUUCGAAGUUUUCCAAAUGGAUGUAAAAUGAAAUUUCUUGAAUGGAGAACUACAAGAAUAUGUGUAUGUUGAGCGACCACUUGGGUUCGUAAAUGAGAAAUUCCCUGAUCAUUGCUGUGUGUUGGAUAAAGCUGUAUAUGGUUUGAAGCGAGCACCAAGGGCUUGGUAUGAAACUUUAACUCGCUUUCUGAAAAUGUUGAAAAUCAAGCAAGGUUCGCUUGACCCAACCUUCUUCCGAAAGAAAGAAGGCGAACAUCUUAUGAUAGUCCAGAUUUAUGUUGAUGACAUCAUCUUCGGCUCCACGAAUCCUAGCUUAACAGCUAAAUUCAGGAAGUUGAUGGAGACUAAAUUUGAAAUGAGCGCAAUGGGUCCGAUUAAUUUUUUCCUUGGUUUAAAUAUUGAUAGGGAGCAGAAGGUAUAUUUAUCAACCAGGAGGCCUACACGAAGAACUUGCUAGCAAAAUUCGUUAUGAAGGGAGAUUCAAAAGUGAAGGUUCCUAUGGUGUUUGGCACAAAGUUAGCACCGUCUUUGGAAAAACCUGUUGUUGAUGUAACACUCUAUCGUGAAAUGAUAAGGUCCCUUAUCUAUCUAACAGCUAGUAGACCAGAUAUUAUGCUCUCUGUUUGUUAUUGUGCUUGGUUUCAAGCAAAUCCAAGAGAACCUCACAUGGUGGCUGUGAAAAAUAUUUUUCGUUAUCUGCAGCGAACCUCUUCUCUCGGUCUUUGGUACCCUACAAGAUUUGGAUUUUUUGUUCAAGCCUUUUUCUGACGCCGAUCUUGGAGGAUGUGGUCUGGAUCGAAAGAGCACAACUGGUGGAUGCCAAUUCCUUGAUCAGAUUCCAUCAUCUCCUCCAUCUCCACCCAAGACAACAGUUUAGGUUAUCGUUGCUCAUCCAUCCCCAUCUUCAUCACCACCUAAUUCUACAAUUGCUCCAUCACCGCCUGUCAGUUCUACUCAUGUCACCACUGCUCCUUUACAACCUCCUCUUGUCUCCAAAGCAACAUUCACCACUACACCUGUCAUGACUUCUACCACAAACUCUUCUAUCAACGUCAACACAUCUGAUGUGGAGGAAAAGACUGAAGAACCUCCUAAAGUCACAUCCGAGCCCCUUUCACCAACUCCUUCUAGUGAUUCUAAUCCAGUUCUUGGAGGAGCUAAAUUUGAGUAUGAUUUUAUUUACUAUAGUCCCUACCGAAUUCCUAGUGAGGAAGAUGAAUCUGCUCUGGAAACCAAGCAGCAAAUCGAUAGUAUUCACGAAAAGCUUGAUUCACUGAUCGAUUCGACAAAGAAGUAUAAUGAUGUCGUUCUCAAAGCAUUCAUGGAUACAGCCCUGCACCAAUAUAUAGAAUCCAUCGACAAAUGUACUACUGCUAUGGAUGAUUCUACUUCUCUAUGUAAACGAGCCACAUCCGAUGUUAAAGAUCUCAUCCAUGACUCCAAGGUUUUUCUUGACUCUUUCAAGGGUCAUGCUGAUUCAAAUGCUACCAAGAUCACAGAGUCCAUCGAUUCGCUUUCUUAAUCCCUUCAAGCCGAGUAAACCAAGUUUGAGACUAUCCGUUCUGACAUCUCUACUGGCAACAAGACCUGCUUGUCUUCUAUUGACUCUUGGUUCGAAAAGCUUACUGCUGAUCUUCUCAUGGAAAGGCAACUCAAAGAUGAUCUUGCUCAACAGACUACACUAAAUGCAGUGCAACAAGCAGCACUUGCCAAGGCCGAACAAGAGAUUUCUUUGUUAAAAAUAGAACGAGCUGUUUUUCGUAGCUGUGUUGGGGAUGUUCUUUCCAAGCUACAUAACGUGCUUCAGGCUCAUGAUCCCAUUCUAACGCUUACGAUUCACAAUCCUUUGACCUCCAAACUUCUUCCCUUAGUUGAACUCUUACGCGAAAUGAAGGGUCUUUUGGAGAGAAUUGUUCCACCGCAACAAGGGGAGAAGACAAGCCACAACCUAUUUCAAUUAAACCGAAGGUCAAAACCGAACCGAAGGAUAAUGUAGCUUCGGGUUCUGGUAUCAAAGACAAGAAAAAGCAUGACGAAGAUGAUGAAGAUCAAGAAACUAUUUCUAAGAUCUUGAACUGAAAGAAAAGGGAUGAGGAGAUAGAUGAAAAUCUUUGAAUUGUUAAGGAAGCUGAGGAAAAAGAAAAGAAGAAGAAAGAAGAGGAUGAUGCAUUAAGUUGCAAGAAAAUGUUGUUCCCUCCUUGGACUAGGGAGACACUGAUCAAAGAAGCUAUAAAGUCUCCAAGUACACUCUGGCUGGAACCUGUGACUUCAUUUGACUGUGAUAAUAUAAGGGAUUCACAGUUUGAUAUGCCUAUAACAUGAAAGGCAUUCGUUUUUCAUUGUUUUGAGCCAACAGUUGAAGUCCCUUUACCCCAUCCUCAGGUAGACCGUGAACUUAUUGAUUUUUAUCUCGAGUUCAGUCAGCCUCAUUAUCUGACUUGGAGUGCGCAGAAAAUUACUAUGGUCAAGGUGCUGAAACCAUUGCCUACAGGGAAGUUUGUUAAUGUCUCUUUCAGGAUAAACCGAGGUUCAAAUAACUCGGUUUCUAUCAUCUUCCUGGCAGAUCUUCCUAACUUGAAUCCUCAUGAUUGGAUUCUGCUCUUCAAUAUUUUUCUCACUAAUGCGACAGAGUAUGAACCAAUCUUAGGACAUCUGAAAAGGAUGUUAGCCUCUUAUAUCCACAAAUUUGCGAAGAUGGAUCAAGAAUUGGAGAAUGUCAUGAGGAAGAAACCAACGGUGUAGCCUACUGCCAAGUCAGGAGAUGUCAACAAAAUGAUGCUCGGUCAAAUUGAUUCUGCUCACCUCACAGUGAUGUUUACAAGAGCCAAAGGUGAAAGAUUCUUGUUUGCUCUUGUUGACAAACACUUAUUCUUGACCGACUGCCUGGAGCAUAUUAUUAAUAUCAUUCAUCGAUGCAAGGCGAAUUCCGACUCUGAUAAGAAGAACUUCACAGACAUGCUCCGGUGGUACAUCACUUUUAGACAAACUCUUUUGGCCAUCAUACCGAGCGUGUUCAAGACUAUCAAGAGGUCGGCUACAGAUCAACCGAAGUGAGCUCUCGGCUCCAUUGAUGCAAAGGGGGAGAUUGUUGGGUAUUAUGUGUUGCGUCGUGGGCCAUUCUUUUAUAUAUCCGUUUUGGGUCUGUCCAACCGUAAUUAUAGAUUAGGGUUACGUAUUAUAUAUAGUGCAUGCAUGUAUGCCUUAAAUAUGUGAGUAUUGGAUUAUCUUUUGUAUUGUAACCCUAAGCACCUCUACAGUCGAAGUUCUUCAUCGAGCUCUUCUGGGGUGUUAAAGGUUAAUCAUACGACAUCUUCAAAGCCUUUCCUGUGUUCUUAAUUACGUCUCUAAUUUUUUCUCUGCUUAGUAUCUAUCGAUCCUACUAGAACUUUGUUCCUACAAUCGUCAUUAUCUUCAUCAUCAAGCUACCUAUCAACACCAACCCCAAUAUGAUCCACAUAAAUCGAAAUUACACCAUCUGUUCCAUAAGCAUGAAAAAUAAAAGCAUCAUAUUCCACAUAAUUUGAAAUGGGAUUAAGCCCUUCCAUCAGAGAAUUCUCUGGUUCACAGUAGUAAAACUUUUUACACUCUUCAUGCAUGAAAUGUUCGCAUAAGGUCACAAACUCAGAAUAAGUCAUAAAAGAAAAUUCAACAUCAUUGAAGAUGGUUUUAACACCACAAGUGUAAGAUAAAUGAUUGCGAUUAAAUACCCAUUGGUAGUUGAGUUCCACCAUCGCAAAUACUCCAUUAGGUUCCAAUUGUGCCAUUGCUACGACUUCUUUGUUUCUUCAGCUUGAUCAUAGGAAUGCUUCACAAACCCUAAAUCAAUUUCUUUUACAACUGAAUAAUGAAGACGAGUAAAGUUCGAUAGCUAAAGACGAAAGGCUUUAAGCUUCUUAUAUCAUUAAUUGACUUGGCAUAUCUCACAUGGCAUCAGAUUAGCCAAAAAAUAUAUAUUAAUUGACAUAUAUAAAAUGUCAUCCAGGAAACCGAUUAAAAGUAGAUAAAAUGAAUAAAUUAAUAGAUCAUAUACAAGUUCAAUGGUCUAAUGUGAUGGGUUUUACACAAAAGAAACAUCCUAUGUGCUCAUGCAAACCCUAAAGUUUGGAUCUAGGAUUCUCUAUUGUACAUGCAAUUCAUCUAAGACUUAUGAACCCUAGAUCUAGCAUACAUAUUUGGAAUUUAUCAUAAGAAAACAGAUCUAGAUGAUUACCUCUUCAACAAUGGCUUGAAUCUUCUUGUCUUGGAGCUUAGAGACACAAAUGUCACUCGUCUAAUGGCUUACUAACACCACACAAGCAAGAGGAUGAUAUUGGAGAGAGGGAAGAGGCGCAAUUUCGGCUAUGAACUCUCUAGGGAUUCAAGUGGCCGAAAAUUGGAUGCCUUGGGGUCUUAUUUAUACUGGUGCUGCUAGGGUUUCAGCCAAAACCCUAAUGGACAACUUAGGCCUUAAGCAAUCUAAGAAGCUUUUGGAAUAGGGCCCUUAUGGCCAAAAUUAGGAUGGACACAUCCCUAAUUUCGUCCAUGCCUAGUCCACGAGGCUCCUCAGCCCAAUAUUCAACUAUCACACAUUUGAUAGUUUAAGCCCCCUUUAUUUAAUUAAUGUCUUUUAGUCACAUAAUUAAUUCUUAAUUACUUCCUGUCUAAUAUUGAUUAAAACAUAUGAUUUCGCCUUUAAUAUAUUAUUAAUAUAAUAUAUUAAUAAACCAUAAUAACCUCUCUCCCUCUCUUCACAAAUCACCCUGUCAAGUUGCUCUGGUGAAGGCAACCCAAAAGGACCAUGCACAACCGGGUCAAGUACUUACCAAAUAUAGUUACGGGCUUAUACACUAAUCCAACAGUCUCCCACUUGGAUAAGUCUAGUAACUAUAAAUGCAAAUACAAUCUGAUUAGCAAUCCUAGCUCUCAAAGACGUUUUCGAACUCUGAUCUCAUCAAUAACCUGUCCUUUAGAUAAGGGAUCGUAUAUUCCUCUGUUCUAGAUAUCGUGCGGACAAUCGAAUGGAACAUAGUCAUACUUAUUGUCCAGUAGUUUGUUUCUCGAUCUCUGACUCGUCUGACAUAGAACUUAAUUGAACACAUCAAUUCAUUCCUGACCAGGCCCGUCACAUAAGUCAAAAUAAAUCAUCGAGGGACCAUAUAUUUCUUAUAACCCUCUUAGGAUAAAAGGAACAUAUAAAGCUCGACUUAUAUGCAUUGAGCAUCCACAGAUUAAAUCACGCACAACAAUGUGUUUUAUAACAUCAAGUUACUGAUGUGUUUACGCAUUAUCAAUGCACAACCAAUUUGCAAACGACAAACCAUAUAUCUAGGUUUUAAUACCAUAUGAUAUUAUCAUCUUGCAAUCGCUGGUGAUAAAUUCCAUGAAGUGAUACCAGCAAGCGUGGGUCUAAUCCAAUGCUCAAAUCAAAUUCAUAAGCACUCAUGAAUGUUGUAGCAAACUUUUGCUAUGUCAUAUACACUUUAGACAAUCUACACACCAAUUCAUGACAGUCUUCUUUCAUACCUAUUUCCAACAUAUGAACGACUAUGGAGUGUUCGAAUAAUCUUAUUAUUCAGGAAGUCAGAACAUGCAAAAUGAAACAAUAGUUAAAUAAUUAACAUCAGACAGUAACUUUACAUAUAAAUAAUACUCCUUUAUUUAUUCAUUAAAUGUCAGUUACAUUUAUCUAUUACACGUUUCAAACUAUCUAAUCUAAACUAAUACCGUCCUCCAGCCCAAUGCUCCUAGCUUGCUGUAAGUGCUUAACCCUACUCUGUCCCUUCGUAAGGGGAUUUGUUGGGUUAUCCUCCGACGAUACCCUCUUCACUACGAGGAGUCCCUCUUCCACCCGAUGUUGAAUAAAGUGAUACUUUCUGUCGAUAUGUCGAGAUCUACCAUGAUCUUUCGGUUCCUUGGUCAAGGCAACAGUUGAUUCGUUAUCACAGAAUAUCUCCAUAGGCUCCUUUAUGGCUGGCACAACUCCAAGGUCUUCAAUGAAGUUCUUCAACUAUAGUGCCUCCUUUUCUGCUUCGCUCAUCGCUAUAUACUCUGAUUCGCACAUUGAAUCAGCUACGAUCUCCUUCUUGGAACUUUUCUUAGUCACUUCUCCUCCAUUAAGGGUAAAGACCCAGCCCGACUGCGAACGGUAUUUGUCCCUAUCGGUCUGAAAACUGGCGUCACUGUACCCUUGCACCUUUAAGUCAUCACUCCCACCAAGGACUAGAAACCAUUCCUUGGUCCUCCGAAGGUACUUAAGAAUGUUCUUGACUGCGGUCCAAUGUGCUUUGCCAGAUUUCCCUUGAUGUCUGCUGACCAUGCUCAAAACAAAGGCCACAUCAGGGCGAGUACAAGUUAUAGCAUACAUAAUCGAGCCAACUGCCGAAGUGUAUGGUACUAGGCUCAUUUUUGCUAUCUCAACUUCGGUACUCGGACUUUGAGUCUUACUCAACUUGGCAUUACUUUGGUUCGGUAACUCCCCUUUCUUGGAAUUCUCCAUACUAAAAUGUUUUAGUACCUUUUCCAAGUAAGUAUUCUGACUAAGUCCUAUUAGUCUUUUACUCAUUUCUCUCACUAUCCUUAUUCCCACAAUAUAGGCAGCUCUCCGAGGUCCUUCAUAGCGAAACAAUUCCCAAGCUAGGACUUGACUUCCUGUAGCGUCGGGACGUCAUUUCCUAUGAGUAGUAUGUCAUCGACAUACAAUACAAGGAAGCUUACUUUACUCCCACUAGAUUUGACAUAUACACAUGAUUCAUCCUCGCUUCGCAGAAAACCAAACUCUUUGACUUUCUCGUCGAAACAAAGAUUCCAUCUGCAAGAUGACUUGUUUUAAUCCAUAAAUGGACUUAUCAAGCUUACACACUCUAUUGGGAUGCUUUGCAUUGAAAGAACCCUCUGGCUGACUCAUGUAAACAUCCUCAACCAACUUUCCAUUAAGGAAAGCGGUUUUGACAUCCAUCUGCCAUAUGUCAUAGUCAUGAAAUGCAACAAUAGCCAACAUCACCCUAAUAUACUUUAUCUUCGCAACUGGUGAGAAGGUCUCAUCAUAGUCAACUCACAGGGUUUCAGUAAAUCCCUUCGCAACCAAUCGCGCCUUAUAAGUGUGCACAUUUCCAUCCAUGUCAAUCUUCUUCUUGAAGAUCCACCUGCACCCGACCAUCUUACGACCUAGAACAUUAUCAACCAAGCUCUAAACUUGGUUAUCGAAUAUGGACUGAAUCUCUCUAUCCAUUGCCUCUUUCCACUUUGCAGACUCUGGGCCUGCCAUGGCUUCCUUAUAGCUGUUAGGUUCGUCCAAAUUCUCUAGUGUACUAUCACUAAUGAACAUAUCCCCUUCUCUAGUAGUAUGAAAACCAAAAAACUGGGGUUGAAUCCUAACUCUUUCGGGAUGUCUAAGAGGUAAGGACUUGGCAAUCGGUUCAAUCGGAGUUUCCUCCUCAGGUUGAGUGCCAGCCUUAGAGGUUCCUUCAUCACUUAAAUUUUGAAUUUCUUCAAGAUCGAUUUGCCUCCCAUUGUCCCCUUGGCUUAUGAUUUCUCGCUCUCAGAAAACCCCUCUCCUCGCAGCGACGACAAAAUUGUCACUCAGUCUAUAGAAGAUAUAUCCAAAGGACUUUUGCGGGUAGCCAAUGAAAAUACACCGCUCACUACGAGGUUUUAGCUUGUCGUAAGUUUCUCGUCUUACGAAAACCUCGUAACCCCAAAUCUUGAUAUGUGCAAACGAGGGAGCUUUCAAUGUCCACAUCUCGUGAGGUGGCUUGGCAACCGUUUUUGUAGGGACUAAGUUAAGGAUAUGGGCGGCAGUCUCUAAGGCAUACCCCCAGAAUGAGAUUGGUAGCGAAGCACAGCUCAUCAUGGAACGAACCAUGUCUAGCAAGGUUCGAUUACGCCUCUUAACCACACCAUUCAACUACGGUGUCCUAGGUGGCAUCAAUUGCGAAACAAUUUCGCAUUCCUUGAGGUAGUCGUGGAAUUCAAGACUUAGGUACUCUCCACCUUGAUCGGAUCGAAGCAUCUUGAUUUUCCCGCCCAACUAAUUCUCCACUUCUUGUUUAAACUCUUUGAAUUUUUCAAAGGUUUCUGACUUGUGCUUGAUUAAGUAGAUAUAUCCAUAUCUACUAUAAUCAUCGGUGAAAGUCACAUAGAAGUAGUUCGCAUCCCUUGUGCUGGAUCUAAAGGUCCCACACACAUCGGUGUGUAUAAGAUCCAAUAAACCCUCACCCCUUUCACAAGUACUAGUGAAAGGUGACUUGGUUAUCUUUCCAAGUAAACAAUACUUGCACACGUCAUCGUCCCUAAGGUCGAAUGACUCCAACACUCCGUCCUUUUGGAGUUGGGCUAUGCAUUUCUUGUUGACAUGUCCAAGACGACAAUGCCACAAGCAUGCUUUAUCCAAACUAUUGGAAGAAUCAACACACAACACAUCAUUUCCUAAAUUGUCUACAAUCAUCACAGUUUCAUAUAUUCCAUUACAAGGCAAUGCUUCAAAAUAGAAAAAACCAUUAAGAUUAGCAUAAAUAGAACCCUUUUCAUUAUCAAAUGAAUAUCUAAAUCCUUGUCUAUAUAAACCAUGAAAAUAAAUUUUGUUUCUUUCCAUAUCUGGCGAAUAGCAACAAUUAUUUAAAUCUAAUCAUAAUCCAUUAUUAAGCACUAAAGAAUAAACUCUAAUCUUGGUGAUAGGCGACGAUCUUUUGUUCCCUAUGAUCAAGUUUAUCUUCCCAUGCUCCACAUCCCUACUUCUUCAUAGGCCCUACAAAUCAGAACAAAUGUGAAACCACAUCCUGUAUCAAGAACCCAAGAAAUAGCAUGCAACGAUUCAUUAGAUUUAAUAGUGUAAAUACCUGCGAAGGAUGGCUUGAUCUUUCCAUCGUUGAUUGCUUCCAGAUACUCUGGGCAGCUUCGUUUUCAAUGCCCUAUCUUGUGGCAGUAGUGACACUCUGCCUCCUUGGGGUUGGAGUUUGGUAUAGUAGAACCAACCUUGGUUCCACUCGAAGAGGUACCAUCUUGGGAUUUUCCCUUGUGGUUGCUCUUUAAGGGAGUCUUCUUCUUCUUACCCUUUCCUUGCCUAAUUGCCAAGACAGGGGCAACAGCAAGAGUAGGAGUUUGUGCAACGAACUUGUCUUUGAGGUUACUAUUGUCAGUCCUCAAUAGACCUUGCAGCUUGCUCAACGUGAUCUCCUCUUUGUUCAUGUGGUAAGUCAUGCAAAACUGGUUGAAGUAGGGUGGCAAUGAAUGAAGGACAAUGUCAAUCGCCAGAUCUUCAUCAAAGUUAACAUUUAAAUUCAGCAGGCGGUUAACAUACCUUUUCAUCUUUUGCAGAUGAGCAGUGACAAACUCUUCGUCUCUCAUCUUGUUCAUGAUCAUCGAAGUGAUGAUCUCAAACCUCUUCCGCCUCGCACUUUGGUGAUACCUUUCAGCCAAGUCAUAAUACAUUUCGUUGGGAUAAUAGUCCUCGUAGGACUUUUGGACUUCAGCAGUCAUAGUUGCUAGCAUGAUGCAAUGGACUUUCGUGGGAUCAUGCUCAUGGGCCUCAAAGACAACGAUCUCCUCGGGAGUAGCAAUGUUGAUGUUCACCUACUUCAGCUCCUUAUCAAGGAGAUACUCUUUAUCUUCAUAACGAGUGACCAUUCGGAUGUUACGGAUCCAAUCAUUGAAAUUGGACCCGUCAAAGAUCACUCUGCCACACAAGUUCAUGAGUGAGAACGAGUCAGAUGAGGUUGAGCCUGAAGCAUUGUGAUUGUUUAAGACAAAGUUGAUUAGACAAGAAUCCCUAAUUAAAUACCCAAAUGAGAAAUUAGGGCUAGGAUCCAACAAUGUUAUUUAAAAAUUAGAAGAGGGAUGUUGUAAUCAAACAUGCAAAUAAUUUAAAGGUAAGUGAAUGACGAUUCACAAAUUUUCCACUAUGAAAAACGAAAAAGAGAUUAGGUUUUAAUUGUAUUGAAAACUCCUAGAUCCUUUGAGAUUCAUUGAACUUUUCAAUGGCAUGUUUAAAUCUCGAUAUGCCCCUCAAGUUUGUGACUGGGAUGCCGAGGAUCACUGUAACAACAUAAAUUUUCAAAACAAUUUUUCAUUUUUCGAACAACAUAAACCAUCAAUUCAAUAUUCUCAAAUCUCAUGUUUAGCAAAUGUUAUCAUAAUAAAAAUACAUCCCAAGAUCAUAAAACAAAUCUUCCGUCAGUGUGUACAGAUCAUGCCUGCGCCUUCCCACGGUCCUCGCUCGUACCUGAAACACAUAACUCAACAACUGUAAGCAUAAUGCUUAGUGAGUUCCCCAAUAUACCACUUACACACAUACGCCCUUCCAGGCCAUGACCUUCCAGUCAUGUGUCUCANUGUGUCUCAGGGGACUUCCGUCCCAACCCGGUAAACCUUCCGGCGCUACCCGUGUCGACCUUCCGGUCCAUGACUCCCUGACCUUCCGGUCCACAUCAUAAUGCCUUCCGGCCCAUAACGUAAUGCCUUCCGGCCCAUAACAAGCAUAACAUACAUAACACAUACAAAACGGUUAACUAAUCACAUACAACGCAUACAUCUUAUAGCAUAUCUGACCUUCCGGUCACACAUAGGUACCCUUCCAAGUACAGUAUACUGAGAAGACUCACCUCGUAGGAUGUCUAGAAUCUCACGUGUUCGAUAUCUCUGAAUCUUGAAACGACGACCCAACCCCGCCUAUUCACAACGAAUAAUCAUUCUAAUUAAUAUAGGCUUCCAAGACUAAGCUACACCCUUUUUCACUAUCCCACAGAGGGGUAAAAGACCAUUUCACUCCUCCUUGACUCAAAAGUCCACAUGUUGACCAAAAUCCUAAAAGUCAACAAAAGUCAACAGCAAGCAGUACACGGGGCGUACCAGCUCCUGUAUGCGGGGCAUACUCUUGCAUUCCACAAACGGGGAAUGCGUCCCACUUCCUUCUUCUAAUGUCAUAAACGAUUAAGACACAACCCCAUAUUCCUGAUCUGGCUAAAAUAAUACCUCUUAGUCCAUAAAGUCGAAACCUUUAAGCCUUGGCAUGGCUAAAAGGUUCCCCAUACCUUCUAACACCUUUCCUUCCCCUCCAAGAGUCUAGAUCUCAUGCAUGGCUCAAUAUCCACGUCCAAGAUUGCAUUUUUAUAAACAUACAACUCAUAUAGUCCUGGAAUAUGACACAUCUAGGGCAAUGGAUACUACUUGUUCAUAAAGUCUCCAUCUUGGGACCAAAAACCCUAGAAAUUGGUCCAAGAAGCACACCAUAUAAACUAAAAGGCAAGAUCUGAACUUUUUACCUUAGGAAGAAGCUCCAACCUUUAUAGUCCUCAGAUCUACACUUGUUCACCAACUUUUAGCCUCCACAAUGGACUCCUCUUCUUUUUUACUACCUUGAAAUGGCACUUUGAAGCUUAGAACACUCACACCAAGCUAAAAACUAAGGAAAUGCUCUCUUAGGGUUUCUUUCUGAAAGAUGGUGACUGAGGGACAAGACCAUCUAAUUCCUUUUAUAGCCCUCAAGUCGUAUUAGGGUUUUGAGUCUUGGCCAGUUACGCCCGGUGUAACGUUAGGUACGCCCAGCUUACCUGGAUGGCACUGCAUAUAAAAUAAGCGUGCGAGUACGCGCAGCGUACUCUGUUUACACCCAGCGUACUCACUCAACACAAAGGACCAAAAUGACAUUUUGGAAAAGAUGAAGGGUUAAAUGGUCGUACCUGAAUUUCGGGCAGUUACAAUUCUCCCCCAAUAGAACCAGACUUUGUCCUUGAAGUCUUAAACCGAAAACAACUUUGGAUGCUGCUCCCGCAUUUCCGACUCGGACUCCCAUGUCAGCUCGGACCCCUUCCGAUGCUUCCACUGCACUUGCACCAAAGGCACUUCCUUGUUCCUUAGAACCUUGACCUUCCGAUCCUUAAUUGUCACCGGUCUCUCAACAUAGUUCAGGCCUGCAUCCACCUGAAUAUCCUCUAAUGGUACCACUGCCGACUCGUCGGCUAUACACUGUCUCAACUACGACACAUGGAAAGUAUCGUGAAUCUGACCCAACUCCGUAGGUAGAUCCAAACGUAGGCUACCCAACCUACCCUCGCGAUUACGCUGAAAGGUCCAAUACAUCGAGUCCCCAACUUGCUCCACUUCAUGAAUCAGAUCACUUCUUUCCAAGGAGAGACCUUUAAGAGUACGAGGUCACCGACUUGAAACUCGAGCUCGGACAGACGCCUGUCCGCAUAACUCUUAUGGUGACUUUGAGCGGUCAACAACCUCUGCCUGACCUGCUGUAUCUGCUCAGUCGUCUAAAGCACGAUCUACGUACUGCCCAUUACACAUUGCCCCACCUCUCCCCAGCAAAUGAAGGCCCGACAUCUCCUCCAAUACAACAGCUCAAAGGGUGGCAUACCAAUGCUUGAAUGAUGGCUAUUGUUGUACGGAAACUUCGACAAGGGUAACUAUGUGUCCCAACUUCCGCCAAAAUCCAAAACACAUGCUCGAAGCAUAUCCUCGAGUUUCUGAAUCGUCCGCUCACUCUGACCGUCCGUCUGUGGGUGGUAUGUUGUACUAAAAUGUAGCCUCGUACCCAACUCCUCGUAAAACUUCUUCCAAAAUCUGGAAGUAAAUCGUACGUCUUGAUCUGAAACCAAUCGACAUCGGAACCCCAUGCCACGAUACCACCUCCCUCACAUACAACUUUGUCAACCUCUCAGCAGAAGAGCUCUCACUGAUAGCAAGAAAAUGAGCGCUCUUCGUCAACCUAUCCACAAUCACCCAAAUUGCAUCGACUCCCCUUGCAGUCCUUGGCAAUUUGGUGAUAAAAUCCAUGGUAAUCUGUUCCCACUUCCACUCGGGAAUCUCCAGCGGCUGCAGCUUACCAUGCGGACGCUGGUGCUCGGCGUUAACCUGGCGACAAGUUAGGCACCUCUUAAUGAACCAUGCAACAUCCAUUUUCAUACAAGGCCACCAAUACUCCUUCUUUAGGUCCAGAUACAUCUUAGUGGCCCCGGGAUGGAUUGAGAAGUUCGAUCGAUGUGCCUCUUCCAUCAAAAUGGUACGCGUCCCGCCCACAAACAGUACCCAAAUCCAACCAUGAAAUGUCAUAAGUCCCCGACUAUCGAUAACGAACUCCGAUACCUGCCCGACAACUCGCUCCCUCUUUCAGUUUUCUGUUCUCAUAGCCUCAGCCUGGGCCCCUCGGAUGGUGUCUAAUACCGGAGUCAUCACUGUCAACCUCAUACAAACGUCUCGAAUCGGGGUGCUCUCCGCCCUACGGCUCAAAGCAUCGGCUACGACAUUAGCCUUGCCCGGGUGGUACAGGAUCUCACAAUCAUAAUCCUUCACCACAUCCAACCAUCUCCUCUGGCGCAUAUUCAGGUUGGGCUGAUCCAUCAAGUACUUCAGACUCUUGUGGUCCGUGUAUAUGGUACACCGAACCCCAUAUAGAUAGUGACGCCAGAUCUUGAGGGCAAAUACCACAACCCCCAGCUCCAGAUCGUGGGUGGGAUAUCUCGACUCAUGAGGCUUCAGUUGCCUCGAUGCAUACGCUAUCACGUGUCCCAUUUGCAUAAGCACUACCCCUAACUCAGAUAUUGAUGCAUCACAGUAUACCACAAAAUCCUCCAUCCCUUCCGGAAGUGCGAGCACCGGGGCUUCGCACAACUUCUAGCGAAGUGUCUCAAAUGAGGACUGCUGCUCCGGACCCCAUGAAAAUGCAACACCCUUCCGGGUCAUCUUGGUAAGUGGCACGACGAUCUUGGAGAAAUCCCUAAUGAACCUCCGAUAAUAGCCAGCCAAUCCCAGAAAGCUCCUGAUCUCAGUGGGUGAUCUCGACACCUCCCAUCUCAUCACCGCCUCGAUCUUGGCCGGAUCAACCAAUACCCCUUUCUGGUUAACAAGAUGCCCUAGGAACUGGACCUCUGAUAACCAGAAAUUACACUUGGAGAAUUUGGCAUACACCCUCUCCGAACUCAGAACUCCAAAGAUCUCCCUCAAAUGCUCCUCAUGCUGCUCUCUAGACCUCGAAUAAACCAAAAUAUCAUCAAUGAAUACGAUCAUCGAUCCUUGGUAACGGAUACCGGUUCUUGACCGUCAACUUGUUCAACUCCUGGUAAUCAAUACACAUCCGGUGUGAACCAUCCUUCUUCUUGAAAAAAAAAGGAUCGACGCUCCCCAAGGUGAGCUACUCGGUCAAAUAAACCCCUUCCCCAAUAGCUCCGGAAGCUGCAAGGAUAACUCCUGCAUCUCUAGCGGCGCGAGGCGAUAAGGCAUCUUGGCGAUAGGUGCUGCUCCCGGAACCAAAUCGAUAUGGAACUCCACUUGUCUUUCUGGAGGCACGCCCGACAGUUCCUCGGGAAAAACAUCCGGAAACUCGCACACUAUCGGGACCUUGUCAAUUGAGCUUGGCCUCCCCGCGACCACUCGUGUGUCCAUCACAUACGCUAUGAAUCCACUACAGCCUUGCUGCAAACUCUGUCUCGCCCAGGCAGCAGAACAAAACGCUGAACCACACCGGGUCCCUUCGCUAUACACAUUAAGCACUCCCCCACUAGGGUCUCGUAUGGUCACCAACUGUCUCUCGCAGUCAAUAACCGCUCCAAACUUACUCAACCAGUCCAUGCCCACGAUGACACAGACAUCUCCCAUCGCGAUAGGAACUAGAUCAAUUGGGAACUUGACGCCAAAAAUAUCGAGCACACAUCCUCGAAUCACCUCGGUGGCAUACACCACUUUCUCAUCAGCUAUGGAAACCCUCAGGGGUCGACUCAUCACCUCCCAACUAAUACUGAUGUGCUGACUAAAAGCCAAAGAUACAAAAGACCGACUCGCACCCGAGUCAAACAAUAACAAGCCGGGUACAGAAUUCACAAGAAAAGUACCUACGCAUAUCAUAAUAUAAGCACGAUAUCUCAACAUGAAAGUAAAUACACGAAAGAAUACAUACCAGCCACGACAUCGGGCGCCGCGCGGACCUCCUCCGUAGUCAACCGAAAAGCUCUCCCACGAGUCUUCGGAGCCUCGGCCUUUGCCGGUCGAAACUCGGUAACCCUAGCCGCAGGCGCAGAUCCCUGUGCUGAUCCCUGAUGUAGUAGAGGACACUCGGCCUUCCGAUGGCCGGUCUAGUUGCAAUGGAAGCAAACCAUAAAUCCCUUGGGGUAAUCCUUGGCGAUAUGCCCCUCCUUGCCACAUUUGUAGCAAGCACCCGAUCGGCAGACCCCCUCAUGUCCCUUACCGCACUUCCUGCAAGUGCGGCUCUUCUGGACUCCAGUCCUUGAAUCAGCGAACUUGGUCUGCUUGGCUGCCGGCUGAGACUGAGCCGGCCGCCGAUCCAUCCUCUGAGACUCGGCCUCCUCCCUAGCCUGAGUCUCCUACUCAAUCUCCCUCUUCCGGGCAUUUUCCUGGAGCUCAGCAAAUGUCCGGUACGUCGAGUUCGACACGAACUCCCGAAUGUCCCUCCUCAAAAUACCCAAAUACUGUCUCAUCCGUGCUUGCUCAGUAGACACCUGCUCAGGGCAGAACAUCGCCCUCUCAUCAAACUUCCGGGUGACCAUAAUAAUCGAAUCAUUACGCUGCUUGAGGGUCAAGAACUCCUGAAUCAACCGUUCCCUCUCCACCGGGGGAACAUAUUCAUCUCUGAACAUGAUGGUGAACCUCUCCUAGGUCACUGCUGAAAUAUCUGCAAGAGUGAAGUUCACUAUCACGAACUUCCACCAAUCCUUCGCCCCUAGGCGAAGCUGGUUCAAAGUGAACCGUACCCUCAGAUGGUCCGUACAUGAACACGUAUAGAAGCAUCCCUUAAUGUCAGAAAUCCAUCUCAUCGUAGCGAUCAGAUCCUGCGUCCCAUCAAACCCGGGUGGCUUCAUGUUGCUGAACUCCCGACACAACAACGAGUCACCCCCCUGAGGUCUGGCAGCAGCCACAGCUGCUGUAGCUACAGCGGCUGCGGCCUCAGUCACCGCGGCGUACCGCUCAUCAAAAGUCUCCAACAAUGUGGUCUUGAUAGACCCAAACAUCUUCAGAAUCUUGGCCCUGAUUGCCGCAGCCACCUCAUCGUUGAUCAUCUGACGAAGCUCCUCGUCACUCACACCGCUCGCCCCAGGUCUAUGGCAUGUCCCAACCAUGAUGCCUUUGAAAUACAACAUAAAAAUAUCAGAGACUCGAUCGAGCAUACUCGCACUCGAUAACGCAACCCUAAUCGGCCUCCGAUACCCAAAGGAUUCUUACUUGGGCUGCCCACUGAUCCGGUGUCUUCAGUAGUACGGGCCCUAUACUACUGAUUACACCGCAUCAGCAUUCACCCCAGGUCCUCCUCCCUGGAUCCUGGAACGCAAGUACUCUAUUUACGCUAUGCAUUGGCUACUUACUCACUCUCAAGGCAUCUCAUAGCAGUAGGAUUCUCCUAGACUAAGUCAUCAUAAAUCAGGCCACUCUAGUCCUAAUAUGAAUACCUAGUCUACUCUAGCAUGCAUAACAUAUCAUAGCAUAUCUCAUAACACAUAUUGUAAGGGUAUUUUGCGGAUUUUACCGUUCGGGCGCUGGCUGGCCGUACACACUGCUCCUUUUUUGGUUAUCUCAAAACCUCUUAUAAAAUUUUAUGCUUUUAUUAUUCGAAUUUUUUUUUCUCAAAUCCUCGGUUUGAGUUCAGUUACGCCCGAAGGUGCACCCGAAUCCCUCAAACCAAGGCUCUGAUACCAACUUGUAACAACGUAAAUUUUCAAAACAAAUUUUCAUUUUUUGAACAACAUAAACCAUCAAUUUAAUAUUCUCAAACUCUCAUGUUUAGCAAAUGUUAUCAUAAUAAAAAUACAUCCCAAGAUCAUAAAAUAAAUCUUCCGCCAGUGUGUACAGAUCAUGCCUGCGCCUUCCCACGGUCCUCGCUCGUAGCUGAAACACAUAACACAACAACUGUAAGCAUAAUGCUUAGUGAGUUCCCCAAUAUACCACUUACACACAUACGCCCUUCCAGGCCAUAACCUUCCGAUCCAUGUGUCUCAGUGGACUUCCGUCCCAACCCGGUAAACCUUCCGGUGCUACCCGUGUCGACCUUCCGGUCCAUGACUCCCUGACCUUCCGGUCCACAUCAUAAUGUCUUCCGGUCCAUAACGUAAUGCCUUCCGGCCCAUAACAAGCAUAACAUACAUAACACAUACAAAACGGUUAACUAAUCACAUACAAUGCAUACAUCUUAUAGCAUAUCCGACCUUCCAGUCACACAUAGGUACCCUUUCAGGUACAGUAUAGUGAGAAGACUCACCUCGUAGGAUGUCUAGAAUCUCACAUGCUCGAUAUCUCUGAAUCUCGAAACGACGACCCAACCCCGCCUAUUCACAACGAAUAGUCAUUCUAAUUAAUAUAGGCUUCCAAGACUAAGCUACACCCUUUUUCACUAUUCCACAGAGGGGUAAAUGACCAUUUCACUCCUCCUUGACUCAAAAGUCCACAUGUUGACCAAAAUCCUAAAAGUCAACAGCAAGUAGUAUGCGGGGCGUACCAGCUCCUGUACGCGGGGCGUACUCUUGCAUUCCAGAAACGGGGAAUGUGUCCCACUACUCGGCGCGUACUGGGAUUACGCCUAGCGUACAUCCCAGUUUCUCACAUCCUUCUUCUAAUGUCUCAACCGAUUAAGACACAACCCCAUAUUCCAGAUCUGGCUGAAAUAAUACCUCUUAGUCCAUAAAGUCAAAACUUUUAAUCCUUGGCAUGGCUAAAAGGUUCCCUACACCUUCUAACACCUUUCCUUUCCCCUCCAAGAUUCUAGAUCUCAUGCAUAGCUCAAUAUCCACGUCCAAGAUUGCAUUUUUAUGAACAUACAACUCAUAUUGUCUUGGAAUAUGAUAAAUCUAGGCCAAUGGAGACUACUUGCUCAUAAAGUCUCCAUCUUGGGACCAAAAACCCUAGAAAAUGGUCCAAGAAGCACACCAUAUAAACUACAAGGCAAGAUCUGAACUUUUUACCUCAGGCAGAAGCUCCAACCUUUGUAGUCCUCAGAUCUACACUAGUCCACCAACUUCUAGCCUCCAUAAUGGACUCCUCUUCUCUUUUACUACCUUGAAAUGACACUUUGAAGCUUAGAACACUCACACCCAAGCUAAAAACGAAGGAAUUGUUCUCUUAGGGUUUCUUUCUGAAAGAUGGUGACUAAGGGACAAGACCAUCUCAUUCCUUUUAUAGCCUUCAAGUCAUAUUAGGGUUUUGAGUCUGGGCCGGUUACGCCCGGCGUAACCUUAAGUACGCCCAGCGUACCCGGAUGGCACUGCGUAUAAAAUAAGCGCGCGAGUACGCGCGAGUACGCGCAGCGUAAUCUUUGUACGCCCAGCGUACUUACUCAACAUAAAGGACCAAAAUGAAAUUUUUGGAAAAGAUGAAGGGUUAAAUGGUCAUACCUGAAUUUCGGGCUGUUACAAUCACAAAGCGGGUGUGAAUAACCAUGCAAAUGUAAAUGGUGCCCCCAAUGUUACAGUCACCUAUUCGACGUGCCGAUUAACCACACAUGCUCCAUCGAACCAUGACAAACAUCGAGUGACCCUUUGCCACCCUUGCUUAGAACCCACUUAGUGUGCCGGUUAAUCACACACGCUCUACUAACGUCUUAGCAAGGGUACAAAAUGUAAUUUCAUGGAAUUGCAACAAAUUCACUUUUGCCUAAAGUAACUAAGAUUGGGAAUUUUGUAAAAUCAUUUUGUUACUUUAUUAUUCAUUAUACUUUUAAUGAGGAAAGCGUUUUCCCUAUCCUACCUGUUCGGCUAACAACCCUCCACCAAUUAAGGAAGCGGUGGGUGGGAGUGGACACCCAUUAAAUGACAAUUUUAUAGGUCAUAACCUUAUACCCCUUUAUAUAUAUAUAUAUAUAUAUAUNNNNNNNNNNNNNNNNNNNNNNNNNNNNNNNNNNNNNNNNNNNNNNNNNNNNNNNNNNNNNNNNNNNNNNNNNNNNNNNNNNNNNNNNNNNNNNNNNNNNNNNNNNNNNNNNNNNNNNNNNNNNUAUAUAUAUAUAUACAUAUAAAUCUUAUAAUAAAGAAAGUAUAAGAUUGAAUUUUAAACUUGUAAAAUUCUAGGGUUAAAAUUUAAAUAAUUCAAAUUAAAACUUUUAAUCAAAAAUUUAAAUUUCAAAACUUGAGGGCAAGUUUUGAACUUUUCAAAACACAUAGGAUCAAAUAGAAAAUAAUUUAAAUCAUACAAUUAAUUUAAUUAUUAUCUGAAUUUGACCUAUUUCAUUUUAUUCAAAAGAUAAUUCAUCAAAUAAAUUAAAUAACCAAAAUUUAUCAUAUAAGGAAUUAAUUAUUCAAUUAAUUGGUAAUUAUCUUUUAGUUUGGUAAGGAUAAUCAUGUAAUAACAUUAAAAUUCGGAUUUUAUCAGUUAAAAACAAUUUUGGCAAUUAUCCUUCAGUAAAACAACAAGAAAUCCCAAAAAUCCCUCUGUCUGACUCCCUGACUCGCCGAGUCACUAACUGGACUCGCCGAGUUGGGCUGAAUUGCCAAGUGCAGCUAGUGACUCGCCGAAUCAGGUCGGGCAGAGGGUAGAAAAAUGAUUUUCAGUUAGGAUGAACAUACAAGGCAUCAAUACAACAGAAACCAAUUAAGGAUCUGAUACCACUGAUGGAUUUUACUCAAAAGAAACAUCCUAUGUGCUCUUGCAAACCCUAAACCUUGUAUCUAGGGUUCUCUAUUGUACAUACAAUUCAUCCAAGACUUAUGAACCAUAGAUCUAGCAUACAUAUUAGGAAAUUAUCAUAAGAAAACAGAUCUAGAUGAGUACCUCUUCAACAAUGGCUUGAAUCUUCUUGUCUUGGAGCUUAGAGUCACAAAUGUCACUUCUCUAAUGGCUUACAAACACUACACAAGCAAGAGGAUUCAUAUUUGAGAGAAGGAAGAGGCACAAUUUCGGCUAUGAACUCUCUAGGGAUUCAAGUGGCUGAAAAUUCGAUGCCUUGGGGUCUUAUUUAUACUGGUGUUGCUAGGGUUUCAACCAAAACCCUAAUGGACAACUUAGGCCUUAAGCAAUCCAAGGAAGCUUCUGGAAUAGGGUCCUUAUGGCCGAAAUUAGGGUGGACACAUCCCUAAUUUCGUUUAUGCCUAGUCCAUGAGGCUCCUCAGCCCAAUAUUCAACUAUCACACAUUUGACAAUUUAAGCCCUCUUUAUUUAAUUAAUGUCUUUUAGUCACAGGAUUAGUUACUAAUUAAUUCCUGUCUAAUAUUAAUUAAACUAUAUAAUUUCUCCUUUAAUAUAUUUUUCAUAUAAUAUAUUAAUAAACCAUAAUAACCAAUAUCUCUACACAAAUCACCCUAUCAAGUUGCUUUGGUGAAGACAACCCAAAAGGACCAUGCACAACCAGGUCAAGUACUUACCAAAUAUAGUUACGGGCUUAGACACUAAUCCAACAUAAUGUACCAAAAAAAACUUUAAGGUCCAAAUGUAACAUCCCGGAAUUUCAAAAGGAAAAAGUGCAAGUUCAAAGGAGGGACUCGACGAGCAGGCACGCUUACUUGCGGAGUCGGAGCGAGAUUUUGUCACUAAUUAAGUGACCAACUCGCCGAGUCAGAAGCUUGGACUCGAUGAGUUGGUGCUGAAGGGAAAAAACCCUAAUUCUGAGGGUUUUUCCCUAUAUAAAGUGUGUUAUGUCCCUUCCUCUGCCUCCAUAUCAUCAUUGAGAGCCUACAAACCCUAGAAAUCGAGUGGAACUCCAUUGAUAGAGAAAUUGGAGCUUUGGAGGGGAAAUGCUUGCUAGUAUCCUGGUAGAUAGGAUAGUGAUAUGCAUAUAUGCUUGUUAGCUUAUCCCUAGAGAAAGGGAAAGUUUAGUGAUGGUUAGUUCUGUUAGAUCAGCACUCUAGUAGUUGAGUAGUGGUUAUGAGUACAGACCGAUAUUUUGGUCUUGUCUUAUGUGCGCUAGUCGGAGGUUACCGGCGGGUUGUGUAUGUUGAGCAAUAGCAGAGGGUAUUCCAUCCCGGCAGGAUGAUAGGGCCCUAGUAUGUUGGUUCUGUAGAAUGUUAUGUGGUUGCCUGUUAUGUAGGCAUUCCAACCCGAUGGUUGAGGGGCCUGGGGUAUUCCAUCCUGAGGGAUGAUUGGACCCAUAGUAAUAGUUAUUGUAUGUAUAGGAAGUGGGGCAUUCCAACCUGAUGGUUGUGGCCCAGGAGUAUUCCAUCUCGGUAGGAUGAUUGGACUCGUAGUAUGUUGGCAUUCCAACCCGAUGGUUGAGGGGCCUGGGGUAUUCCAUCCUGAGGGAUGAUUGGACCCAUAGUAAUAGUUAUUGUAUGUAUAGGAAGUGGGGCAUUCCAACCUGAUGGUUGUGGCCCAGGAGUAUUCCAUCUCGGUAGGAUGAUUGGACUCGUAGUAUGUUGGCAUUCCAACCCGAUGGUUGAGGGGCCUGGGGUAUUCCAUCCUGAGGGAUGAUUGGACCCAUAGUAUGUUGUUCUUUGCUGUAUACGUAUGUUUAUGUGUGUAUCGGUACCUUGGGGGAACUCAUUAAGCUUUCGGGCUUACAGUUGUGGUUUAUUGUUUCAGGUACUUCAGGUGAUCGUGGCAAGGCGAAGACGUGAUCAUACCACUCCUCAUGUUUUAUGUUUUAUGAUAUGGUUCUGGGAAAUACUCUGAUGUUUAAACUAUUUUGAAAACAAGUUGUAGUAAUUUAAUGAUGUUUUUAAAUGAAAUGACAUGUUUUAAAUUGGCUCAAAUUUUAUUAUCGUUACACCAAAUUCGCCAAAUUAUGACAAGUUUCAUGUGCUAUAGUGACAUUAUCCCAAUUCUAAUCACUUUGAAUGAAAUGAAAUGUUUUAAAUUGGCUCAAAUUUUAUGGUCGUUACAAGUUGGUAUUAGAACCUUGGUUUGAGUGAAUUGGAGGAACAUUCGUGUGAAUCCAGUCUCAAAUCAAGGAGAGAUUUUCAAAAAGGAUUUUCAAAUGGCUUUCAAAAUAAGAAAAAAAAAAAAGAGGACGCAGAGGGUACGAUCAACCAGAGCCAGUAAGUUACCCAAAAUUACCAUACAAGUUAUUUGUUUAUGUGAUAUGUUAGAACAACAUGCUAGUACUAGGCUAGGGAUCUUCAGCAAUUGCAUGAUAGAAUUGCCUGAUUACAUGAUGCCUGCUAGCCUAGGGUUUCCUUUGUAUGAAAUUGACAUCAUUACUGUAGAUGUUUAGUGUAUGCAUCACGGUUAUACAUAAUUAAGAUCUUAUAGCGUGGGAAUAUUUGAUUUGGCCUUAUGUUUCGUUCUUGUUUGAUUGGGAGCUUAGGGUAGAAUUGAAUAUUCGAAAGUCUAUAGGGUCCAACAUUAUGUAUGAUUAGCAUAUACUAGUGCUGCAGGGGUUGGUGGAAGUUUCAUGGUUGGGUGACUUGUGGGACCGGUAGGUCAGUAUGAGAUAUUCAAUAUUCCUCUAGUGUUGAGGAUUGAGUGCUUGCUAUGUAUGUUUGUGCUUAGGGCAUUGUGGUGAUACUUGAGACAAAUAUGGGUAGGCGUGGAAGGUAGUAUGGGCCCAUACUACUGAAAGCACAGGACCCAUACGUAUGUCAAGGAAGUCACAACCCCUAGGUUGUUUGGUUAGAGGUUAGUUCACGGUGGUUAUGCGAAGUAUCUGAGGAUCUUAUUGGUGCUUGUCAUUUAGUAUGGCGAUUACGAGGCGUAUCGGGGAAGGAUCCGGUUCGGGAUCGGGACCAGGAGAGGGUGGUCAGGAUGGCUUAGCACCGCCCGAGGUCGUUGGUUAAAUGAGUACGAAUGAGUUGGAUGCCAGGAUUUGUGAGAUCCUACAUGAUGAGGUUGCUGUUAUGUUCUAGGCUGAGUUGCCAGAACUGUUUGGGUCGAUCAAGACCACCAUGGUCGAGUAUUUUGAUGAGCGCUAUGCGGCUCUCAUAGAGACAGCAGCCGCGNGGCGGCUGUAGCAACGGCAGGGGGAGGAGCUAGUCGAGGCUUUUAGUAUCGGGACUUCGAUAAUACGAAGUCCCCUACUUUUGAUGGGGUUCAACAUCCGAUCAUUGCUAUGUGAUGGUUGUCAGAUGUGGAGGGAUGUUUCUUCACAUGUUCAUGCCCUGCUAAUCAGAGGGUGGGGUGUGCCCUGAACCUGUUGAGGCUCGGGGCGAAGGAUUGGUGGAGGUUGACCAUGGGAUCGUAUUCUGACGCGCAGAGGGCUGCGGUUUCUUGGGAUCAGUUUCGAGAUAUGUUCAGUACUCGUUAUGUUCCGCGGGUGGAGCGGGAGAGAUUGGCUCAGGAGUUUUUGGAGUUGAAGUAGGAUUCUGAGUCGGUGACAGAGAUCACCAAGAUGUUUACUGAGAGGGCGAUGCUUUGCCCGGAGUUUUCUUCGGAGCAAGCUCAGAUGUCCCGAUAUGAUACCUUAUUGGAUUUGCAGGAGGCCGCCAGGCGGCGCAAGUUAGAGAUCGAGCUCCAACUAAGGUAGCAGAGGCAGGCCUCGGUGCAGUCGCAGCCUGCACCGAAGCGGAUGAGGGCCGAUGAUUAUAGCCAGGGAGGNGCAGGCCUCGGUGCAGUCGCAGCCUGCACCGAAGCGGAUGAGGGCCGCUGAUUAUAGCCAGGGAGAUCCAAGGAGUCACACUUGCGGGAAGUGCGGUAAGGUGCACGAGGGAAGUUUUCGUUCUUCUUCAGGGUGCCACAAGUGUGGCAAGGAAGGCCACAUAGCCAGGGAUUACAGGCAGUCAACUCCAGCGGCAGGAGUCCGACUUUGUUUUCAUUGUGAUCAGGUGGGCCAUAUGAAGGCCUAGUGUCCUCUGCCGGCUGCUAGGUCAGUGUAGGCCCCAACGCCAGCCACUUUGAGACUUACUGACGGAAGUCAAGGUCGAGCAGAGCCUCCAAAGGCUCCAGGACGUGCUUAUCAGCUUUUGACUAAGGAGACCAGGUCAGCGCCAGAAGUGUCAACCGGUAUGUUUUCUGCCUUAUCUUAUCUAUGUUAUGAUUAUGUGUUGUUGCUUCUUGCAUGGGAUAUAAAGUAUUGUAUGUGUUAGAGGAGAGUUGGUAUUGAGGGUUAUUAGAGGGUUAUCAUCCGGUGUGGAUGCGUGAGAAGGGGGGUCGUGAUUCGGGAAUUUGGAAGCUUUCAGCAGGAGCUUAGGUUCUUUGAGGUUCGGUGUACUGGUUUGCUUAGAUUGAGCAGUGUGUUAGCUUUGCCGCCAGGGAUGGUGGUUAGUGCUCCAAGUGGGGGAGAAUUUGAAAUUUUCGGAUGAGCCGUUAGUUGUGGAAUGAUGCCUGACGCGAUUUAAAUGUUGGUUAUUGGAGUGGUGCAAUGAGGCGGUCCAGCUAUAGUAAGGGCUUGGCAUGUAUUGUAGAUCUUGGAGCAAGUAGGGAGGAUGCUGCUAUGUGAUAGCGGCUGGUGGGGGUUGUCCCCGAAUGGUGGAACUACUGAAGAAGUGCAACAAUCUAUGUAUGGAUUGCUGGUCAUGUGAUCAGUCUCGGGGUACGUAUGCAUGUUAUGAGCUAGCAGUGUGGGCCGCUAAGGGGUGAUGUAUAGUGAGGUUCUAUCGUUAUGGCAAUGCAGAUGAUGCGUAAGUAUGUUUUUAGUCUCCUUGGAAGAGGAGGAGGAUAGUGGUUCCAUAUUCGAGGUUCGGAUAGAGGAAAUUGAGAUGGCAGGUCGAUAGACCCGUGAGUGGUCUGGACUGGUAUUGAGGAUUGUGUAAGGAAAUUCCAAUAGAAGGUUGAGGACCUAGAGAUAGUGAUGAGAAGUGGUGCGUGGGUUACGCUCAGUUGUGUCGAACUGAAGGGUUCGAGGGUGACUCAAGGACAAGUCCCUUGGUUCCGAGUGUGGUUGUAGGGUUGAGUUAUGUGUAUGGAGGUAUUCCAAUAUGGGGGAUUACAUCAUGAGGAUGAACGGACCAUAUGAUUGAUUGGACCUGGUGCGUUUGGCAUUCCAACCUGAGGGUUGAUUAAGCCAAACAUACAUGAGGAUGCGAGGGUAUACCAUCUUGGGGAUGACUGGACCCGUUAGUGGUGUGCCUAGUAUUCCAGCCCGAGGCUGAUUGGGCCAGGUACGAGUGGUUACACGAUACGUUAGGAUGAUGGGUUAUGGGAGCUACAGGAUGCAGUAUCCUGUCAGCGCGUAAGAUAUAGAAUUAGAAGGGAAAUCAGGGUUUGUUCUAGGAUUGGAAGUUAUCUGGGUUUUCGCCAAUUUUGGGCGAAGGGAGAUGGAUCAGUGUCUCAGCAAAGCUCAGUAGGUGAUUAUAGUAUCUAGCGUUCGCAGGACACAAAGGCGUGUUCCUUAUAUGAAUAGAUGGUAUCAUUGGGUGAUACGUGGUUGAUAGGUUGUGCUACUAAGUUGAAGGGCCAAUGGUCGGCUUGGAGUAGUGGCAAGGAUGCCAUGCGAGAAUGAUUCAUUUUAAGAGAAAAGUAGUAGUAGGGUUGCAAGAACCUGCAUUAAUAGAGAAUUUGGAGUCUGCAGUGCCAAGGGUUUGUUUUGAAGUGUAUGUUACAGCAAGCUUCGAGCACGAAGCCUAAUUUAAGUGUGGGAGAGUUGUAACAUCCCGGAAUUUCAAAAGGCAAAAGUCCAAGUUCAAAGGAGGGACUCAACGAGUAGGCACGCUUACUCGCUGAUUCGGAGCGAGAUUUUGUCGCGAAUUAAGUGACCAACUCGCCGAGUCGGAAGGUUAGACUCGAUGAGUUGGUGCUGAAGGGAGCGAACCCUAAUCCCGGGGGUUGUGCCCUAUAUAAAGUGUGUUAUGUCCCUUCCUCUGCCUCCAUACAAACCCUAGAAAUUGAGUGGAAGUCCAUUGAUAGAGAAAUUAGAUCUUUGGAGGGGAAAUCUUGAAAAGGGAACUUGAAGACCAAGGGGAUUACAGUAUGGGAGUGGUAUAGAUCCGAGAUCUACUUCAGUGGGAGCUUUCAUUUGAGGUAAUAAUCUGUUGCUUGGGCUAUUGUGCUUCUAGAUUUAUUGUUAUUGGAGAUUUGGGACAUUUUUGGGGAUGAAUGAGACCUAUUUGGAGUUUGGAGUUAGAUCUGAGGUUGCUACCUCAGAUCUAGGCAGGUAAUGGUCUAGAAUGUCAUAAAGUUUCAGUCUUUGAAUGAUUAGUGAAGCCCCUUUGACAUAACCCUAGCUAUUGUGUGUUUUGGGCCUAUAUCUUUUUGCUUUCAUGUAAAGUUUGCAACUUUACAUGUGAGGCAUGCUCUAGGAGAGUGGAUCUACAAUUUGGAGCCCCUGCAUGGCUCGAAUAGCCUCUAAAUGGAUUGAGAACUGGAGAUACUCGGCGAGUCACAUGGGUGUACUCGACGAGUUGUAUGAAUAUGUGCAUGGACUCAGCGAGUUGGAAGAGCAACUCGGCGAGUAUGUUGAAGAUUACGUUGGACUCGGCGAGUCUGUUCUUGGACUCGGCGAGUCUGGUCGCGGAACCCCAACCUCUUUUGGGUUAAGCCUUGAAUCAGUGAGUCUUGGGGUGACUCGGCGAGUUGAGUCAUGUUCUAAUAGUUUUCAGGGCAUAAGGAUUCGACGAGUCGACGGGUCGACUCGGCGAGUAGAGUCAAUCAGGGAGUUGACAUUGGCUUGGACUUUGACUUUGACUUUGAGGGUGUUAUGGUAAUUGGUUAUUGAUGUCAAUGGUCCAUGGAUGGUGAUAGGUGUUGGAGUUUGGAGCAGUGCUUCGGGUGCGUGUUUUCGUGGUUUGGUUCUUCAUUCAGGUGAGUUAUCCUCAAUGUACCAAGGGUCUAAGGCACCAAGGCCGGCCCUUUGAUUUGUUGUUUAGAGUUGUUUAUGUUUAUGUGAUGAAAUGCUUGCUAGUAUCCUGGUAGAUAGGAUAGUGAUAUGCGGAUAUGCUUGUUAGCUUAGCCCUAGAGAAAGGGACAGUUUAGUAAUGGUUAGUUCUGUUGGAUCAGCACUCUCGUAGUUGAGUAGUGGUUAUGAGUACAGACCGGUAUUUUUGUCUUGUAUUAUGUGCGCUAGUCGGAGGUUACUGGCGGGUUAUGUAUGUUGAGAAAUAGUAGAGGGUAUUCCAUCCCGGGAGGAUGAUAGGGCCCUAGUAUGUUGGUUCUGUAGAAUGUUAUGUGGUUGCUUGUUAUGUGUAUAUGUUUGCUAGAGUAGUUGGCAUUCCAACCCGAUGGUUGAGGGGCCUGGGGUAUUCCAUCCCGAGGGAUGAUUGGACCCAAAAUAAUAGUUAUUAUAUGUAUAGGAAGUAGGGCAUUCCAACCCGAUGGUUGUGGGCCAGGAGUAUUCCAUCCCAGUAGGAUGAUUGAACUCGUAGUAUGUUGGCAUUCCAACCCGAUGGUUGAGGGGCCUGGGGUAUUCCAUCCCGAGGGAUGAUUGGACCCAUAGUAGUUAUUGUUGUGUGUAUAGGAGGGUGGGCAUUCCAACCCGAUGGUUGUGAGCCGAGAGUAUUCCAUCCAGGUAGGAUGAUUGGACACGUAGUAUGUUGGCAUUCCAACCCGAUGGUUGAGGGGCCUGGGGUAUUCCAUCCCGAGGGAUGAUUGGACCCAUAGUAUGUUGUUCUUUGUUGUAUACGUAUGUUUACGUGUGUAUUGGUACCGUGGGGGAACUCACUAAGCUUUCAGGCUUACAGUUGUGGUUUAUUGUUUCAGGUACUUUAGGAGAUCGUGGCAACGCGAAGGUGUGAUCGUACCGCUCCUCAUGUUUUAUGUUUUAUGAUAUGGUUAUGAGAAGUACUCUGAUGUUUAAACUAUUUUGAAAACAAGUUGUAGUAAUUUAAUGAUGUUUUUAAAUGAAAUGAAAUGUUUUAAAUUGGCUCAAAUUUUAUUAUCGUUACACCAAAUUCGCCAAAUUAUGACAAGUUUCAUGUGCUAUAGUGACAUUAUCCCAAUUCUAAUCACUUUGAUUGAAUCCUUUUAAAUGAAUGACACAUGCUUAGUUGUUUUAGUCUGCUCUUCUUAAUUUAAGCUAUAUAUCAUGGGGGUUUGGCAUCAUAUAUCAAGACUCCAAGAGAACUGUAAGCAAAUUCAAACACAAGAAAAUAUGUUUUCUUAAUUAAUUAAGGGGUAUAUUUGAAAAUUAAUUUCUUUUAAAUAACUAGUCUAAAUAGUUUUUGAAAACCCUAGCUUAUAAGCUACUUUUUGACUUGCCAAACAUGACAACUUAAAAAAGAUCAAAAAAUAAACUAGUUUAUCAGCUAGCUGUGGUGUGCCAAACAGAGCCUUAAUUAUUAAGACUUUGAUUAUUACUAAUCUUUUUUUGUAAUAAUGACAAAAAAAUUGUUAUGUAACAUUUCAAUUGAAAUCGUAGUUGUGGUGAAUGGAUGACUAAAAUGAAAAGAUGAAAUAAUGAAACUAUCUAACUAGAUACCAAUAUAAAUUGUAGAAGAGUUAGAUGAAAUGAUAAAACUAUUAAAAAUAGGGGCCUAAUGUGGAAAAAAUUAAAACCUUAUUACCUCUCUUUAAACUAUUAUAACAACCAUAUUGGUGUAAUACGUAUAAAAAAAACGCUAGGGACCUAAUGUGAACAAAAUUAAAACUUGAUUACCUUUUUUUAAAUGGUUAUAACAACCAUAUUGGACUAAUAUGUACCAAAAAAAACCUUAAGGACCUAAUGUGGACAAAAAUAAAACUUUAUUAUCCUCCUAGGUCAUUAAACCUAUGAUUAGCUGUAUCCACAUAUUAUAUGGAUUUAAUUAAAAAAAAUUAAAUAUGAAGUUCUAAAUAUCUAAGAGUUUUAGAUUUAUAAGAAAAUAAAAAAUAAAUAAUGAAUUAUUAAAAUUUAAAUGUCAUUUUUACAUUUUAAAUUUUAACAAAUAAUUUAGAUAAAUAAACAAAGGAAACUAAUGGAGUUUUAAUUUAGGAAUUUUGAAAUUAUAAGGCAACUUUAUUAAUGAAAUUGAUAUCUAUUUAUUAUUACAUUUAUUGAAAUUAUUAUAGUUAAAUACUAUGUGGAAUUAAUAAAAUAGAAAAAACCAUAAAAUAACAUGUAGAAAAAAUAAUAAUUUAAAUAACCACAAAAUUAAAUUUGGAAAAAUAAAUGAGAAUGUGACACAUGACAAACAUCUUUAUUUGUUAGGGUUGAUAUACAAAAAAACACACGCACACACACACGAUAUUAAGAGCGUGUUAGGCAAAACUAGCUGGUAGCAGGUAGCUUGUAGUUUGUAGCGUUUUAUUAAACGCUACAUGAAGUAGCUUUUAGAUUUGGAGCGUUUUGUUUAAGUUAAACAAUAGAAGCUUGUAGUGCCAAAUAAGGUUUUCUAUUCAAAACGGAGCAUUUUUCAAAUGCUAGAAACUAGGGGUGAGCAUAUUAACCGAAAAUCUGAACCAUAACCAAAUUAAAAAUAUAUAACAGAACCAUUACUAAAAGAUAUGGUGCGGCUUCUAAUUUUGAUUAACCGGAUACAUAUAGUUUUGUCUUUUGAAGUCUUUAUUCCUCAACUUUGACAUUAAUUAUUUUUGUUUUUGAUAUAUAAUACUUGAUACAAAAUAUAUGAGUAGACUGUAUUUUAAAUGUCUUUUCAUUGUUAUAAGUUUCAUAAAAUAAUUUAUAACACAAUAAAAAUAUUUAAGGUAAAAGUUGAAGAAUAAAGACUUUAAAAGUAAAAAAUGGAUAACAAAUAUGGGACAUAGUUGGUAUAUUGUAUGCAACUAUAUUAAGAAUUUGAAAUUUAAAGGGAAAUUAUCUGGAAUUAGAUAUGAUAAGUAAUCUUUUGUCAAUAUAAUUAUAUAUACACAAUCAUUCACUUUUUAUAGCAAUGGACUUUAUGAUUUUCAAUUUUUAUAGAAAAGUAUUUUUAUUUUUACAUCAUCUUGGACCAUUAUGGUUAACUGAUAAUAACCAUUAACCAACUAAAUUCGUUAACCAAAACCAAUAUUAACAGCUACCCAAUGGUUAUUAAAAUACAUUAACCAAUUAUAAUAGUUAUGGUUCGGUUUUAACCAAUAACCAAAGCAAACCACCCCCUACACACCCAUACUAGAAACUAGAAGCUCCCAAACGCUCCGUUUUUCUUCUUCUACUGUCAUCUUCAAUGUCGAUUUCUCAAGAUAGCAUGUUCUCUAUGAACACACUCCAUACAUGAUCCUUAUCAAGCUAUGUUCCAUAAACUAUCUCUCUUAUCAUAAAUUAUCGGAUCACAAUAAUCGAACCUCAUAAGCACCACCGGCUACCAUCACUGUAGACGGAAAAGAUGUUUCCAAUCCUGCCUAUUCCACUUGGUUUGACCUUGAUCAAAAAGCUAUCAUCAUCCUUAACUCCUCUCUUACUGAAUAGGCAAUGACUAAAGUUCUAGGGCUUAUAACAACUCGAUACAUAUGGGUUACAUUAGAGACUGCUUACAAAAAUUCUUCAGUUGUACGAAUUCAUUCCCUCAGAGACUCUCCCAGACGGAUUUCUAAAGGUACAUCUUUUGUAUCUGACUAUGUUCGAAAAUUUUAGAGUAUAUGUGACAAGCUUGCUGCUAUAGGUGUAACGCCCGAUGGUUCCAAGGUAUUAUUCUUUUUAAUCAUUUAUUUAAUUAUUUUUAAUCAUGUAAGUUAUUGUUGGGCUUAGAGGAUUGGGCCAUCAUGAGUAGGCUUCGUUGAGGUCGUAUGCUAGGAGUAAGCCUUGUGUACACGGGGCAUAGAAAGAUCAAAAAGAUCGUGGAGUCAUGCAGUACACACAACAUACAAGGUAGUACACGCAAUGUACGUGGCCAGACCCCAAAAACCAUAAUUUUAGGGUGCCAGCCCUGUAUAAUGUCAUUAAGCCCCAUGUGUUAGCUCCCUAUCAGCCUCCUCUUUCCAGAAACCCUAAAAUGGAGUCUUAUCUUCCAUUUUUUUAGUGUGUGAGCUUUUGGAGAGCUUUUAGUGUUCAUUUUUGUGCAUGUUGAAGGAGUUGAAGAAGCUAGAAGUUGCUUAGCCUGAAGAGGAGGUCUUGGAUCCAAACCCUCUACCCAUUUUGCAAGAAGUUUGAGGUAUCAAGCUCUUAUCUUGAUUGCUAGAUGCUAAGAUCUCCUUUUUGGUUAAAUAGUUAUGUUUUUAGCCAUGGUUUGGUUGAAUGUUGGGAUUUAGACAUCCCAAGGGCUUAAUCUUUCAAAUCCAAGGUCUUCAUGGACUCCUUUGACAUAAAGGUUCCAACUUUAUGGAAUCUCGGGGCUUCAUGCAUCCAUUAAGUCCUUCAUUAAGUCCUUUUUGAGCUUUAUAGCUUCUUAUGGUCAUGCAAUGACGUAAAGUUAGCAACUUUACGUGGUAUCUCAACUUAAAGGGGUCAGAUCUACAUCCUGGAGCAAGGUCUUAACAGGUUAGGAGAUUAAUAUUGAAGUUGGCAGAAUUUGUUGGGUAUGCUGGGCAUACACACCUCUAUGCAUAGCGUAUAAGUUAUAGAGCCAAUACGAUUAGUGUGGAAGCUGAGUACGCCCAUGCGUACUCAGUCUGAUAGUAUUUUAUUGUUGGGCUUUCGGUUUGGGCCUCGUUUUGGGCUUAUAAGGUUAGGGUUAAGUUGGGUCUUCUGACUUUGGGAGUUUUGGGCUAGGAAUAUCCUUGGGCCUUGGGCUAAGGCCCAUGUGAAAGGAUUGGUUCCAAAUGGAAAUUGGGCCAUAUUUUGGGCCUUGAUGGAUUGUUUAACUUUUGGUCCAAUUGGAUUGAGGUUAUGGACUUCAUUAUUAGACCAAGUUAGGAUAGGGGUAAAAUGGUCUUUUUACCCCAAAUAGAGACGUUUAGUUGUGCUGUAGAUCCCAAAUGUUAAUUAGUUUUUAUGUGGCAAUUGAUAGCUUGGGGAGUGGUAGAACCAGCAGUCAAGGAUCUUUCAUUGCAUUCAACUUUCCGAGGUAAGUUUCCUCACUGGGUUUAGCGGGUCGAAGGCAACAAUGCUAACCCAUGAUUAUGUUAUGUUAGUAUGCUAGCUAUCUACAUGACUCUUGCGUGUGUUAUGAGUUGAUAUGAUUAGUGGGUAGGGCCCGAUGUCGAGCGGGACCCGAUGAUGUUUUGUAUGCUAUGUAUCUUUUUGAUUAUUGCAUGUGUAUAUGUUUAUUUGAUAUAUGUUAUAACUUAUAUGUAUGUUAGGUGGGGACCAAUCUAUUAUCAAGCAGGGCCCGAUGCUGGACGGGGUCCGAUGCCGGGCGGGGCCUGACGAUAGGGCGGGGCCCAUUAUGUGUUUAUUGUAUGCAUGGUAUAUGGUAUGUUGUGGAACUCACUAAGCUUUGUGCUUACGAUUUUUAUUUGAUGUUUCAGGUACUUCUGGUUCCAAGGGGAAGGGCUCGGGUUAACUGCAUCGCACACACCAUUUGGAAUAUGUUUGUGGGACAUACUCUGAUUUUCAUGGUGUUUGACAUAUUUAUUCUUCUGGUUGUAUGAAUAGUAUUUUGGAAUACAGUUUUUACUUAAUGUGCUGAUCGUGCGGGAUUAUCCAGAUGUGUUCCCUGAGGAUUUGCCAGGGGUACCUCCAGAGAGACAGAUGGAGUUCAAGAUUGAUUUGGCUCCAUGUGUAGCUCCGAUAGCCAAGGCACCGUAUCGGAUGGCUCCUCCCGAGAUGAAGGAGUCAUCUAGACAGCCACAUGAGCUGUUAGAUAAGGGAUUUAUAAGAGCGAUCGGUUCGCCUUGGGGAUCCCCAAUUUUGUUUGUGAAGAAGAAGGACGGGUCUCAUCGGAUGUGUAUUAACUAUCGGAAGUUGAAUAAGGUAAUGGUGAAGAAGAGUUAUCCCCUCCUGAGGAUUGAUGAUCUUUUCGACCAACUUCAGGGUACAUCUUGGUUCUUCAAGAUAGAUUUGCGAUCGGCUUAUCAUUAGAUGCGGGUCCGUGAUAAGGAUGUGCAGAAGAUGACUUUCCGGACUCGAUAUGGUCAUUAUGAGUUCGUGGUGAUGCCUUUUGGGCUCACCAAUUCACCAGCCGCAUUCAUGGAUCUCAUGAACUGUGUGUCCAAACUGAUGCUGGAUCGACUUAUGAUAGUAUUCAUCGAUAAUAUUAUGGUUUAUUCCAAGACCUAGGAGCAGCAUAAGGAGCACUUGAGGGAGGUGCUGGAGACUUUGAGGAGGGAGAGACUUUCGCAAAGUUCUCCAAGUGUGAGUUCUGGUUGCACGAGGUGUAGUUUAUGAGUACAUUAGCAACCAGAAGGGUAUUCUAGUCGAUCUGGCCAAGGUCAAGGUCGUGAUGCAGUGGGAGGUUCCGAAGUCUCCAUCUCCGAUUCAAAUCUUUCUUGUCUUGGCUGGGUAUUAUCGGAGAUUCAUUUAGGAUUUCUCCAAGAUCAUUGUUCCAUUGACCUGACUGACCAAGAAGUCAGUGAUUUUUCGCUGGGGGCCUGAGUAGCAGGCAGAUUUUGAAACCCUUAGACAUCGGUUGUGUGAGGUGUCAAUUCUGACCCUACCGGAGGGUGUUGAUGACUUUGUGGUUUAUUGUGAUGCAUCGAUCACAUGUUUGGGGGCAGUAUUGAUGCAACGUGGUCGCGUGAUCUCUUACGCUUCGAGGUAGUUGAAGCCUCAUGAGGCGAAUUAUCUAACGCAUGAUUUGGAGCUGGCGGCCAUUAUUUUUGCCCUCAAGAUUUGGCGGCAUUACCUCUAUGGGGUACGUUGUACCAUCUACAUAGAUCAUAAGAGCCUGAGGUACUUGAUGGAUCAACUGAAUCUGAAUAUGAGGCAACAUCAAUGGUUGGAUGUGAUGAAGGAUUAUGAUUGUGAGAUCUUGUACCACCCGGAGAAGGCCAAUAUGGUGGUCGAUGCUCUCACCCAUGAGGCGGUUGCGGCUCCGAUCAAAGACCUAUGUUUGAGGAUGACCAUGUUCACUUCAUUAUUGGAGCGGAUUCAUGAAGCACAGGUUGAGGCUAUGAAGGAAGAGCAGAGGAAAAGCGAGUGGAUUGUGGGCCAGGCGGCUUCCUUUGAUUAUGACAGUCAUGGAUUGUUGACUCUACAUCGAAGGGUCUAGGUUCCGUAUUGGGGCGUUGCACGCCAAGUUCUGAUGGGGGAGGCUCACAAGUCGAGAUUCUGCAUUUAUCACGGGCCGAUGAAGAUGUAUAUGGAUCUUCGUCUUGAUUAUUGGUAGCCCUGCAUGAAGCAGGAUGUAGCAUUGUACAUGGAAUGGUGCUUGACUUGCAGGAAAGUCAAGGCCGAGCAUUAGCAACCUCACGACAAGAUGUAGCCGUUGGAGAUUCUCGUAUGGAAAUGGGAAGACAUCACUAUGGAUUUUAUCACAAAGCUUCCUAGGACUGCAUGCGGAGUGGAUUCUAUCUGAGUCAUCAUGGAUCGAUUGACCAAGAGCAUGCAUUUCAUUCAAUCCAGGAGAGUAUUUCUACAUAGAAAUUGGCCGAGAUUUAUAUCUGGGAGGUGGUGGCACGUCAUGGAGUUGGGAUACGUUUUACUUCCAAGUUUUGGAAGUGGUUUCAUGAUGAGAUGGGCACUCGUAUCCAUUUCAGUACAUCAUUUCACCCGCAGACCAAUGGUCAGUGUGAGUGGACUACUUAGACUCUUGAGGAUAUAAUGCGUGCAUGCGUGUUGGAUUUUGGUGGGAGUUAGGAUACGUAUCUUCCGUUAGCGGAAUCUUCGUAUAACAACAAUUAUCACGCUAGCAUCGAUCGACCUCAUUUUGAGAUGCUCUACGAGAGGAAAUGCAAGACCCUGAUCUGUUGGGGUGAGGUCGGUCAACGAGUUAUGGGGAGUACCGAGGAGGUGCUCAAUACCACUUAGCUGAUUCAGGAUGUUCGGAGCAGGAUCCAGACAACUCAGAGUCAGCAGAAUAGCUAUGCGGCAGGCUUUGGUCAGAUUUGGUAUUCUAGGUAGGAGACACGGUUCUCCUGAAGGUGUCACCUUGGAAAGAUGUCAUUCGGUUUAGGAAGCGGGGCAAGCUGGCCCCAGGUAUAUUGGUCCCUUCAGGGUUUUGGAUCGGGUGGGAUAGGUUACAUAUCGUCUUGAUCUUCCAGGUGAGCUUAGUCAAAUUCAUAGCAUAAGUCAUGUCUCCCAGCUGCAGAAGUGUUUAGCAGAUGAUUCCGCAGUUUUACCUUUGAUGAUAUUCAGGUGGAUGACUGCUUGAAUUAUAUUGAGAGACCGGUGGCAAUUUUAGAUCGGAAGAUGGAACCCUUGAGGAACAUGGUUAUGGAGUCGGUUAAGGUGCAAUGGCUGCACCACAAGGGGUCUGAGUGGAAUUAGGAGCCUGGAGAGGAGAUGAGGGAGCACUAUCUAGAUUUUUUUGGGACAACAGACUUCGAGGAUGAAGUCUUAUCCAAGUAGGGAAGAACUGUAACGCCUGAUGGUUCCAAGGUAUUAUUGAUUUUAAUCAUUUAUUUAAUUAUUUUUAAUCAUGUAAGUUAUUUUUGGGCUUAGAGAAUUGGGCCAUCAUGAGUGGGCUUCACCUAGGCCGUACGUUGGGCGUAAUCCUGGUGUAUGCGGGGUCUAGAAGGAUUACAAGGAUCGCGAAGCCAUGCACGUACAUGCAACGUACAAGGUGGUAUGUGCAACGUACGUGGCCAGACCCCAAAAAACCUAAUUUUACGGUGCAAUCCCUAUAUAAUGCAUUAAGUCCCAUGUGUUGGCCUCCCUAUCAGCCUCCGCUGUCUAGAAACAAUAAAAUCGAGUCUUAUCUUCCGUUGUUGAGUGUGUGAGCUUUUGGUGUUCGUUUUUGUGCAUGUUGAAGGAGUUGAAGAUGCUAGAAGUUCCUUAGCCUGAAGAGGAGGUCUUGGAUCCAAAACCUCUACCCAUUUUGCAAGAAGUUUGAGGUAUCAAGCUCUUAUCUUGAUUGAUAGAUGCUCAAAUCUCCAUUUUGGUUAAAUAGUUAUGUUUUUAGCCAUGGUUUGGUUGAAUGUUGGGAUUUAGACGUCCCAAGGGCUUAAUCUUUUAGAUCCAAGGUCAUCAUGGACUCCAUUAAGUCCGUUUUGAGCUUUAGAGCUUCUUAUGGUCAUGCAUAGAUGUAAAGUUAGCAACUUUAUGUGGUAUCUCGGCUUAAAGGGGUUAGAUCCACAUCUUGGAGCAAAGUCUUAACGGGUUAGGAGCUUAAUAUUGAAGUUGGCGGAAUUGGUUGGGUACAUUGGGCGUACAAGCUUGUAUGCGCAAUGGACAAGUCCUUGUGCCAGUACGCUUAGCGUACAAGCCGAGUACGCCUCACAUACUCUGUCUGAUGGCAUUUUGUUGUUGGGCUUUCGGUUUGGUCCUCAUUUUGGGCUUAUAAGGUUAGUGUUAAGUUAGGUCUUCUAACUUUGGGAGUUUUGGGCCAGGAAUAUCUUUGGGCCUUGGGCUAACACCCAUGUGAAAUGAUUAAGCCCAAAUGGAAAUUGGGCCAUAUUUUGGGCCUUGAUGGAUUGUUUAACUUUUGGGCCCAUUAGAUGAAGGUUAUGGAUUUCAUUAGUGGACCAAGUUAGGAUAGGGUAAAAUGGGUUUUUUACCCAAAAUAGAUAGCUUUGGUUAUGAUGUGGAUCCCAAAUGUUAAUUAGUUUUUAUGUGGCAAUUGAUACCUCAGGGAGCUGUAGGACCAGCAGUUAGGGAUCUUUCAUUGCAUUCAACUUUCCGAGGUGAGUUUCUUCACUGGGUUUAGCGGGUCAAAGGCACCAAUGCUGACCCAUGAUUACUUGAUGUUAGUAUGCUAGCUUUCUGCGUGACUCUUGCACGUGUUAUGUGUUUAUAUGAUUACCGGGCAGGUCCCAAUGCCGGGCGGAGCCCGAUGACGUUUUGUAUGUUGUGUAUCUUUGUGAUUAUUGCAUGUGUAUAUGUUUAUUUGAUAUAUGUUAUAUGUAUGUUGGGUGUGGACCGAUCUAUUACUGAGCGGGGCUCGAUGUCGGACAGGGUCUGAUGCUGGUCGGGGCUCGAUGCCGGACAGUGGCCGAUGCUGGGCAAGGCCCAUUAUGUGUUUAUUGUAUGUAUGGUAUGUGGUAUGUUGGGGAACCCAUUAAGCUUUGUGCUUCCAAUUUUUAUUUUAUGUUUCAGGUACUUAUGGUUCCAAGGAGAAGGGCUAGGGUUGACUGUGUCGCACAUACCAUUUGGAAUCUGUUUAUGGGACAUAUUCUGAUUUUCAUGAUGUUUGACAUAUUUAUUCUACUGGUUGUAUGAAUAGUGUUUUGGAAUAUAGUUUUUACUUAAAUUAAAAAUGAACUUUUUGGGUUAUAAUUUUUUGAGGUUACAAUUGGGCAGUCUGCUAUGAAAUCAAUAACGUCAACUAGUUCUAUGUGGGUUCAAUCCUUGCUGUGAAACCUCUUCUACAACUAUACGCACCACCAAGCGAGCUCUUGCCCUCCGUAACUUACUCUUUCAAGCUGAAAAUCAUGAAAUGAUUCUUUAAUCUAUUUAAGGUACCACUACUGUUGCUACUUUUGAUUCUCAAAAAUCUUGAAACAACUCUCCUAGAGGCUGACAACCCUCAUACAACCAAGGGGGUGGUACUCGUGGUAGCUCUAAUGGUGGCAUGGCAGGGGUCGUGGGGGUACGUAGGCAUCCUCCACAUUAUUGGUUGUGUAGAACUAAUGGACACUGUCACACCCCGAAAACCAAGGCGGAAAUAUUUCUGGGGCGGACUCCACGUUGUGUAUCAAAUCCAAUGCACAUAGUAAGCAAAGUAAACAACCAUUACAUUACAUAUAGAAAUUUACAUUUGUUCAAAAGUAAAGUUGUACAAGUGAUGAUACAUAUAUAUAUAUAUAUACACACACACACACACAAAAGUAAGACGCGUCUUCUACGUACUCCGUCUUCGCCAAAAGGAUCAUCAGGUACCUAUCUAAUGUGGACCUGAGAAUACAAGCAGUUUAAAAAUCAGCAUAAAGCUGGUGAGUUCAUAAGCGGUUUUGUUUUCUGAAAAUGUACGAGUUUCCUUUUGGUUUCUGAAAAUGUUACGACCCAAGAAAUCCCAAAUUUUCUUAUAUGUAAAGUUUAGUUAUCUGUUAUGUUACACGGUUCUGGUUAUGUUCAAUUGUUAUCGCAGGAAAAUCCCAUAUGUUCCUAAUGUGAAAGAUGUAUACUGAAAACCUGGUUAUCCUUGUAAAGUGUAUGUUAGUUCACCAAUCCAAAAUGUAAUGUAAAAGAUGUACACUGAAAAUGUAUUAGUUUUAACACGUAUAUAAAACUAAUAACUACAAAGUAAACUAGUUACUGAAAUCCAUUACUACUAAAAAGUAAAUCUCUGUUAUCCAAAUUGCGAGUUCCAUAACCAUACGAUAUACUAAUUAUGGCAAUAAGUAGUCCAUCUCAGUUUAUGACUUUCGUCACACUUGAACCUUUCAGUUCGGCUGUAGCUAGCAACCAGGUGCGGGGUAGUCAGCCCCGUAUAGAUUUAUACACUCAAGUCACGCUCCUUAUCUAAGAGAUUCUGGUUACAGGGGCGGUCCUCCACUCGCGUAUCUCUGUGGAGUGUUCUCCAAGGACGUGUCUCCAAUUUAUAGGUAUAACAAAUUUACUAGUAAUAAUAUAGAAAGAUCAAAUGACUAUCCUCCACUCGCGUAUCUCUGUGGAGUGUUAUCGAGGACAAAACAAUGUUUUAAGUUAAUGUUCAAAGUUCAACGUUAUGCUUUUAACUGUUAUGAUGUGGGAAAACCAUUUGUGAAAAUAUAAAUUACAGCAAUUUAUAAUAUUUUUCACAAAUAAUACGAUAGUGUGUUCUGCAAGUUCAACGGUUAUCUAUUAUGAUUGUCAGUGUUAAAAGCAUAUGUAAAAUGAAACAAAACAUAUAUAAAACAAGUUUUGAGUACAAGUAUCCCUUGUACUUUUCUUGUAUUCCCCCCCCCUAAAAACAGUGAAAACAUUGAAAAUGGGUAGGGGUAUGAACUCACCGGACGAGAAAACGUGUCGGUUUGGAUGUUAUGUGUCGGUUCGGGGCUUGAUAAUGUGUGAGGUUCCUAUGUAAUAUGAAAUGGUAUACAAAUGUAUCUAAUUAGACUUUAAAUCGCUAAUUAGAUAUGAUUAUACACUCCAAUACGAAAAAAACACUUCAAUCAAGUGUUUAAAGUGACCCGGGUGACAUCUACGGACGUAUAGGGCUUUGGAAAAUGAGUUUGUUCUUCAAGAGUAAACUCCUUAGGGAGUUUAUGGCCCUAAGACUAUCACCACAUGAGUUCACAGCCGUGAACUCAUGAAUAUGCGGUAUUAUGGUGUCAAAUGGUCAAAUAACACUUGGGAAGGGUUGCUAUGAUUUAAUCUAAGGCAUAGGAAUGAGCUUUACCACCAAAGGGACCAUCAAAGGGAGUUUACGGCCCUAAACUAGGAUUUUAUGGCCGUAAGCUCCUAUAUAACCAUUCCUUUCAUGAUUUGGUGGCCUAGAUCAUUCACAUGUGAUUCAAACCAAUUUUACAAGCCUUAGGAUGAAUUUAGGGCAUCAUUUGGUUAGUGUUUAUGAGUUUACGGCCCAGGAACCCAUUCUAGGGGGGUUUACCGCCAUGAAAACUCCAAGGGGUGGUUUUCAUCAAGUUUAAGGCCCCUAAAUCGAUUGUGAUUGAUUCUAGAAUUUAAUCCAAGCCUAUUGGUGUGUUUAAGUGGCUUUUAAACACUCAAAUAUGAGUUUACUCUCCAUGAAGGUGAGUUUAUGGCCCAAGCAUGUUCUUGGGCAGUAAACUCAUGUUUACUCCCCAAAAAUUGGAUUCAAGGUGUUCUAAGUCCAGUCCAUUAAGCCAUUUAGCCAUAUCUAAGCUCCAAAGGUCGAUUGGAAGGGUUUAAAGGCUUAAAAACCCAUUAUAUGUGUGUCUACGGCCCAAGCAUGUUCCAGGGCCGUAAACACAUGAAAAUGGUCCUAAAUCAUAGUUUGAACUCGGAUUUGAAGGUCUAAGAUGCUAUACUAAGAGUUAGGGAAGUUACCUUGGUGAUUUGGAGCUUAAAUUUGAUGAUUUUGGACCUUAAAUUUGGUUUGAGGAGAGAGGUUAGAGAGAGAGUAGUGAGAGAGAGAGAGAGAGCAAAAGCUUCAAAAGGAAGCUUAAACCACUUUAAAUAGGUUCCAAUUUUGGGACACAGUGGAAUUCUACCCGGUACCGACGUUAAACGAUGCUUUUGGUCGCACCCGAUUAAGUUGCCGUAACCUGAUAUGGUCGAUUCUAAAAUGUUUCCGAUUACUAAUAUGGAGUGUUAAUAUGAGUUCUAAACACGUUUGGACACCCAUUAAGUCAUAAUAUAAAUCCCACAAUUAUGACUUAAUUUAAUGACGUAAGGGAAACAAAAUUGAAAACGACGAAUAUAUUAACAAAAAGGGUUACAAUUGAUGGAACGAACUUCGGGUUGUCACAGACACUAUGCAUCAUCUUGUCACAAUCUUCACACUUAUGUUGCAGAUGACUACAACUCAUAUGAAAAUGUUGUUCAAUCCUUUCAGUCUUAAUGUCAUGUUACUUAAGGCAAUCUGGAUUGUAUGUAGACCAGUAAGGCAUGGUCUAAAAUAUGCUUCGUGACGAUUUUAUCGAUUCAUGGAAUCAUAAAUAUUUUGAGAUGGAGAUGAUCGUUAAACCAAAUUUUCAAUUGAAAUCGGGCAACUUCAAUACGAGGUUGUGUAUAAAGGAAGCGGGAAAAAAGGUAAGCAGGGUAUAAAUUCAUGCAUAAUAAAACAAAAAAAUGUAGAUGUACAAGCACCCACAUUUUGUCCCUUUAAUUCCCUAAAUGAGUAAAUAGAUGUAUAAUAAUUAAUGCGUAAUGUACAACAUAAAUUAUAAUAUUACAACAACAUAAAUUAUAAUAUUCCAAUUUCCAAAUCAGAAUUAUUGCCCUGUAUUAGGGAUGUCAACGGGACCAAACAAGAGCAGAAAUAGUUGUCCCCGGCCGCCUCAGCCCCUGAAUCAGUUAUUGCCUCGGAUCUUGCCCCCGCCCCUGCCCCCGAAUCCCUCGUUUACAUAUCCCCCGAUCCCGUCCCUGAAUACGUUCAUCAUUGCCGAUCCCCCACCUCCGUUCCCCCGUUUUAUAGACAUAAAAUUGACUCUUUUUUGCUAAAAAAUUUGUUAUAUUUUCGACUAAAAAACUAUUUUUCAUAACUUUAAAAGCUUAAAAUCUAGUUUUUUUAACAACUAAAAAAUUAAAAAUCCAUCGAUACAAAUUUAAUAUUACAAAACGACAAAUCCAACAAACUUAUAAAUAUGAAAUACGACAAAUCCAUCAUUACAAAAAAAAGUACGACACGUCCAAAAAUAUAUAACCAAUUUACUAUCUUCAUAUGAUUUGAAAUGGAACAAAGUUAAGAAACCCUAAAAUUAGAUAAUGUAUUGUCUAUGUAUAUUUUUAUAUUAAAUAUAUAUUUUUUUUAUAUAAAUAUACAAACNNNNNNGACCCUGAAUUGUUUAAAAAAUUAAUCCCGCCCCCGGUCCUGAAAAUUUUUGUACUUUAGCAAACUUCAAUCCAGAUCAAAAGCCCUUCAAAUUCCAAAAUGAAGAUAUAUUUCAAAAUUUGUUCAUACAAAUUCUAACCAUUCGCGUAUCUCCGUGGAGUGUUCUCCAAGGACGUAUCUAACACUUUUUGUAAAAAUAGUAAAAUAACAUAUUUAUAUGUUUGCGUUUUAAUGUAGAUUUUCUUGUGUGAUACUUGUAUCCCCCCCCCCCCCUAAAACAUAGAAAAAGUCUUGAAAAAUGUAGGGGUAUGAACUCACCUUAUAUGUAUUCGCGGUUUGAUAACCAAGUGAUGGUGACGAUCUUUAUGUUACGAACACUUGAAGAUGAUUGAAUCGUAAGAGUUUUAACACAUACUAAUGCGUGAAUAAGAUGAACUAGUAUGAAAAUGUUUACAUAAACACUAGAUUAUAAGAACUUACAAUGAUUCCUAAGGAAAUAGCUUGAAGAAUAAGGCUCCACGGGAUGUUUGAUCUUUGAGUUUGGAAGGAAAUGAGACUUGAUAUUUGAGAGAGAAUUUGUGAAGUGUGAAUGUUUAACUGUGAAUGAGGAAUGGCUCUAAUUCGUGUAUUAUAUAGGAUACAAGAGAUAAUGAAGUGACACUUACGUUGGUAAGUGUAGUAUAUCGCUUUGGGAAGAUAAAUAACCAAUCAAGUGGCACCAUAUCAUGAUAUUUAAGGGAGAUUUCGGCCCUAAGAGGGUGAUUUCGGUCCCAGCAUGACCGAAAUCAUCAUAAACACUUUUCACAAAUUAGAUUUCGGCCCUAGCUUCAACUAAGGAGGAGAUUUCGGUCUUGACAUGCUUCCAUGAAGGGUUUUCGGCCUUAGUGGGCCUUAGAUAGGUGAUUUCGGUCGUGGCUCUAUCCCAUGAAGGUGAUUUCGGUCCUAAUGGACCAUAAGCUAGGUGUUUUCGGUCUAACCCAAUAGAAGUUCCCAAGAUAAUGAGCUUACAACUAAGUAAUGUAAUUCAUUUGAUUUUUGUUGACUCUCCUAGGUUUAUCACAACAUGGAUUUCAAAGUAAUGCAUAUAAUAACUUAUAUAACCAUGCUUCGUGGAAUUCAUAGUUCUAUUGCAUCAAUUUACGUUGUGAAUUUACUGGUACAUGGUUGGAGUUUAGACAUUGAUUGUUCUAGCAUUUUUCCAGUUGUGACAUCCCCCCCCCCCCCCCCCUCGNNNNNNNNNNNNNNNCCCCCCCCCCCCCCCCGGUUAGAGGGAAUUUCAUCCCGAAAUUAGUUUUAAAGUGGGCACUUUUCAACUAGGGAAAAGAUGUGGAUACUUUUGUUUCAUCUGGUCUUCUCGUUCCCAGGUGAAUUCAGGUCCUCGUUUGGCGUUCCAAUAGACUUUUACUAUUGGUAUACGGCUUUGUUUUGUUCUCUUGAUUUCCCUACCCAUGAUUUCCACUGGCUUUUUGAUGAAAUCGAGACUCUCGUUUACCUCGAUCUCAUCGAGUGGGAUUACAAGAGUUUCGUCGGAUAAACAUUUCUUUAGAUUGGACACGUGGAAGGUGGGGUGUACGUUACUAAGUUCUUGUGGUAGUUGAAGUUUGUAAGCUACCGGGCCGAUUCUAACAAUGAUUUCAAAAGGCCCAAUGUACCAUGGAUUUAGUUUCUAUGCUUUUUGAGGUGUAUCACUCCCUUCCAGGGUGGGACCUUUAACACAAUGCGGUCACCCACCUGGAAUUCCAAGGGUUUGCGUCCCUUAUCUGCAUAGCUCUUUUGCUGGUCCCUAGAUGCUUUCAGCCGUUCACAGAUUUAAACAAUCUUCUAUGUUGUCUCCUUUAUGAUCUCGGGGCUGGUGAAAGUGCUAUCAGGAACUUGCCCCUUUGCUAGUUGCGUGUCACCCACUUUAGCCAAGCACAUAUGUGAUCUGCUGAUUUGCACUUGCGACCAUAGAGGGCUUUGAAUAGAGCAACUCUGAUGUUAGUGUGAUAGCUAUUGUUGUAUGAGAACUUGACGAGUGGUAAAUAGAUAUCCUAAGCUUUACCAAAGUCUAUCACGCAAGCUCUCAACAUAUCCUCCAAUGUUUGGAUAGUUCUUUCACUCUGCCCGUCGGUCUGUGGGUGGUAGGCUCUACUCAUGUCGAGUUUAUUUCCUAGAGAUUUUUGCAAUGACUCCUAGAGUCGUGAGGUGAAUCUACUAUCCCUGUUGGAGAUAAUGGAUAUUGGUACUCCAUGCAGCCGCAUGGUCUCUUUAAUGUAUGUUCUGGUCAGUUUUUCCAUCUUGUCCGUCUCUUUUAUUGGUAGGAAAUGUGCGGAUUUGGUUAACCUUUCAACAAUCACCCAAAUGGUGUCGAGUCCACUUGUCGUCUCGGGUAACUUGGUGAUGAAGUCCAUGGUUAUCUGCUCCCACUUCCACUUGGGUAUUUCAGGUUGUUUUAGUAAACCCGAGGGCCUUUGGUAUUCUACCUUGACCAUGGCGCAAGUCAGGAACUUGCCCACAUAGGUAGCAAUUUCGGCUUUCAUGUUUGGCUACCAAUAAAGUUUCUUGAGGUCUAGGUACAUCUUGUCUGAACCGGGAUGAACAGAGUAUAGAAUCUUAUGAGCCUCGUUUAUGACAACAUCUCAGAAUCUACUGAACUUCGGUGUCCAGAUCCGAUCCAUGAGAUAAUGAGCUCCAUCCCCCUUGACCUCCAAAUUUUUAUCCAUUCCUCUCAAGGAUUCUUCUGAGACAUUUUCAGGUUUCAAGGCUUCCAGCUGGGCCUCUUUGAUCUGGGUAGAUAAGUGCGAAUGGAUGGUCAUGGUCAACGACUUUACUCGGCAUCCUGAGUAUUCUUUUCGACUUAGGGCAUUUGCUACUAUGUUGGCCUUGCCCAGAUGAUAACGAAUUUCACAUUUGUAAUCGUUUAGUAGCCCCACCCAUCAUCGUUGCCUCAUGUUGAGUUCCUUUUGAUCGAAGAUGUGUUGGAGACUUUUAUGGUCCGUGAAGAUUUUGCACUUCGUACCAUAAAGUUAGUGCCUCCAGAUUUUUAGGGAAAAUACUACUGCUCCUAGUUCGAGGUCAUGUGUGGUGUAGUUAACUUCGUGAGCCUUAAGUUGUCUCGAGGCAUAAGCAAUGACAUUUCCUCGUUUCAUGAGCACGCAUCCCAAACCUUGCUUGGAUGCGUCAUAGUAGACCACAAAGUCAUUGGUUCCUUAUGGAAGAGACAAGAUCAGGGCGUUGCAUAGGGCUUGCUUUAGUGUCUGGAAAGCAGCUUCUUGUUUCUCCUCCCAAUUGAAGGUUACACCUUUCUUGGUCAAGGUGGUCAGUGGUUUAGCAAUCUUGGAGAAAUUCUGUAUAAAUCUCCUGUAGUAGCCAGCAAGGCCUAAGAACUGAUGGAUCUCCAUUGGUGUUCUUGGUGCUUUCCAGUUCUCAAUUGCCUAGAUUUUGGAGGGGUCCACAUGUAUUCGCUCUUUGCUGACAACAUGACCCAAGAAGUCCACCUCUCGGAUCCAAAAUUCACAUUGGGAAAACAUGGCAUAUAGCUUUUCCGUCUUCACUGUCUCCAUGAAUUUUCGUAGAUGUUGACUGUGCUCUUCCUUACUUCGUGAAUAGAUCAAUAUGUCAUUGAUGAAUACUAUCACAAAUUUAUCUAAGUAAGGUCGGCAUACCCGAUUCAUCAGGUCCAUGAAAAUAGUUGUUGCAUUCAUCAAUCCGUAGGGCAUCACCACGAACUUGUAGUGACCGUAGCAGUUCUGAACUGCCGUUUUGGGAACAUCUUCCUCCUGGACAAACAGUUGGUGGUAACCCGACCUCAGAUCGAUUUUUGAGAAGUAGCAUUCUCCGUAAAGUUGGUCGAAUAGGUCGUCGAUUCGGGGUUGGGGAUAUCGGUUUCUGAUAGUGAGUUUAUUCAAGUCACGAUAGUCAAUGCACAUGCGAAAAGAUGCGUGUUUCUUCUUAACGAGCAGAACUGGUGCUCCCCAAGGUAAGAAGCUUGGUUGGAUAAAUCCUUUGUUCAGCAGUUCGUGUAGUUGACUGGAUAAUUCCUGCAUUUUGGCCAGAGCCAUUCGGUAUGAGGAUUUGGCUAUGGGCGUGGCUUCAAGAAUUAAGUCGAUUCUGAAGGCGACUUGUCCCACAGGAGGUAUUCCCGGAAGGUCUUCUAGGAAUACAUCGGGAAAGUUAUAGACUUUCAGAAUAUCCUUGAUAUCCUUUACCUCCUUCUUCUUGUCAACAACGUGUGCUAGGAAUAUGUGGUACUUCUUGCGCAGAUAGGUCUGAGCCUUGAUACACGAGAUAAUUUUGAGAUUUGUGCUAGGUUUGUCACCGUAGAUGACGAGGGUUUCUUCAUUUGGUAAGAUGUGUUGGACAGCUUUUUCGUAACAUAAGAUAUCGAUGUGGUGAGGACUUAACCAAUCCAUACCAAUGAUGAUGUCGAAACUCGUUAUUGUGACCGACAUUAAAUCAAUUUGAAAGGAAUGAUUUUUUAGAGUUAGAGUGAACCCUAUGUACACGUCUUUAGUGCUUUUAGUUUUACCAUUUUGCAUUUCUACUGUGAACAUUUCGUCGAGUGAUUAUGGUUUUUGGUUGAGUGUAUGCUUAAACUUGUGGCUCAUGAAACUUCUCUCCGCACCACUAUCAAAGAGUAUGCAUUCAUAUGAGUUAUUGAGAAGGAACGUACUGGUAACCACCGUGGGGUCUUUCAGGGCUUCCUCAUGCCCUAACGUCAUAAACCUUCAUGUACCUCCAACAUUCCUAUUAUUGGCUUUUGGGCAUUCCCUCCUGAAAUUCCCCGUUUCCCCGCACUCGUAGCAUGUUUGGCUUACUCCGGUAUUUGUUUUAGGGAUGGCCUGUUGGGCUGGCUCUUUACAAAAAACGAACAGUGUGUCCUUUCUUGUUGAAAUCUGUGCAAUGCAUUUCCCUACAAGUUCCAACAUGGUGGAAGUUGCACUUGAUACAUUUUGGUAGUGUUCCUGCAUAUUGUUUUGUUGGUGUUGGAGUGGCCGGGACUGUGACAGUGUGGGCUGCCACUAAUUGUUCUUUCUUCGCAGACUCUUGCGUUGAUUUGCUCUUUCUCUUGUUCUAGGGUUUUCUUUUGUUUUUGCUCCCUUUUUCUUGUUCGGGAAUGACCGUCAUAAAGCCCUGGCGAACUCCAUGAUCUACAAGCAUUCGUGCCAAGCAUUUGGCACUAUCAAAAGUAGAGGGGUUUUUAGAUACUACAUUUCCUUGAAUCUGGGGGGAUAGUCCCUAGAUGUAUCGCUCAACCUUUUUACUUUUUGGGGUUACCAUCCCGGGACAAAGUACUACUAGAUCGCUAAAUAUGGCAGUGUAGGCUGUGAUGUCAGAGUCCUUCAUUGGAAGGUUCCCGAGCUCUUAAUCUAGUUUUUGUACUUCGCCCCUUAGGAAAUACUCUGCUAGCAUCAUGAUUUUUAGGUCCUCCCAGCUCAAAGCAUUGUCCACGGGGAGUGUUAGCGAUUUGACAUGGCUGUUCCACCAAGAGAGGGCCCCGUCGAUGAAUGUGCAACAUGCGAAUUUGACUUUACUCUCUUCCGGACAAGCACAUAUUUCAAACGCUGACUCAGUCUUCUCGAACCACCUUGUCAGGGCGAUGACACCUCCGUCUCCAUAGAAUGCUUUGGGUUUGCAGUUCGAGAAGUCCUUAUAGGAGCAUCCUCUUAGUCGACCAUGGCUGUCGCCUUCGUUAGAACUAUUAGUAUCAUUUCCAGCCCCAUUGGUACUGUUGGAGCUAAUCUAUGCUAUGGCAGCGGUUACAUCAGCUGUUAUAGCAACUUGAAAGACAACAAUAUCCAUCGGUGUGGGUGGUGGCGGUGGUGGUGGUGGCGGUGUUGUUGUUGUGUUGUUGAAACGUCUGUUAGAUUUGCGCGGUGGCAUUUUCUGCCAUAAAUUUGAAAGAUGAAAUGAUGAUGAGUGUUCAAUAAUGGGUACAAGUCGGGUGCGAACGGACUAGGUUAUUUUUGUUUCAUUUAUUUUGCGUUCCGAUUUUCGUGUAUUUUGUAAGUGCUUCAUGAUGGAAAUAUAACAUUGUUAAUUUAAAUGAUUACAAUCAAUUUAUGAAUUUACUAGCUAAGACUUUCCAAUGGAAUAAAAUGAAUGUCAAUUUCAUUGAUAUAUUUUAGUACAUAAUACUGGGAAAAUUUGGCCUUUUAAGCAGGCCUACAAUACAUCAAUGCAAAGGAAAAUUUUGAGAGCAUAUCGACUCCCUUGAAUAGUGUAAUCACUUAUUCGCAGGGUCGAUCCUACACACAAAAAAGAGUAGCACUGACGCUUACUCGAAAACACCUAAUCUAUAACAAAACAUGACUAAUAUAGGAACUACUCGUGGUGCAUGGUAUUCUAUGAGCCCUGGAAUGAAGUCAUGAAGGUCUACAUCUCUUUCACUCGGUGCUCAGUCAUGAAGUCAUGAAGGUCUGCAUGGUAUUCUACGAGGUUAGUAGUAAUGUCGUUUCAUGUAUUUAACACUUUUCAUAAAAAUAGUAAAAUAACAUAUUUAUAUGUUUGCGUUUUAAUGUAGAUUUUCUUGUGUGAUACUUGUAUCCCCCCCCCCCCUCUAAAACAUAGAAAAAGUCUUGAAAAAUGUAGGGGUAUGAACUCACCUUAUCUGUAUUCGUGAUUAGAUAACCAAGUGACGGUGAUGAUCUUUAUGUUACGAACACUUGAAGAUGAUUGAAUCGUAAGAGUUUUAACACAUACUAAUGUGUGAAUAAGAUGAACUAGUAUGAAAAUGUUUACAUAAACACUAGAUUAUAAGAACUUACAAUGAUUCCUAAGGAAAUAGCUUGAAGAAUAAGGCUCCACGGGAUGUUUGAUCUUUGAGUUUGGAAGGAAAUGAGACUUGAUAUUUGAGAGAGAAUUUGUGAAGUGUGAAUGUUUAACUGUGAAUGAGGAAUGGCUCUAAUUCGUGUAUUAUAUAGGAUACAAGAGAUAAUGAAGUGACACUUACGUUGGUAAGUGUAAUAUAUCUCUUUGGGAAGAUAAAUAACCAAUCAAGUGGCACCAUAUCAUGAUAUUUAAGGGAGAUUUCGGCCCUAAGAGGGUGAUUUCGGUCCCAGCAUGACCGAAAUCAUCAUAAACACUUUUCACAAAUUAGAUUUCGGUCCUAGCUUCAACUAAGGAGGAGAUUUCGGUCUUGACAUGCUUCCAUGAAGGGUUUUCGGCCUUAGUGGGCCUUAGAUAGGUGAUUUCGGUCGUGGUCUAUCCCAUGAAGGUGAUUUCGGUCCUAAUGGACCAUAAUGAGCUUACAACUAAGUAAUGUAAUUCAUUUGAUUUUUGUUGACUCUCUAAGGUUUAUCACAACAUGGAUUUCAAAGUAAUGCAUAUAAUAACUUAUAUAGCCAUGCUUCAUGGCAUUCAUAGUUCUAUUGCAUCAAGUUACGUUGUGAAUUUACUGGUACAUGGUUGGAGUUUAAACCUUGAUUGUUCUAGCAUUUUUCCAGUUGUGACAGUCUUUUCAUUUCUCUCAACCUAACCUAUUUAAUAAACAGGUUGAACACUUGUUAUUGAAGAUUUGUUACUUGAUGGAACCCUAGUUAUCGAUUUGUCACUUGAUGGAACCCUAGUUAUAAAAAAACCUUUAAAAUCAAGUAAUCCUUCAAAACAAAAUUACAUAAAGCUUAAAAACUCCAAUAAUUGUUCACGUUUCAAAAUAAUACAACGAUAAGUCUAUAAGCCUAUAACACAAAAACAAAUCAAGUGUUUACAACCGUAAUAACAUUUGUACACAGUAAAUGCUAAACAACUCGACUAUCGAUAGAGGUCACUAACCCAUUUUUUUUAUUGAUAAAAAUAAUUAAAAGAUAAUAAUCAAUNUAUAGUUUUUUAAGCAGGUUUGCAGGCUGUAAAUAAUUUGAGAAUUUUAAGCCUAACCUAACCCUUUUAAUUAAAUAGGUUGAACAGGUUGACUCGUUUAAUUAAACAUGUUAAAAAUCUCAACCCAAUCAACUAAUUACCAACCCUAGAUAAAUGGUUGAUGAUUGAAAGUGUUGAUAAAGACAAAAAUGUGUUACCUAAAGAAGUGAAGAUAGAGGAUUUCAAAAUUAACAAAAUGGAGCUAUUGAAAACAUCUUAUAGUGAAUUCGGGAAGCAUUCCUUGAAGGCAUAAGGUUAAACUUUUUGCAUAUUUGAUUCUAACCAUUGGAUGCUAAUAUGACGUUCACGUGGACGUUCUUUUUUACUUAAUUCUUAUUUUAUUAAACUUUAAAUUUAUUUUAAUAUUAAACAAUUAUUAAUGUAUAUUUUUAUUUAUUGAAAACUUAAAACUGAUAUUAUUGUGAAAAAAAUAAAUGAAAAUCACCCUCAUGAAUGUUGUCUAAGUGAUUUCAUAACCUGUGAAAGCCUUCAUCUUAUUCACAAUUUUUUUUGUUGAUGUAACUCAAAAUCCUAACAAAUUCAUGAUGCUAUAUAUUGUGGUGGUUGUUUUGAUGGAUGUAAUGUGCACAGAAUUUUGCAAAAAGGAUGUCAUGUUGACACCACAUCAUGUUUAUAACUGAUUUAUCUCAUUAAAACUGACACCAUUUGUGUAACACAUUAGAUUACAAUUAGUACCAAAAUGCAAAUAAUGUGGUGAAAUAGUGACAUUAUCCCUUGUAUAGAUGAUAAAUAACACAAGUUAAAUACUAGGCAAAUUCACAAUCUUGAAAAAAAAACAAAUAUAUUAAACCGGUAUACUCAUUUUGAUUUUGAGAGAAUUGUCCUUAUAAGAUUAGACUGUGAUGGUCUACCACCAAAUGACGUUCUUUGUAACUCAUGAUUUCCAUGGUUUCACCUUUAGAACCGCACCGUCGAUCUCCAUCUUCAUCCAUCUUUUCAUUUUCUUAUGGUCGGACUCCAAGUGCAGGCCUUCUCACACAACACCUAAGAACCCACAAGAUAAUUUGCAGCCAUUUACUCACCACAUGAGUAGAAAAUAGAAUAUCAUACCAAGUAAAAACUCAAACUAUAUAUAACGGCACUAACUAAAUUUUCUGCGUCGCUCUUUAUAUUAGAAUCAUCACAUGAUUCUCAUAAUUUAUUAAUUUACAACGUAGGAUAAAGAUUUCACAGUUAAAUUUGGAACAUUAGUAAGUCAUAUGUUCCAUCUUUUAGGAGAACAUAGGUAAAAGUGCAAGUUCAAACGGUAUCUAUUACCUUUUAAUUUCAAUCUUUUCAUUUUGAGAUACUUGUUCAUCUAUAGUCAUCUAGGGGCCAUGUGCUGCAGAUAAAAGGGGCAUUGCUGCAAAUACAAUAGAGAACUCAAUAAUAGAAAUGAUAAACUUAAGGGUANNNNNNNNNNNNNNNNNNNNUGGAAUCACUGAUGCAAAAAACCAAUACUAAUCAUGUUUCCCAUUGCGAAAUGUAAUGGAAGUUCAAUUACUACCAAAGUAUGAUAUCUAAUGGAUUCUCCGUUCCAUUAUUAAAUUGGUGGUUUGUUUCAAACGAAAUCAAUUUGUAUCAAACUGUUUUUUUCCACAUAGGUCUGGUUCCAUUUCCGAUUUGUUAUUGUACCUUUAAUUUUCAUCUUGUUUUUAGAUGCUACAAAUAUAUGAAUUUUUUUAGGAUAUCUUAUCUCAUACAAAACAGGGAAAAUGGCCACCCAUGGUGUUGGUGGCAAAUAUAUUGAUAUGGGAGACUUAAAAACCCCAGCCAAAUUACAUAUUGCAUACAGGAAAAUAAGAAAUCGGAAAUAUAAAAUUAGAUAACAAACUACAUCUGUCAAUGCUUUUGGAAACUUGUAAUGAACACAGCCACCUUGACAUAAACCCAAUCUUUGAAGCUAUCAAAAAAGUGAAAAAAUGCAUGUCUCACUCGACGGUUAAAAAGUAAAGUACCACAUACUAUCCAAAAUCCAGUAGCAAAACCCAUUCCCCCACCAAUAUAAAACCAUCCCCAGAGUUCAUCUAUGUCUUCCUCAUCGCCCUCACUUUUACCAAUAAGAGGUGGUGCUUUUGAUUCUUCAUCUCCAGGACAACUUUUGGUAAGGGGAGGUCCACAUAGACGUGCAUUUCCAUUGUAUCUUGAAGGUUGAAAGGAUUGAAGUUGAGUGCUGAUUGGGAUUCUCCCAGACAAGUUAUUAAAUGACAAGUCUAGGUCAUUCAGUAAACUCAUCUGAGACAUGCUUGAUGGUAUCCUCCCUGAAAAACGGUUUCUAGAUAAAUCCAAAGUCAAAAGGUUUUUUAUCUCACCAAUUUUCUGUGGAAUCUCUCCAGAUAGAGCGUUCUUUGACAAGUUCAGAGCAAUCAAGUCAUAAAGAUUGGUAAUUUCAUAUGGCAUUUGUCCUGUUAAAUUGUUGCUUGACAGGUCAAUGAUCUUCAACAAUUUCAGAGUGCUAAUGAAUUCACGUUCAUCUCCUUGCCACUUAAUCAUUGCGUGGUCAACAUAUGUCUCCACUCUAUAUAAACGAUCGGUUAUAAAUCUGUAAUAUUCUGCAUCUUGUGUGAAUCCUGGUUGAACCAUCCUCGUAAGAUUACUCAGACAUGAUGGGAUGGUUCCAUGGAGGUUGUUCAAUGACAGGUCGAGAAUUUGAAGAUUUGCUAAUUGACAUAACUGUAAAGGGAUGGUUCCAAAGAAGUUGUUUGAUCUUAGAAUAAGAACAUACAACCCUGUUAAGUUUUCCCCAAUUGAGACAGGCACAUUACCCGAAAACUUGUUGGCCCCCAAAUUCAAUGAGAUUAAACUUGUGCAAUUCUUUAAAGGCAAAGGCAAGUCUCCAGAGAAGUCGUUCUUGUAUAAAUACAACACCUUGAGUUCUAUCAAAGAUCCGAUAGAGGGAGGAAGCCUUCCAAAGAGAUUGUUGUGUCCAAGAUUAAGAACUUCGAGGUGUUUGAAAUGCCAUAAACAAUCCGGGAGUUUUCCGCUUAAUGAGUUAUGAGAGAGGUCAAGAAAUGAUAGGAAACCAUCAACUAUUUGGCAUAUAAAUGAGAUUCCCCCAGAGAAUUUGUUUUUGGAAAGAUUUAGUGAUGACAAAGUGGAAGGAACAUUCGGCACUGGACCAGAAAAGCUGUUUGAACUCAAAUCAAUCACUGAACGGUUGGCAAAAUUUGAUGAUAAAUCUGGUACUUUACCGCUAAUGUUGUUGGAAGAGAGAUUCAGAUAUUUUAAUUGAGAAGGCCACAUGUAUGCAAACUCCUGAGGAGUUGUGUCUGAAAUUCCAGUAUCGAAAAGAUCAUGUAUAUUUCCAUUUAACAGAUUAUUAGAUAAAUCCAAGUGUUCUAGGGAUGAAAACUUUCGGAUCUCACGGGACAAUGACCCUGUAAAUUGGUUAUAGGAAGCAGACAAGCGUUUUAAUGCAUUGGAUGUGCAUCCAGACAAGUUGUUGAGAAAAUCAGGAAAUUUGACAACAGCAGAGUUAUUAUCAAAGUACAAAGUUUCCAAACUACAGAGGUUACCAAGAUACUUGGGUAUUCCAUCUAACAUGUUGUAAGAGAGAGAAAGUUCGUGAAGCUUAUUGCUUGUCAAUGGGAACAACCAACGAUACAUGGAUGAGGUGAGACUGUUGUUUACGAGAUAAAGGGACUCAAUAGAUGAAGAAGAAGAGUUGAGAAAUGAAGAAUAUGGAUACAUGACCUGUGACAGCUCACACCCCUGUAAACUUAAAAUUGAUAGUUUUGGGAGACUCAGAAUUACAUUUACCCAGUGAUUUUGUUUGGAGAGGGAAAUCCCAUCCAUAUAAAGUUCCUCCAAAUGAGAGAGAUGAGAUAACCACUCUAUGUUUUCAACUCUAAAUCCUCCAUUAUCAGAUCUAAGGUUAAGUUGUUGCAAGUUGGUGAGGUUUCCAAACUCUGGAGGUAUGGUUCCAUAAAGAGAGUUAGAUGAAAGAUCAAGGUGCCUUAACCGAGUCAUGGAACCAAUGUAGGUGGGAAUGGUUCCAUUAAGAUUAUUGCGGCCGAGGUUGAGGUGCCUUAAUUCAGACAAGGAACCAAUGGACCUGGGAAUGGUUCCAUUAAGAUUAUUGUAAGAAAGAUCAAGAUAUCUUAAUCGAGUCAAAGAACCAAUGAAAGUGGGAAUGGUUCCAUGUAAAGAAUUGUAGAAAAGGUCAAGAUAAUCCAAGUAGGUUAAGUUUAGCAAUGAACGGCUAAUCUCACCUCUGAGAUCAUAGCCUUUGAUAUCAAGCCCUGUGACAUGACCGGUUGGGUUGCUACAAAUUACUCCACUCCAUUUACAGCAUUCAUCAUCUUCUUCUGUCCAUGUAGAGAGAGUAUCAAUGGGGUUAUCUUGAAGGGGAGCUUUGAAAAGAAGGAGAGCAUCUCUCUCCUUAUCCCAACACUUUUUUUUCAUAACACCAUUAUUAGUAUCAUCACCUCCUUCUCCCACUGCUACCAAUUGGCUGGCAGUUGUAGUCACAAUGAAUAGUAAGAGAUAUGAGAAAAUUAUAAAAACACAAUUAUUCAUAAUGUAAAUGUAAAAUGAAAAUCUUGGUGAUUUUUGGUUUGUGUUGAUGCCCUCAUGAGGCCAGGGUUUAUGUAGUCUACUAGUCUCCAAUGUGAACAUGAAUGAUUGUAAGUGGGUACGUAGGUGGCGUCAAAUUGGUGUCUGGUUGUGUGGGGUAUACAAUAUUUAAUUCCCAUUAAAUCUGAACCAAACUGUACUAAAAAAAAUUUAAAGAUGAAUAAUUGGAUCUAAUUGCCGCAAAUUAGAACGUUCAAACUUCAAAGACUUGCAAGUCUUUUCCCAUCUUGUGAUAUAAAUCCCAAGAAAACAAACUCAUGAAAUUAAAUACACAUCCGUAAUAACGUUAGUUGGGUCUAAUUAAAAUUCAAUGACUAUGAAAUGAACCUUUAUCGGAUACAAAAAAGUCAGAAUGUAAACGCAAACUUUGAAGUUUGAACUAUACCCUAAUUUAACACCUUUCAUGAAUUUCUCCAUAAUAAAUAAUUUAUGUUUAAGAUAACACCACUACAAAAAUAUGUCAUUUAGUGGCACAUAAGAAGUGCCACUAAAAACCAAAAAAAAAAAAAAAAAAAGAAAAUGACAAAAAUAGCCAUUUACACUAAUGACAUUACAAAAAUAGCUAAAAAAACCGAAAUUACAAAAUUAGCCCACAAUUUCGCAGAUGGAGAUGUCCCAUCUGCGAAAUCAGCAUCUCAUCUGCAAAUGUACAAGCAUCUAAAGCAAGCACCUAAAGCACAGUUGUGCUUUAGAUGCUUGUACAUUCGCAGGUGCUUUUAAAUUUUUUUUUUAAUUUUUUUUUCUGUAUAUAUAGGGGUAAAAUCGCAGAUGGAAUAGGUCCAUCUGCGAUUUACUCUCACUCUAUCUGCGAAAUUGUGGUUUUUUUUUUUGUUUUUUUUUUUUAGUUUGACUAUGAAAUGAAUUGGUUUGACUACGAAAUCAUGUUCAUGUAUAAAAAGUUUUGUAGAAAAAUAUCAUUUUGGUUGUUAUUUGUUUAGGAACUUUCUCUACAAUUUGCUCAAAAAAUGAUUGAAUAUUUGAUUUGUCAUGUAACCGGUGGGAGAUAACAAGUUAAUGGAACUAAUUUGGAAUACAUAUGUCCACAGGGAGGUUUUUCUGAACUUGCUUUGAUAUUUUCUGAGUAUAUUAGUUAUAGUGAUUUAGUAUCUUUGGUAAGAAGCAAAAUUGGUUUGUUAGAAAAAUAUAGAAUUAGUCUUCGUUUCCACCAUCCUGAAUUAAAUUAUUAUAUAGCUAUAGUUGAAGACAUGGAUGUUAGAAUGUUGAUAAACGUAAUCAAAUGUAGUGGAGGAAGGGCUGUGAAAGUGUUUGUGGUGGUUGAUGAAGUUGAGGAGGUUAAUGGGGGUGGUGAAAUUGGAAACCAGCUUGUUGGUAAUUUAUGCAGUUAUAAAGGGAGCAACGAUCCGAUAAGUACUUUCAAUACUCCCAGUGUACCUCAGUUUCACAGUGUUGCUGAAAAUGUUAAUGUUAGUUAUUCACCUAUUCACUAUGUGGAUCCUGAGAAUUACAAGCAUGUUGGUGAUGAUGAUGUUGGUACUUAUCUUGAUGAUGUGGGUGGUCGUUGUGAUGAUGUUGCCGAACAAGAAGUUAAAGUUAUAAGUAGGCGUGUGGUAGAUAAAACUAAAAAGAAAAAAAAAUUCAAGUCAAAAAAAUGAAAAAAAUCAUAUUUACGGGCAUUAUGUUGAUGUUGGUGAUGUAUGUUUAGAUAUAACUGAGCUACAAAGCAAUUCCGAUAGAGAUGAGUUGGGUGAUGAAGUUAAAGCUAAGUUUCCCGAUAACCUUUUUCACGGUAUGCCCCUUGUACCAGUAUGCCCAGUUGAUAUUAAUGAAGAUAUCCCAACACAGAUGGUAGACAUGAAUCUUCAAAAGAUUCAAUGUGAGAGUAUAUUUAAGAACAAAGAACUUUUAAAGCGGUGUAUUGGUAAAAAAUGUCUUCGAGAAGGUUUCCAGACGAGGACAAGUAGAUCCACCAAAUCAAGGUAUGAAGCUGUGUGUGUUUCGAAAAAUUGUUCUUGGUUACUAAGAGCAAAAGCAAUUAAAAAUACUGAUGGACUUUUCCAAGUGAAUAAAUUUGUUGAUGUACACACAUGUUCUUCAACAUUGUUGCAACCUAAUCAUCGACAAGCAAACAAAUAUGUUUUGGGUGAAUAUGUUGCUGAUGUUUUGGCUGAAGACUAUAGUAGAGUUUAUCGGGGAAAAGAAAUUGUUAAUGAUAUGAAUGCUCAAUUGAAUAUCAAUAUCUCAUACCAUCAGGCAUGGCGUGCGAAGCAAUAUGCAUUGUUGUCGUUAAGGGGUACGAAAGAGGAUUCUUUUACCAAACUUCCGGCGUAUUGUCACAACUUGGCCAAACAUAAUCCGGGUACUGUCACACAUAUUAAAACAGAUGCUGAUGAUCGGUUUGAGUUUUUGUACGUCGCACUCGGUUGCUCGGUUAGUAUUAUCAUGUCCUAUUUUUUUUUUAAUAUUUAUUUUGGUGUAUUUGAAUAGAUAUACAAUGUAUUGUAGGUACGAGCUUUUGUCAAUUUUUGUAAGCCGACCCUAGUAGUAGAUGGAGCUCACCUAAAGGGCGAGUUCAAAGGUACCAUGCUACUUGCAGUUACUAAGGACGGACAAAAUCAAAUAUUACCGGUUGCAUAUGGUAUAUGCAAAAAUGAGUGUACUGAUUCUUGGACAUGGUUUUUUCAAAAACUACGUGAUUGCAUAGGAAAUAUGCAGGAGCUUACAAUUAUAUCUGAUAGGUCUCCAUCUAUAGCAACAUCUGUUGCCAACAUUUUUCCUCAUGCUCAUCAUGGAAUAUGUGGUGUCCAUUUGUAUUUCAACAUAGUAUCUAGAUUCGGCAAGAAUAAGACGGUUAAAGGAAUUUUUUGGGAGGCGUGUAGGGCGUACACAGUUGAUGUUUUUGAUGUUGUCAUGGAUGUUAUGAAAAAGACAAAAGAACCAGUAUGGGAGUACUUAAAAAGUAUAAAUUCGUAAAACUUGGUCAAUGGCACAUUUUAAAGGGAACCGAUACAAUCGUAUGUCGUUCAACAGUGCGGAGUCUAUAAAUGCAUUAUCUAGACACGCACGUAAGGUGCUAAUACUUNCACGUAAGGUGCCAAUACUUAUGUUGAUUGAUUUUUUUCGUGCUACAAUGCAACAAUGGUGGUUUCAAAGACGUAACUUUGCAGGUAUUAAGUAAAUUUGUAAUAUUAAUGUUUUAUUAAUUUUGAUGUUAUUGAUCUUAACUUCUUCAUUUUGGCUGUUUUUUAGCGGAAGCAACAACAAUACUUACCCCUUGGGAGGAUGAAGUUAUAAAAGAAAACAAGAAAACUUUUAGCAAAUGGGAUGUUCGCAUGAUCUCAAAUACAAAAUGCGAGGUCAAAAAGGGGGCACAAAAUGUGAUUGUUGAUUUUCAACAUAUGACAUGUACAUGUAGGCAUUGGCAACUUGAUGGCACACCUUGUGGUCAUGUUAUAAGAUGUUUAACAGUGCACAAUUACCAAGACUGCUCGAGGUUUGCAUUAAAUGCUUACUUUACCGAAACACUAAGGAAAACAUAUGAGGAAUCAAUAAACCCUCUGCCAAAGCCAUCCGAAUGGGAGAUCCCCAAUGAUUUGAUGAUUGUUAAGCCACCUAUAAUGGAUAAACGUCAGCCAGGCAGGCCAAGAAACACAGACCGCAUUCCAUCCCAAGGCGAGGGUCCAAUUAUAAAAGAGUGUUCUACAUGUGGUCAACUAGGACACACGAGAAAUAAUUGUACUGGAAGGGCGUCUGGUAGCAGAGCAGGUCACAUAAUUUCUACUGCAGAAAUGGCAUAUAAUAUUGGUGGUUCAGCGGGUUGCUCACAAACCUAUAACGCUGAUUUUGAUAUAAAACAACCUUGAAAUUAAGAGUAAUGAUGACUUGUUUACUUAUUAUGUAUUGUAAAAUUUUUAUUAACUCUUACAAGACAUUGCUAUGCUUUCAUAUUUUAGUUAAGUUUGUUGAUUAUAACAAUGAAUGAAGCCUUUAUAUUAUAAAAUAUAGUUUGCAGAUUUUUUUUAACAGUUACAACGUGUUAUUUAAAAAAACAACAAACGAUCCUUUUGCAACCUAAUCUAUUUCAUGAUAAUAUUACAACAACUUUGUAACUAAUUUUUAAACUCAGGGAACUGCAAUGGGUACUUCUCUUUCUCCAUUGUUAUAUAGUCAUCCCUAAUUCUCAUUUUGUCUUCCAAACGAUCCUUUUUUACCAUAAUGUGUAUCAACUGCUCAUCCUUCUCAGCAAGCCAUUUUUCAGUCGUUUUGAUUGCCUUUUUACUCUUUUUUUAUCCAACCUUUAUGCUCUUUGAUUUUGUUUUUAUUGAGGUCAAUCUAUUCUUGAGCUUGUUUGCAUUCCGAUUCAAUAUCAUUAGCAAGUUGAGUGAGAAGUUGGGAUGACUCUUUGUCCUCUUCUUGUGUGCUUCAGCCUUCUUUAAUUCUUCAAGAUUUUCAUGUGACAUAUAUGGCCCGGCUGAAGAGGGUGUAAAAAAAGGGUCUACCGAAUCACAGUAGUAACAAUCUACUUCGUUGCAUGAGCAAACUUCGAAUUUGUGUGAGGAACUCAUAAUAAAGUCGAUAUUGUAUUAAACUGGAGCUAUAAGUGGUAUUUAUACAUACUAGACAGUAAGGACAAGUCCAACUUUGAAACGACUAGACAGUAAUGACAAGUCACUGUAGUAACCUGCACAUCGUAGUGGGACCCUUAAGUGACAAGAGAUAAAUGACAGUUUGACAUGAUAAAACACUGCAUAAAGCUGAAAAUCAUAGUCCAAAUAUAACCAUUUCGUAGUGAAAGUAUUAAUUUAUAGUCUAUUUAGUUAUAUAAAUAGAUGUUUAAGAUCUAAAAACCAAACACCCAAAUCACCUAAAUGAAACGAACUCCCAUUAUUAGAAAUGUCGUCGAAUGCAGCAAGUUCUUCGAAUGAAGUACCUGGUUCCAAUUCUGAAAGGCCAUGGACGACAAACGAGGUGUUAGUUCUAACACGAUGCUGGCUAAGUGUUAAGGAUGGUGUAUCGUUACUUGCUCCCCCGCAUUGCCUAAUUGGUGAUGAAUGGACUCGCAUAACAUCUUUGUUUAACCAUGAGAUGGGAGAAGGACAAAAAAGAGAAAAAUUAGAUGUUGUUACUAAGUGGAUGGAUGUAAAGGAAGAAGUGACAUGGUUCAAUCGAGCAUGUAAUUAUGCGAAAAGUAACAAUGUUCGUUAUCAGGACGAAGAAGAGUUCUUGGAAGUUGUUACAGAUUUUUACAUCUGUGAGCAUGACGGCAGACACUUCGAAUAUGAGGAAGUUUGGAAGGUUGUUAAAGAUAAACAGUAUUUCAUGUAGACCGCUCUAAUUUCUGUUAAGAAUAACCCAUGGACUUGUGUUUUACGUUAAUGCUUUGUUCGUAUUAUGUCGUUGUUUUUCAUGUAAUUGUUGUAAUGUUUGUAAUGGUUCAUGGAAUCCUUGUUACUAAUGUAUUCUAAUGUAUUGUGAAAACUAAUGUAAUGGCCAUUUAUUAAUUCAAAUUAAUCAUACGAGUUGCUCACAUAAUAAACUAAAAUAGAUUUUAAACAAACGAAAUAUAUACGAAAUACAUGAAAAUAACCUAGUACNNNNNNNNNNNNNNNNNNNNNNNNNNNNNNNNNNNNNNNNNNNNNNNNNNNNNNNNNNNNNNNNNNNNNNNNNNNNNNNNNNNNNNNNNNNNNNNNNNNNNNNNNNNNNNNNNNNNNNNNNNNNNNNNNNNNNNNNNNNNNNNNNNNNNNNNNNNNNNNNNNNNNNNNNNNAUAUAUUAACUCAACUUAAUCAUACGAGUUUCUCACAUACUAAACUAAAAUAUAUUUUAAACAUAUGAAAUACAUACGAAUUACAUACGAAAUACAUGAAAAUAACCUAGUACUCACAUAAUAAACUAAAAUAGAUUUUAAACAAACGAAAUACAUACGAAAUACAUAAGAAAUACAUGAAAAUAACCUAGUACAUGAAAAUAACCUAGUACUCAAAUAAUAAACUAAAAUAGAUUUUAAACAAACGGGAUAUAUUUCAAAAUAUUCCAAGGGGCUUCAAACUGGAAUUCCAACCCGUUACUUAAUGACUUGUAUUCCUCCUUAGCAGCUUCCAAGAUGACAUCCUCAGUAGCAUUUAAACGGGUGUCGUCAAUUUUGGUAUAAAGAUCGUUGAAUAAUAGAACUUCGGUUUUCAUUUCAUACCAUCUUGCUAAGAUGUCUAGUUCGUCACGAUCGUUUCUUGUAGCCAUUCGGUUUUCAGCAUUGAAAAUAUUUGUUAAACGGCUCCAAAACAUUGGAUCGUUCAACUUGCUUGUCUCGUACACAUGAAUAUAAGCAUGUGUAAGAACCAAGAACUCUUCAUUGCUCCAUGAUAUAGAACUCAUUUUGAUUGAAACAAAGAGAGUAGAAUCUAAAAAACAAUAUUUGAACAACUUUAUUGGUUAAUUUAAUAAAGUAUUGCAUGUAACUUAAGGUCAAUUUAUAGUAGUUUCUACACAAAAUCGCAGUCCAAUCUUCUAAUAUGUCUGCAAUUCAUAGUCAAAAUUAACUGACGAAUGCAGUGUACUAUACUUAUAACACAACAGAUCACUGUUCGAGUUGACAAUUCAUCCCCGGUUGAAUGACAACACAAUACAUUGCUGCUUGAGUUGACAAGUCAUUGCACCAGGAAAGUAAGGAGUCGUUAUAAAUAGAUUUCAAUAUCCGUUGUAAUUGUAUUCUAUUACUUCCCUCCUUGCAAUUAUGGACUCACCACAUAUAUGGAGGAACGCAGAGGAGGUCGCUUUGGUUCAAGCUUGGAUUACAACUGUAGAGGUGGAUUUUCCACCGGGUCCCCCACAAGUUCGUGCUGGAUCAUUUUGGUCUCGUGUCUGUCAUUUGUUUCACCAUUUAAUGAACCGCACUCAAUAUCGAAGAAGAAGAGAUGUCAAAGCGAACUUUUUGGAUAUGAAAAUGAAGGUGAAACAAUUUCAACGUAUUUAUAACGAGUUGGAUAACGAACAUGCAAAUACGGAUGAAGACAUUCUACGGCACGUGGCUUUGGAACUAUACCGUUUUGAAUAUGAUGGUAGCGACUUCACCCACUUAGAUGCAUGUAAUCUUUUAAAGAAUGUCCCUUAUUUUUAAUAUGCAUGUUGGUUAAGUUAAUUGUUUUUCGUUAUUUAAGUUACUUGUUGUUGUAUGUGUCUAGUCGUUACUAUUUAAUAAACGUCCAUUUCUUUUAAUGUAUGUUGUUUCGUCAAUAGCCAAUAUAUAGAACGCAAUAAAAUAUAAAUGGGGUACAUAAAUAACUAAUACAUAAUACGACAUAAAAUAUAAACUGGGUACAUGGAUAACUAAUACGUAACACAACACUAAAAUAAAAACGGGGUACAUAAAAAACUAAUACAUAAUACUACAUAAAACAUAAAGGUGCUACAUGAAUAACUACUGCAUUGAGGGAGGUAACAGGACCACCGUUUCAUUUGGUAUUUCCCAAUGCACAUGUGAUGGUAUAGCAUUCACCAACUCAGAUCCAUAUGCAAGUCGAUACACAUAAUUAGUGAACUUGUAAUCAACCAUUCUCUGAAUGGACUCAGAUGUACGAGUUCUUAGACAUGCUAUAGCGUGGCCACAUGGUAUACCGCUUUUUUGCCAUUUACCACAACUACAUACCCUUCGUUCAAGUUGUACGUUGCUGGUGGCAAAAUUAUCAUCAACUUCAAAUGUAUCCCCAUACAAACGUCUUGCAUUACAAUUAUAAGACUUGUUGAGACUUUUUUGAACCUUACUCUCAACGUAAGGGGUCAACCCACCAGACAACCUCCCUGUAAAAUUUGAUAUUUUAAUAAAAAUAGUAGCACAAUAAAAAAAACUAAAUAUAACAAUCUCCCUUACCAGCCAGUUCGGCCCGUUCAGCAUACUUUGAUUGUAUCGACGUGGUGGUUAACUCAAUUAUCGUUGUUAUAGGAAACUCACGUGAGGAUAUAAUUUGCAAAAUUUCAGGGACGUCAAUCGAUUUAACAUUGUAACGUAUUUUUGGGAAAAAUGCUCUUGUCCAUUUUGAAAUCGGUAUAUCGUCAAGCCAGUAAAUUGGACUCAUAAGCAAGGUGCAGAAAGGUGGUUUCCUACAUGUACUUUGCAACCUUUCCAAACACAAGUAAAAAUCAUCAACGCUAUAUGCAUUGCAUGACUUCCAAAACAACGAUUCGACUUCCGUAUUGUUAUGUCCGACAGACUCACGUAUCUUUCGAGCUAUAUCUUUAGGACAAUAUCCAUGAUAGGAAUCCGGGUAGGCACUCUGAACACCAAAGUCUAUUUUAUCACACAGGUUGCUUAUGAAACCAACCUCUAUGUCCUCACCUAAACAAUCUUUUAACCUCAUCAUGAACCAUCUCCAUGAUUCUUCACACUCUAAGGUUCCCAAACCAAUUGUUAAGAGUAGUGGUUCAUGAUUUCCAUCUAAAGCCACUGCGAAGUACAUUGUUGUCAAAUAGCUCCCAAGAAGGGGUAAAUAAUCCACAUAUAUCAGCGGUAUCAUCCACCUAAGGAAGGUACAAAUCUACAUAAAAACGAACACAUAUUAGUGAUAAGUAAAAACUAAUCGAGAUACAUUACCAUGAAAUAUUAUAUAACUCAAUAAAAGAAGUAUGUUAUACCACGCAACCUAAAGCCAUAAAACAGAAUUGAAAGCGGUUGGUAUCGGUUUUCUUAAUGCCUGUGAAGGUAUUAGGAUUUGUUCUUUGAAGGCUAUGCAAGAAAAUUGGUAGUUGAGAAAAGCUUCUUUCGCUGUAAGUACUCAUUUUCAAUACCGAUGAUAGUGCUCUACAAUCAUCACACAAAUGCAAUAUGAAACAAAUGCAAUUAUAAAUAGAAAAUAUUGUAUCUCUACUGUUUAAAAUUCAUAGUUUAAACUUUUAAAUUCAUAGUCAAACUAGUUCAUUUCAUAGUCAAAUUUCACUGUCCGACAUGACAAUACUACAUAAUGUACUUGUCUGGAUUUCGUGGUUCAACUUUUUGAAUUCAUAGUCAAACUAGUUCAUUUCAUAGUCAAAUUUCACUGACCGACAUGACAAUACUACAGAAUGUACUUGUCUGCAUUUCGUAGUUCAACUUUUUGAAUUCAUAGUCAAACCAGUUCAUUUCAUAGUCAAAAAGAUUUGUCUGUAAUAUGAUUUCUUCUAUAAAUGGGUGUCACCCAGUAUGAAAAUUUUAACUGAGAAAGUAACUCCGAUUUGAAAGAAAAAUAAGGCUAAUGGCAUACUGCAAUUGCGGAGGAGAACGUAUCGUUAGGAUUUCAGGUACAGCUAAAAACCCAGGAAGAUUGUUUUACGCUUUCCCAUAUUUGGUAUCAUGUUAUUACGUCAUUCAAAUUUAAACCCUCGUGUUUACAUGACAAAAUUUAUUUUCUUACUGUCAAUGUUAAAUUUAACAGGGACCAAAAUGCGGGUUUAUCAGUUGGGUUGAUGAAGAGAAGGACCAAUCAUCUAUGGUAAUAGCUAAAGUAGCUAACUCUAAUAAGCUCUUUCAAUCAGAAAAUAAGAAGUUAAAGAUAGCAUUGGUUUGUAGUUGGGUGUUGUUCUUGGCAGUUCUUGUUUACAAGUUGUAAGGUUUUCAAUAUUGUUUUUAUGGUUUUGAAGUUGUUAGGUCAAUAAAUUAUUGUAUUUGUAACGUUAAAACAAAUGUUGUAGUCGUUCUUAUGUUGUAUGUAUUGAUAAGUUAUUAGUAGGUCAUUAAUUUGUUGUAAUUGUCGUAACGUUAAAUUUUUUGUCAUCCGUUGAGUAAACUGUAAAAAUAAACUAAUAAUCAAAUCCAACAUUAAUUUAGAUAUACAAUUAUAUAAUCCAACUACAUAGGACCAAGACUAGACCCCCAAAAAAUUUUUGCCAUCCGUUGACGGAACUCUAAAGCUGCGUUCUUUGGGUCAAUAAGAACACGUAUUGGUUGACCUGAAACGAAUUGCUNGCAAGACUAGACCCCCAAAUAAUUUUUGCCAUCCGUAGACGGAACUCUAAAGCUGCGUUCUUUGGGUCAAUAAGAACACGUAUUGGUUGACCUGAAACGAAUUGCUCCAUAAACAUACAAACAAAAACACCGCAAUCUCCCAAAUGACUACUUUGUUGGGGAACAUUUUCUUCAUAAAUGAAUUGCAUAUUCAAUGGAAUCCUUGGGAUGUUCCUCCGGGCCCAAUACUUAAUCUUGUCCAAAUAAUUUGCCACCCGACGUUCAAAUUUGGAAAAGAUUCCUUCAGAUUUGAAUUUUUCAUAAGCCCCUCUACCAAGACUGUCAUAAAUAUGCACUUCCAUUGACGCUAAUUAUAGUUCCCCAAAUAGCCAAUGAUUAGGGGAUGAAUGAAUCGGCAAUAAGACCUGUAUAAGGAUCAUAAAAUAAAAUUAUGUUUUUUAUAUCACAAUACAAAAACAUAACAAAAAUAACGAUAUUAUUUUCAAUAUAAACAAUAAAGUUUACCGUAUCAACAUCCCACCAGGCAACCAUGAAGUUGGGGUACGUAGCAAUACCAGCCAUAAACGCUCUCCAGUCCUGUCCUUCUUCCAAAGCAUGAGAAACAAAAAAAUUUGGAGGCAUUAUUGUAUGUCGGUCGCUCUCAAACCGUCUCUCCAUCAAUAGUCGGUACCAAAUGGUUAUAUGCUGCACACAUGAUACUUUUGUUAUUGACUAAAAAACAAUUAACUUUUAAAAUAAUAAAUUAACAAUUAAUUUACCGAUGACUCCAACCAUCCGUCGUGUGUAUGCCCAAACAAUGAGCUCCAAAAAUCUCUAUCUAACACGAAAUUAAACAAACGGUGUUGGACAUCAUAUGAAUGCAAUACAUAAUUUUGGAUGACAUCCUCACCGCCUGCUACGUAAGGUUGCAGGCGCAACAUGGAGAAGUCAUGAGCAACACCAAAAACUGGAGGAGGAACGGAGCUUGUUGAUUUGAUAUCAACCUUCUUUUUUGUUCUUUUUUUUUUGCUUCGAUGUCGUGUGCAACUAAAAUCAAUAUUCAAAUGUUUAAAUCUAUAUCUUUCAGAUAAUUCACAUAAACAUAAAAUCAUGAGUUUAUAAAUAAAACGAAUACCUCGGUGUAAGGAGGGCACAAAUAUUGUGAUGGUUUUCGAGUCCUCGGUUUAUCGGGUGUAACUUCUUUGCCAUCAUACUCAUCAAAAUAAUCUACAAUUCCCGUAAUUAUUAUUUCAUCUUCGUCCGACACCUAAUUUAAUAAACAAUAAUCUCUAAUUAAAAAAAUGUUUCAAUAUACUAAAAACAAAAUAUAAAUUAAUGUAAGUAUAAGAACCUCUUUAGCUUCAUUAUAAUCAUUUACGUCAAACACAUCAUCAUCAAAUUUGUUCCCCGCUUUGUCAUUCCUCUCCUCCGACUCCUACAUUAAAAAUAAAACUUUAUACUUAAUAACGAAAUACACAUAAUUUAAUAAGCAAUAAUAUCUAAUUAAAUAAAUGAUUCAAUCUACUAAAAACAAAAUAUAAAUUAAUGUAAGUAUAAGAACCUCUUUAACUUCACUAUAAUCAUUUACAUCAAACACAUCAUCAUCAAAUUUGUUCCCCGCAUAGUCAUUCCUCUCCUCCAACACCUACAUUAAAAAUAAAACUUUUUACUUAAUAACGAAAGANACACUUUAUUAAAAAGUAAUUAUUAAAAUCGUAAAGGUAACAUCUAUAACAACCUUGUCGUCUUGAGUAUCACCAAAAACAUUUUCAGUUGUAUUGUUUUUAUUCAUCACUUCAUCUUGCACAACCUAUAUUUUCAAAUAUAAAAUAUGAACCCAUGUAUUCAUAUAUGUUAAUAAAAAUUUAAAAAAUAAUGUAGCGUGUAACUAACAUGUUCAUCAUAUUUUCUUUGUGACACUAUCGGAUCAUCAAAAGUAAUGUCAUUCCAAUAUUGUUCAGUUUUCACUUCUUCAACAAAAACCUCUGUAGGUUGUCGGUUCAUAAACACAUGCUGCUCCAGUGCAUGUAGCCGUUUCAACACCUCGUCUAGGUUGUGUUUCCCACUGCCCCUACCUCUACCAUGAGAGCGACCACUGGACGACAUACUAGACGAAGAUUCGUCUUGUCUCCUAAAAUGGUCCCGUACUGGGGAUGGAACUGCUUUCCCUUCACCAUAUACAUACUCUUGAAAUGACAUAUAAUAAAAAGAUGUCAUCUCACCAUCACCCGGUAACAUGUUUUGUCUUGGUGGUAGCCCCUCCUAAAAAAUUAAACAUAUUAAAAAUGCAUAUAAAACUAUAAUAAUCAACUUUAUUAAUAAUAAACGAAAUAUUUUUAAACCUGCAUCUUUGACCAAAUCUUGUUCACGUCAACCCAUUUCAAUUUUUUUGUUCCGCUCCAUCUUUUCAUCCGAGGCAAGUCUUUAUUUUUUCUCAAUGCAAAUCCACAUGCACGAACAGCCGGAAUCAUCUCAUAUAUCCAUAUCUACAAUUUUUUACAAUUACAGUAAUAAAAGUUAAAAUUAAAAUAAAAAACAUAACAAUAAAACAAUUUAAAUAUAAGAAAAUUUUUAUACCCUUAUUGGAGCCGUAAAUCCUGAGACGGAGUACUUUAAAGUUUGACCACGCUCAGAAAGUGAUAAAUAAUUAUGUAUUUUGUUCCAUGUAUCCUCAAGGUCAACAUAAGUAAAAUCCCAGAGAUAGCUACCCCAAGCGAAGCUAACAAAACAAAAAAACAAAAUUGGUUAUUAUAUAAAUUAUAACUUUAAUAAAAUAGAACUUUUAACGUAAACAAAAUAUACCUGUUCCAGAGAUCCAAAUUCUCAGCCAAAAAAAACCAAUCUUGUGGCACCCGAUCAUUAACUUCUUUUCCCAAAAAACCUUCACACAAAAUGUAUAUCAAACAUACUCUAACUGCAUCAACGUCGUCAAGUGCUAGGAAUGUUCGAUUUAAAAUUAAACGUUUCAGGUCGCCGAUUUUCACCGAACUAUUAGUAUGGUCCGGAAAUAGCCGUUCACGCAAUAAACAUCUUUUUUUACUGCUUAAUAAUUUUUCCGACCCUUUUCUCCCAAUGUUUUUUGGAUACUCCCCAAAAUUGAAGCCGGUUAUCAAACAAAACUCUUCCGGCCCAUAAACCAUUUUCGUAUUGCCUACUCGAAAAUAUAAUCGUUUUAUUCCAUCUGGAGAUAAAACAGGGUCCGGCCGGAUCUGAUGAAGGAACAUUUUAUGGAACAACAAUGCGUCCCCUUGUAAACGAGGGACAACAAUAAAAUAACCAAAUACGGUAUCUCUGAAAAUGGCACGUCUGACAUCAUCUAAAACUUCAAAUACUUCCCAUAUGUUACCUCCCGAACCUUUUAAGUUCGCAAAGGCUUUCAUAUUGAUAAAACUAAAAUCAUACUGCAAAAAAAACACAAAAACAAAUUAGAGAACUAAAAAAUAUUUUGUUUUUAAAAUAUAUGAUUACGAACUGCAAUAAGUACAUAAACAAUUAGUAAUGCAAAUACAAUUUCUUAAUUAAUAAUUUAUAUAUUUCCGAUAAAAAACAAUAACAUACACAUAUAUAAACAAUUUUCCAAGUUAUACAACAAAUAUAUUUACGAUAAAAAACAAUAUCAUACAUAAUUAUAUAAACAUUUUAUUAAACAAAUUUUCAACUUAAACGACAAAUAUAUAAACAAUUUUUAUCUUUUUAAUUAUAUAAACUAACAUUUUAUAACCAUAUAAACAAACAAUUUUUCAAAUAAAACGACAACCAAAUUAACAAUUUUGCAAGUUAUACGACAACUUUAUACAAAUUUUCAACUUAUACGACAAACACAAACAAUUUCUAACAAUAUAUAUAUGACAAAUUUUCAACUUAUACAAAUGUUAUACUUAUACAACAAAUAUAUAUACAAAUGACUAUUUUGCACAUACUAUAAUUUAACUAUUUUUCACAUUAUAUAAACAAUUAUACGAUAACAAUAUACAAGUUUUCAGGUUAUACAACAUCUAAACAAACAACAAAAAUAACAAAUUGUAAAUAUUAUCUACGCACUCUCUACUUGUACAUUCAAACAAACCCUCACAAAAUAGCAUUUAAACUUCAAGUAUACUAAAGAAAUAUUAAAACUAUCAAACACAACAAAAUUACCCUUUUUAACAGUAAAUAAUACAAUAAAUGAUAAAAAAAAUGUUUAAACAUUAAAAGAGUUAAAAUCUAACCAUAUUUGCGGGAUUAUAGACAUAAUCCUCCAUUUUCUUCAAAAACUAGCCAAAAUCGCGAGAAAAGCCCAAAGAUAGAGAGAGUUAGGGAGAGUUUUUGUGUAGAGAAGGAUGAAAAUGGAGAAAAAAAUACGUUUACAUAGUGAAAGGAAGGGGAUUUCGCAGAUAGCAUCUUAAUUUCGCAGAUGGAGUAUGCCAUCUGCGAAAGUACAAGCAGCUAAAGCACAGCUGUGCUUUAGCAGCUUGUACUUUUGCAGAUGGGAUGCUGAUUUUGCAGAUGAGGCAUUUCCAUCUGCGAAAUCGUUGGCUAUUUUUGUAAUUUCGAUUUUUUUUGGCUAUUUUUGUAAUGUAAUUAGUGUAAAUGGCUAUUUUUGUAAUUUUGGCAUCUCAAAGAAUCUGCGACACAUAUAAUAAGUGCCACUACAAAAGCUCCCACUAAAACCCCUUAGUGAUACUUUUUGUUUUUGCCGCUGCAGUUUUUUAGGCUUUUAGUGGCACUUUUUUGUUUGUCGCGAUAUAAGAAAAGUUUUUUGUGGCACAUAUUCUAUGCCAUUGAACGCUUGUAUUAUUGAAGAAUUCAUGCUACUUUUAGUUACACAUUUUAAGAUUUUAGUGACAUUUUUAUUUGUCACAAUAAAAAAGUAGUUUGUGGCACUUAUUUAUUUGUCACAAUAGAAAAAAUGGUUUUUGUGGCACAUAUUUUGUGCCACUAAAAGGUCAUGUGAUUGAAUGAUUUUUUUUAAAUAUUGGUUACAUAUUUUAUGAUUUUAAUGGCAUUUUUCUAUUUGUCAGCAUACAAAAAAAAAUAUUUAAUAUAUAUUUUGUGUCACAUUUUGUAUCGUUAACUAUGAGAAUAUAUAAUUUAAGCUACUUAUGUCUAUAUAGUUUUUAUAUUUAAUAUAAAAUAAAAAUGAAUAAUUAAGUCGUAGUACGCAGAAAAUAACAAAAUACAUCCAAAUAUGAUGGCAAAAUUGUAAUAUUUCACCUAAUAAGAGUCAUGUAAUAGAAUUAAAAAAAACUCACAAAUUACUAACAUAAUCUUCUUGUCUAAGAUUCUUUACAAUCUCAUUCUAGAAGGGUUAAUAUCUAGCAGCAUCAAACUUCUCUUUUACAAGGACCUGAUUAAUUACCUUAAGAGAAUUCUUGCAAAAUAUAAUUAAACAUUAAUAUAAUAGAAAAUUGAUUCAACAAAUUAUGUUACAGAAAGAGAUCAAAAAAACCUGUUAGAAAGAGGAAUGUGGAGAUUAUCCAUGAAUGCUUCGGGGAACCUCUCAAAGAUUUUGUGGACACAACUCAAAGACCUAAUCUUAAAGCAUUAAGAAAAAAACGAAUUAGUUUUUAGUCAAUAUGGAAAAAUAGAUUAUAAAUUAGUUUUUUAAGAAGUAUGCAUGUCUUUCUAGUGAGGUUUUACACAUUAUGUGUGCACACAAGGACGAAAAGGUAAAUUUACCUCAACAAGACAAUCUCUAGCUCCAAGCAAGAAACCAACAACAACAAAUAUAAUAAUGUAAAAUAUAUAGAUGUCUGAAAGAUAGAUCUACAAUUCAAACAUAUAUAUGAGCAUCAAGAGAAAUAAAGUAAAAAAAGCAAGCAAAAUACAAACAUAAUGUUUCGAUAAUGUGAAUUUUCCAAUUAAAUUGUUAUAUAACAAUUGAUUCAUUGAAAUUAAAUUUUCAUAGAAAAAUGUUUAUAACUUAUCAAUAUUAAAUUUUGACACACUAUUGGCAUAAUCCUAUUGUAGUAGUAACUAUACUAGUGUUAGAUUUGGAUUAGAGACUCACUAGCGAAUACCAUUAUUGUAGGAAUCGAUAGUGGUACGAGUGGAGCGUAGAUCAAGGCAUCACUUGUAUCAUCUCAAUGCAUUGUGAGUAUUCACACACUCCCUUAUUUUCAGUUUUUAAAUGUUUUGGGUUGGAAAAGCAUGUCCUAAACUAUUUUUAUGUUCGUUGUAUUUAUUCUGACUUGUAUGAAACUUGGUUGCUAUAUUUCGUAUGUAUGUGUAUGUUACUUUAAUUCAUGAGGACUGUAUCGCGGUUAAGUCCUUGGAAUCUCUAUACACAACUCAUUAACUCUUUUGAGCCUAUGCUUAUUAAGGAUAGCGUUAUCAGGAGGUAGACAACUCCUCACUCGCAGGAUUCGCUUGAGUGCAUUUUACCAAUUUAUACAUUACAUUUGCGAUACACAUAGUAGUCAAUAGGGCACGAUUCGGUCAUUAGGCUUGGGUUGUGAACUCAUGAAUGGAAACUUGAUGCACGUACUAUUCUUUAUGCACAUACGAAACAUGUAUUCCCAUGUGAGCAACGACAUUUGUAUACUUAUUUUAGCAAUGAAACUUGAAUACUUAUUUUAGCAACGAAACUCGUUGCUCAUUAUAGCAAUAAAAUUGUUUAUCAAUUAUAGCAAUCAACUUUGUUUCUCAUUAUAGCUAUAAACCUUGUAUCUCAUUAUAACAACGAACUUUUGUUACUAAAUACUUAUUUACUUGUUUUAGCAACAAACUUGGUUGCUUCUUAUAGUAACAAACUUGUUUGCUCCUUGUAGCAAUGAAACUUGAUUACUCAUUUUAGUAACAAACUUUAUUUCCCAUGAGGUUAUGAACGUUGCAUCUCUUUUGGGCAACAUACUUUAUUUCUCAUGAUGAGAACGAACUUUGUUUACACAAACUUAUUUACUCAUUUUAGCAAUAUCUUUUUAUCUAUGGAAACUUAUAUCAAAAUUUUGAUUUCGAUUUAUGAAACCAAUACUAUUUUUAAACUUGUGAGUACUCACCAACUAUUUUUAUAGUUGACUCUUGUUUUACAUGCUUUUCAGGAAUCAUCGAGUAAGUGGCACUUAGGGACACUUCACUUUUAGGAGCAUUCACAUGUGUUGUAUUUCAAUUUACAUUGUAAUUUCUUUUAAAAGUUGUUCAAACCCAUUGUAAAUUUGUAAUGAUUUUUAAUACUAUGGUUGGUGUUGUCUUUUAACUUUUGCUAUGAAACCCUUUAUACUGCCACGCCUCGUGUUUUUGCUUUAGCGGGGUGUGACAGGAAAUGGCAUCAGAGCCGAAGGUUAUAGAGAAUACCGGUUUUCCUUUGGAAAACCACAACUAUAGCCAAUAAUUUUCUAAACGUUUAUAAAGUACUUAAGAUACUACUGGUAUAACUAAUUCGAGUACGCAUUAUUGGACUCUAAUUAAGUAUAGCCUGGCCAACUAUGAUUAAUUAAGGAAAGUUAAUGUAAGGCUGGAAAUGGUUAUACAAGAAUUUUGUUCAAAACAAUUUUCAACUUAAACUUUUGAAAAAAAAAGUUUUUCGGUGUGCGUACGGGCAUUACAUAUUAUAGGCAUUCAUCUAGGUACACUUAGAAACUAAGUGCACUUUUACCACAAUGUCUUAUUUAGAAAUAUUCUUGUCCCUUAUCAAGUGCUAGGUUAACCACUUAGGUUAUAUCACUAGCCACUCUAGGAUCAAUGCACUUAGUACUAAGAAUGGGUAUUCCUUAGUAGCUAUUGACUUUAGAUGUAAGGUUAGUAGCUAGAUAUAUACUAGUAAUAAUCACAAGUCGAAACCUAUACCAAUUAUUCCUCAAUACCUCUUCAUCGUCUUUGUACUAGAGUUACAACUAUGAAAAAGUGUUUCGGUAUCGACACGAAUGAUAAUUGGAGCAUCGCGUAAGGAGGUAGAUGAGUCGCCACUAAGUAAUCACUUGUAUACCAUUGGUGGGCAUUCCGGAUUCAACUCAUGAGGAGACACGAAAGUUUAACCCAUACGUGAGACAUUAUUACUAUGCUACGAUUUAGCUCUACGUUGUUUCCACCUUGAGCUUAAAACUUAACAUAGAAUAUCCCUUUGACCUCUAUAAAAGGGUCAUAAACUGCAUUGACACCAUAACACGUUUUACUAACAAAUUUUCUUGUCGUUUAUCUUGGGGAAAAGACAUCGGUACUCGCAUUAGUAUUUAAGUACGAUUAGCUACACUAACAUACUUAUUCGUUACCUAUUAGUCUUCCAUCGAAAAGUUAUUUCGUUUCAUUGGUUUUAUUUAUCAUCGAUAAAAUAUUUUAUAUCCACUUCAUUCAACUUAGUAGACAUUUCCUAACAAUUUAAGCCAUAUUCUCGCUAAAACUCUUUUGACAACUUGCUUUAAUUUAAUGCUUUUCUCCAAAACUCAACUUAACCAAUAUUGGUUUUUACCUUGCUAUUUCAAUUUCAUUUCAAAUCCAUUUCAAUGGAUAGAUGUGCUUUUAAGGGCAUAGAAACCAUUUAAACCUUGAUUAACAUUUUGGCACGUUUUCGAAAAACUUAGAAACAUUUUCUUUUAUAAAAGUGUUUAAAUUCUAUGCUAUAAAACUUAAACAUAUGACAUUGAAGUUCUUAUUAUGUGAAAAAGUUUCAUCAAAUCUUUAAAACACUUUUGUUUUGACACUUUUAACAACUUUGUCAUUUAGACAUUGUAAUUUACUUUGAUGUGUUUUAUCUAAACCCAACAUGAUAUUUAUGCAAAUUUCUACUUCAAACACGUUUAUAAGACAUCUCUAAUGCUUGUAUUUCAAAACAUACCUUAUUUGUGUACUUUGCUUUAAUAUGGUUUUAUAAUCUAUAAAGUUUUUAAAAUUUAUAACAUUUGAAAACUUGGUGUUCACUUUUAAAUUUCCACUGAUACACUCUUAACAAUGAAUAAUUAUUCUUCUAAAUAUAUUGAGUCUUUACCUUAUCCAUUUUAAUCAUUGUUGGACUCAAGCCUAAAAGGGUCAAGACUGUCAGAUUUUCAAUUACCAGUUGUAGUGCUUCUUCUUUUUCACAAUUACAGUUUAACUUAAUAGAUAACUCGUGAAUUUUUAGCAAUCCUUAGCAAACACUUUAAAACUCUCAUAUGUUUAUUUAAUCAUCAAUAUACAUCAAAUAUUGAAGCUUGAAAUAUAUCUCAACCUGGUAUUAAAUCUACCUAUAGGUAUUGUUUUUAUAAUUUUAACAAUAACAAUCAUUGUCGCUGCUACCUUCCUUUUUCUUUCCUCCAAACUUUAUUUCUCCAUCUCCUUCUGAUUUUAGAUCUCGCACGCCAUAAUAUUAACAUAAUACAUUGUCUAACUCUGUUUCUAUCUAUUUUACUUCUCUUGGUACCAUGUUCGUACACAUAUAGACUAGAAGUCUACCCUUUCGUUUUGAGCGAUUAAUACGUAUAUAGUCGUGAGGCACACUUUUGAUUUAGUCAAUUUUAAUAUAUUCAAUUACGCCUUUUAUCAUAUACAUCUCGUUUUUAUUUUUAAAUCUACUAUAAACAAGUGAUCCUUAUUAACAUUUGCUCUUACGUUCUAAAUUCAGAAACUUGAUAUAAAAUGCAAUUUCCAUUAUAUUUUUCCUUAUAAUUAAUACACAAUAUGAAUACUCUUAUGCUUAGCAUUUUUCUACAUUCGGAAAUUAUAUGUGAAGGAUAUGUUUCCUUAUGUUUCUUCUAUUAUUUAAAUACAUCAAAAGUCUUGAAUUUUUAUUAUAUAUUCUCUAAAUGAUUGUUUUUGUAGUAACACUAAAUUAAGAAUCCCUUAUUUUCAAUGAUAGAUAUUUUUACACCUUUCUUAAAAUAGCAUUCUACUUUGUAAUUUUCAUUGAGUUCCUAAACUCUCAACUUUGUUCAUAUAAAUAUUUUGACUCGUAAGCUUGAAUUUGUCCCGACUUAGACAGUUGGACAAUUUCUCAAAAAUUUAAUACAAAUAUUUCUAUACAAAUUCCUUUAUUGAUGACUUAAACCUUUAAUUAAUCUUUAUACUAUUUUACUACUUUGUUGGAUUGCCAAACAUGUAUUUUCAUUAUCUUGGAAUUAUUACAUAUUUUGAUAACAAUGAGAUUUUUAUCACUUCUAAAACACUUAAAAGGCUAUCUGCACAAUGAGAUUUAAUCGCGUCCAUUUGCAACAUUGACUCUCUAAAUAUAUAUAUUCUUCGAAUAUAGAUCUAUUAUUGUAAGAGUAACCGUAGUAGUAACUAUAGCCUCGGACACCCUCAAUCAUUUCGUAACUUAUUUUGUAGACGACACUUAAAUAGCCUUUACAUUUGAGAUGUACCAAAACUUCGUUGCCUACCCUUAUUACGUAUUUUUAGGAACUUUCCCUCGAUCGCUUCUAAUUCAUUCGUGCUACCCCUUCUUAUUUUGAAAUAUAUCUUUUCCAGAUGUAGUAGCCAACCCGGAAGUGAACAAAUUAUUCCUAAUCUCUUCUUUACUAGGCGGCGAAUUUACACUUAGUGCUAAUUUAGAACGCGACUUAAGGAUCAAUGCAGACUUAACGCUGAAUGCAGUUGGUGCUUCAGCAAAAAUUAUAACUCUCUUGAUUCAGAUAAUAUCUAAAUGAAUAAUCUUUUCAAUUAGGUUGCCAUGGUUUGAACGUGAUUCCCAUUAUCCUAAUUUCUCGCAAUCAAGGCUGUAGAACACGAAUUAAGGAACCACUAAAUUGUUGAUAGCAAAAAGAAUUGGGCUUUUCCCUUGAGGAAUUAACCCAAAAUAAUCAAAGAACACUGAAAGUCACCACCUCUCCAGCUAUACAAUUGUAUUCGGCUGAGUUCUAAUAGAAUACGUCACGAAUCGAAUUUCGAGACGAAAUUCUUUCAACCGGGGGAGACUGUGACAACCGUCAAAAUUCGAGUCGGUUCUAGAUUUUACUAAACUUAGUUGCACAUAUAGGCACAAUACAUACUAGACUUAGUAACUAGAAACUAAGUUAUAACCUACUAGAAACUUGGAAACAAUUAGAAACAAUGGAUAGCGUACUUAGAUUUCACAUUGAUAGAUGAAUUCUACAUCCAUUUAACUAUAGUGACUAUCCAUAUUCGGAUCACUCUUUGGCUCGAACACCUUUUUCAUUAAUCAUAUACACACAUCAUGCUCUUGACCUAGAAGUAUAAAUUAGGUCAAAGUCUCAUAGAAACUUAAGUCAAAGUUGAAGACUAGGACUAGUAUACCUGAUUCCUCAAUUUUGAUUGAAUCUCGGACUCACUACAUAGAAUGCCAAUAAACCGAUAAAAAUAAAUUACAAACAUUAAUUAUAACUAUAAAAGAGUUAUAAUACCAUAAGAUAAUUUAAAGUCUCAAAUAUUCUAUUUAUUUUGAUAUCCAAAGAUUUACAAACUCUCAAAAACCCUAAAUGCCCUAAAAACUCACAUUUAUGAACUUUAACCUUAAAAAUUAUAUAAAAAUAAUUAUGAAACUUAUAAUAUGAUCUUAUAAUAAUUAAAAUUAUGAAAAUUCAUUUAAGUAAAAUAAAAUUGAAGUCAAUAACAAUUAGCCUAAAUUUAUAAAGCAAAAUAAAGGUUUUAUGAAUAAAAACUUGAUUUUAGUGUAUAUUUUAUAAAAAAAGUUUGAUAUUUUUAUAAAAGAUUUAAGUUUUUAUAAAAGAAACAAGAGAGAGGGAGCCUCUCUCACCCAAAAUCUCGGCCUCCCCUUUCCCAAGACCCUCCUCCUCUUCCCAAUACACCAUUUUCCCAAGUCAUUAAUCAAUUUCACUCACCUACUCCAUCUCUUUCUCUCACACUCCCUCACUUCAUUUUCUCUCUAUUCUCUCUUCCUCUCUCCCUCAACCACGAAAUUCUCCAGAAAAUGGGUCAGAGAGCACACCAUGAACUCUAAAUCUUAAUCAUCUUGAGGUGUUCUUAAAGGUAAACCCGAAAAUCAUUCAUUUUCCUUCUCUUUUCCUUCAAGUUUUACUUGUUUUUGAUGCAUUUUCUCCAUCUUGUACCCCAUUCUAUUGUAAAAUCAUGAACAUUUGCACCUACUCACGGUUUUCAUGAUGAUGAUUUCACCCAAAAACAAUAUGCAUGUUGUAAAUGGUGAAAUCCAAGGACCUAAACCUAAGUCAAAAUAAAGGAAAUGCACUUUUCUACAUGUUUUGGUGGAAAAUCACCACAUGCAUCCAAAGUUUUCUUUCAAAAAUGAAUUUUAAACAUUUCAAACUCAUAAAUGAUCUUCAAACAAACAUGCAUGUGAUGAUCUUCAAGCUUAGAUGCUAGAUCAUCAAAGUAUGUUGUUAAAAGCUUUCAAAUAUAUUCAUGAAUGAUUUAUUUCCAAAUAAAUAUCUAAAACUCAUUUUCUGACCAAAUCUGAUUUUUCCCAGAUUCCCAUCAACAAAAUAAGAUGCUCUGUAAAUUUCCAGAAGAUAAUUCAUUUAUCUCGAAUUACUAUAAUUAAUGCAAGAAAAUAGGGAAAUAAAUCAUACAAAAUAUGUUUUGAGGUCUAUAAAUACUAGGAAACUUUGCAGAUGACCCCAAUUCUAAAUAAUGACUUCAAAUUAAAUUUCAUGGAUUUUUGUUACUGUUUAACAUGGUUUUGAAAUUUCUUUUUGUUUGGCUCCAAUAAAUCAUAAAACCACUUUAGAGAAGGUUAAAGGGCUGCCUAGCAAUUUUCACAGCUUCAUCCAUAUGUUAAAGAUUUAGAAAAAUAUUUUCAGAAAUUUUCAUUAUGCAUUCCUAUUUUUCCCCGAUUUUUGUAUUUAUAAUGGCCUAAAAACAGAAAAAAUAAUUCUGCUCAUCCAAAAAUUAUGAACAUUUACCAGAACACCUUGUAAUACAUUAGGAGAGUACAUAAAAGUUUUGAUGAUUUUUCUCUUCUUUAUACUAUUUUUCUCCUAUUUUCUAAGAUUAAAUACACUUAAAUACACAAAAACGAAUUUCAAUAUACAAAAACCACAUUUGGUCUUUUUCUCAGAUUAUUUACACAGUAAAUGAACUUUACAAAAAAUUUGGUAAUUUACUUUAACUGUUUAAUAAUUAUUCUCCAAUUAAUGAUUAUUUAAGAGGAUAAAACAAUGAAAAAUAGAAAGACUAAUUGAAAAAUACCUUUUAUAUUUUUUGCAGGUUCUACAUGUAUAAUAAAAGUGUUAUGAAAACUUUGGGAAAUUUUGGAAACUGUUUCCUAUUUAUUUCAAUUUUUAUUAUGAUAAAUGCUCAAAAAUCAUAAAAUUUGGUUAAACAGUUUAGAAAUCAAUUUUUAUAUUUUUCCCAGCUUAACAAUGUUUAAUAACACUAACAAAAAAAGUUUGGGUAAUUUUGAAAACUGAUUUCUAUGUUUCAUGAAUUUGUAUCUAUUUAGAGAAUUAAAUAUAUGAAAAAUGGUUAUGCAUACUCAUAAUCCAUAAAAAUUUAUCUAGAAGUCUUUUGAUACAUUUAGAACGAAAAUCUGAAGUUUGGUAAUUUUUAUUAACUGUUUAGUAUUUUUCAUGAUUUUACGGUUAUUCAAGAAACUAAAAUGGUGAAAAAUAGUUAGACAAAUCAAAAGGUCAAGAAAACUUAUCUUGAGGUCUUUAACUUCAUUAAAAAGCUGAAAUGCAAAGUUUGGGAAAUUUUAGAAUUAAAUUGAUUUAGCUUUUGAAUAUUAAAACAUUGGAACACCUCUUAAAAUGUUAAAUAUUAGCAUUUCAAUAAUGUGAAUUUUCCAAUUAAACUGUUAUAUAACAAUUGAUUCAUUGAAAUCAAAUUUUCACAAAAAAAUGUUUAUAACUUAUCAAUAUUAAAUUUUGACACACUAUUGGCAUAAUCCUAUUGUAGUAGUAAGUAUACUAGUGUUAGAUUUCGAUUAGAGACUCACUAGCGAAUACCAUUAUUGUAGGAAUCGAUAGUGGUACGAGUGGAGCGUAGAUCAAGACAUCAUUUGCAUCAUCUCAAUACAUUGUGAGUAUUCACGCACUCCCCUAUUUUCGGUUUUUAAAUGUUUUGGGGUGGAAAAGCAUGUCCUAAACUAUUUUUAUGUUCGUUGUAUUUAUUUUGACUUGUAUGAAACUUGGUUGCUAUAUUUCGUAUGUAUGUGUAUGUUACUUUAAUUCAUGAGGACUGUAUCGCGGUUAAGUCCCUGGAAUCUCUAGACACAACCCAUUAACUCUUUUGAGCCUAUGGUUAUUAUGGAUAGCGCUAUCAGGAGGUAGACAACUCCUCACUCGCACGAUUCUCUUGAGUGCAUUUUACCAUUUUAUACACUAUGUUUGCGAUACACAUAGUAGUCAAUAGGGCACGAUUAGGUCAUUAGGCUUGGGUUGUGAACUAAUGAAUGGAAACUUGAUGCACGUACUAUUCUUUAUGCACAUACGAAACUUGUAUUCCCAUGUUAGCAACGACACUUGUAUACUUAUGUUAGCAAUGAAACUUGAAUACUUAUUUUAGCAACGAAACUCGUUGCUCAUUAUAGCAAUAAACUCGUUUAUUAAUUGUAGCAAUCAACUUUGUUUCUCAUUAUAGCAAUAAACCUUGUAUCUCAUUAUAACAACGAACUUUUGUUACUAAAUACUUAUUUACUUGUUUUAGCAACCAACUUGGUUGCUUCUUAUAGUAACAAACUUGUUUGCUCCUUGUAGCAAUGAAACUUGAUUACUCAUUUUAGUAACAAACUUUAUUUCCCAUGAGGUUAUAAACGUUGCAUCCCUUUUGGGCAACAUACUUUAUUUCUCAUGAUGAGAACGAACUUUGUUUACACAAACUUAUUUACUCAUUUUAGCAAUAUCUUUUUAUCUAUGGAAACUUAUAUCAAAAUUUUGAUUUCGAUUCAUGAAACCAUAUUAUUUUUAAACUUGUGAGUACUCACCAACUAUUUUUAUAGCUGACGCUCGUUUUACAUGCUUUUUUAGGAAUCAUCGAGUAAGUGGCACUUAGGGACACUUCACUUUUAGGAGCAUUCGCAUGUGUUGUAUUUCAAUUUACAUUGUAAUUUCUUUUAAAAGUUGUUCAAACCCAUUGUAAAUUUGUAAUGAUUUUUAAUACUAUGGUUGGUGUUGUCUUUUAACUUUUGCUAUGAAACCCUUUAUACUGCCACGCCUCGUGACUUCGCUUUAGCGGGGUGUGACAAUCUUUUAGUCACAAAAUUAAUUUCCUAAUUAAUUCUUGACUAAUAUUAAUUAAACAAUAUGAUUUCUCCUUUAGUAUAUUAUUCAUAUAAUAUAUUAAUAAAUCAUAAUUAAUCUAUUUCUCCAUAAAUCAUCUGUCACACCCCGUAAACCAAGGCGGAAACAUUUCCGGGGCGGACGCCACGUUGAGUAUCAAAUCCAAUACACAUAGUAAGCAAAGUAAACAACCAUUACAUUACAUAUNGAACAAAAGCAAGACGUGUCUUCGACGCACUCCGUCUUCGUCAAAAGGAUCAUCGGGUACCUGUCUAAUGCGGACCUGAGAAUACAAGCAUUUUAGAAAUCAGCAUAAAGCCGGUGAGUUCAUAAGCGGUUUUGUUUUCUGAAAAUGUACGAGUUUCCUUUCGGUUUCUGAAAAGGUUACGACCCAAGAAAAUCCAAUAUUUUCUUUUAUGUAAAGUUUAGUUAUCUGUUAUGUUACACGGUUCUGGUUAUGUACAAUUGUUAUCCCAGGAAAAUCCCAUAUUUUCCUAAAAGUUGACUACCGAUCUGAAAUGUAAUGUGAAAGAUGUAUAUUAAAAACCUGGUCAUCCUUGUGAAAUGUAUGUUAGUUUACCAACCCGAGAUGUAAUGUAAAAGAUGUACACUGGAAAUGUAUUAGUUUUCACACGUAUAUAAAACUAACAACUACAAAGUAAACUAGUUACUAAAAUCCAUUAUUAUUAUAAAGUAAAUCUCUGUUAUCCAAAUUGCGAGUUCCAUAACCAUACGAUAGACUAAAUAUGGCAAUAAGUAGUCCAUCUCACUUUAUGACUUUCGUCACCCUUGAACCUUUCGGUUCGGCUGUAGCUAGCAGCCAGGUGCGGGGUAGUCAGCCCCGUAUAGAUCUAGACACUCAAGUCACGCUCCCUAUCUAAGAGAUUCUGGUUACAGGGGCGGUCCUCCACUCGUGUAUCUCUGUGGAGUGUUCUCCGAGGACGUGUCUCUAUUUUAUAGGAAUAACAAAUUUACUAGUAAUAAUACAGAAAGAUCAAAUGACGAACCUCCACUCGCGUAUCUCUGUGGAGUGUUACCGAGGACAAAACAGUAUUCUAAGUUUCAUAUUCAAAGUUCAAUGUUAUACUUUUAACUGUUAUGAUGUGGGAAAACCAUUUGUGAAAAUAUAAAAUACAACAAUUUAUAAUGUUUUUCACAAAUAAAAUGAUAGUGUGUUCUGCAAGUUCAACGGUUAUCUUUUAUGAUUGUCUGUGUUAAAAGCAUAUGUAAUAUGAAACAUAACACAAAUAAAACAAGUUUUAAGUACAAGUAUUCCUUGUACUUUGCUUGUAUUCCCCCUAAAAAUAGUGAAAAACAUUGAAAAAGGGUAGGGGUAUGAACUUACCAGACGAGAAAACGUGACGGUUUGGAUGCUAUGUGUCGGUUCGGGGCUUGAUAACGCGCGAGGUUCCUAUGUAAUAUGAAAUGGUAUUCAAAUGUAUCUAAUUAGACUUUAAAUCACUAAUUAGAUAUGAUUAUACACUCCAAUACGAGAAAACACUUCAAAUCAAGUGAUUGGAGUGACCCAAGUGACAUCUAUGGACGUAUAGGACUUUGGAUAAUGUGUUUAGGCUUCAAGAGUAAACUCCUUAGGGAGUUUAUGGCCCUAAGACUAUGAUCACAUGAGUUCACGGCCGUGAACUCAUGAAUGUGAGGUUUUAUGGUGUCAAAUGGUCAAAUAACACUUAGGAAGGGUUGAUAUGAUUUAAUCUAAGGCACAUGAAUGAGUUAAACCACCAAAGGGACCAUCAAAGGGAGUUUACUGCCGUAAGCUCCUAUAUACCCAUUCAUUUCAUGAUUUGGUGGCCCUAGAUUAAUCAUAUGUGAUUCAAACCAAUUUUACAAGCCUUAGAAUGAAAUUAGGGCAUCAUUUGGCUAGUGUAUAUGAGUUUACGGCCCAUGAACCCAUUCUAGGGGGGUUUACGGCCGUGAACUCUCAAAGGGGUGGUGUUCAUCAAGUUUAAGGCCCCUAAAUCGAUUGUGGUUGAUUUUAGAAUUUAAUCCAAGGCUAUUGGUGUGUUUAAGUGGCAUUUAAACACUCAAAUUGAGUUUACUCCCCAUGAAGGUGAUUUUACAGCCCAAGCAUGUUCUCGGAUAGUAAACUCAUGUUUACUCCCCAAAAAUUGGAUUAAAGGUGUUCUAAGUCCAGUCCAUUAAGCCAUUUAGCCAUAUCUAAGCUCUGAAGAUGGAUUAGAAGGGUUUUAAGGCUCAAAAACCCAUUAUAUGUGUGUUUACGGACCAAUCAUGUUCUAGGGCCGUAAACACAUGAAAAUGGUCAUAAAUCAUAGUUUGAACUCGGAUUUGGAAGCUAGAAAGGUUGUACAACAAGUUAGGAAGGUUACCUUGAUGAAAUGGAGAUUAAAUUUUAUGAUUUUGGACUUGAAACUUGGAUUGGAGGAGAGAGGUUAGAGAGAGAGUAGUGAGAGAGAGAAAAAGCUUCAAAUGGAAGCUUAAUCCACUUUAAAUAUGUUCCAAGUUCGGGACACUGUGGAAUUUUACCCGAUACCGAUGUUAGACGUGGCUUUUGGUCGCACCCGAUUAAGUUGCCGUAACCCGAUAUGGUCGAUUCUAAAAUGUUUCCGAUUACUAAUAUGGAGUGCUAAUAUGAGUUCUAAGCAUGUUUGGACACCCAUUAAGUCAUAAUGGAAAUCCCACAUUUAUGACUUAAUUUAAUGACAUAACGGAAAUGAAAUUGAAAGCGACGAAUAUAUUAACGAAAAGGGUUACAAUUGAUGGAACGAACUUUCGGAUUGUCACAUUAUCCCCCUGUUAGAGGGAAUUUCGUCCCGAAAUUCAGAAUUAAGACACAAAUCAUGGAUCUGGGAAGAGAUGCAGAUACUUUUGUUUAAUCGAGUCUUCACGCUCCCAAGUGAAUUCCGGUCCCCGCUUGGCAUUCCAGCGAACCUUCACUAUCGGGAUGCGACUUUGUUUCGUGCGUUUGAUAUCUCGAUCCAUGAUUUCGAUUGGUUCCUCCACGAAGUUCAAAUUUUCUUUGAUCUGGAUCUCAUCUAGAGGAAUCACGAGGGUUUCAUCGGAUAAACACUUCUUAAGAUUAGAGACGUGAAAGCCGGGGUGGAUGUUGCUAAGCUGGUGAGGUAAUUGAAGUUUAUAGGCUACCGGACCGAUCCUGGCGAGGAUCUUGAAGGGCCCAAUGUACCUCGGAUUAAGUUUCCCACGCUUUCCAAAGCGUACAAUGCCUUUCCAGGGCGAGACCUUCAACAGGACAUGGUCUCCAACCUGGAACUCUAGAGGUUUCCGUCGUAUAUCAGCGUAACUCAUUUGGCGAUCUCGUGAAGCUUUCAAUUGUUCCCGGAUUUGGAUAAUCUUUUCGGUGGUUUCGCGGAUGAUUUCAGGACCAGUGAGAGCACUAUCGCGAAAUCGACUCUUGGCUAGCUGCGUGUCCUCUACCUCGGUCCAUCAUACAGGGGAUACGCACUUGCGACCGUAGAGGGCCUCGAACGGAGCAACCUUGAUACUGAUGUGGUAACUAUUGUUGUACGAGAAUUUGAUCAAAGGCAAAUGUGUGUCCUACGACUUUCCGAAAUCGAUGACACAUGCUUUAAGCAUGUCUUCCAAGGUUUGGAUAGUUCUCUCACUCUGUCCGUCGGUCUGAGAGUGAUAAGCCGUGCUCAUGUCUAGUUUAGUUCCAAGAGCCUUCUGAAGAGACUGCCAAAAUCUGGAGGUAAACCUGCUAUCUCGAUCAGAGAUAAUGGACGCAGGUACACCGUGCAGUCGAACUACCUCCUGGAUGUAGAUCCGCGCAAGUCUUUCCAUCUUGAACAAUUCUUUAAUCGAGAUGAAGUGAGCGGACUUGGUUAAACGAUCGACAAUUACCCAAAUGGUAUCGUACCCACUCGGACAUUUGGGUAACUUGGUGAUGAAAUCCAUGGUAAUCAUUUCCCAUUUCCAUUCGGGUAUCUCGGGUUGUUGGAGCAGACCCGAGGGUUUCUGGUACUCAACUUUCAUUUUGGCGCAAGUCAAGCACUUGCCCACGAAUGUAGCGAUUUCGGCUUUCAUGUUUGGCCACCGGUAUUGUUUCUUGAGAUCCAAGUACAUCUUGUCUGAACCUGGGUGAACAGAGUAUCUGGUCUUGUGUGCUUCCUCCAUGAAAACUUCCCUAAAUCCUCCGAACUUUGGGGUCCAAAUUCGGUCUAUGAAACAGUAGACUCCAUCAUCUCUGAUCUCAAGUUUCUUAUCCAUUCCCCUCAAGGCUUCGCUUGAUAUGUUCUCGGGUUUGAGGGCUUCUAUCUGGGUGUCUCGGAUUUGCAUGGAUAAAUGGGAAUGAAUAGUCAUUGUCAGUGUCCUUACUUUAUGGCUUGAACUUUCCUUUAGGCUAAGGGCAUCUGCUACCACGUUGGCCUUGCCGGGAUGGUAGCGAAUCUCGCACUCAUAAUCGCUGAGCAGCUCUACCCAUCGCCGUUGCCUCAUGUUUAAGUCUUUCUGGUUGAGGAUGUGCUGCAGGCUCUUAUGGUCAUUGAAGAUCGUACACUUGGUUCCGUAGAGAUAAUGUCUCCAAAUCUUUAGUGCAAAGACUACGGCUCCGAACUCCAAGUCGUGUGUGGUGUAGUUGACCUCGUGUGCCUUCACCUGUCUUGAGGCAUAAGCAAUUACUUUUCCUCUUUGCAUAAGCACACAGCCUAAGCCCUGAUUAGACGCAUCGCAAUAGACAACGAAGUCUUCUGUCCCUUCGGGUAGGGACAGAACUGGCGUGCUGCACAAGGCUUGCUUUAAUGUUUGAAACGCUGUUUCUUGCUUUUCACUCCAACAAAAGGGUACACUUUUCUGUGUUAGAGUGGUUAGGGGUUUGGCGAUUUUUGAAAAGUUUCUGGAUCAAUCUUCGAUAAUAGCCGGCGAGACCCAAGAAUUGACGGAUUUCUGUUCGUGUUUUCGGUGCCGACCAAUUCUCUAUCGCUUUAAUCUUAGAAGGAUCCACAUGAAUACCCUCCUCGCUUACCACGUGACCGAGGAAAGUCACCUUCCAAAUCCAGAAUUCACACUUGGAAAAUUUCACGUACAACUUCUCGGAUCUAAGGGUUUCCAAUACUAAUCUCAAGUGUUGUUUGUAAUCUUCUUUGCUUCUGGAGUAGACAAGGAUGUCAUCAAUGAACACGAUGACGAAUUUGUCUAAGAAGGGACGACUCACCCGGUUCAUCAGGUCCAUGAACACUGCCGGUGCGUUAGUUAGACCGAAGGGCAUCACUACGAACUCGUAGUGUCCAUAUCGAGUCCUGAAAGUUGUUUUGGAAACAUCACUCUCAUGAACUCAUAGCUGAUGGUACCCUGAACUAAGGUCUAUCUUUGAGAAAUAGCUGGCUCCUUGGAGUUGAUCAAAGAGGUCAUCUAUUCGCGGAAGAGGAUAUCAGUUUUUUUCGGUCAACUUGUUCAGCUCACGGUAGUCGAUACACAUCUGGAAGGAUCCAUCUUUCUUCUUUACAAAUAAAACCGGAGCUCCCCAGGGUGAGGAACUUGGUCUGAUGAACCCUUUGCUGAGUAAUUCAUUGAGUUGGCUAGAUAACUCCUGCAUUUCUGCUGGAGCUAAACGAUAUGGAGACUUGGCUAUGGGGGUAGCUCCAGGAAUUAGGUCAAUGCGAAAUUCGACCUGGCAUUCAGGAGGAAUUCCUGGGAGCUCUUCCGGAAAGACAUCAGGAAAGUUACAUACUUCGUGGAUGCUCGCGAGGUCUUUAAUUUCCUGUUUCUCGUUGAUUACAUGGGUUAGGAAUGCUUGACAUUCCUUUUGCAAGAGUUUCUGAGUUUUGAUGCAGGAAAUGAUGCGAAGGUUGGAGAAGAGUUUAUCGGCAUAGAUCAUGAGAGUUUGACCUGCUGGAAGAUUGAGACGGAUGACUUUUUCAUAGCAAAGGAUAUCAGCAUGAUUGGGACUCAACCAAUCCAUGCCAAUGAUAACAUCAAAUCUCUUUAUAGAGACUGGAAUAAGAUCAAUGGGAAACGAAUAACCGUUCAAGGUAAGGGUACAACCUAUGAAUAUAUCGCGAGCGCUUUCUUUCUCACCAUUAGACAUGUCGACGGUAAACGUUUCGGUUAAUGGUUGAGGAUUAGGUUUUAGAUUAUGUUUGAACUAAUGACUAACAAAACUACGUUCAAAACCCGAAUCGAAAAUAAUGCUAGCACAAGAGUUGUCGAGAAGGAACGUACCCGAAAGAAUGGUGGGAUCGGCGACUGCCUCUUCCCGUCCCAUGGCUAGGACUCUUCCGGUAUUAUCAACUGUCACCUUCUUGGGGCAGUUUCUCUUGAAAUGCCCAACUUCUCCAUAAUUAUAGCAGGCUUGACCAACACCAGCUCUAGAAGAUUGAUUUGCGGAUUGGGCUGGUGCCUUGCAGAAUCGGACCGUAUGACCCUUUUUGCCACAGUUGGUGCAUGAAAGAUCAUGGAAGGGGGCCGGGGUUAUGGUGGUAUUUGCACUUUUCACACUGGGGAAGGUUACCAGCAUACCUACUAGUAGGUGUUUGAGCUGUAGAUCCCACAACAGAAGCAGCAGCAAUAGGGGUAGUAGCAGCGUGGACUGCUACUGUCUGCUAUUUCUUUGAGGAUCCUUGAGAAGAUUGACCUUUCUUCUUCUUCCAGAACUUUCUUUUCUCACCACUCCUCUUGGUCGUUUUAGGAGUGGUGGUUGUUUCCUCAACCUCAUCACUGUGAUCUGGGCUAAGCUUUUGGCACUAUCAUAUGUAUCCGGCCUCGCAGAUAAGACAUUUCCUUUAGUUGGUUGUGUCAACCCCCAAAUAAAUCUCUCUAUCUUCUUACUCUCCGGGGUAACCAUUCCUGGACAGAGUAGUGCUAGGUCAUCAAACCUUGAGGUGUAUGCGGCAAUAUCGGAACCCUUCAUCUUCAGGUUCUAGAGCUCGUGCUCUAACAUCUGUAUUUCGCCUCGAGGGUAGUACUCAACUAGAAGAAGUUCUUUCAUGGCUUCCCAACCAUAUAAUUGGCUACAGGUAGAGUCAAGGAUUUGACUCGUCCGUUCCACUAAGUCAGGGCUUUGUCGAUGAAGGUACAGGCUGAGAACUUUACUUUGUCAGAUUCCGAACAGGCACAUAUUUCAAAAAUGGAUUCGAUUUUCUCGAACCAUCGGGUGAGGGAAAUGACACCUCCAGUGCCAUCAAAGGACGUGGGUUUCGCGUUCAUGAAAUCUUUAUAGGAACCCUCUUUUCGGUGUCCCUGGCUAUCUUCUGGGUUUUGGGGCUGGGGACCACCUCCUGAACUACUGGGGUUCAUUUGUGACAUGGCGGCUAUCACUGCGGCAGUAAUAGCUGUCUGAAGCGUUACAAGAUCAAUUUGAGGAGAAGGUGGUGGUGGAGGGUUGUUGGUCUUUGAGCUGGGUCUCUUUCUUGGAAGCAUCUUGAUCUAGUAAGAUCAGGAAAGAGAGGAUGAUAAGUCCUCUGAAUUAAAUCAAGAGAUAUGACAUUUAUAUAUAUUCUGUAUAAGCGAUAAAGCAGGAAGGAGUUAUCAAAAUAGAUAAAUUAUUGCUAAAAGAAUGAUUAGGGAACAACGCUUGAAUGAGGAUUUCUACAAAGGAUUGGCUCGAGAAAUACUCCUAUAGUAUUUCAUGAUUCGCUACGACCAUGGUUCAAUGUUUGGGGUAUUAGGGUAAGUUUUAGGCAUGCUGAACACCACAGUCACUCCCAAGCACAUGUUGGCCAUGUCUCGAAUGAAUAUAGUUGGCCAGGCUAUAUUGAUCCUAGACACGACUACAUAACUAUCCAGGUUUAACCGCAGCAUACAACACCCAUUUACUUACGUUUCGUUCUACUUGUAGUUACGAAUCUCGACAGUUAGGUAUACUUGUAUACUUUUGAAAAUACUUAUACUUUGAAGUAUACUUUUACUUUAGAGCACUUAGGCCCCUUAGUGUUUAUGGUUUUAUACCAUGUAAGGUUUGGUAUACUUUAUUCACUAUUAACAAGGGCUCUGAUACCAAUCUGUCACACCUCGUAAACCAAGGCGGAAACAUUUCCGGGGCGGACUCCACGUUGAGUAUCAAAUCCAAUACACAUAGUAAGCAAAGUAAACAACCAUUACAUUACAUAUGAAAAUUUACAUUUGUUCAAAAGUAAAGUUGUACAAGUGUGAUACAUAUGUAUAUAUAUAUAUAUAUANUUAUAUAUAUAUAUAUAUAUAUAUAUAUGAACAAAAGCAAGACGUGUCUUCGACGCACUCCAUCUUCGUCAAAAGGAUCAUCGGGUACCUGUCUAAUGCGCGGACCUGAGAAUACAAGCAUUUUAAAAAUCAGCAUAAAGUUGGUGAGUUCAUAAGCGAUUUUGUUUUCUGAAAAUGUAUGAGUUUCCUUUCGGUUUCUGAAAAAGUUACGACCCAAGAAAAUUCCAUAUUUUCUUUUAUCUAAAGUUUAGUUAUCUGUUACGUUACAUGGCUCUGCUUAUGUACAAUUGUUAUCCCAAGAAAAUCCCAUAUUUUCCUAAAAGUUGACUACCGAUCUGAAAUGUAAUGUGAAAGAUGUAUACUGAAAACCUAGUUAUCAUUGUGAAAUGUAUGUUAGUUUACCAACCCGAGAUGUAAUAUAAAAGAUGUACACUGGAAAUGUAUUAGUUUUAACACGUAUAUAAAACUAACAACUACAAAGUAAACUAGUUACUAAAAUCCAUUAUUACUAAAAAGUAAAUCUCUGUUAUCCAAAUUGCGAGUUCCAUAACCAUACGAUAGACUAAAUAUGGCAAUAAGUAGUCCAUCUCACUUUAUGACUUUCGUCACCCUAGAACCUUUCGGUUCGGCUGUAGCUAGCAGCCAGGUGCGGGGGAGUCAACCCCGUAUAGAUAUACACUUNCUAUCUAAGAGAUUAUGGUUACAGGGGCGGUCCUCCACUCACGUAUCUCUGUGGAUUGUUCUCUGAGGACGUGUCUCCAAUUUAUAGGAAUAACAAAUUUACUUGUAAUAAUACAGAAAGAUCAAAUGACGAUCCUCCACUCGCGUAUCUCUGUGGAGUGUUACCGAGGACAAAACAAUAUUCGAAGUUUCAUAUUCAAAGUUCAAUGUUAUACUUUUAACUGUUAUGAUGUAGGAAAACCAUUUGUGAAAAUAUAAAAUACAACAAUUUAUAAUGUUUUUCACAAAUAAAAUGAUAGUGUGUUCUGCAAGUUCAAUGAUUAUCUUUUAUGAUUGUCAGUGUUAAAAGCAUAUGUAAUAUGAAACAUAACACUAAUAAAACAAGUUUUGAGUACAAGUAUUCCUUGUACUUUGCUUGUAUUCCCCCUGAAAACAGUUAAAUGUAUUGAAAAAAGGUAGGGGUAUGAACUCACCAGACGAGAAAACGUGACGGUUUGGAUGCUAUGUGUCAGUUCGGGGAUUGAUAACACGCGAGGUUCCUAUGUAAUAUGAAAUGGUAUUCAAAUGUAUCUAAUUAGACUUUAAAUCACUAAUUAGAGAUGAUUAUACACUCCAAUACGAGAACACACUUCAUAUCAAGUGUUUGGAGUGACCCGGGUGACAUCUAUGGACAUAUAUGACUUUGGAUAAUGUGCUUACUCUUCAAGAGUAAACUCCUUAGGGAGUUUACGGCCCUAAUACUAUGACCACAUGAGUUCACGUCCGUGAACUCAUGAAUGUGAGGUUUUAUGGUGUCAAAUGGUCAAAUAACACUUGGGAAGGGUUGUUAUGAUUUAAUCUAAGGCAUAGGAAUAAGUUAAACCACCAAAGGGACCAUCAGAGGGAGUUUACGACCCUAAACUAGGAUUUUACGGUCGUAAGCUCCUAUAUACUCAUUCCUUUCAUGAUUUGGUGGCCCUAGAUUAAUCAUAUUUGAUUCAAACGAAUUUUACAAGCCUUAAAGUGAAUUUAGUGCAUCAUUUGGCUAGUGUAUAUGAGUUUACGGCCCAUGAACCCAUUCUAGGGGGGUUUACGGCCGCGAACUCUCAAAGGGGUGGUGUUCAUCAAGUUUAAGGCCCCUAAAUCGAUUGUGGUUGAUUCUAGAAUUUAAUCCAAGGCUAUUGGUGUGUUUAAGUGGCAUUUAAACACUCAAAAUUGAGUUUACUCCCCAUGAAGGUGAUUUUAUGGCCCAAGCAUGUUCUUGGGCAGUAAAAUCAUGUUUACUCCCCAAAAAUUGGAUUAAAGGUGUUCUAAGUCCACUCCAUUAAGCCAUUUAGCCAUAUCUAAGCUCUGAAGAUGGAUUAGAAGGGUUUUAAGGCUCAAAAACCCAUUAUAUAUGUGUGUACGGCCCAAUCAUGUUCUAGGGAUGUAAACACAUGAAACUAGUCAUAAAUCAUAGUUUGAACUCGGAUUUGGAAGCUAGAAAGGUUGUACAACAAGUUAGGAAGGUUACCUUGAUGAAAUGGAGCUUAAAUUUGAUGAUUUUGGACAUGAAACUUGGAUUGGAGGAGAAAGGUUAGAGAGAGAGAGUAGUGAGAGAGAGAGAAAAAGAUUCAAAUGGAAGCUUAAUCCACUUUAAAUAUGUUCCAAGUUCGGGACACAGUGGAAUUCUACCCGAUACCGACGUUAGACGUGGCUUUUGGUCGCACCCGAUUAAGUUGUCGUAACCCGAUAUGGUCGAUUCUAAAAUGUUUCUGAUUACUAAUAUGGAGUGUUAAUAUGAGUUCUAAGCACGUUUUGACACCCAUUAAUUCAUAAUAGAAAUCCCAUAUUUAUGACUUAAUUUAAUGACGUAAUGGAAACGAAAUUGAAAGUGACGAAUAUAUUAACGAAAAGGGUUACAAUUGAUGGAACGAACUUUCGGGUUGUCACAUCAUCCUAUCAAGUUGGUUUGGUGAACGCAACCCAAAAGGACCAUGCUUGCAAUCGGGUCAAGUACAUACCAAAAUAGUUAUGGACUUAGACACUAAUCCAACAACUAGUUUCAACAUCCCCCUUCUUGCUCCUUGCUUGGUAUCCCUUUCUUCUCCUCAAUUGAUAUACUAAAAAUCUCAAGAUUAGAUUAUCUUUCACUCUCUAGCUCAAGUGGACGAUUAGGGUUUCGCUCAAAGAUGUUGGGCAACUGGUGAGGCACAAAUGUGGGUAUAAGUUCUCUUAAAUAGGCCCCAACCCCAGAGAUUUAGGGUUUCAUCCCACAACACCAACUCGGCGAGUCGGGUCUCCGACUCUUCGAGUCAGUUCAUUAACCCACGUGGCCAACUCGACUCUACUCGACGAGUUGGGGAACUAACUCGUCGAGUCACCCAGUCAACUCAUAACUAACAUAUAAAAAUGAUGUACCUCAGAGUCAGGAUGUUACAUUUAUUAUUUCACUCAAGAAUGACUAAGUCAAAACUUAAUCAACCAUAACCUUAAGUUAUUAAGUCCUUAGUGGGUUAAGUGUUCUUACUUAACCCUAAUCGUCAUUUUAUGUGAAACCCUAAUCGUCAUUUCAUGUGAGAUGGUCAUUGUUGCAAGUGACUAGGACUUGUGAUCGAGUAUUGACUCAAGUAUCUUCCUGUAGGUGUUUGGAAGUGAGUUGAAGUUGGUAGAGACUUUCGUUGUUAUAGUGGUUAUCUACGCGCAUAUUGAGGUGAGUUUUGCCUCACUGCACCCAUUGGUGGAAGGCACCAAUGACGGCCCACUAGUUUUGGUUAUGUGUUAGUAGAGAGAUACCCUAGGGACUAUAUAUAGUCAAAUAGGAUAGACUAAUGACUCUUGAUCUAAGCUCACUUUCGUGUUCCUUGUUUAGUUGUGGUUCUAGAGCAGGAGCACAUGUCCGGGUGACUAUCUCAGCUCUGAAUAUAUACGGCCAUGCAUUCUUUGGAUUGUUGAUAUUUAGUAUGCUGCUAUGCUGUAGUGAACUCCUAGAUUUGCGUUCUGGUUUUGAGUUUUGUUAGAUGCCAUUUUAUGUAUCUUUUAGUGUAGUUUUCAUUAUCAUUUAGGAUCAUAUUUUGUACAUAUGCAUGUCGUUUAUUUAAAUAAUGUUCAACUCAUGUCUUUCGUUAGAACUCCCGUACUGCUCAUGUUUUUAUGUCAAUUUUGGAUAGUUCGAGUGGAGCUGUGCUUUGGCAGCAGUUGGAUGCGUGUUUGGAGUUUAAAAUGGAUUUGGAACUAAAGGAGUAUGUUGAGGAAUGCUUGGAAGAUGUUUUGGUCAAGAAACAUUUGAUUGAAUUUGAUCACACGAAGAUAGAAUCUACAAUAUGAAGUUAAAGGAUGUUGCUGGCAGGUUUGACCCCUUGUCAGUAUUUCGACCAUAUCUCAUGAAUCGUAACUCCGAUUGAUGCAAAUCAAAGAGAUAUGAAAAGUAGACGAAAUUCCGAACGUCUUAGGCAAAACAUGCGAUCGCAACAUAGAUACAUGCGAUCGCAUGGAGCCUUUAUGCUAUCGUAACUUUGGUCGCAACUUGUCUUCGAGGGUUUUUUAGUGCCAAAAAUUCAUCCAAGAGUAAAAACUUAUAACAUGUGAUCGCAACUUUGCCAAAAAGUGUCUAAAUAGCUUCCUGCUUCAUUAAAAAAGCCUGUGACACUACUAGAAAAACAGCCUUUUACGACGCUCAUUGCGCGUCGUAAAAGGCUCAGACGACGCGCAAAUGCGCGUCAAGGAAGGCCCUGUCAUAAAGAGAGACAACGCGCUUUUGCACGUCGUCUAUAGAUGACGCGCAUUUACGACGCGCAGUUACGAUGUGCGCUUACGACACGCAAUGCGUAUCAAGGAAGGCCCUGUCAUAAAGGAAGACGACACGCAUUCGCGUAUCGUUACCUUACGACACGCGUGUUAAUGACAUGCAAUGCGUAUCAAGAAAGCCACUGUCAAGAAAGGCCAUGUCAUAAACGAAGAUGAAAAACAUUUUUGCGUAUCAUAAUUUUAAAUGUUUAAAAAAAAAUUAUUUAUAGAUUUACUUAUUUUCAAAUUAAAUUUAUAUUUAAUGUUUCAUAGUAGAAAAUAAAAUAUCAUAUACAAAAAAUAGAAUCCAUUGCAUAAAUUUAAUGUCAUACAAUUCUAUUUCUUACAAUAAUAAAUUUGCAUCUAAUCUACUAUGUACAUCGAAUUCCAACUAACUAAAGUUGCAUCUUGCCUUUCAUAAUUCUGUAAGACUAAUGCUCCAAGCAGCUGAUUAUAUGACUUAGCAAAAUUCAACUCCAAGUCUUUACUGCAUCUUGCUGAUAAUGCUGCAAGAUUUAAAUAAAAUUCAACUCCAAGUCUUUACUCAAUAAUCAAAAUCCCAAGAGCAACAUCCAUUGUAGAGGCAAGUUCAUUUUCAAAACAAAACAUAGUAUUUAUAAUGAUAAGGAUGUGGAGGGUACACUAUAAAAACUCAGACAUGGCUAUAAUGUAGAUAACAAGGAUAGAUAUAUAUACCUUAAACAAAUUAGCUUCCAGAUCAGAUUAAGAGCUGCAAAAAAACUAAUAUAUGUUAAGGUAGUAUUUGGAGGAUGUAAUAUGAUGGCAUACAUGUUCAGAAGGCUAUUAUCUAUGAGCUUGACCAACACCAAGGGCAUUAUUGGUAGAAAUAAUGUUACUAUUUGUAGGGUUGAUAGGGAUAAUGUCUCCUCACUUUGUUCAUGUACUGAAGCUCCCUGUUGAAUAUAUUAUAUUUUUCUAUGCAUAUGGGAACUUGGGGAGGCGUCCUAUGGGGAUAGAUUUGUCAUUAGACAUACCGGUGACUGAACUGAAGGUGAAGACAAAAGCAUUUUCAUGAAAUUUUUUGUUCAUAUGAAUUCCUUCUACAUAGGGCAAUUAAGCCAACUAACUUGACUAAGUUGACAUGGUUUCUAAUUGAAACUAGUUUCUAGAUGAUGAAUGGAAUAUAAAUUCAAGUAGUGUUUUGAAGUUUGAACAACAGAUAUGUUGUUACCUUAACGAGUCCAGGUGGAAUUACUAACCAUCAACACCAAUAGGCCAAUGCGGAGCCUUAGCUGCAACAUCGAGGCAUUGCAGAAUUGCUUGCUCUGCCUUGAUUAUAGAUAUUGAAAACGCUACACCACAGCACAACACAAAGAUAUUAACCACUUUUUUUGCAUCAGAAAACAAAAUGAACUUAACAAACCUCCCAUAUCGGUUAUGGUUCAUAUGAGGUGAGAUAUCGCUUAAUCGCUUAACCCGCAAAAAAUCCAUGUCACAAAAUAUAAAAAAAAAAAAUAAAGAAAAAAAAUAGAAGAUAUCUUCCCUAAAACAACCAAUUCUGCAAAUAUCCAAUAACAAUGGUAGAACCAAUGGUGAUNNNNNNNNNNNNNNNNNNNNNNNNNNNNNNNNNNNNNNNNNNNNNNNNNNNNNNNNNNNNNNNNNNNNNNNNNNNNNNNNNNNNNNNNNNNNNNNNNNNNNNNNNNNNNNNNNNNNNNNNNNNNNNNNNNNNNNNNNNNNNNNNNNNNNNNNNNNNNNNNNNNNNNNNNNNNNNNNNNNNNNNNNNNNNNNNNNNNNNNNNNNNNNNNNNNNNNNNNNNNNNNNNNNNNNNNNNNNNNNNNNNNNNNNNNNNNNNNNNNNNNNNNNNNNNNNNNNNNNNNNNNNNNNNNNNNNNNNNNNNNNNNNNNNNNNNNNNNNNNNNNNNNNNNNNNNNNNNNNNNNNNNNNNNNNNNNNNNNNNNNNNNNNNNNNNNNNNNNNNNNNNNNNNNNNNNNNNNNNNNNNNNNNNNNNNNNNNNNNNNNNNNNNNNNNNNNNNNNNNNNNNNNNNNNNNNNNNNNNNNNNNNNNNNNNNNNNNNNNNNNNNNNNNNNNNNNNNNNNNNNNNNNNNNNNNNNNNNNNNNNNNNNNNNNNNNNNNNNNNNNNNNNNNNNNNNNNNNNNNNNNNNNNNNNNNNNNNNNNNNNNNNNNNNNNNNNNNNNNNNNNNNNNNNNNNNNNNNNNNNNNNNNNNNNNNNNNNNNNNNNNNNNNNNNNNNNNNNNNNNNNNNNNNNNNNNNNNNNNNNNNNNNNNNNNNNNNNNNNNNNNNNNNNNNNNNNNNNNNNNNNNUUUUACACAAACUGAGGUUCUUAUAUGCCCAUAUCCUGUCAACAGAAGUCAUGUAUUUUUGAAUUAGUUAUGAAAAAUAAAAGGUCAGUAAAACGCAAAUAAAGUUACCUUGAUAGGAUUAAGUUUUGGAAGACCUUGAGGAAAAUGUUUUUGAAGCUCAGGAUUUAAAAUUUGAAAAACCUUACCAGUCUUGAUAUUGCAAAUAAUGGUAUUUCAGAUACUAUUCCUCUCGAGUUUUGGGGCUCGUGGCCUUCCCGGUUAACAUUCCUGAAUCUUUCUUCCAACAACAUAAAGUGGGAAAGUACCAGAUCUGUCAUCAAUAUUUCACAACAAUUCAGUGAUAGAUUUAAGCUCCAACAGCUUUGAUGGUCUAAUAACUAAUGUCUCUUCCACUGUGGCUUUACUAAAUCUUUCUAGAAACAAAUUUUCUGGAGGAAUCUCCUUUUUAUGUGAGGUUAUCCAUGGCUUUUUAGUUAUACUUGACCUCUCUCAUAACUAUCUAAGCGGACAAAUUCCAGACUGUUUGUGGCAUUUCAAAGAACUAAAAGUUCUUAAUUUAGAACACAAUAAUCUGUCUGGAAGGCUUCCUGCUUCUGUUGGAUCUAUGAUUAAGCUCGAGGCAUUGGAUUUAUACAAGAAUGAUUUCUCCGAAUCUGUCCCAGCUUCUGGAAGGCCCGACUUUUUCACCACAUUUACAACCACCCCCACCCCCAAUCUGUCCCAGCUUCUCGAACCUUAACCUGAAAAAAAAAAGACGAAUAUAACCUUAUCAUUUUCUCAAGUAUUUGACACUGCCCCAAGUACAAUCUCAAUUUUAUGAAUAAGUUGAUGAACAAACACUUAACUGAGCUCAAACAGUUCUUCAUGAUCAUGGGAUCCAUGAUGACCUCCCUCCACUAAUGACUCAUCUGUCCCUUCAAGUGCCACAUAGGAAUCACCUUUGUGUGCCUGGAACAUUAAAUAAAAUAUAUAAUAUGGUCUUUAAAUAUUAAUCAAAAAAUAUAAACAUGAUUAAAACAAUAAAAAGAACAUGACAUACUCUGUUAUGAUGUGCCUUUAAACUGAAAGGCUUGGGUAGCAGCAUCCAUGGGACAACAAUUAAGGAUAGAAGUAGUAGCAUAAGCUGUCAUUGCCAUUGCCAAUCAUAUCAUUUCUAUUAGUUGUCACCUUCAGUAAACUUUAGAUGAAUACAGUUUAUUUUUAUAAAAAAAUAACAUUUUUUGCUUUAUUCAUUAACUUAAUUUACUUAGUUUUCUAGGAUACAUGACUGUCUUUCAGCGGUGAUGAGUGAUGACCUAAACUCUUUGCUAUUCAGUGUUUUCAUUUUUUAUAUUACUUUCAAGUUAUGAUAUGUAAUUACUUUUGCACCAAACUUAGUAUAUACUCAUAUGCACUCGUCAUUAGCCCAACAUUGCAACAUGCAUCUCAUGAUUUCUUUUAUGUUGGAUCACAUUGAAAAGAACAGAAAUAAAUAUUCUUAGCUAAAGAUUACUUUAUAAUAAAAUCCAAUAACACAAGUGAAGGAAUGUAGUGGUGAACAAAGAAGUAUGAGUUGAAAGUUUGGAAAUGGAAGUUAACCUCUACUGUUCUUUUAGCUAAAUCAAAUUCAUUUUUCAAAUUCUCAACAUUUGUACGCUUGACAACUAGCAUCUUAAUCACACAUCUAGUAUUAUAAAUAGAAAAUCGUUAUUAAAAGAUGGAUAUGAUAAAUAAAAUAUUAGAAAGAGGUUAAAAGCUAUCUCCAUAUUAGGUGAACAUGAAAGGUAUGUUCAAGCACAUUUGGCAGCCAUCUACCAAAUGAGUAAGCAUCAAAAUUAAAAAAGAAGAAAAAACUCAACUGUGAAAAGGAGACAGACCCAUGACAACUCUAAGAUUCUUUUGAGCAUUUAUACAAACACAUUGUGUGCAUAUCCAUGUUCCACAUAAUCAUAUAAAAAGUUUACACUAACAUCGGUCCAUGUGGUUAGAAAUUAAUGAAUUACAAUCCACAUACAAAAAAUUAAUUUUUCCGUUUCAGUUGAUGGAUGAAUCUCACUGACACUCAAAAAUUGCUUUGAUAACAAAAUUUAUGAAAACAUGAACCUGUAAAAAGAUGUAUCGAUGAAAGAGAUGAGAAUAACACCUCAAAAUUUGGUACAGUUCACACAAGUCAGCCAGCAAGUGAUUAUAAAAAUUGAUUUUAGGGAUGCCAUUCAUCAAAAUACUUGCUCUAUAAAUGAAAAAACCCUAAUAUCAGAGAGAGAGAGAGAGAGAGAGAGAGAGAGAGAGAUCACGAAGAAUCAAAACAGGACCUGAAUGUUCAAGUUGUUAGCUCAACCCGUCUUUUUCCAUCCUCGUCCCAGUUUAGAGAGAUGUGCUUGAAAUUUCACAAGAAUAUAGGGUUAGAAAACCUUGGACGACCUAAUUCGAUUGUGGACUUGAUUUUUUUUUCUAAUAGAAUCGCACAAUAGGGAUGUGAAUGAGUAUCUGGUGGAAGCUCUCCAAUCUUCGUUCCCUUAAUUUUAUCGUCAUCUUUGUGUGCGUGAAGAUCUGAAAAAAGAAAAGUAGAAAGAAGGAGAACAAGGCGGGGUUUUCGAAUUUUCAGGGAUUUCAUUUCCAUCUUAGCUAUUAAAGGUCGGAAAACGCAUGUUUCAUCGAUUUUUGCAUCUAGGUUAGAACGAAGAAGGAAGUGUGGGGAGCAAAAAACCCUAAAAAAAGGGGGUGAACGAAUUAACUGGAGAUCGAUUAACAUCUAGAAAGAGAUCAUUAGCUAAUAAAACCAAUGAAGCCUUGUUAUACGAUGAACUUGGAAUGAUUGAAAUAGAAGAGGGUAGUGAUGCAUAAAAGAAAAUCCCCAAAUUUAAUAGUAAAUAUGCAUCCAAUCAGACGAACUGAUACAUUAUCGGAAUCAUCUCUAUCUCUCUCUCUCUCUCUCUCUCCCAUUUGUUGUGGUUAAUGGGAGAGAGAGAGAAAGAGAGAGAGAGAGAUUUGUUAUAGAUAGGGCGGAGGUGGUGAAUGAGAUGUUUGGUGAUACUGAUAAGAAGGAGAUCGAGUAGAGAUCCGAUGAACGAGAUGUUUGAUGAUACUGAAGAUGAAGAUGAAGGACCUAGGGCUUUUUCUUGCUAAGUAGAAGAGGUGGGGGGAUUAAUUUUGGGAUUCAAUAGGUGGGGGGAUUAAUUUUGGGAUUCGAUAGGCGGGGGUAAUUUUCGUCGAUUUCAUUUCCCGCCUAAAACGUGUGUUUCACUUAAAAUUAUAAAGCGACACAUUCACAUGACGCACAUUUUAUGAAAGGUGCCCUCCGCAUUUCUUUUUUUAUCUUUUUUGACACUAAUUUUAGGGUGUGCAAAAAUGCGUGCCCUCUAUCCUUCAAAUUUUGCAAAACUGACAUUAUCUUUUAGGGCACUUACAAAUGCGCAUCGUCUAUCAGCAAGUGUCAUUGUUUGCGCGUCAUUAAAGGGCUAUUUUCUUGUAGUGUGAUGCGAUUAUUUUCAAACCUGGGAUCGCAACCUCAAUACAUGCGAUCACAGGUUAUCCGUUUCUUGUUCCGGAAGCUUCCAACAUGAGUAUAAAUACACCCUCAUUGUAACACCUAGUUCUUGUUUAACUAUUUCGAAAUAGGCUCUUUUUGAUGUGAAGAAUUAUUUAUAUAAUUCGAGAUUAACUAUUCAGAUAUGAUGAAUACAAUUAAUAAUUUUAAGGCAUUAUAAAGACGUAGUGAGGAGACGAAUUAAUCUUAUUAAAUAAUGAGAUAUAUUAAACAUAUUAUUAAGGUUUAAUGGUUAAUAAUAAUAUUAUUAAUAAUGAUAAUCGAAAUAAAUUAAUUAAGGAUAUUUAAGUCUAUGGAUCAAUCUGUAAUUUAAGAAAACUUAUACUGAAGAGAAAUGAAGGAUUAGGGGUGUAAUUUGUGCAUGACUGAAAAUUAAGGGAUUAAUCAUGCUGUUUCUGGAAACUUGGCCAUAUGUUGCCUCAUUUCCCGACAAUGUACAGGAGCCCUUCUUCCCCCAUUUUGUUUAUAUAUGCCUCAGGUCCUCCAUAAAAGAAGAAAACCUACAAUGAUUCACGAAAAAGGAUACCGGUUAUUGUCCAUGAAAACACUCCCCUCUGUCAUUUCAUACUGGAACCAAAUAGAGAAAGAAGGUGGAUGCAAUUAGAAGAGAUAGACGUUGGAGAGGAUUAAGUUAUGGAUCUUUAGCUAUUUUUGCAUCAUUUCCAGUUCGAGUGGGAGGGAAGGGGUUCAAUCAAUUGUAGGAGGUUGAGAAAGCUAACGUCAAUGCUCCCAACUUUAUCUUCGUCCAUUUGAUUCAAGAAGAUUGUAUUUUCCCAGUGAAGCUUAUAAGUUGUUUUCAGUUUGUUACUCUCCGACAAGUUCGUGAGUGAGGUUUUUCGGCGAAACCUCAGUUGGUUUCCGCACGCAAGGAAGCGACAUUGAGGCCUCUGUGUUUUUGCUUUAGCUAAGAUAGUCAGGUCGGAGACUAAUAUGAAACUCUAUUCUCAGUUGUUGCUUCUCUAACGUAGUUGGGGUAUACUUCCAAUGAUAUUAAGCAUGUGCGUCUGUCACACCCCAAAACCAUUAACGGCGGAAACGUUCUGGGGCGGAGGACGUCAUGUACAAUAACACAAAAGUGAAAAGUAGUAAACAAGCAACAACAUCAUCCAUUGCAUUAAUAAUAUAAUUUUAAUACAAGUGUGUUCUGUCAAAUUAUAAUAGACACUAAAGUGUAAUCAAAAUGAAAUAUGAGUCUUGAUCGAGCUCCAUAUUCACUAAACCUUGCAUCGGUACCUGUCUAUCGUUGACCUGAGGAUACAAGGUAUUUUGAAAGGGAGUAUCAGCUUUAAAGCUGGUGAGAUCAUAGGUAUUAAUGUGUACUAAUUUGUAAAACUUGUAAUGAAAGACUUGAAAUUGUUUUGAAAGGAAGCUCGUAUAAGUAUGAAAAUGUUUGUAGAACAACUGUAAACAUUUGAAAAACCCUAGAAAUCCCUAUGAUUCCUACUAUUAUAAAAGGGAGUCUUCUACCAAAACCUAACUGCUCUGAAUGUAGCCUUCUACCAAGACCUAACUGCUCUGAAUGUAGCCUUCUACCAAGAACUAACUGCUCUGAAUGUAGCCUUCUAUCAAGACCUAACUGUUCUGAAUGUAGCCUUCUACCAAGACCUAAGUCCUCUGAAUGUAGCCUUCUACCAAGACCCGACUGUGUUACUAUUAUUAUUAUUAUAAGAAAUUGUAUCCUUUGGUACUAGGAUACUCAAAUAUAAUUCACCUCAUCGGUUAUGUAAAUGAGUCACAAGAUAAAGGUAAUAAUAUAAAUAACCUAAGUAUUAUCCUUUGGUACUAGCGUAACUAACAAUGUUAACUUAACACAUCCGUAGAUGUACAUUUACCUCUUUUGCUAAUAGAUGGGUGUAGGAAUAGUUAAUCCCUUAAAGUAUACCUAUAAAGGUAUCAACCGUAGGCAUCCAUAGAUGUUCAUUAUCCUCUGUAGCUAACCGUGGCUAUAGGAAUGGUUAGUCCCAAAAAGUAUCCUUUGGUACUAGGAUAUUAAAUCCAAUCUAUCUCGUCGAUUAUGUGAUUGUAUCACAAGGUAAAGAUAAGAAUGAGGAUUAUAUAACAAAAUAUAUACAUAUAAAAUAUAAUGAUAACUCGUCAUAUAUUAUCUAUGUAAACGUACUCAUGUAAAUGUAAUCAUGUAAAUGUACUCACGUAAAUGUAUAGUAAUGUGCUGUAAUGUUCUCUGUAUGCUAGCUGUAACGUGUGUUCUCUCUCUAUCUAGCAAGUAUUGAAUCAUGAAUGAACUGACUCAUUGUAUGAUAUCGUGUUCUAAUAAUAGUUCUAGUAUCUUCCUAAACUACCCAAAUGGUAGCUUACUAGUAAUGUAACUGGUACGUAUGAACAUGGAAUUAUAUCCUUGCUACCCAAGGGUACUGAAUGAACUGGAAGAACCUUUAUGACUAUAUAUGUACACAUGAUCUAUAACUAAUAUUUGAACGACCUUCGGACGGGUACCCGAUAUCCCACCAGACCACAUCUCAAGCGCAAAAAGGAAAUGAGGCGGAUAGGCCUUCCUAAGCCUUUUAAACAUUGCUUAUAUAACUAUAGAUACAUAGACAUGCAAUUGAUAAUAUAAAAGUAUAAAAUAAGUUUUAUAAAAGCAUUUGAUAUGUAAACGAGUUUUUAAGACAAUUUGAAGUAAAACAGUUUGGUAAAACAGUUUGAAAGUAAGAGAUUCACUUGUGUAUAGUUAUUAAUUACAUGUGAUUGAGAUAAUAACUAUUGUAACUUUACUUGUAUCCCCCCAUUCGAGUAUUUAUAAACAUUUGAAAACAUUUAAAAGGUUAAUUUAGGGGUAUGAACUCACCUGUUGUGAGUGGUACAGAUGAACUGAAGAGGUAGGAUGGCUAGGUUUCAAGUGAAGUCUUGAACACACUCUAUGAUCCUAGUUAACAUAUAAUAUAACAUAUAUGUAUACCAUUAGUCUUUAAACAACUAAUAAACAAAGUUAAGACACUCUAGGACAUGCUAAACACCUUAUACAAUUGUUAUAAGUCUCAAGGGUUGCAUCUAAGUGUUGUAGGGAAAGGCUAGUGUGUUUGGGGUUCAAGGGUAAACUCCCUUGGAGUUUACGGUUUUUGAUGACCAUUACCAAGGAGUUUACGGUAGUAAAAUCAAGGGUUUAUGGUCGUAAACUCUACACUUUAUGACCAUAUGUUGUUUUGAAGUUUUACAAGUCCUUUGAAGCAUUUCUACAUGGUGGUUAGGCCUUUGGAAGGAUCUAGGGCACCAUUUCACUCCUUAAUGGAGUUUACGGUCCCUUUUCCAUUUUUCUUUGAGUUUACUACCUUAAACUCAUGAGUUUACUACCUUAAACUCAUGAUUUUACUACCUUAAACUCAAGUUUAUGAUGUUUGGGAGUUUUCAAGUCGUUAGCUCAAUCAUGGUAAUAAUCUAGGUUAGAUUUAGACAUAAGGAAGAACCAUGGGACUUUUAUGGGACUUUUAUACACCUUUUGGGGUGUCUACGGUUUUGGGACAUCCCCAAACCGUAAAAACAUAAAAAUGUAAGGUUUUGGUGCUUUUUGUGUGAUAAACUCAUCAAGGAUGAAUGUAGAUAAGUCCCUAAGGCAUUGUGAAGCAUCUAGGCACCCUAACACACCAUUUUGGCCCUAUUCUUGGUGUUUAUGGUUUUAGGACCUCCAAAACCAUGAACACCUUUAUCUUGGUGUUCUUGGGACUUUUCUUUGAAACUAACAAGUAAUACAAGCUUAAUAAGACUCAGGGAUGGAAGUACUUACUAUAAGGAUGCUUGAAUUGAGCUAAAAGUCCAAGAACACUUAGUGUGUGUUCUUGGUGUUCUUGGUGAUUUUGGAAAUCUAAUCAAAACACAAAAAUGAAUGGAUAAAAAGAUGUACAAUCACUAGAUUAAGUGUUAUAUCAACUUGGAAUGGCUAGAACACUUACAGGUUUGAGAUCUUUAAUNAUCUUUAAUUAAAUCUUGGAUGAUACUUGAGAGUGUUUUUGAGUUUACUCUUUUUGAGUUUGGGGAGUAAACACAAAAUGACUAGUUUUUGGGGAGUAAACUCAUGCUUAUGCAUGAGUUCACGAUUUUCGGAAGAAUUUUCGGCCCAAACAUAAAAGUUUGGCUGUGAAUUUCUAAGACACGAGGUAUACGCGGUUUAGAAAUUUCAAGUCUCGAGACGGCCCAUCCGUAUCUCAACGAACCUUCACUAAUGGGCGACAACGUUGCUUCGUCUGCUUGACCUCUCGGUUGAGGGUCACUAUGGUUCUAAUAUGAAGGAGAGGGUCUCGUUAAUCUCAAUCUCGUCGGGUGGACUUACGAGCGUCCGAACGGAAAGGUACGGUUUCAAGCUCGAGGCGCAAACGGUAAAAUGUACGUUACUAAGUUCGUGGAGUAGGUCUAGUUUGUGAGGUACAGGACCGAUUCUGGUAAGAAUCUCAGGGGUCCUAACUAUCUUGGAUUAAGCUUUUCAUAUGAUACGAAGCGUAUUAAGCCAUUCCCAGAGUGAGUUUUCCUAAAGAACUUGGUCUCUCACUUGGAAUUUCCAAGGUUUCUUUUUCUUUCUUAACUUCCCAAUCAAAGGCCACCCUCUGCUGGGUCAAAGUUGUACGGGUUUCUGUAAUAUGCGAGGAGUUAUGGAUGAACUAUGACAGUAGGUCUAUAAGACCUAGAAUUUGGCAAAUUUCUGUUGGUGUUGAAUCAUAAAAGUGACCCUCUUGAACUCAACUACCGCAACCUUCUCUCUACUACCGCAACGGUUCAGUACCCACAACCAAUCCAACACCCGGAGUCAAUUCUGUAACUGCAACCACAACUAGUCUUUUGCUACCGCAGUCUACUAGAAUACUUUUACAUGUCUAUUAUGUAAUUCACUCUAUUAUCCUGUAUGCCUUGCACGGCUGCUUAUAGAUUCUUAGUCUAGUUCAGAGUCUCGAUAAAUAGAGACUCAUUCUCUUGUAUCGAAUACACUUCUUACCACUUACUAAUAACUUAUGAACUUAUUCUGAAUAUAUUUCUCUAAGUUAUCUUCUUCAUUUCUCUAUCUUUAUACUCUUCUUACUCUCAACUGUUACUUAAACAUAUCUGAAUAUAACCUCUCUCCGGAGCAAGUCUGUAAGACUUAAUCACUAAGUUUGAUCUUCCUUAUUAACUUGGAGUGAAUGCAUUCCUUGUUACGAAUCAGCUUAAGUGUAUUCUUGAUAUAACAAUUGUUGUCAUUUCUAUUUCUUUAAAUUCCGCAACUAACUCCCUAACUCUAACUAUAUUAUUGUUGAGCUUUUAGAUCCUUGGAGAUUAACUCUAUUCCGCAAUAUACUUGUUCUAACUUUCGUUCAAGUGUGUCUCCAAAGUUUUUCUCUCAACAAUUGGUAUCAGAGCCACAGUGGUUGCUUUUUGAAUAUCAGAACUUUGAUUUUUCAAAGGGCCUUCUAUACCACUAAAGCUCAUUUCUUAAAAAAAACAAAAAAAAACUUCAAAUGGCACAAUCGUUAUCUCUCAAUGUCUCCAACAGUGUUGGUGGUUCUAAUCGAGCCCCAAUACUGGUUGCAAAUGAAUAUCAUCACUGGUCACAAAGAAUGGAGAGGUACUUAAGAAAACUGGGAAGAGAUGUAUGGCGAUCCGUAGAAGAAGGACCAGAUGUUCCAAUUCUUACGGCAGUCCAAACUGACGACACUGCAACCAGGCUAGGAGGAGGUCAACCAGCAAUGAACUGUCCUACCAAGGAUGACCUCGAUAAGAUGGAAAAUGAUGUUGUUGCUUUUUAUGAAAUCUCCUACGGAGUUGCUCCUGACAACUUCGAUAUCAUCAUAAAUUGCAAAUCAGCAAAAGAAAUCUGGGAUGUUCUCAAGAAUCUUUUUGAAGGCAUAGAACAAGCACAAGACAAGAAGCUCACUACCGCACUCAAUGAGUUCAACAACUUCAAAGCUUAUACUGGUGAAAGUUUGGAAGACUCCUUCAAGAGGUUCAACCUAAUUUUCACCAAAUUAUCCAAUGUGGGCACCGUCCGCAGUAACCAUGAAACCAAUCUUCAGUUUGUUAAUGGUUUGGGAAGACAUUGGACUACAGCCAAAAUGAUAGUCCAAGGCGAUAGAAAGAUUCACUCUUUGUCUCUUUACAAGCUCUAUGGAGAGCUUCAAGCACAAGAAUCAACCGUGCUCAAGGAUUGUGCUGACUUCGGAGGACUACUUACUCUCAUAGCACAAACUCCACCGCAGUCACCUUAAUCUACUUCUUAUGACGCUCCACCAUAGUCAUACGAGGCUAAUUCAGAAUACGACGAUGAAGAAGAAUUUCAGAAGGCUAUUGUUCUUGUUAGCCAACAGUUCAAUCGUAUUCCAGCUCCUUCUUUCUGCAAAAACCAGCAGUUCAACAAACCUCCAUUCAACUGUAACUUCGGUUCUCAAAACAAUCACUCUCGUUAUCCCAAAAGUUCUCAUCCACCACCGCAGUCUCAAAUCAAUCAACCAAAGGAGGUACCGCAGUCUCCUCAGACCAAUGACUCUGGUACUCCACCAGAAGAUAAGAAUGAUGUUGUGAUUUGUCACAAAUGCAACAAAGAAAACCACUUCGCAAGAGAUUGUAAGGCCAAUGUAAUCAAAGAUAGAGCAUUCUACCUUAGAAUGGCUCGAGAGUUAGAAGAAAAGGAAAAAGCAAGGGCACAUGUGGCCCAUGUAAAAAGAGACCAUCAAGUGUGGUCAUUCAGAGAUGAAGAAGAGGCCAUUAGCAGCGUCAAAGAAAAGGGGAAAAUCUGCUUGCUGGCCACUAUGGAUGAUGAUGAAUCUUCAAUGUUGAACAAGAACUACUGCUACAUGGCUAAAGAUGGAACUUUGAGCAUCGUCGAACAGGUAAAACUCAUGAUCCAAACUCUAAAUUAUAGCAUGCAUGACUGGUAGCCCUACAUAGACAAUCUUAAUGACACUUGUGUUGCCAUCCUUACAGACUAUAAUAAAGCCUUUGAUGAGAAGAACAUCGCAUCCCAAGAGAUGUUUCAUGUGAGAGGAUGCCUGGAUAACAAAAGAUUUAAGAUGGCUAUGUUAGAAAAGGAUCUAGAGUUGGAAAAAGAUGCUAGAAUGUUAAGUGAAACCCAAUUAGAAAUAGCUUUAAACCAGAGAGAUUUAGCUCAGAGAGAAAUUGUAUGAUUAAAUCUCCUUAUUGAAAAACUUUUUAAUGAAAGUGAAGCUAUUGAAAAUUUGGUGAACAAUGGAACUGUGGACAAUACUUACAACUAGGGUUGGUCAAAUGGAUAUCCUACCACAAUCGAUUCCUCACCCGGUUUAACAAAAACAGACUGUAUGUCCCUCCGGAUAGAGAAUUUCAUUUCCCUGUCAAUCAUAAGACUUUUCCUGAAGAUAUUAAAACUCACUUCGGUAGACUGCACAAUUUAAGCAAUAAUUGUGUCAUUGAGGAAAUUGUGCCUGAGGUUUCGGGUCACACAUGUGAUCAAAUCCCGAUAUGUGGCACCAUCUAUCCAAAAUCUCAAACCUCAUCCGUAGUUGAUGAAGAGAUUGUUGUCGGAAGUCCGAAAGUGUCAAAAGACCUUCCAUCAUUGUCCUUAGACCGCAGUGUCUCACACUGUAUUCAGAUGUCCAACAAGUGCUCAAACGAAGUCCCAUCCAAGACUUACUCAGUGGUUGUUAAGUCAUCCCUAUCGCAGUCAUCAGUUCAAGGGAAUGUAAUCCUUCAUCCAAUCUUUCAUGAGUUGCCCAUAGAACAUUUUGAAGUACGGCAAUGCUCUCAGGUCCUUGAAUCUUCAAGUUCAGAUGAAUCAAGCCCACGUUUUCAAAAUCAUUCAAAGAAUUCCAGGAAACCGCAGUUGAACAACAAUGACUGUGGUUCUCCAAAAUCAUUGGCAAAAAAGGAUUUCAAAGAGGAAAUUAGAUCUCGUGACAUAAAAAGACAAAAUUUUUCAAAAAACAAAAAACAUAUCAGAUUUCCAAAAUCUAAGAGUCCUGAAAAAUUUGUCUUCACACACUAUCUUUCAAGAAACUCUUCUAUCAAGAAAGUCAUCAAAAAGGAAUGUUCAGUUUCAAAAGUCAUUCCUAGCGUUUCUGACAAAACCCAAAAAUGUGUCAAGUCUUUUCGAAGCCAUGUUUUUCAAGUCUAUUCCUCAGACAACCCCAAAUGGAAAGGUAUUUUACCCACCCCACAACCUUUAAAGUCACAUCAAAAUUUCAACAAAUGGAAGGGUGUUUUACCAAAUCCACCAAAAAGGAACUUUUCACGUGCUAAACCUCUUUCAAAACAAAAUUUUCAGAAAACAAAAAGCACACAUGUCAGAAAUCACCCACCUCGGACCGGUAACAAGUCCAAUUCACUCUAUAAACCGCUGACCAAGCACAGUGUCAAAUCAAAUGAUAAAAUCCCUUUGUGUAAAUAUCAGUGCAGUUGUCAAAAGAUUUUAUCUCAUUUCGAAUCAAGUCAGAAUCAAAAACCUCGUCCUUUUUCAAAACCUCACAACACUCCAAAUCUGAACAAACACCCCGGACUAGGAUCAAAAAUUGACAAGAGACCCAUCACUGAAACCUUGGACUAUGCAUCAUUUUCUAGAAAUUCACCAAUUGCCCCAGGCUCCAAGCUAGUUUGGAUGCCUAAACUAACCGUGUAAUUGUCAGGCUUUGUGCAAGGAGGAUCAAGAAGAAGAGUGGUUAAUAGACAGUGCCUGCUCCUUGCACAUGACCGGAAGGUUAGAGUACCUUUGGGAUUUCAGGCCUAUUUGCAAUGGUGGAAAUGUCACGUUUGGUAACAAUGCCAACGGUGUCAUCCGAGGUUACGGUGUUCUCACUACCAGGAACUUCUCUAUUUAGAAGGUUGCUUAUGUAGAAAGCCUUAAACACAAUCUCAUUAGUGUUGGCCAACUACGUAGAGCAGGACAUAGAGUUGAGUUUGAUGAUCAAUUUUGUUACGUGAUGACUGGUGAUAGGAGCUCAUGCCUAAUCAAAUCUCAAUCCAAAGGUACCGUGUACCUUUUGGAUGUCUCUCUCAUCAUUGGAAGACCGCAGCUAUGUUUCCUAUCCAAAGCCAUAUCUGAAGUAAGCUGGCUAUGGCACCGCAAGCUAGCUCAUUUCAACUUUCGGUACAUCAACAAUUUAGUCACUGGAGAACUUAUUUGUGGUCUCCCCAUCCUCAAAUUCAGCAACGAUACUCUUUGUCCAGAUUGUGAAUGUGGAAAACAAUCCAAAGCAAGUCACCCUCAGAUAAUGGACUCUUCCAUUUCUGAACCACUGGAACUACUACACAUUGAUCUCUGCGGUCCUUCAACCAUAGCCAGUCUCCACCACAAGAAGUACAUACUGGUUAUUGUUGAUGACUAUACACGCUUCACUUGGGUCUUCUUCCUCAGACUCAAAUCAGAGACACCGCAGAUCUUUAUCAACUUCAUAAAAGAAAUCGAAUUGUAGAUCAAGCUCCCAGUCAGACGCAUCCGCAGCGAUAAUGGAACCGAGUUCACCAAUCGUCUUCUCAAUAGUUUCUUGGUGUCCAAGGGUAUUUCUCACAACUUCUCAGCACCCUACACACUGCAAUAAAAUGGUGUAGUUGAAAGAAGGCAUUAAACUCUAGUUGAGGCUGCCAGAUCUAUGCUUAACUUCGCCCACCUUCCUCUCUACAUUUGGGCUGAAGCAGUAGCAACUGCAUGCUUUGUCCAAAAUCGAAGCAUUGUGUGUAAACAUCUAAAAAAAACACCUUAUGAAGGCCUCAACAACCGCAAACCAAAUGUUCGCUUCUUUCAUGUCUUUGGGUGUAGAUGCUUUGUGAUCAACAACAGAGACCAACUCAACAAAUUUGCACCGAAGUCUGAUGAAGGCAUCUUCCUUGGUUACUCCACUAACAAGGUUGCUUAUCGAGUGCUCAUCAGGCAUACAAGGCUUAUCAUCAAAAGGUUUGACGUGAAAUUUGAUGAUUCACACAUCCGUAACGCCCCUCCAUCCAAUGAAACUACCGCAAUUAUGGAAUGUGAUAUUCCUGCUUCUUCAGGUCCAUUAAAUGUAGUUGAAGUCAACUAUGAAGAUCUCUUCGAUCCUGUUGAAACAGCGAAAUUAUCCGAAAUUCUUGUGUCACCCACAGCUCAACAACAACAUGCUGAUGUUUCUGGACCACCUCUUUCUGAAGUAGUAUCACUUAAUACUUCCACCUCUCCGGUUGAGGGGGAAAGCUCUACUUCGGAUCUAGCCGCAACCGUCGAGGUUCCAGUACUUGAUGUUGUUCAGAUUCCUGCCCGCAGAGAAGUCUUACCAUUAAACGUAUCUUCGGAUUUGGAUGAUGAACUCACAGAGAAUAUAGAUACUAGAACUGAUCCAAGGAUUGUCACUCUCCUAUCUGCAGUCCAGGGGGAACCUUCUCAGAUUCCAUAGGAACUCCCAUCCGUAAUCCAGGGGGAACCUCUCCCAAACGCUCAGGGUAAUUCAAUUCUCGUCCCCACAAUCCAAGAUGACUCAGCUGGUUGUUCUCAAAUCCAGGGGAACUGCCUUCUCCUACCGCAAAUUCUCCUAACAUUCAAGAUAUCCCCUCCACCACAUCUGUUGAUCAUCUGCAGCCCCUUCUACAUGUAUGGACGAAGGACCACCCACCAGGUCAAAUCAUCGGCAACCCAUCCGCAGGUAUUCAGACUCAAUCCUCCAAAGAUUUAUCUGAUCAUUGCCACUAUGCAGCUUUUAUGUCCUCAGUAGAGCCCAGAUCAAUCAAAGAAGCAUUGCUUGAACCUAAUUGGAUAGCUGCAAUGCAAGAAGAGCUUGAAGAAUUUCAAAGAAACGAAGUUUGGCAGCUCAUACCGAAGCCAUUGGGCCAUUCCAUUGUUGGCACUAGAUGGGUGUUCAAAAACAAGCUGGAUGAAUCUGGUGUGGUAGUCAGAAAUAAAGUAAGGUUAGUUGCAAAGGGCUAUAGUCAACUUAAAGGUAUUAACUACGAUGAAACGUAUGCUCUGGUGGCACACAUGGAAGCUAUCCGGAUCUUCCUGGCAUAUGCAACCCACAAGAACGUCAAAGUACACAAGAUGGAUGUUAAAAGUGCUUUUCUCAAUGGGGAACUAAAAGAGGAGGUUUAUCUUCAGCAACCUCCGGGCUUUGAAAAUGUUGAAUUCCCUGACCACUGCUAUAAACUUGAAAAAGCAGUCUACGGUCUAAAGCAAGCCCCAAGAGCAUGGUAUUAGACACUUUCUGAAUUUCUUGUCUCAUCCGGGUACAAAAGAGGAGUGAUUGAUCCCACAUUAUUCAGAAAAGAAAAUGGUGACCACCUUAUGAUGGUACAAAUAUAUGUGGAUGAUAUCAUCUUCGGAUCGACUGAUCAAGGCAUGGUGGAUGAAUUUGCUAAGCUCAUGACCAACAAUUUCAAAAUGAGCAUGAAUAGAGAGAUUAACUUCUUUCUAGGUAUUCAAGUGAAACAAGUACCACAAGGCAUAUUCAUUCAUCAAGAGAAGUACACCACCGAACUGUUAAAGAAUUAUUCUAUGGACAAUUGUUCAUCUGCUAAGGUCCCCAUGGCCUUCGAUUAUAAGAUCUCUGCUGAUCCCUCAUGUGAAUUUGUGGAUCACAAGACUUAUAGAGGCAUCAUAGGCUCUUUGAUGUACCUCACAGCAAGCAGACCAGGCAUUGUCUUUGCAACUGGUGUAUGUGCAAGGUAUCAAGCUGAUCCUAAUGUAUCCUAUAUGACCGUAGCCAAACAGAUACUCCGGUACUUAAAAGGAAGCAAAUCUCUCGGUCUAUGGUACCCCGCAAGCAAUGACUUCAGCCUACAAGCCUUCACAGAUGCGGAUCAUGCCAGAUGCAAGCUCGAUCGAAAAAUCACUUCCGGUGGCUGUCAAUUUUUGGGUGAACGUAUGGUCAGUUGGUCUUCAAGGAAACAAAGUUGUGUCUCUCUAUCAACUGCAGAAGCAUAGUAUGUGGCCGCAGCCAGCUGUUGCUCUCAAGUCCUUUGGAUGAAAACUCAACUAAUGGACUACGGGUAUAAAAUGUUGCGGAUACCGAUCUAUUGUGACUCUGAAAGUGCUAUUGCUAUUUCUUACAAUCCAAUUCAGCACUCUAAGACCAAACACAUCGAACUAAGGUAUCAUUUCAUCAAAGACCACAUCUUGAAAGGUAAUAUCGAACUCAUCUUUGUUCCCUCUAAUGAAGAGAUUGCUGAUGUGUUCACAAAAGCACUCGACUCCACAAAGCUUAGCACCUUCCUACAAAUGUUGGGAAUGAUGAAUCCAGACCCACAAUUCUUUUUGAAUUGUUAGCUACCGCAGACCUUUUUUGGUCUCCAUUGCGGUUCUAAAUAAGAAUUACAUAUGAUAGAUGGUUUUGGUACCGAAGUCUAGGUACCGCAACCAUAUAUCAUACGUAGUUCUCAUGGGUCUUUAUGGUUUGUUAUUUUCUAACCUUUGCAUAAGUGCUUCUCUCAGUUUCUCACUGCAGUCUUUACUUUGUUCAUUCGUGAUGACGUUUCCAACCGCAAUGAAGUUUCUCAUCCGCAAUGACGUUUCCAACCAUAGUCAUCAAAUGUUUUAUCAACCCUUGUCCCUUUGUGUGCUAUUUAAUGAUCCCUCAUUAAAUAAAAUAAAACAUUCCCCAUUAGAAACUGUCACCUUCCCUUUCUGAAUAAACCCUUUUGUUAGACCUAUUUUGGGAUGAUGACAAAAAGAACGUUUUUCCAAUUCACUCAACCUUAAUUUGUCCUUUCCUCUCCCCAACCCGUCCCAUUCGUUACAACUUCCUCUUCCAUCACCCCCACGACCACCUGACGUAUUGACAUGCGUCUGACCUUACAUUAAAUGCAAACCCCUUUUUGGAAAUCUCCCAAAAUCUUUUUAAAUGCGUUAUAUUUUUCUGUGUGGCUGAGAUUUAAUCUAGAAAUCAGAAAUUCCCUCCAAAACCCCAAUCGACGUUUCACCCUCUUCUACCUUUUACCUAGGGUUAAAAUUUUUUCACCCCUAUUUAAACCCAUCUUCUUCCCCAAUAAUCUUUACGCUUUCUAAUUAUCGAUUGAUUUCUCUCAACCUUCAAAAUCUCCAUAGCUCUCAAGGACUCUGUUUCUCUUCUCUCAAAUCACUUCCAAAUCAUUCGCAAUGGUGAAAUCCGGUGCAUCUAAGAAGCAAUCCAAGGCUACAGGUUUAGAAAACCCAAUAGGUUCCGAUUCUCCCUCAAUUGCAUCCAGCAAUUUCAGAGCAAUCUUUGAAGAUCAUCCCUCUUACAAUUCCCCCACCAAGCUAAUGAUCAAGUUUCUCAAGAACCACAUUCUGUUUGGUCCAUUCGAUGCGUUUAUAGACGUAGUUCCAACCUCUACACUCUUCAAAUGAGCGUUUUCUGCAUAUCGACCAUUGGAGAACCCCCAAGAAGUGCAUCUCAAUCUUAUCAACGAUUCCUUGGUCAUCUUGACCAAAGAAAUAAUUGUCUCCGCCAUUAACCUUCUGGUUCACCCCUCCAUCAAGUUCUUCUCACCAUCGAUGACUGACGUCACCACCGCACUAUACCAGAUGGGGUAUCAGAAACCAAUCUGGGGGAUUGGUGAAUUCAAAAAGAACCAACUGCCUGCGGUUUGGCAAUUUGUGUGCCACUACGUCAUCCACAGUCUAUCCGGCAGAACCGGAGGCAUCGACAACAUGGGUUUAAAGCUACUAGAACUGGUCUGGAGCAUUUUCACAGGCACAAUGUCAACUAUGGGAAAAUCCUUUAGGACGAUUUUCUCCAAUACAUUCCCAAGGAGCACCCGAAGGAAAACCCUACAGGGCUCACUUUUGCACGCUUUUGGUCUCUCUGCAUCUCAGAUUUGCAUGCGGAUGCCGACAUUGAUAUGGGCAGUGACAUCAAUUUCUUUGUCACCAAGGAGCUAAAAAGGUACAAUCCUUCUUCUGACCAAGCUUUAUUUGGCCCUAUCCACAGGCUCCCCACACAUAUUCUUACUCUCCUUAGUCUUGAGACUGCUAAUGUAUCAGACCACAUUGAGGCUACGGAGGGUAUUGCCCAAUACCCUUCUACCCCGCCUCUUCCAUCCACAGCCAUUAACCCUGAGGGUACCGCAGUCCCCUCUGCCACCACUUCAUCCAAUAUUUCUCAAAGAAGAAAGAAGUUGGCUUCCAAGAGGAAGAACAACACACCCAAGAAGGGUGCUUCUAAACCAUCCGCACCCACCAAGAAACGCAAGUCAAAACCUUCCCCAACCAUAUCUAUCAGUGACGAGGAUAGACAACCGAUUUCUAUCCUCAAGAAAAGGAAAACAACCAAAGUCACUAGCUAUAUGCGUGAUAGGACAGAUGCUGAAGCCUCUCAAAAGGCUCCAGUAGUCCUUGGGGUUCCCGCAAACCCAUUCGACACCACCAUCAUUUUUGAUUCAGACUCAGAAACUGAGUCUGAUUCCCAUUUACAUGGAGACUCCCCCCCAGCGAAUUCCCAAGAGGAUGACACUGGUUCUUGCCCUAAAGUCUCCAAGGAUUCCCGACUGCAUACUUUUUCCCCAGAGGAGGUGCGCUCCAUCCUUCUUUCAGUUACCCAAACACUACAAACACCAUCCCAACCGCAGGGCACUUCUUUCGCCCAUGCCAGAACUGGCCCGAGGCCAGACUUGACCACGGGUCAAGGAGACCGAGGAAGCCCAGGAAAUCCUACUCUGCUUACAUCUUUAUUAGGUGUUUUAGGCAUGGUGAGCACUAAUGUGCAAGGAGCCAUGGACCCGAAGGACACUUCAGUGUGUGUUACAGGUUUUGAAGAUGUUGCUUCAAAUGACUCAUAGUUGCAGUACAAUCCAGUCACUGAGUUAGACAAGAAGAAAUAUGAAGCUUUCAAGAGGGCCUUCUAAGCCCGCAAGGAGCAACAAGUCAAGCAGCAGCGACAAAAGGAACAAGAAAUUCAAUCCAUCGCUCGGUAUUGGGCAAAUGCCAUCAGCAAUGCCAAUACCGUAGCUACUAUGCAAAAGGUUCAAAAUCUGAUGGAUCAGCUGGCAGAAAAUAUGUUGAAAGCUCAAGCUUCGGCCGCAGCAGCGGGUACUUCCCAGGUUCCACCUACUCCAACUCCAGUUCCAUCUCCCAAUCUAACAGAAAACCCAUCUCAAGAAAAAGGGACCGCAAUUGAACUCAGCUCAGCCCCUACCUGCGGUCUUGACGAUGAAGAUGUCCAAGAAAUUAACAAGCCAAAUCCUUUAGACGACGAUCUGAUGAUGUUUGAAGAAGAAGAGGAGUCCAGUGGCUCACAGCAUUCGACUUCCAAGCCGAAAACAAAGAAGAAAAAGAAGAAGAAUGUUGUCACCCGAAAGGAGUUCCUAAGCCUUCAAGCCAAAGUGGAUCAAAUAUUGGCUACGGUUAAACCCCCUCAAACUGAAGACAUUCCAGGACCACAGUCAGUGAUUGAAAGAAUUGAAAGGCUGGAGACAAGGGAGCAUAUGGCUGCUGAGCGCAUCUCUCUCAAAGUAGAGAUGGGGAUCUGGUCCAUUGACAACUCACGCAAGGCUGACCACAAGGACUUCAUGGCUGUAGCGGAAUGCCUCAUUUCUGAGGUGACAGCAAUUAAAAAGGAUCUUCAAGCAGCCAUUGCGGAUCAAGCUGCACAAUCUCAGAAAGUGAUCGAUGAGACUCAUACUGCUUAUGAGUCCACUAUCUCUGUUCUUCAAGCUACAAUUAAUAGACUGAAGAAAUCCCUUACUUCCAACUUCCAUGGCCCUGAGAUCCUCCAGCUUACAAAAGACAUACACAAGCUGCUAUUCCACCCAACCAUCCCAAAUAAUUCCCAAUUGUCAGAAACACUCAAAGCUCAAUUCCAAGAAGUUUGUGCCAAGGUGGAUGGACUAAAGAAAUGGCUUGAGGAAGCACCGGGGUUGCGUUCCUCAAGAGGGGGAAGUGAAGAAGAAGAAGUCCACCACUCUAAUUCCUCUUUCCAUCAGAGUCCCCUCAUCACCACUAAAAAAAUUCCAACACCUCGGCCUUCACCGCAACCACCUCAACAUAUUUCAACUCCCCCCACUUCACCUCCUAAAGACACACCCAAAAAGCCUGAGACUCCUCCUCACUUCAAAAUUUUGGAGGAGAACAUAUCAUCCGAAAGAUCCAUAGACUCCCAUACUACAGCUUAAAGAAAACAAGAUUGGAAAGCAGCCAAGUUAGCCAAACUCAUCUGGAGAGAGUGAGGAUUCGACACCAUGAUUGAUCAGUGACUAAUUAACUCAUGGGUCAAUCCGCACCGCAAGCUGCUAGAUGAAGACUAUACACCGCAUCUGACAUAUGCUGAACCCCCUGAUGAUGGGUACUAGGACAUUCCAAUUUCACCAAAUGCCAAAUACUUUGCAGUGUUUGAGCCACUUGACAGCAGCCUUCCUGCCCACAAAAGACUGUCGAUGGAGUUUAAGAGAUUAAACCGUUUUUAUGCCAAACAUUCCUCCUCCAUUGACAAAAUAUGGUCUAACGACAGACCAUCCGCAAUCAAGAACUACAAAAUGCGGAAGUUCCUGAACGCUGAUUUUGUCCAGUAUACUCUCACCAGAAGGGAGCAUGACUACAUCCGCACCCAGGCAGACUUCCCAUGCAUGAAUCCAAAAGAAAAUUUUCUUAUUGCUAGGGUGUUCCAGAACAAGGCAGAAAAGCACCCCAAGGUGCAAAUAGCGCUUGAAAAAAACCAACUCUUUCGUAAGGGACACAGUCUGUGACAUUGCGAAGAUUGACACGGACAUCUACCCCACCAUCCUCAAUAGAUUUGACCUUCCACCACUUGAACCUGUGUUAAUGCUUAUCGAAGGCUACGAAGAAUGAUCACUAGGCGCAACCAACUUCCCGGAACUUGGCAUCAUAUUCAAACAGAAGACAGACAACGUCAAAUACUUCAUUCCGAUGAAUGCCAUGCACCGUCUGCCAAAGAAACAACUUGACAUUUGCCAGAGCGCAGUGGAAAAAUCGAAGCGUACUACUGUAGAAGUCAAGUUUGAGAUUACAAGGAGAAUUACAUGGCUGGAGAAUGUUAGGAAAUUUUGGUGGAUUUUGAUCAAGUUCCUCAAACUUGAUAGCUGAACUAGAGUUAAAGAGGUCACUUAGGGGGAAAUUGUUGAAUCAUAAAAGCGACCCUCUUGAACUCAACUACCGCAACCUUCUCUCUGCUACCACAACGGUUCAGUACCUACAGCCAAUCCAGCACUCGGAGUCAAUUCUGCAACUGCAACCGCAACCAUUCUUUUGCUACUGUAGUCUACUAGAUUACUUUUACAUGUCUUUUAUGUAAUUCACUCUAUUAUCUAGUAUGCCUUGCACGACUGCUUAUAGACUCUUAGUCUAGUUCAGAGUCUCUAUAAAUAGAGACUCAUUCUCUUAUAUCGAAUACACUUCUUACCACUUACUGAUAACUUAUGAACUUAUUCUGAAUAUAUUUCUCUAAGUUAUCUUCUUCAUUUCUCUAUCUUUCUACUCUUUUACUCUCAACUGUUACUUAAAGAUAUCUGAAUAUAACCUCUCUCUGGAGCAAGUCUGUAAGACUUAAUCACUAAGUUUGAUCUUCCUUAUUAACUUGGAGUGACUGCAUUCCUUGUUACGAAUCGGCUUAAGUGUAUUCUUUGGCGUGACUGCAUUCCUUGAGAUUAACUCUAUUCCGCAAUAUACUUGUUCUAACUUUUGUUCAAGUGUGUCUCCAAAGUUUUUCUCUCAACAGUCGGCAUCUUCGGUGUCGACAAAUUCCCAACGGUUUUGGAUAAAUGGACAGAGUACUCAAGGAUUUCCACAUCACUAAUAGUGUGCCUUCGGAAUUUGAUUCUCUAAUUCCAAAACUCAUGUUCAGAGAACUUUGCGAAAAGUAUCUCCGAAGGUAAUGUUUCCACGGGUUCCUUCUUAUUACGAGGGUAGAUAAGUAUGUCGUUUCAUAGACAAUGACGAACUGAUCCCAGUAAGAAAGAUGGAAUCUAUUUAUUAAACUCAUGAAUGCUUCGGGUGUAUUGGUCCUAUCCGAGGGGUAUCACUACAGACUCGAAGUGUCCGCAUCGAGUUCGGAAGGUAGUCUUUGAGUCAUUCUUCCCUAGCACUCGAAACUGCUGAUAUUCGGAUCUCGGUCCAUUUCUGAAAGGUAACUCGAUCCUUGCGUUUGCUCAACCGAUUCAUCUAUGUGAGGCAGAGGCAAUGAUUUCUAACGGAAAUCUUGAUGGAGUCCUCGAUAACCGAGGUACAUACAAUGCAAUCCGUCGACCUCUGGAAGAAUAAGACCGGAUCUCUCCAGGGUGAGAAACCUAGUCUUCUAAUUCUAUUUAUUUGCAGUUCGCUAAGUUGUCCGUACUGUUCUUGUAUCUCCGUAGUUGUUUAGACUGUAGGGAGAUCUUUUUACGGGAGUCAUACCGGGUACUAAGUUUGUUCGCAUGACGAUGCGAUUACUCGUAGUCUUGGGCAGUUCUCCAUCCUGAAGUUCAUAUUAUAAUUCAUACAUGGUUUGACGAUCACCAUCUCGUGUAUACGAGUCAUAUAUAAUUAAGAUUGAAAAGAUAGUCGAAUAUAUGAUUUUUCUUUACGUUCACAUCCCGAUGGGAAAGGAAAUUAAAGUGGAAUCAUCACUUCUAAACUUGUAGCACCUUGAUUAUAUAUUACCCUUAUGUAUACAUUCUUCAGUGAUAGAUCAACCGUUUGAAUCUUUGGAUUGAACUUGACGUACUGCACGAGUAAUACUGCGGGGAUUUCUUCGGAAAGGAAAAGAACUAUGAGGUACUCCAAGCAUGAGUACUUCGGUGUUCUGAUAUGACGACUUCGCUAGAAAGGCGAUUUCGAAGAAAGAGAUGUACAUAUGAAACUGGUUUCGUGCGGAUCAAAGUGAAUCUAGUUGUAUGAUAAUGUCAGAAUCAUAAGGAAAAUUUAAGACGUUAGAUUUGAAUAUGAGGCGUUAUAGACAAAACACAACCGUGCAACCAUCAAAAGAGUUACAAUACUUUAGACUUACUACAAGACUAUUGCUGCGAAUAAGGUAUACUACCAAAGACAAAUAUACGCGGCACGAGCAUCCCUAUACCGACAGGAUCCCACAAAAGAUAAGACUCUAGUUGCACUAGUUUUAAACAUGUUUUAAAAACAUACAAAAUACUGAUGAUUGGGAGGGAACCUAUACUAUAGUAGGUUCCUUAACUGCCUCAUUCCAUUCUGAGCUAAAACUCCUCCGUAUUCGCCGUUGUCCUCCUCUGUUGGACAGUCCCUCUUGAAGUGUCCAAUGACGCCACAUAGAUGGCAUAUCUGAGAGGUUUGGACAUUGGUGGUUGAAUUAAUGUGUUGGAUCUGGGUCCUGCAGCAGCUGGUAGUAUGUCCAUUCCUGUUGCACUUAAAGAGUGUAACGCACGGCAACUACCUAGAUGAUGAAAGCUACACUCAUAGCAUUUCGGUAGGUUUCCGGCAUAUUGCCUAGCUGCUGUAGGGACAAUUGGGACACCAGCAGGAAUGGUAGUAAGAGGUACAGAUGUUGUAGCUGUGAAGAUCGUUACCGGUGGUUGUUUCUUGUUCGCUCCUCGAAGCAAUUUGUCCUUCCUUUUAGCCCAAAACUUCCGUUUGUUACUCUUGGUCUUGUAACUAGGAGCAUUGUGAUAGUUUUUUGCUCGUUGAAGUACUUGAUUGUGACCUAGAUUGGAACUGUUGUCAACAAUCCUGCUAACAUUCGCGUUGUUAGCGCUAAGGUGGUUCAGAAUAGCUGACACGACAGCCGAGACUGCAGCUUGAAAGGUAGCUGCAUCAAUCUGAAGAGUUGGUGUUUGGUUGAUGGGUUGAUCGUUUUUCUUUGGCGACAUGAUUCUAUUUCGCGGAAAGAAAAAUGAAUUUGUAAGCCAGCAUGGUUGAACCUAGACGUAGUUCGACUGUUUAUGUAAAGAAUAAGAGUAUGUUCUCGAAUGUUUGACCUACAUCCCUAUGAUGCAGUCCUAGCACGGAUUGGAAGUAUGUUUGUGAAGGUUUGACCUACAUCCCCAUGAUGCAGUCCUAGUACUCAGUGGAAGUGAGUUCGUAGAAUGGUCUCAAGACGCUUGUCGUUCAAUCCAAGGUAUCGUUGUUUGGUGAAUAACAUGAUGCAACCACUGAAAGAGACAUGGAAAUGUCUCCGGAGUUAAAUUACUAUAGUCCAAUGACUUGACUAAAUCAUGUUUCAGAUAGACUCCAAUGAAAGUAUGAUAAGAUUUCUUGAAUAAAGAAUGAAUCAGAAGUUAGCCGACUGUCAAUAUCUUUGGUAUUAAUGACUUAAAAGUUCGGGAAAAUGACCUUGUAACAGGUCGUACAUCAUAUCCAGAGGUGAUAGUCCUUGACAGAAUAAAGGCCUAACUAAAGUACUUAAAGUACAAGGUAGUUUCAUAGAAAAUGCCAUAUCGGGCAUUGAUAGAAAAACGAUUCCUUUUUAACAAGGAAAAAAAUAAAGUAAAUCAUCUAUUACUGGCGACGGUCAUCCCUCUGGUGAACUCUCAGUUCAGCCAGUUGAUGUUCCAUAUCAAGCAGGUAUCUUUCGUAUACCCUCUGACGUACUCGAAGCUCUAUGACUUCGGCUUGGGUUUCAGCUAGUGCUUGUAGUAGGGUUUCAUGGUCUCUCUCUGAUCUCUCACGAGCAUGUUCAAGGCUGUUGGUGCGAAGGAUAUGCAUCCCUCCAUUGGUGUCAACUUCAGUGAUACGACGUAGAGUUGUCCUGCCCUAAAUUUCAUUUCAGGCAACUCUACGGAUCAGGAUUGGUAGAACUCUAUCUGCUGUGCUCCCUUCAUUUAUGUUGUAGAAGCUUCAGUCUCGAUUAAACGGCAUAGGUUGAUCUUGAUCUUCGCUCCAUGCUUCCAAACAUUCGACCCAUGGAGGUGUCGGGCCAUGAAAAGCCAGACGAGGGUCGGGAUUUGGAAAGGGAGCUGUCUGGGGCAGGUUCUCAACCUCGGGUUCGGAGUUAGCACCAUCUGAAAGGUCUUCAUCAUGGUGAUCAUUCACAGGGGUAGGAUGAUCAUUCUCUGGUUCUUCUCCAAACCAUCCAGCGAUGACUUCAUUCGGAAGGUACUGGUUGCCAUGGGGAUGGAGUCCAGCCAUGUUAUCUACGCGAGAAUUGGGGUAAGAAAAUAAUUAUUAGACGAACUAUCUAGAUAAUUAUUUAGAAAAUCUUCAUUAUUUACAUCACUAUUUGUGAAGUGCAUACCAGUUAUAUGUAAUUGAAACAGGAUAGGCCUUCGGAUAAGUGACCUUAACUCCAAAUUCAUAAAGAAUAGGGGUAAAGCAAAAUUUUCACAGAUUCUAAGUCUAUAAUAUCCUAGUUACAUAUAACUUUAGUGUAUCCACUUAGCAACUAUCAACUUAGUAAUGAAGAUCCCUUUUAGUUCUCAAUUAUAAAGUACCUAUAGUAAAAACAAAUACCCCUAUAGUAUUUUAAGUUUAAUGUUAUGUUAUACUAUUCUCAUUGUGGUAUUGUUGGUAGACUUUUAGACUUGUUGCAACCACACAACUACACUUAGCCACAUGCUAGUCAACCCUCGGAUAAUAUAGGUGAUCAAGCUAUAUCUUCCCAGUUUUGAUCAUAUGUCUCUAAGUCCACCUGUGUUUCCCAACAAUCGUAAUUCUUUUGUACUGUCCUAGUGACGCUGAUUUUAGUAUGAAUGCAGCACGUAUACUUAAUUAAAUAUUUUAUUAUUUAAAGUAUUAUACUCUAAAUCAGAGUAUUUUAAUCCUGCUUGUGUUUAUAGUUUGUAUAUCUUUUAUGGGUUGAUACACUCAAUUCACUAUAAACAGUGCUCUGAUACCAAUUUGUCACACCCCAAAACCAUGUACGACGGAAACGUUCUGGGGCGGAGGACGUCAUGUACAGUAUCACAAUAAUGAAAAGUAGUAAACAAGCGACAACAUCAUCCAUUGCAUUAAUAAUAUAAUUUUAAUACAAGUGUGUUUUGUCAAAUUAUAAUAGACACUAAAGUAUAAUCAAAAUGAAAGAUGAGUCUUGAUCGAGCUCCAUCUUUUCUAAACCUUGCAUCGGUACCUGUCUAUCGUUGACCGGAGGAUACAAGUUAUUUUGAACUGGAGUAUCAGCUUUAAAGCUGGUGAGAUCAUAAGUAUUAAUGUGUCUUAAUUUGUAAAACUUGUAAUGAAAGACUUGAAAUUGUAUUGAAAGGAAGCUCGUAUAAGUAUGAAAAUGUUUGUAGAACAACUGUAAAUGUUUGAAAAACCCUAGAAAUCCCUAUGAUUCAUACUAUUAUAAAAGGGAGUCUUCUACCAAGACCUAACUACUCUAAAUGUAGCUUCUACCAANUUCUACCAAGACCUAACUGCUCUGAAUGUAGCCUUCUACCAAGACCCGACUGUGUUACUAUUAUUAUUAUUAUAAGAAAUUGUAUCCUUUGGUACUAGGAUACUCAAAUAUAAUUCACCUCAUCGAUUAUGUAAAUGAGCCACAAGAUAAAGGUAAUAAUAUAAAUAGCCUAAGUAUUACCCUUUGGUACUAGGGUAACUAACAAUGUUAACAUAAGACAUUCGUAGAUGUACAUUUACCUUUGUUGCUAACAGCUGGGUGUAGGAAUAGUUAAUCCCUUAAAGUAUACCUGUAAAGGUAUCAACCGUAGGCAUCCGUUGAUGUUCAUUAUCCUCUGUAGCUAACAGUGGCUAUAGGAAUGGUUAGUCCCCCAAAGGAUCCUUUGGUACUAGGAUAUUAAAUCCAAUCUACCUCGUCGAUUAUGUGAUUGUAUCACAAGUUAAAGAUAAGAAUGAGGAUUAUAUAACAUAAUCUAUACAUAUAAAAUGUAAUGAUACCUCAUCAUAUAUUAUCUAUGUAAACGUACUCAUGUAAAUGUAAUCAUGUAAAUGUACUCAUGUAAAUGUAAUCAUGUAAAUGUACUCAUGUGAAUGUAUAAUAAUGUUCUUUAAUGUUCUGUGUGUACUAGUUGUAACGUGUGUUCUCUCUCUAUCUAGCAAGUAUUGACUCAUGAAUGAACUGACUCAUUGUAUGAUAUCAUGUUCUAAUAAUAGUUCUAGUAUCUUCCUAAACUACCCAAAUGGUAGCUUACUAGUAAUGUAACUUGUACGUAUCAACAUGGAAGUAUACCCAUGCUACCCAAGGGUACUGAAUGAACUGGAAGAACCUUUAUGACUAUAUAUGUACACAUGAUAUAUAACUAAUAUUUGAACAACCUUCGGACGGGUACCCGAUAUCCCACCAGACCACAUUUCAAGCGUGAAAAGGAAAUAGGGCGGAUAGGCCUUCCUAAGCCUUUUAAAUAUUGCUUAUAUAACUAUACAUACAUAGACAUGAAAUUGAUAAUAUAAUAGUAUAAAAGAAGUUUCAUAAAAGCAUUUGAUAUGUAAAAGAGUUUUUAAGGCAAUUUGAAGUAAAACAGUUUGGUAAAAGAGUUUGAAAGUAAGAGAUUCACUUGUCGAUAGUUAUUAAUCACAUGUGAUUGAGAUAAUAACUAUCGUAACUUUACUUGUAUCCCCCCAUUAAAGUAUUUAUAAACAUUUGAAAACAUUUAUAAGGUUAAUUUAGGGGUAUAAAAUCACCUGUUGUGAGUGGUACGGAUGAACUGAAGAGGUAGGAUGGCUAGGUGUCAAGUGAAGUCUUGAACACACUCUAUGAUCCUAGUUAACAUAUAUUAUAACAUAUAUGUAUACCAUUAGUCUUUAAACAACUAAUAAACAAAGUUAAGACACUCUAGGACAUGCUAAACACCAUAUACAAGUGUUAUAAGUCUCAAGGGUUGCAUCUAAGUGUUGUGGGGAAAGGCUAGUGUGUUUGGGGUUCAAGGGUAAACUCCAAGGGAGUUUACGGCAGUAAACUCAAGGGUUACGGUUGUAAACUCUACACUUUAUGACCAUAUGUUGUUUUGAGGUUUUACAAGUCCUUGGAAGCAUUUCUACAUGGUGGUUAGGCCUUUGGAAGGAUCUAGGGCACCAUUUCACUCCUAAAUGGAGUUUACGGUCCCUUUACCAUUUUUUAUUUUGAGUUUACUACCUUAAACUCAUGAGUUUACUACUUUAAACUGAAGUUUAUGAUGUUUGGGGGUUUUCAAGUCCUUAGCUCAAUCAUGGCAAUAGACUAGGUUAGAUUUAGACAUAAGGAAGAACCAUGGUACUUUUAUGGGACUUUUAUACACCUUUUGGGGUGUUUACAGUUUUGGGACAUCCCCAAGCCCUAAACACUUAAACAUUUAAGGUUUUGGUGCUUUUUGUGUGAUAAACUCAUCAAGGAUGAAUCUAGACAAGUCCCUACGGCAUUGUGAAGCAUCUAGGCACCCUAACACACCAUUUUGGCCCUAUUCUUGGUGUUUACGGUUUUGGGACCUCCCAAAACUAUGAACACCUUUAUCUUGGUGUUCUUGGGACUUUUCUUUGAUGCUAACAUGUAAUACAAGCUUAAUAAGACUCAAGGAUGGAAGUACUUACUAUAAGGAUGCUUGAAUUGAACUAAAAGUCCAAGAACACUUAGUGUGUGUUCUUGGUGUUUUUGGAAAUCUAAUUAAAACACAUAAAUGAAUGGAUGAAAAGAUGUACAAUCACUAGAUUAAGUGUUAUAUCAACUUGGAAUGGCUAGAACACUUACAAGUUUGAAGAUCUUUAAUUAAAUCUUGGAUGAUACUUGAGAGUGUUUUUGAGUUUACUCUUUUUAAGUUUAGGGAGUAUACACAAAAUGACUAGUUUUUGGGGAGUAAACUCAUGCUUUUUGGAUGAAUUUUCGGCCCAAACAUAAUAGUUUGGUCGUGAACUUCUAAGACACGAGGUAUUCGCGGUUUAGAAAUUUCAAGUCUCGAGACGGCCCAUCCGUAUCUCAACGAACCUUCACUCACGGGAGACGGCGUUGCUUCGUCCGCUUGACCUCUCGGUUGAGGGUCACUACGGUUCUAAUACGAAGGCGAGGGUCUCGUUAAUCUCAAUCUCAUCGGGUGGAAUUACGAGCGUCCUAACGGAAAGGUACGGUUUCAAGCUCGAGGUGCGAAGGGUAAAAUGUACAUUACUGAGUUCGCGGAGUAGGUCUAGUUUGUGAGGUAUAGGACCGAUUUUGGUAAGAAUCUCGGGGGUCCUAACUAUCUUAGAUUAUGCUUUUCACGUGAUACGAAGCGUAUUAAGCCAUUCCCAGAGUGAGUUUUCCUAAAGAACUUGGUCUCUAACUUGGAAUUUCCAAGGUUUCUUUUUCUUUCUUAACUUCCCAAUCAAAGGCCACCCUCUGCUGGGUCAAAGUUGUACGGGUUUCUGUAAUAUGCGAGGAGUUAUGGAUGAACUAUGACAGUAGGUCUGUAAGACCUAGAAUUUGGCGAAUUUAUGUCGGUGUUGAAUCAUAAAAGUGACCCUCUUUAACUCAACUACCGCAACCUUCUCUCUACUACUGCAACGGUUCAGUACCCGCAUCUAAUCCCACACCCGGAGUCAAUUCUGCAACUGCAACCGCAACCAGUCUUUUGCUACCGCAGUCUACUAGAAUACUUUUACAUGUAUUUUAUGUAAUUCACUCUAUUAUCCUGUAUGCCUUACACGGUUGCUUAUAGAGUCUUAGUCUAGUUUAGAGUCUCUAUAAAUAGAGACUCAUUCUCUUGUAUCGAAUACACUUCUUACCACUUAAUGAUAACUUAUGAACUUAUUCUGAAUAUAUUUCUCUAAGUUAUCUUCUUCAUUUCUCUAUCUUUCUACUCUUCUUACUCUCAAGUGUUACUUAAACAUAUCUGAAUAUAACCUCUCUCCGGAGCAAGUCUGUAAGACUUAAUCACUAAGUUUGAUCUUCCUUAUUAACUUGGAGUGAAUGCAUUCCUUGUUACGAAUCAGCUUAAGUGUAUUCUUGAUAUAACAAUUGUUGUCAUUUCUAUUUCUGUAAAUUCCGCAACUAACUCCCUAACUCUAACUAUAUUAUUAUUGAGCUUUUAGAUCCUUUGAGAUUAACUCUAUUCCGCAAUAUACUUGUUCUAACUUUUGUUCAAGUGUGUCUCCAAAGUUUUUCUCUCAACAAUUGGUAUCAGAGCCAAAGUCGUUGCUUUUUGAAUAUCGGAACUUUGAUUUUUCAAAGGGCCUUCUAUACCACUAAAGCUCAUUUCUUAAAAAAAAAACUUCAAAUGGCACAAUCGUUAUCUCUGAAUGUCUCCAAUAGUGUUGGGUCACCUAAAUAAAUAAAUUGCUAAUCGACUAAAUUAGUUGUAUUUAAGAGAUAAAUGUAUGUAAAUGAUAUAAGUGGAGAGACAAGUUACUACCCGGAAUCUCUUAUUAAAUACGAGGUGUGAAACAUGAUUCUGAGACAUUGAAUUUAUAUUUUUAUAAUUGAUGUUAUAGAGUAUUUAUGCAUGAGACGGAUGUCUUGGACCAAAGCACUUCCAAAUGCGAUUAUAUUAUCUCUUUUGAGUUUGGACCUUUUAGUCGACAUCGAGGAGUCGAUCUGAGAACCCAUCUAAUCCACAAUUUUGGUUUUAUUACGUGUUUGCUGCUUCAGGUGAGUUAUCCUCCUUAUAUCAAUAGGAUCUAAGGGACCAAGGCUGGCCCUUUAUGAAUUUAUAUCCGGAUUAUUAUAUGGUAUGUUUAUUGAUUUGCAUCCUGGUAGUUAGGAUGGUUAUAUGCUUAUGCUUAGUGACCUAGUUAGGUCGGUAUCCUGGUUAUAGGAUGUUACUAUGCUAUUUGAUCUGUUAAAUCAGUUUGAUUGUUAUAUAUAUGCUAGCGUAUGAUAUUUAUGUGCACAUGCCUGUUUGGUGGGGGUUGGGUUGACGUGGACCUGCUUUGUGCUGAAGGUCAACAUACCCACGACGAACCGGAUAGACUACAAACCCAAAAGGGUAUGAUAGUCAGACCGAAGGCCCGACAAGGGGUCCGGAUAGGCUGAAGACCCUGUAAGGCGGUCCAGACAUGUCGAAGGCUCGGAGAGCGGUCCAGAUAAACUAAAGGCCUGCGAGGCGGUCCAGUCAGGCUGAAGACUCGUUAUGCAUGUUGUUCUGUGUUUGUUUAUAUGAUGUGAUUAUGGUUAUAUGAGGUUAGUAUUUGGGGGGGGGGGGGUAACUCACUAAGCCUUCGAGCUUACAUCUAUCUAUUAUUGUUUUAGGUACUUCUGAGGAUCGUGGGGAGGCAAAGGCGUGAUCGUACACCUCCUUAUAUUUUCAUGAUUUGAUUCUAGGGAUACUAUGAUGCUUAAACUAUUUUGAAAAAAAUUGCAAUUACUUAAUGGUUUUUAAAUGUUUUAAAAGUUUUAAAUUGGCUUAAAUUUUAUGGGUGUUACACUCAUAAUCAGUUGUAAGGGUUGGAUGCUUCCAGAUGAAGAAAACCACUUCAGAAGACGAUUUUUGAAUUAUUUUAGCGACUUUUGGAGAUCUGAAGACUGCGAAUCAUCUCAUCCGUUUAGUUUAUCUAGAUUGAUCAGUAAAUGUUUCUUUUAUCUAUUUUGAUUUUGUUUUUAGCCAUGUCUGGCUAAAAUUUAGUUUUUAGUUCUGCAUAGAUUAGUACUUUUCGUGUGAUUAGCUUUCAGAUUUGACUUUUGUUUUGUGUUUCUAUCUAGAUUCUUCAGUUUUGUUCUUAAUGAAUGUUUGGUUUUAAAUUCUUGUUAGUGUGAUCACCUAGCUAGGGUUUAAUCAUUCCAGUUAACCAGUUAAUAGAAUCCGUAAUUGUUCUUGUCAACUGGUAAAAGUAACAAGUAUCAGAUUGGUUACGUGUUGGGGAUUUAACUCUGAUAUAAACUGAAAAUGUCAUAUAUUUACGCUUCCGAGCUUGUGAGAAGUAUUGGGUAUUGUUGGGAAUUUACAUAGAACCUAAUGCAACUUUUCUGAUUUAAUUAAGAGCUUGUUUAAUUGAACACUAAAAAAUUAGGGUUAAUUGAAAAGCUUAUUUUGGUUAACUAAAUAAGGUAAAAGAGAAUUUACUAGAGUUUUUUAGUUUUCUCAGUACCAGCUUAGAUAGAACGCAUCUCAAAUAAUCAGAUCUGGGCUAUUUGCAUGAUUAGGAAAGUCGCAGCAGAACUGAAACCAUUUUUAUUAUUGAUUUUCAUUUAGUUUAAUAUCACUGCAUUUUUAGUUUUUAGUUUAAUUAACCCUCCCCCCCCCCUUCUUAAUAAUUUAUGUUUUGACUAAAUGUGUCUGAUGCAAAAAAACAUUGACUUUAAGGCUGUGUUCCUGAGGAUUCGACCAUGCUUUCCAUGUGCUAUAUUUUUAGUGCAAACAGCAGUAAUAAUUUAUUUGUUUAAUAUGCAUGCAGACAAUGUGUUAACAAGUAUGCUGCUAUGUUGUAGUGAACAAUUAGAUCUGUCUCCUGGUAUUGAGUAUGUUGCUUUAUGGUAAUAACCUAUUGAACUAUAUGUGCUUUCUGGUUAUCAUCUAUGGUGUGCCCUUAAGUACUGUCAGUGGUCAAGUAGGAUAGCCUGAGAACUCUUGGUCUAGGCCCUCAUGUCUAUUCCUUGUUUGGUUAUGGCUAUAGAGUAGGACCAUCUUUUCGGGUGGCUAUCUCACCUCUGGUUACUUAUGGUUACACAUUCUAUGGAGGUUGGCUAGUAGUGGGACUGUAUGUUGCGAGGGGAUUAGUAGGCAGUAGUGAGACGUAUGACUGAUGUUUGCCUAUAUUAUGUGCUUGCUUGAUCCUGGUUGUUUAUAUGUCAAGAUAUUGUGUUUGGUUUGGGUUGAGGCGGUCAUGCUUUGUACGGUAGGCCAAGAUACCCAGUGCGGGUCGACUGUAAGCCAUAGGCACUGAGGAGUGGUUUGGGUUGAGGCAAACCAGUGUAGACUGAAACGCCAAAAUACCUAGGCGUCCUGGAUAGACUGUAGGCCUGAGAGGCGUACCAGUCAGGCUGAAGGUCCAGAUAGGCUGAAGGCCCAGUGAGGCGGUCCAGUCAUGCUGAAGGUUUUGUGAGCGGUCCAGAUAGUCUGUAGGCCUGCGAGGUAGUCCAUUCAGAUUGGAGGCUCUGUAUGCAUGUUGUUUGUUAUUAUGUUUAUGUGGUGGUAUUUUGGGGGAAAUCACUAAGCUUUGGGUUUACAGUUUUAGGUUUUAUUUCAGGUACCUCAGAUGAUCGCGGGAAGGCGAAGGCUUGAUCGUGCACCUCCUUGUGUUUUAUGUUAUGAUUUUGGGAAAAACUCUAAUAUUAAACAUGUUUUGAGUACUAUGUUGUAAACAAAUAUGUUUUCUGGUUGGUUUUAAAAAGUUUAAGUUUUCAUGAAUUUUAUGGGUGUUACAAGUUAGUAUUAGAGCCUUGGUUUGAGUGAACUAGAGGAACACUCAUGUGAAUCCAGUCUCAAACUAAGGAAAAAGAUUAAAAAACAAUUUUCAAAUAGUUUUCGAAAUAAUCAAGGAGGAUGAGAUGUGUACCAGCAGUCGGAGCUAGUAACUAGAUCCUAAAUUACCACAUAGUUAUUUGAGAUUAUAUUAUGUCAUUUUAGAACAACAUGCUAGAGAUAAGAUAGGGAUGCUCAGGAAUCGUAUGAUAGAAUUGCCUAAUAUUUGAUGCCUUAACUCUUGUAGAAUACCUUAUUGAUUGUUGUAUGACUCUUUCAUGUGUGAACUAGGUAUUGAGUGAAUGCGCUAACUCACAUACUGCAUGGGUUAAAUGGUCUUAGGGUGGGGGAUUCGGUCCUGUUACACAGCUCUUGUUUGAGUCCAACCAUUGUAGGAUUGAAUCUUUUAGCCUAAGAUUGUUUAAUUUGUGUAUUAUGUGAUAAUGUUCAUGCAAUAGUUAUCUGACACCAAUGGAGGGUCGUGUGGAAGCUGAUGGUAGGAUGAGUUAUGUAGGGUCAGCCGACCAGUCGCGAUAUGGGUAGCCUUCCUCUAGGAAGUGAGGAUAGAGUGCAUAAGUAUGCUAGAGUGCAGUGUACUGUUAAGGUUGUUGUGAUGAUCGUCUGAGAAAACUACGGGUAGGUGUGGAAGGUAGUAUGUGUUGGAUGCGGUGUCUAAGCCCAUAACUAUAAUUGGUAUGUACUUAACGCGAUAGUAGCAUGGUCCUUUUCGGUUGCCUUGACCCAAAGAAGUGAUGACCAAUCGAAGAUUCGCGACAGAACCGACACGACGCCAAUGACGUAAUAAGUGAGUUUAAAGACUUAACCCGAUAGUAGCAUGGUCCAUUAGGCUUUGUAGAAGGAUCCUAUGGACUGCUUAAGGCCUAAGCAGUCAGAUUAGGGUUUUACCUGGAAACAAUAGCAGCACAAUUAUAUAAAUACCCCUUGGAUAGUUGAAAUCAACUCCUAUGCAUUCUUAGAGAACCCUGGUCGAUUUCCAUAGCCUCCAUCCUCUCUCUCUUGUUUAUCCAUCGCUAGUUGGUGUUUGUGACUCCAUUAGAGGUGCAACAAUUGAGGCAUUAAGCUCUUGAAGGUCAAGAUCUAUAAUAAACCCAGAAAAGGUAUUCUUCUAACUAUGUUUAAUUAUCAAUUUCAAAAAAUUGUAUGCUAGAUUAGGGUUUUGUUUAGAUAACUUAAUUUGCAUGUAUAACUUGAGAAAAACCUAGAUCCAAAGCAAUUAGGGUUGCAUGUGCACCAUAGGAAUGUUGUAAUGCUCAUACCCCAAUAACGGUAUCAGAGCUUAGGGUGUUUUUCUGUUAUAUUUGAUGUUAUUGUGUUUUGCGAAAUUUGAAACAUAAUCAAUUUUGGUCUCUGACUGGUGGACUCGACAAGUCCUAUGAAGGAACUCGACAAGUUGGACCUACUCGACGAGUUGGUAUGUUAGAUGGUAGAUUUUUCUUAUUUCAGGCCAAAAUUAGAUUAGGAUCAUUAACUUAAAUUGUUUUAACUGCUAAAAUUCAAAUUUUCUGUUAUGGUAAUGAUUAUCCUCAUCUAACUAGAAGAUAAUGGUCAAAUUUUAAGAUAAUCUUUAAAAUUAUAUGAUUAGUUUAGUUAUUUAAAAUUUGAUUUAGAAGUUUUAAAUAGUUUCCAAAUUUUCCCUAAAGUUUUGGAAUUUAAAAUUUAAUUAAAAGGUUUAAUUUCGAAAUAUUAAAUUCUAACACCCUAGUAUUUUAAAAGUUUAAAAUACAACCCUUAUACUAUUAUAUUNNNNNNNNNNNNNNNNNNNNNNNNNNNNNNNNNNNNNNNNNNNNNNNNNNNNNNNNNNNNNNNNNNNNNNNNNNNNNNNNNNNNNNNNNNNNNNNNNNNNNNNNNNNNNNNNNNNNNNNNNNNNNNNNNNNNNNNNNNNNNNNNNNNNNNNNNNNNNNNNNNNNNNNNNNNNNNNNNNNNNNNNNNNNNNNNNNNNNNNNNNNNNNNNNNNNNNNNNNNNNNNNNNNNNNNNNNNNNNNNNNNNNNNNNNNNNNNNNNNNNNNNNNNNNNNNNNNNNNNNNNNNNNNNNNNNNNNNNNNNNNNNNNNNNNNNNNNNNNNNNNNNNNNNNNNNNNNNNNNNNNNNNNNNNNNNNNNNNNNNNNNNNNNNNNNNNNNNNNNNNNNNNNNNNNNNNNNNNNNNNNNNNNNNNNNNNNNNNNNNNNNNNNNNNNNNNNNNNNNNNNNNNNNNNNNNNNNNNNNNNNNNNNNNNNNNNNNNNNNNNNNNNNNNNNNNNNNNNNNNNNNNNNNNNNNNNNNNNNNNNNNNNNNNNNNNNNNNNNNNNNNNNNNNNNNNNNNNNNNNNNNNNNNNNNNNNNNNNNNNNNNNNNNNNNNNNNNNNNNNNNNNNNNNNNNNNNNNNNNNNNNNNNNNNNNNNNNNNNNNNNNNNNNNNNNNNNNNNNUUAUAUAUGUAUAAGAUGAGUCUGUCUUACCGUUAGUAGGUCUCAUUCAUGAAGCUGGUCUAUAAGGGAUUUUUAAGGAAGCGGCAUGUAAAAUGACCGCCAUUGGGUAUCCACUCUUACCCACCGCACUCUUGACUAGUGGACGGUCGUUAGCCGAACGGGUAGGGUAGGUCAUUAAAUCAUCAUUAAUAAGUAUAAUGAAAACUAUAAAGUAAUUAAAUGUUUUUUAUAAAUUCCCAAUCUUAGUUACUUUAGGAAAAUGUAAACAAUGAUGCUAUUCCAUGAAAUUACACUUUGCAACUUGCCAAGUCAUUAGUGGAGCGUGUAUGGUUAACCGACACUCUAACUUGGACUAACAAGUGUGGCAAAGGGUAGCUCGAGAAUUAUCAUUGAUCAAUGGAGCGUGUGUGGUUAACCGGCAGAUUGAUUAGGUGGUAAAUGAAUCGAGAGUGCCAAGCUAAUCUGCAUAGUUAUCCACACCUUAUUUGUGAUCCUCGGUAUCCUAGUCACAAACUUGAAGGUCAUAAUCGAGAUUAAACAUGCCAUUCAAAAGUUUAAUGAAUCUCAAAAUAUCUAGGAAUUUCAUUUCAUUUAAAACCUAAUUCUUCAUUUCCUUUUUCGUAGUGGAAUUGGUAAAUUGUCGUUUACCUACCUUCAAAUAUUUUGCAAUUGGAUUACGACAUCCCUCUCCGAAUUGUGAAAUAUUUUGUUGGGUCCUAGCCUUAAUAUUUUAUUUGGGUGUUAUGUUAAGGAUUCUUAUCUAAUCUAAACUUUCUUCAUUUUCUAUUUCAGAUGGACCAAACAACGCUUCAAGCUCGAACUCCGACUCCUCAAGCUCCUUUUCUCUUUUGAACAUUUGUGCGAGGGUCACCUUCGAUGAAUCCAAUUUCAAUGAUUGGAUUCGCAACAUUCGAAUGGCCCUGUGAUAUGAAGAAAAAGGAAUAUGUUCUCGACAAGCAACUCAACGAGAUCGAUGAAACCAAAUCUACUCCUGAAAAGAUAGUUGAGUAUAAGGCUCAUGAAAAGAGGUGUCGUGUAUCAUGGUAGCCAUUUUGACUCCUGAACUACAGCUAGCGGUUCUAUGAGGACUACUGGCCUUACGAGAUGUGUCAAGACUUGAUGGAAAAGUACCAUCAAAGUGCGUGUCAAGAAAGGUACAAGAUUGUUGCCUUGCUAAUAACAACCAAGAUGAAGGAUAGAGAGUCCAUCAGGAGCCACAUGCAAAGAAUGCAGAGAUAUGUGGAUCGUUUGCUCAAGUUGAAUGUCAACUUUGACAAAGAGUUAGUGAUUGAUAUAAUACACUCUUUAUCAUAUGAACAAGGAGGAGGUCACCUUGAGCAAACUUCAUGGUUUGUUGAGAACUGCUGAAAGUGGACUCAAAGAAAAAGGCGUCGAGUCCACUCCUGCUGCUGCUGCUACCCUAGUCCUGGAAAUUGGACAUGGAAAGGGAAAGAAGAGGAAAGCUCCCUUUAAGAGCCACAAGGGAAAUUUUCAUAAUGGAUAUUCUUCAAGUAGAUCUAAAGAUAAAGUUGGCUCGGCCCCUCCUACGUCUGAUCCAAAAGAAGCAACGUGCUUCUACUGUCAAGAAAAGGGGCAUUGGAAACGAAGCUACCCGAAAUACUUGCAGGACAUCAAGGAUGGGAAGAUAAAGCCCAACUUCGCAGGUAUUUAUACUAUUCAAUCUAAUAAAUCAUCACAUGCUAAUUCUUAGGUCCUUGAUACAGGAUGUAGUUUUCACAUUUGUUCUGAUUCGCAAAGGCUAAGACUAAGGAUGUGGGUGCCUGUCACCAAGAUCGGGAUUUAUUCUUUAGUGAUUAGUAGUGGGUUAGGAUUAGACUUGAAUGAUUGUUGUUACUCGUCAGAAAUGACGAGGAAUAUUAUUUGCUUUCCUGGUUUGUACAGACAAGGUUUUAGAUUUUCAUUUAAUAAUGAAUUUGGUUCUAUUAAUGCUUUCUAUAAUGGUACCUUUUAUUUUGAAGCAUUACCUUGUAAUGGUGUAUAUGAAACUGUGAUGGUUGUAGAUGAAUUAGGAAAUAAUGUUUUGCAUCUCGAUUCGUCUAAUGGUUUAGACAAGGCGUACUUAUGGCAUUGUCGUCUUGGACUUGUCAACAAGAAGCGCAUAGCGCAACUCCAAAAGGAUGCAGUCUUAGAGUCAUUUGACAUAAAGUCAGAUGACAUGUGCGAAUAUUGUUUACUUGGAAAGAUAACUAAAUCACCUUUCAAUGGUACUUGUGAAAGAGGUGAGGUAUUGUUGGAUCUCAUACAUACAGAUGUGUUUGGGCCCUUCAGAUCCACCACAAGGGAUGCUAACCACUUCUAUGUUACCUUUAACAACGAUUAUAGCAGAUAUUGAUAUAUCUACUUAAUCAAGCACAAGUCGGAAACCUUUGAAAAGUUCAAGGAGUUCAAACAAGAUAUGGAGAAUCAAUUGGGCAGGAAGAUAAAUAUGCUCAGAUCCAACAUGGGUGGUGAGUAUCUUAGUAUCAAGUUCCACAACUAUCUUAAGGAAUGUGGAAUUAUUUUGCAAUUGACGUCACCCAGAACACCACAGCUCAAUGGUAUUGCUGAGAGGCAUAAUCGAACCAUGUUGGACAUGGUUUGCUCUAUGAUGAGUCCAGCUUCGUUACCUAUCUCAUUCUGGGGGUAUGCCUUAGAGACCGCCGCCCACAUCCUUAGUCUAGUCCCAACAAAGAUGGUUAACAAAACACCUCACGAGAUAUGGACAUGGAAGGUUCCCUCGUUAGCACACAUCAAGUUUUGGGGUUGUGAGGCUUUCGUAAGAUGAGAAACUCAGGACAAGCUUGAAUAUCGUACGUAGUGAGCGAUGUAUUUUCAUUGGCUACCCGCAAAAAUCUUUUGGAUAUCUUUUCUCCAGACCUAGGGACAACGUGGUCUUCGUAGCAAGGAGAGGGGUUUUCCGUGAAAGGGAAUUUAUAUGCCAAAAGGGCAGUGGGAGGUAAAUUGAUCUUGAAGAGCUUCAAGAAUCAAGCGAUGAAGGAACUUCUAAUACUAGCUCUCAACCUGAGGAAGAGAUUCAUGUUGAACCAGUUGGCGAUUCAUUAUCUCUUAGGCGUUCUGCAAGGGUUAGUGUUCCACCUGUGUUUUAUGCACUAUUAGAAAAAUAGCUUUUUACGACACGCAAUGUGUGUCGUAAAAUGCUCAGACGACGCGCAAAUGCGUGUCAAUGAAGGCCCUGUCAUAAAAGAAGACGACACCCUUUUGUGUGUCGUCUAUUUACGACGUGCAUUUACGACAUGCGCUUACGACACGCAAUGCGUGUCAAGGAAGGCCAUGUCAUAAAGAACACGACACACAUUUACGUGUCGUAACCUUACAACACACUUUUACGACUUGCAUUGCGAACCAUUAAAGCCUGUGUCAUAAAGAAAGAUGACACACAUUUUUGUGUGUCAUAAUUUUAAAGGUCUUANUAUAUAUAUAUAUAUUUGAAAGAUUUACUAAAUUUCAAAUUAAAUAACACAUUUAAAAGUUUCAUAAUGCAAAAUAAAAUACUUAUAUUACAAAACAAUCCAUUUCAUGAAAUAAUUAUAUUAAUAUUCAAAAUAAAUCACAUUUAACUAUUAUUUUAUUAACAUAAAGUCAAACCAGAUAAACAAAUAUUCCUAAUCCAAAUAACAACAAACAUAAAACGCAAACUAUUUUGGAAAUAUGGAUCUUUGACUUGUGUAGAAACAAUGUGAUUGAUUAGUUUCAAGAUAUGUAAUAGUUGCUCUGCACGACUUCUUCCAUAUCCUGGCGUCAAUUACAGUUGAAGGAGCAUAUGUUGUAGCAUAUCCACAAAUGAGAGCUAAUUCAGCAUGAAUGUCAUCAGAAUCUUUAAUCUUAGUUUUAUCUGAGAAGAAGGAUAGAAAUCUACAUUUCAAACAGUCUUUUGUUAUCAAGAAGAUUAAACAUAAAAUAAGCAUAAACAAUAAAUAAAAAUUAUAUAAUAUAAAUAUAUACCUUUGGAGAACACUUUUUCUAAUGUUGUUAAAAAUGUCUUUAUGUUUGUCUAAAACAGUUUCCAAGUGGGAUGUUGCAACCUGAAAACGAAUUGACAUGGACUUAAUUUACUUCACAAGGGUAAUUUGGUAAUUCCAUACAUACCAAUCCCACGGCUUUAGCCAAAUCAAUUUUCAGGAAUGGUGAUAUUUGCUUGUUUGUACAUCCAGUCAAUUUUAUCACGAACAUAGGUCAUGUUAUCAACUUUCUGAAGAAGUAUACCAAGACAUUUGUAGGAGAAGAAUACUCUCAAUAAGAUAAUUUUAUUAAAAAAAGUAAUGAUAAUGAUAAUGAGUUCAUACCUGUAAAGUAGUGCAAAAUGCUCAUCAUGUAACAUCCGGAUUUUCAGGUACAUUACUUAUUCAUUCAUUUUUGGAGAUUUUCGGAGGGACUCGGCGAGUUGAUGCUUAGACUCACCGAGUAGUGUCGCGAUUUUCCAUCCGCAUUAAUGACCGGACUCGGCGAGUCGACUAGUGGACUCGACGAGUCAAUGUUGUUUAAUGAAACCGUAAUUUCCGGGGUUUGAGACCUAUUUAAAGGCCCUUAUAGCCUUCAUUUGCGGUUACCAGUUGAUAGACAGAGACCCCAUAGUGUGUAAGCGUUUUGAGAGAGAAAGGAAGGCAUUUUUGAUCCUUGUGUGGGUGAUUUUGCAAGAAGAAGGUGACCAAGGCAAGAGGAAACUAAAGAAGGUGCUAAUAUGUGGAUUUCAGAGCUUAAGGACUUCAUCUUGAGGUAUAUAUUCGAUCCUUCUUCAGUUUUGGGUGUUAAUCCUUGAGAGUUAGGGUUCCUAGCCCAUUUAGAGUAUGAUUGUUAGUGCAAUUGUUCCCUUCUUGUGUUGAGGCUGCGGAUCUGGAUCCAAAGAGGCUUGAGAUCUAAGCCCCUUGAUCUUUAUGGGGUGUCAUUGGGUUAUAUGAGCUUAGGGUGGCAUAUUGAGGCCAUUUCUUCAAAUAGAGCCAUUAGGUCUUUGCAUGGGCAUCAAGAUCCAAACUUUACAUGUUUUUAUUGCUUUAGGAGGCCAUAUCUAUGAGUUAGAGGAACGGAUCUGACCUUAGGAGCUCAUCUGAGCUCGAGCAUGGCAUGAACUCAUCGAGAACCAAGAGCAGACUCGGCGAGUAGGGUUAGGGUUUCCCCCUAGUUCACUCAGUAAGUACUUGCCGAGUUGGUGGAAUGACUCAGUGAUUCAGAAGGAAUUAAAGGACUCGAGUUCAAGGCGGAACUCACCGAGUUCAUAAUGAGACUCAGCGAGUUUAGUCGGGGUGGCCCUGCGAUUCAUGCCAGGUGUAACCUGUCGAGCAAGGGAAAUACUCGACGUGCCAUGUGGGACUAGAGGGAUAGUGGACACACGUAGACUCGCCGAGUCACCCAAGUGCACUCGGUGAGUCGGGUCAAAGUCUAAUCGUUGACUUUGUUGACUUUGAAGGUUUGGUCAACAAUGGGGUCUUUGUGUCAAGAGAGGGUUGAGUCUAGUCUCGAGAGUUAUAUUUAUGAUAGUAUUUUAUUAGGCGGAGGCUAGACCAUAUUUUCACCAAGUCGGAGAUUUACUGAGACAUCUGAUGUGAGUCUUCUCACUAUACUUUACCUAGAGUGGUAAUCAGAGCUAUGUGACAGUGUAUCUUAUAUGCUAUGUAUGUGUUGUGAUUUCUAUGUGAUAUGUGAUAUGCAUGAUUCAGAGUUACAGAGUUAGGACCAGUGGGUCCAUAGAGUUAUGGGACCAAGAGGGUCCCACAGAGAUAUUUGACUAGAGGUUCAUCAGAGUUACAACCUUGAGUGGCUGAUAUGUGUUUAUGUGGUAUUUUGGGGAACUCACUAAGCUUUAUGCUUACAGUGUUAUGUGUUAUGUGUUUCAGGUACCAGUGAUGAUCGCGGGACGGCGCCAGCAUGAUCUGUACACACACCCGCGGAGUUAUUAUGAUUUGAUGUUGGGAUUUGUAAUGAGAUAAUGUUGAUACAAUGUUUUCUUGAAAGUGAUUAUGAAUGAAGUUAAAUGGUUUCAAAAAGCGAAAAAUUGUCUUAAUUUUUACGGUGUUACAAGUUGGUAUCAAAGCCUUGGUUUGAGGGAUUCGGAUGCAUCUUCGGACGUAUCUGAACUCAAACUGAGGAUUUGGGAAAAAAUUGAUUACAAAACAAUCUUAAAAAGAGUUUUGAGAAAAAACAGAGCAGAGUCGUGUGUACGAUCAGCCAGCGCCCGAACGGUGAUUUCCCAAAAUACCCUUGUAAUAAGUGUUACGAGAUAUAGUGUGUUAUGUUAUAUGAUGAGCUAUAUUAUGCAUGCUAGAGUACACUAGGUAUCCUUAUUAGGAUUAGAGUGGCCUGAUAUAUGAUGCCUUAGUCUAGUAGCUUUGCUGUUAGGGAUGCUUGAGAUUGUUUAGAUAGUAGCGAGGAGCUUAUGAGAGAUCAGCUAGCGAGUAGCAUAUGAUUUAAGAGAGUAGAGUGCUUGGAAUUUGGGGCUCUGGGAGGAGGACUUGGGAUGAAUGAUGGCGCGGUGUGGUCGGUAGUAUUGGGCCCGUACUACCGAAGGCACCAGGUCAGUGCGCAGCCCAAGUAAGAAUCGUUAGGGUACCAGAGAUCAAGUAGGAUUGGGAUAUCGAGUGUGUGUACACCCGAGCGAGUCUCUGAUAUCUUGUGUUGUAUUUCAGAGAGGCUUCAUGGUAGGGACGCGCCAUAGGCCAGAGACUAGUGGAGGGGGUGUGAGCGACGAGGAGCUCCACCAGAUGAUUCAUGAUGAGGUGGCUGCUGCCAUCCGCGCUAAGAUUCCAGAGAUGUUCGGGUCUAUCAAGACCACCCUGAUAGAGACAUUUGACGAGAGAUACACUGCUCUUUCUGAUGCUNGCAGCCACUACAGCUGUAGCUGCGGCUAGACCUCAGGGUGGUGGUGCCUUGUUGUUCCGGGAGUUCAACAACACAAAACCACCUGAGUUUGAUGGGACUCAGGGCCCGAUUGCAGCGAUGAGGUGGAUUUUAGAAAUCAAGGGGUGUUUCUUCACCUGCUCAUCUCCAGAGCAUUUGAGAGUCCGGUUCGCAUUGAGCAGCUUUGCUUGGGAGCGAAGGACUGGUGGAAGUUUGUGACAACGCAUUAUUCGCCUGCUGAGCUUGCUGCAGUGACUUGGAAGAGGUGCACUGCUAUGUUCCAAGCUGAGUACGUUCCCUAGGUGGAGAGGGAGCGUUUGGCCCAGGAGUUUCUGACCCUCAAGCAGGGUACUGAAUCUGUCACGGUGAUUACGAGGAUGUUCCAUGAGCGGGCGAUGUUUUGCCCAGAGCACAUGUCCUCUGAGCAGGCACGUAUGAGCUGAUAUCUGAGCAUUUUAAGGAGGGAUAUACGGGAGUUCGUGACGAACUCGAUGUACCGGACAUUUGCUGAGCUUCAAGAAAAUGCCCGGAAGAAGGAGAUAGGGCUGGAGACCCAGGCUAGGGAGGAGGCUGAGUCUCAGGGGAAGGAUCAGCGACCGACGCAGUCUCAGUCGGCAGCCAAGUGGGCCAAGCCCACUGAUUCGAGAUCUAGGAGUCAGAAGGGACGCACUUGUGGCAAGGAUUUCCCCAAGGGGUUUGCAGUAUGUUUUCACUGCAACUAGACCGGAUACCGCAAGGCAGAGUGUCCACAAUUGCGAGGGAUAGCCCAGGGAGCAUCUCAGGGAUCUGCCCCUGCUGCUAUCAGAGCCACUGAGAGCCGGCCCAGUGAAGGCCGAGGCACCGAAGGCAUGAGGGAGAGCCUUCCAGUUGACUGCGGAGGAGGUCCGCGCAGCGCCCGAUGUUGUGGAUGGUAUGUAUUCUUUCAUGUAUUUAUUUUGAUGAUGAGAUAUUGUGUUUAUAUUAUGUUAUGCAUAGGUACUUUUCUUGUGAGUUUUGUACCUGCCUUGGUGUUAUUUGACUCGGGUGCGAGUCGGUCUUUUGUAUCUUUGGCUUUUAGUCAGCAUAUCAAUAUUAGCCGAGAGGCGUUGAGUCGAACUUUGAGAGUUUCCAUAGCUGAUGAGAGGGCGGUGUACACCACCGAGGUGAUCCCAAGGUGUGUACUCGGGAUUUUCGUAGUGGACUUUCCGAUUGACUUAGUUCCUAUUGCGAUGGGAGAUGUCUGUGUCAUCGUGGGCAUGGACUUGUUGAGUAGAUUUGGAGCGCUUAUCGACUGCGAGCGUCAGCUGGUGACCAUAUGAGACCCUAGUGGGGCAAUUCUUACAGUGUACGAUGAGGGUACAUGUUCUGGGUCAGCAUUUUGUUCAGCCGCUAGAGCGAGACAGAGUCUACAGUAGGGCUGUAGGGGUUUUGUAGCGUAUGUGAUGGAUACGAGGGUUGAUUCAGAGACACUGAGGUCAGUUGAUGAGGUUCCGAUAGUGCGUAAGUUCCCAUAUGUAUUUCCGGAGGAGUUGUCAGGCAUGCCUCCCGAGAGGCAAGUGGAACUCCCACUACUAGAAAAAAAGGCCUUUUACGACGCUUAUUGCGCGUCAUAAAACGCUCAGACGACGCGCAAAUGCGUGUCAAGGUAGGCCCUGUCAUAAAGAGAGAUGACGCACUUUUGCGUGUCGUCUAUAGACGACGCGCAUUUACGAUGCGCAUUUAUGACGCACAUUUACGACGCGCGGUUAUGACACGCAAUGCGUAUCAAGGAAGGCCCUGUCAUAAAGGAAGACGACACGCAUUUGCGUGUCGUAACCUUACGACGCGCGUGUUUAUGACACGCAAUGCGUAUCAAGGAAGCCCCUGUCAAGAAAGGCCAUGUCAUAAAUAAAGAUGACACACAUUUUUGCGUAUCAUAAUUUUAAAUUUUUUAAAAAAAAUAUUAUUUAUAGAUUUACUAAUUUUUCAUAUUAAAUAAUACAUUAGAAAUCUCAUAAUAAUAAAUAAAAUACCAUAAAUAACAAAUAUAAUUCAUUUCACUAAUAUGUCAAAUACAAAUAAUUAUUCCAAUAGUGAGUAAAUGUUAUAAAAAAAUGAACUCAUUUAUAUACAAUUGCAUUAAUUAUCUAGCUUACUAUGUGCCAACAAACUUCUAUCUUUUUCCUUCUCUGCAUAAACUUCAUUAGCAGCAUCCUAAAGAACCUCUAUCUUUUUCAUCAGCAACAUCCUCAAAAACUUCUAUCUUUUUCCUUCUCUGCAUAAACUUCUAUCUCACACUCAAUGUAGUUUUAAACAUCAGGUUUAAAAAAUCAACUUUAAGGUUGCCUUGUUAAAGAGAAUGACUAGAAUAGAUUUCCCUUUUUCACAAGGCAUGUGCUUGCUUGCACAUAUAUAUGGAAUCAUUCUAAAAAAAAAAAAAUUGUUCAUGUCAACUACUCCAAGGACUAUUACGUAAUUUAACAUGAAGAAUUUUGUCCAGAUGAAAGGAUUGACUUUAAACUUUAUAAAAAUCAUUUAAAUGAACUUACCUGACCAUGAAGCGUGUUGAUCCAGGAUCUCCUUGCCUUCCUGCUCUGCCACGAAGCUUUGUAAAGCAAGAAAUAAAUUAAAAAAGUGAGUCUGAAAGUAUAUGCUAAAUUUAUGUAAAACCUUAAAACACAAUAUUGAUGCAAAGUUACCUGAUUAUCAAUUCUUCGGGACUCAUGCAAAGAUGUCCCAAUGACAUGGAGACCACCAAGUCGUUUGACUUCCAAUCCUUCAUGAAAGCAAUGAAUCUCACAGUCCUUUAGAACCGAUAAAUAGGCAAUUGCAAUGCAAGGACCCAGGGCCGGUCCAAAGAAAUAUGUUGCCCGGGGCAAUAAGACAUAAUGAUGCCCUAAUUAUAUAUUUUCAGAAACUAAUAUCAUAAUUCAUAAAAUUUACCCUAGUUCACUGUUUUUCAAUCAUAACUCAGAAAAAAAAAACACUAAUAAUUUUAGAAAGUAAGAAAAUUAAUAUAAAAAAUCAUAAUAUUUACCUCAGUACUUUGAUAGGUAACAGUGAGAAUGCAAUGACAUGCAAUGACAUGUAGACUACUGAUCCACCUUUAAACAAUGCUUUAGGUACCUAGCUAUCAUCCAGAAAACAACAAAACAGACAAAAAUUUACACUAAUCCCAUCACAAACAAAACCAGCUGCUAUUAUCACAAAUAACAAAUAUAAUAUACUCCAGACAGUAUUAAAAUGUAGCAGCAUCCAAACAUAUUAUAAGAUGAAAAAGUUAAUAAGACGAAGAAGUAAGAAGUUCUGAAAUAAAGAGAGAAUAUUAUCUGUAGUGUAAUAUUCCAAAUGGACUUGAAAAGUUCUUGUAUCUUGACCAUCUACCAUUAUCAAACCUGUCAUUUUUAUACCAAAUUAAAUUCAAAACCAAAUUUUAGCUUGACCAUCCAUCAUUAUUCCGUCCCCUGAGAAUUGGGGACAAAAAUAGCCUCAGGGGUAUUUUGGGAAAGUUCCAAUUUAAUUAAGUUUUUGUAAUAAAAUAUGAUUGUAGUUCGUGAAUUGCCAUAAUAUCACCUCCAUUGUUGGCGUAAUUCAGGAAAAAGCCCACAGGGGCAUUUUAGGAAAAUGCUUUUAUUAUUUUUGUUUCCCGGUUUUAGACUAUGAGUCAAACUCUUUUUCUUUUAGUAUAAAUAUGCUACGUUAUAGGUAUUUAGAAAGAAGUUUUUCAGCAAUAAAAGUUUUCUUUUCCACCAAGCAAAAUAAAAAAUCCCAUCUUUUUCUUCCCCUGUUAUCACCUGUUGCCAGCCAUGUAGUUUUUUUUUCCUUUUUUUCUUCCUGUUCUGUUUUGUUUUCUGUUCUUAGGCAACAAGGUUGCAGCAAGGUAUCAGGUAGAUACCUUACAUCCAUAACGUUCAGGUUCUUUGAGAAUAUCUUCUUUCAGUCGAGCUUCCAUUCUCUCCACUCUUUCACAGUAAAUUCCCUACAUUAAACCACUUGACACUUGAGUAUAUUUAAAUAAUAAACAUUAAAAAUGAGAGAGGAUUAUUAUUAUAUACCGUAUACUCGAGCAUGUUUUUGUAGGGUCUUUCAACCUCACGAAGCAGAAAGGGCUUUCCAUUAAUGUAAAUAACAGGUUCUUCUCUCAUGUUGUGCCAAAAGACGGGUCUACCCAGGCCACCUUUAAAGCUACCUAUUCUUUGCAUAACAGAUUUAAUUCUUUCCACAGUUGGAUUUGUAACACCAUAGACUGGGAACCCGCCCUAAAGCAGAUUUAGUUCUGCAUCGAGGCACACUUGUCAAUCACUUUGUCCACCUGUCGUUUGCCUUCAACACCACCCUAAAACCAUGUCAAUCAAAAAGAAGUUACUCAAGAAUGUUGUUGUAAUGGGAAAUUUAUAAGGAAAAAGGUUCAUUUGCAUACUGUAAAAGCAUGCAAUCAUAAAACAUAAACUUCACAGAGAAAAAAAAAAAAGUACCAGAAGCUCCUAUUCGAUUUAAAUAGAUCAAUGUGGCAAUGACCAUCCCUGUGGUAGUACGCCCAUGCCCCAUUUGGCAGUUAAAGAUUAUUUCUGUCUUAAGAUCAGCUCUUGAAAUUCUAUCAACCUAUAAAGAUCAUAAAACACAAAUCAUAUAUAAAGUAUAAUCUAAGUUAAAUAUUUUCAUUUUGUUAAAUGAAAAUAACACUCACCAACGUAUCAAAAUCAUGUUCCUUGGGUGAUUUUUCAUCUGUUGCUGGAAUGCGUUCGUAGUCAACAAGGAAUUUUCUUGUUUGGAUUUCUAAAUAGACCUACAAUAGUGAAAGGAAUUAUGAAACAGAUAUUCAAAAUGAACAUUUAAUUUCAUAGUAUGGUGAACCUGUAGUGAUGUUUUGACAGAGUCGGUGUGACUGGCUCCCAUUGAUCCACCAUUUGACCAUCUGGUAGUUCAUCAGUUACUAGGAUCUUAUUUCCAUAUCUGUAAUCGAGAUAGGUAUUGAGAUGAUAAGAAAAUGGAUAUCAAACACAGAAACAUGUUAAAAAGAAUACCUUGCAGCUUCUAGCAAUAUGUCUUCCUUUAACCGGUCUUCCAUUUGCUCCACCCUAGCCCUAUUGAUACCCUAUUCAUAACAUCAAAGUUUAGGUAUAGAAUGGGAUAAAUCAGCAUGUUUAUGAAGAAAAAAAUAUAGAAAAAUACUGUAAAUCUGAAGUGGAAGUUGGGAUUUGAGCAGAAAAAAUAAGCACACACCGUGUACUCAAGAUUGAAGAAGGGCAGAAAAUCGUUGAAGACUGGGACGACUGGUCAGCGUGGAUCAGAAACCACGGUGGAAUCGGUGUUCCGGCGAACAAAAGCUGGGAAUCAUGGUGGGAGGAAGAACAGGACCACCUCCGAUCCACCGGUACAGUCGGUCGUCUGACGGAAAUCCUCCUUUCUCUCCGAUUCUUCAUUUACCAAUACAGUAUCGUUUACCACCUCAAAGUCGUCCAAAACGAUAAAUCAAUCUUAGUGUACGCUCUCUCAUGGCUCGUAAUCGUUUUUGUUAUCGCAUUAUUGAAAAUCGUGUCCAUGGGUAGAAAGAAAUUCAGCGCGGAUUUCCAAUUAAUGAGAGCCCAAUCUAGUGGAGUGUGAAUGAGUUUUUAGGGUUCAAUGGUAGUGACGAUGGCUUAGGGUUUGCAGAUGGUGGUGUGGGGGUCGUCGGUUGCUUUACAGAGAGAUAUGAAGUCGAGACGAAAAGACGAGAUUGACCCACCUGGUAAUAAACGGACUCGGGAAGCUGAACAAAAUGACCCGAGAUUGACCCAUCUAGUAACAACGCUAUUGAUGCCAUUCCUUCCAUUUUCGACUGUUCAUCCUCCACUUCCUCUACUGCUACUUCUUCACCAUCUUCUAUUUUUUCUGUAUUUAGACUUGAGAGUAUAAUUAGGGCUUUUUCUAACAAUUUCAACAUCGAGUGGGAGAUAUGGUGGUUCCAGUAGGUAGAAGUGAGGGAAGAAGUAGGCAGCAGGAGGGGGAAGGAAGGAGCGUCCAUAAUUUGGGCAAGAGGGAAAGGAGAAAAAAAAGGAAGGCGGGAUUUUUAAUUUUUUCAGAAUUUCAUUUCCCCCUACUGUUAAAGGAUGGAACGCGCGUUCCAUUAAAAAUUAUAAAGCGACAUCCUUAGACGACGCGCAAUUUAUUACAGGUGCCCUCCGUGUUUUUUUUAGACACUAAUUUAAGGGCGCGCAAUAAUGCGUGUCUUCUAUCCUUAAAUUUUUUGAAGAGAUGACACCUUUUUAACGUCACUCUCCAUUGCGUAACAUAAAUCAAUGAGUGUCGUGGUUUGCGCGUCGUAAAAGGCUAUUUUUCUUGUAGUGUCCGUAUCGAUUUGGUUCCGGGAGCUACACCUAUCGCCAAGGCGCCCUAUCGCCUUGCGCCUCCAAAGAUGCAGGAGUUAUCCUCGCAGCUUCAGGAGCUGUUGGGGAAGAGGUUUAUUCGGCCGAGCAGCUCGCCGUGGAGAGCGCCUAUCCUUUUUUCAAGAAAAAAGAUGGUUCACACCGGAUGUGCAUUGAUUACCGGGAGUUGAACAAGCUGGCGGUCAAGAACCGUUACCCGUUGCCGAGGAUCGACGAUUUGUUCAAUCAGUUACAGGGAGUAUCUUGGUUCUCCAAGAUCGAUUUGAGGUCUGGAUAUCAUCAAGUGAGGGUGCGAUAUGAAGACAUCCAGAAGACAACAUUCAGGACUCGUUAUGAGCAUUACGAGUUCGUGGUGAUGCCUUUCGGGCUCACUAAUGCACCGGCGGUGUUCAUGGAUCUCAUGAACAGAGUGUGCAGGCCGAUGUUGGAUCGCUCAGUGAUCGUGUUCAUCGACGACAUAUUGGUGCAUUCGAGAUCCAGAGAGCAGCAUGAGGAACAUUUGAGAGAGAUCCUCAGAGUUUUGAGAUCGGAGAGGCGUUACGCCAAAUUCUCCAAGUGUGAUUUCUGGUUACGAGAGUUCCAGUUCCUGGGGCACCUCGUUAACCAAAAAGGGAUAUUAGUCGAUCCGGCCAAGAUUGAGGUAGUGAUGAGUUGGGAGGUGCCGAGGUCACCUACCGAGAUCAGGAGUUUCCUAGGGUUGGCUGGUUAUUAUCGGAGAUUUAUCAUGGAUUUCUCCAAGAUCGUCAUGCCACUCACCAAGUUGACCCCGAAGGGUGUUGCGUUUUCAUGGGGCCCAGAGCAGCAGGCCUCCUUGAAGACACUUCACCAGAGACUAUGCGAAGCCCCGGUGUUAGCCCUUCCGGAGGGGAUGGACAACUUCGUAGUGUAUUGUGACACGUCGAUAUCUGGGCUGGGAGCAGUGCUAAUGCAGAGGGGGCAUGUGAUAGCAUACGCAUCAAGGCAGCUGAAGCCUCAUGACAUGAGGUAUCCCACCCACGAUCUAGAGUUGGGGGCAAUGGUGUUUGCCCUCAAGAUCUGGCAUCACUAUCUGUAUGGGGUUCGAUGUACCAUAUACAUGGACCACAAGAGCCUGAAGUAUUUAAUGGAUCAGCCCAAUCUGAACAUGCGACAGAGGAGAUGGUUGGAUGUGGUGAAGGAUUACGAUUGUGAGAUCCUGUACCACCCGGGCAAGGCUAACGUUGUAGCCGAUGCCCUGAGUCGCAGGGAGGAGGGCACCCCGAUACAGGAUGUUUGUAUGAGGCUGACAGUGAUGGCCCCAGUAUUUGGUGCCAUUCGAGGGGCCCAGACUGAGGCUGUGAGACCAGAGAAUCGUAAGAGGGAGCGGGUUAUCGGGCAGGUAUCGGAGUUCGUCACCGAUAGCCGAGGGGUUAUGACCUUUCAGGGAUGGAUUUGGGUGCCGUUUGUGGGCGGAACGUGCACCAUCUUGAUGGAGGAGGCGCAUAGAUCGAAGAUUUCGAUCCAUUUCGGGGCCACUAAGAUGUAUUUGGACCUAAAGAAAUAGUAUUGGUGGGCCUGUAUGAAGAGAGAAGUUGCAUGGUUCGUUGAGAGGUGUUUGACCUGUCGUAGGUUUAAGGCCGAGCACCAGAAGCUGCAUGGUAAGCUGCAGCCGUUGGAGGUUCCUGAGUGGAAGUGGGAACAGAUUACCAUGAAUUUUAUCACCAAAUUGGCGAGGACUGCUAGGGGCGUCGAUGCUAUUUGGGUGAUUGUAGACAGGUUGACGAAGAGCGCUCAUUUCCUUGCUAUCAGUGAGAGCUCUUCCGCUGAGAGGUUGGCAGAGUUGUAUGUGAAGGAGGUGGUAUCACGAGCAUUGGUAUGCCACCCUUUGAGCUGUUGUAUGGUAGGAGGUGUCGGACUCCCAUUUGCUGGGGUGAGGUCGGUCAGCGUGUGAUGGGUAGUACAGAGAUAGUCCUUCAUACGACUGAGCAGAUUCUGCAGGUCCGGCAGAGGUUACUGACGGCUCAGAGUCGUCAGAAGCGCUACGCAGACAGGCGUCGCUUGGAGCUCGAGUUCCAAGUUGGUGACUUCGUACUCCUGAAGGUAUCUCCUUGGAAAGGAGUGAUCCGAUUCAGGAAGAGAGAUAAGUUGGGGCCUCGGUAUAUUGGCCCUUUCAGGGUGACCGCUUGGGUAGGCAGGGUAGCGUACAGCUUGGAGUUACCUGCUGAGUUGAUUCAGAUUCACGAUACCUUCCAUGUGUCUCAGUUGAGAAAGUGCAUCGCUGAUGAGUCAACAGUGGUUCCAUUAGAGGACAUUCAGGUGGAUGCAAGCCUGAGCUAUGUUAAGAGGCCGAUCGCGAUUCGGGAUAAAAGGAUCAAGACUUUGAGAAACAAGGAGGUGCCAUUGGUUCAGGUUUAGUGGCAACAUCGGAAGGAUUCCGAGAUGACCUAGGAGCCAGAGUUGGAGAUGCGCGAGCAGCAUCCAGAUUUAUUUGUGAAAAGAGACUUCGAGGGCGAAGUCUGAUUCUAGUAGGUGAGAAUUGUAACAUCUGGAUUUUCAGGUACAUUAUUUAUUCAUUCAUUUUUGGAGAUUUUCAGAGGGACUCAGCUAUAUGAUGCUUAGACUCUCCGAGUAGUGUCGUGAUUUUCCAUCUGGGUUAAUGACCGGACUCGGCGAGUUGACUAGUGGACUUGGCCAGUCCACGCUGUUUAAUGAAACCCUAAUUUCUAGGGUUUGAGACAUAUUUAAAGGCCCUUAUGGCCUUCAUUUGCGGCUACAAGUUGAUAGAGAGAGACCCCAGAGUGUGUAAGCGUUUUGAGAGAGAAAGGAAGCCAUUAUUGAUCCUUGUGUGGGUGAUUUUGCAAGAAGAAGGUGACCAAGGCAAGAGGAAACUGAAGAGGGUGCUAAUCUAUGGAUUUCAGAGCUUAAGAACUUCAUCUUGAGGUAUAUAUUCGAUCAUUCUUCAGUUUUGGGUGUUAAUUCUUGAGAGUUAGGGUUCCUAGCCCAUUUAGAGUAUGAUUGUUAGUGCAAUUGGUCCCUUCUUGUGUUGAGGCUGCGGAUCUGGAUCCAAAGAGAUCCAUAGAUCUAAGCCCCUUGAUCUUUACGGGGUGUCAUUGGGUUAUAUGAGGUUAGGGUGGCAUAUUGAGGCCAUUUCAUCAAAUAGAGCCAUUGGGUCUUUGCAUGGGCAUCAAGAUCCAAAGUUUACAUGUUUUUAUUGCUUUAGCAGGCCAGAUCUAUGAGUUAGAGGAACGGAUCUAACCUUAGGAGCUCAUGUGAGCUCGAGCAUGGCAUGAACUCGCCGAGUACCAAAAGCAGACUCGGCGAGUAGGGUUAGGGUUUCCCCAUAGUUCACUCAGUGAGUACUUGCCGAGUUGGAGGAAUGACUCAGUGAGUCAGAAGGAAUUAGAGGACUGGAGUUCAAGGCGGAACUCGCCGAGUUCAUAAUGAGACUCGGUGAGUUGAGUCGGGGUGGUCCCGCGAUUUAUGCCAGGUGUAACCCGUCGAGUAGGGGUAAGACUCGACGUGUCAUGCAGGACUAAAGGGAUAGUGGACACGCGUAGACUCGCCGAGUCACCCAAGUGCACUCGGUGAGUCGGGUCAAAGUCUAACCGUUGACUUUGUUGACUUUGAAGGUUUGGUCAACAACGGGGUCUUUGUGUCAAGAGAGGGUUGACUCUAGUCUCGAGAGUUAUAUUUAUGAGAGUAUUUUACUUUAUGUGAUUAGGCGGAGGCUAGACCAUAUUUCCACCAAGUCGGAGAUUUACUUAGACAUCUGAGGUGAGUCUUGUCACUAUACUUUACCUAGAGUGGUAAUCAGAGCUACGUGACAGUGUAUCUUAUAUGCUAUGUAUGUGUUGUGAUUUCUAUGUGAUAUGUGAUAUGCAUGAUUCAGAGUUAUAGAGUUAGGACCAGUGGGUCCAUAGAGUUAUGGGACCAAGAGGGUCCCAUAGAGAUAUUCGACCAGAGGGUCAUCAGAGUUACAGCCUUGUGUGACUGAUAUAUGUUUAUGUGGUAUUUUGGGGAACUCACUAAGCUUUAUGCUUACAUUGUUAUGUGUUAUGUGUUUCAGGUACCAGUGAUGAUCGCGGGAAGGCACCGACAUGAUCUGUACACACACCCGCGGAGUUAUUAUGAUUUGAUCUUGGGACUUGUAAUAAGAUAAUGUUGAUACAAUGUUUUCUUGAAAGUGAUUAUGAAUGAAUUUAAAUGGUUUUAAAAAGCGAAAAAUUGUCUUAAUUUUUACGGUGUUACACAUCAUCAGAUGUAUAAAGCUCAUACUGCUUUGCAAAAGCAUUUCCAAGAGAAAUGACCCAAUCAAUGUCUUGAACAACAUCCAAAGUUUCUGCAAGAAACUACAAACAAACAAAUAAAUAAAUAAUAAUGACAUGAAAAGUGAAAUCUUUAUCUAUGUUGAACUUGCAGAUCUCUACUCACAAAGAGGGAUCUACAAAAAAACAAAGGGAAUUCAUUGUGGCAUUUUAUCAUUGUGGCAUUUACCUCAAAUAAGAAAAUAUUGCAAGUUUGUGAUUAAAAUUCAUCAGGCACAACUGCAAUGAAAAGUUGAGUAGACAACCAUAAAAUAAAACCUCCAUGUCAGCAAAAAAGAACCAUAUGCAGCACCAUAAAAUUUCAAAGAGUAACAUCUACUUAUUUCAAUCACCAUCCAAGAUAAUAAAACUCCCAUUGUAUGAUAUAUGAGCUUGAUGAUUUAGCGCCAAAGAAAUCAAGAACUACCAAGCAACUUUGGUAAACCCAUUAAGACAUCAACAAAUUGUUCUUUCAGACAGCAAGUUCUUUAAAGUAUUAGCAAAAAGAAACAAUGAACCUUUUCAAUUAAUCAUUAUUCCAAAAUCAAAUUUUAUUUGUAAUAAUUGGUUUGUUUGGAAAGAACUGAAUGGUAAAGCUUACCUGAUUAUAUCCAUUUAUGUGUGUAUGAGAGAGAAAGAGAGGGGUAGCCAUAGUUAGCUCUUAAAAAAAAAAACCCAAAACAUCUAUCAAUUCCUUUUACACAUAAGAGUCAACAAGCUUGCAACUACAAGCCCUCCAGACCUGAUUACAUGUGUAGAAUUGAUUAGGUCGAUGGUAACAGCAACAAUUUUACUGUUUAGAUGAUUUCACUUUGUAACAUCAAUGGUAGCAGCAAGGAUUUUACAACUUGGAUGAAUACUGAAAAUCAAUGUAUAUCCAGGUAUGCACUCAAGACUGACAGAUCUGCUUAACAAUAAAAACCAAGCAGAAGCAAGAGGGUUAAAUCCAAAACUGAAAAAUCUCUAAUAACCCCACUUUUGUCAUGAUAUAUGAAGUAUACUUUAGUAACUUACAAAGUCAUGAGCAAAGGAUAAAUUGAACCUCUCUAUAUGAAAAGCUAUACAAGGAUAAAUUUGUAAUCACCAAUCUUUCUGGAAAACCGAGAAUGUUAAGUCGCUGGAGAGAGUUUUCAGGCUUAGAUGUGGAGUGAUUGAAUCUGCAAGAUUCUCCAUAUUUGCAAUGACCAAUUUGGUAAAACUACAACACUGGGUAAGCAUGUAAAUAUGGUAUAUGGAUAGACAACAGUGAAAGAAUAUAAUAUCAAUAAAGCAAGAAGCAGAUACUAGCAAUACAAGUUUGUAGGUUCAUUAGGCACAUUAAUUUACUCUGCAGGUUCCCAAACUAGCCCUACUGAUGGGAUGUGGAUCCAUAAACACUGACAUGGAGACUUCAUAUUGGGUCAUGAGACUCACAUGUCUCUUGCUACCCAAGACAUACAGUGGAUUGAUAUGGACACUAUCCUACCAACACUUUUUCUUCUUUUUUCCUGUCUGUUGCUAAGUAGAUUGAUUAUUCAAUCACAGUAACAAACAAGUUACUUUAUUGAUGAAAAACUCACUUGAAACCCUCUUUCGCAUGCCUUGGUUUGAAAAUUGUCAACAUCACGUACAAAUAAAGUCGGUGACCAAAUGUCUCACAAAAUUAAAGGAACCAGGUUAUAUUUCUGCCAUUUAUUGGUGGAAGCACCAAUAAAUCGAAAAUCGUGUCAUACUUCUGCACCUGUAAAGAUUAUAACCAAAUAAAAUAAGGAAAAAAACUAACCAAAAUAAGAAAAACAAAAAAGAUAAAUUGGGAAUCAUGUCUAGACGAAAGCUAUACUAAUUAGCCUUUGUAAGCUCGGAUGCUAUCUAUAGGACAAUCCAAAAAUACAUUAUAACAUGGCAUGGAAGGAAGUUGAGUUUGACCAAGUGCUGACUCCUUUAGCAUCUAUUUCUUCUACAUGCUUCAAGUCAUCAAUGGAGAAUCCUAUAAAUGAUGAAGCUGUGUAGACAUCUAUGUAUCUCUUCACCUACAUGAAUAUCUGAAAAAAAAAAAGAGUGGCUAGAAUGUAAUUUUAAAAACUUUAAUUUUAAAAUUUUAAAAUUUUAAAAUGUAUUCAAGUUAAAAUUUACUUGGCAAGAAUUGACACAAAAUACUUUUGCAUAAUUUUUCAUCCAUUCUUUGAAUUUUUGUUGACUGAGGCCUUCUUCAAGAUUCUUCCAUGUUCCAGCUACUAAACCAUAUAGCAUUGGAUUAACACGACCAAUGUUGUUUCAGUAAAAAAAAACAAAAAAGAAGUUUAAUUGGUGAAAUAAUAACUUCAUAUGUAACAAUGAUCAAAUUAUAUAAAAAGUUUAUAUCAUUCAUACCUUCCAUAAGGAAAGGAGAUCCCAAGUAAUGCUGACACUGUUGCAGCAAAAUCAAGUUGUAGAGUUUAAUUAAAUUAAGAUUUGCUUUGUAACAAAACCUGAAGAUCAUUAUAAAGAAAAUCCAAUACAUGAUAUGCAAUUAUGAAUUAAGAAUAUAGACAAUCAUACAUGUUCAAUAGAACUAACACAAACCUUCCUUCCAUCCUGUGAACACAAUACCAAAAUGAGUACUGUUAUAAUAAUAGUAGGGGUAAUGUUGUCAAAAACAAUUACUUAACAGAAUAAAUAGGAUAUAGUACCAUACCUAGUUUACAAUAUGAGGCAUCAAAAUCUGAUGGAAUAGGAAGUGAAGGCUUUUUCAAACUCAUUGCAAAAAUUGAUGUUUCAACUUGUAUAUAUAUAUAUAUAUAUAUAUAUAUAUGUGUGUGUGUGUGUGUGUGUGUGUGUGUGUGUGUGUUACUUUUUAAAUUAUCAUACCUUACAGUUUACACAAUGACAUUUUAAGAGAACUACAAUUACAAAUUUACAAUAUUACAUACCUCUUCAGGACUUCCACACCAUUUAUAGUUUGUCCAUGAUCACCCAUAACAAGAAGCAAAGUAUUUUCAUGGAGGUCACCUCUGCCAAAUUGGCUCUGCAGCACUUCCACAACCAUGAUCACCAUUUAUAGUUUACCAUCUUUACUCCAUAUUCUGACUUGCCCAUCAUAAGAACCUAUUCCAAGUAGUGUUCCAUACCCAUACAUUACAAAUUUCAUUUAUCAAUAAAAUCAAAAGCAUGAGAUGUAACAGUAAAAAGUAAAUAAAAAAUAACAAUGAAAAAAACUCACAUUCCAGUCAUGUGUGGUUUUGUGGUUACAUCUUUGCUCCUCUCGUUUGUUUGACCUCUGUAGUGCUUCAAAACAACAAUAUCUUUCGGUCCUUUUUGUAAAUUUGAGCUACAAUGUCCAUCAGCAAUUGUCCAAAUUCGAGCUUUCCAGACCUAAAUACAUAUAUCCAAUUCAGAAUCUAGAAUUUUGGCCUAUUUACUAUAAUAUUUUUGUUAAAAAUAAUAAAAAUAUCAUCAUAUAGGCACCUAGAUGCCAAAAGAGAGCGACCUGGAAUCAAUGUGAAUACAGAAACCUGAUAAAAUGGUUAAAAGAGUUGUAUUAAUUUAAUAUAAACCAAUGAAAACUUAUCUCAAAGCAUUUCAAAACCACUUUUUUUUCACUAUUAUCAGUAAAAAUAUUAUUUGAAGACCCUGUAUCAAAAUGAGAUUAUAUAAAAAGUUAAGAAUUUACACAGACCUCAGAAUUAUGACUUUCUAAAAUUGUCACAUCAGAGCCCAGAGCUCGGGAUAACAGAAGGCAAAGUUGUUGAGCCUUGUCAAUCUCCAUUGGUUAUGCUCCUAUUUCACAUUGGAAGGAACGUAUUGUUGAGGAAAAACAAUAUAUAAUAUUUAUAUCUCUAGAUUCAUAACCAUGGUAAAUCAGAUUUAUUUAACACAACAAAUGCAUAUUACCUUCUACAAUCACAUUUUCUUCAGGUUGAACUCAUAUCUUAUCAUCAUGAUCUUGUAGCUUCAAUUUCAUAUCUUAACACAACAUUCUCGUUUUUUUUUCUCUUUGAGUUUACCCUUUUCUCUUUCUUUAUCCCUUUGUAUCUUCUUUUUCUCCAACUCACAUUAUUUGUCACGUUGUUGCUUUUCCUUCUCUUUUUCUCUAUGUUCUUCUUGCUCAAAUCUCUUUUCUCUUUUCUCUGUGUUGUCUUUCAUGUUCUUUUUCUUUUUCUCUAGAAGAUUCAUGUUCAUGUUCUUUCUCUCUUUCAUUCACAUGUUUUUUCUCCCUUGCUCUAGCAUGUCCAUGGUCAUGUUCUUUGUUUUUUCUCUAGUUUUAGUUUUCUUAAGACUUUCUUUCUUCUCCUUAAUCAGUUUUUGUAGUUCAUAAACACCCUUUGUGAUAAGAUCCAUACGUUAUAUAAAAGAAAAAUUUUCAUCGAUGUCUGAAUCAUUCUGUAGACUCCAAUAGAUAGUUAUAUGAACAAAAAGGAUUACACGCAGUAAAAGGUAUAAAUAUUGUAAAUGUAUGCUUACCAUGUCAGGUUAGAUUAUAGUGCAAGAUACUGAAUUUCUCUAUGCAUAAACAUAACAAGAGGUUUUUAGGCUUAGGACGUUAAUAUAGAUUAUUCAAAAGGUAUAUUUAUUAUACAAUAGAAAUAGAAGGGGUAAAAAAAGUAAGCUUUUUAGGCUUCAUUCUAACAGAUACGCUAAAAUCACCAAAACCCUGAUUGAUUUCUACAAGGUCUAAAAAAUGAAGAGAAAAUAACUACACAAGGAGUACCGCGGGAACACUGAUCGUUCUGAGGCAUCGUUGAUGAACGAAACCCUAUAGGAGGGCUUUUUGGCUUAUGCGGUACAUAAUGAGGUUUUAUAAGAUUUUUUUUGGUGGAUUCAUCUAACUUGAUCUGUUUGUAAAGACUGGAGUACAAGUUUUGGCAUGAAAUCAAUUUUUAGUGAUCUAAUGAUGUUACAAAUCAUGGUAAAAGGUGGCGAAGAAACAUUGGAAAGAAACAAAACAUACCUUAAUCAGACCUGGGGCUUGUAAAUUUGAUCAUGGUAGUCUCCAACGAGGUUAGGUGAGCCCAAGGUCGUCAGCGAGGAGAAGAUAGCCUGAGGUUGUCGGAGGGGAAGUAACCCUAAGGUCUCCAAAGGAGAAAUGAGCCUGAGGUUUCCGACAAGGGGAAGAGAGACGAGGCGAGAUUGCCGAACGGAUUGAUUUUAGAGAUCACGUACAGAGCGAGUGUUUAGAGUGUUAUUAAAAAAAGCCCUAGAAUUAGUAGUCUCUGCGAUUUUGUGAUAAGAGACGCACGUGAUGGGGUAAAUAUAUAAAGCGACAUUUGUAGAGGACACUCGGUUAAGAUAAAUGCCCUCCGUGUUUGUAUUAUUUUUUUUAGACACUGAUUUUAGGGCACACAUAAAUGCGUGUCCUCUAUACUUCAAUUUUUGGAAAGCUAAAAUUAUUUUUAGGACCCACAGAAAAUGCGUAUCGUAAAUCAGUGCGUGUCAUUAAAUGAUUGUUUUCUAGUAGUGAUGGAUUCCAUAUAACAGCUGAAGGUAAUACGUUAAUCAGUGAUAACACAUUGGUAAAUUUGGAUGAACUUACUAACUACAAGGAAGCCAUGGCGGGCCCCGAAUCUGCUAAAUGGAAAGAGGCAAUGGACAACAAGAUUCAGUCCAUGUAUUACAAUCAAGUUUGGAACUUGGUUGACAUUGUACCGGGUCGUAAGACGGUCGGGUGUAAAUGGAUCUUCAAGAAGAAGACCGACAUGGAUGGGAAUGUGCAUACAUUCAAGGCAGGGCUGGUUGCGAAGGGAUUUACUCAAACCCCGAGGGUUGACUAUGAUGAUACCUUCUCACUAGUGGACAAGAUCAAGUCUAUUAGGGUUAUGUUGGCUAUUGUUGCAUUUCAUGAUUAUGAAAUUUGGCAGAUGGAUGUCAAAACCGCUUUCCUUAAUGGGAAGCUGGUUGAAGAUGUUUACAUGUGUCAGCUAGAAGGUUUGGUACAUGCUAAGUACCCUAAUAGAGUAUACAAGCUUGAUAAAUCCAUUUAUGGAUUAAAGCAAGCAUCUCGCAGAUGGAAUCUUUAUUUCGAUGAGAAAGUCAAAGAGUUUGGAUUUUCGAGAAGUGAGGAUGAGUCAUGUGUGUAUGUCAAGGCUAGUGGGAGUAUAGUUAGCUUUCUAGUUUUAUAUGUGGAUGACAUGCUGCUCAUAGGAAACGGCAUCCCGACCUUGCAAGAGGUUAAGUCUUGGCUUGGAAGUGUUUCUCUAUGAAGGAUGUAGGGGAAGCUGCUUGUAUUCUAAGGAUAAGGAUUUUGAGAAAUAGGGGUAGAAGACUGAUAGGACUCAGUCAAAGUGCGUACUUGGACAAGGUGUUGAAAUGUUUUAGCAUGGAGAAUUCCAAGAAGGGAGAGUUGUCUAUCCAAAGAAAUACCAAGCUGAGUAUGACUCAGAGUCCGAGUAGCGAUGUCAAGAUAGCGGAAAUGAGUAGAGUACCAUAUGCUUCCGCUGUUGGCUCGAUCAUGUACGCUAUGACAUGUACUCGCCCUGAUGUGGCUUUGGUUUUGAGCAUGGUAAACCGAUAUCAAGGGAACCCUGGUAGAGCUCACUGGAUAGCAGUAAAGAACAUUCUUAAGUACCUGCGAAGGAUUAAAACUGGUUCCUUACACUUGGUGGGAGUGAUGACUUGAGAGUGACAGGGUAUAGUGAUGCCAGUUUUCAGACCGACAGAGAUAACUUUUGCUCUCAGUCGGGCUGGAUAUUCACCUUAAAUGGAGGGGAAGUUACUUGGAAAAGUUCGAAGCAGGAGACUAUGGCUGAUUCCACGUGCAGAUCCCUGCAUAUAGCAGCGAGUGAAGCAUCGAAUGAGGCGAUAUGGUUGAAGAACUUCGUUACAGACCUUGGAAUUAUACCAGCCAUUAACAAGCCUAUGGAGAUUUUCUGUGAUCAUGAAGGAGCGGUUGCCUUAACUAAGGAACCAAGGGAUCAUGGUAGAUCUAGGCAUAUUGACAGAAAAUACCACUUCAUCAGACAUCGGGUAGAAGAAGGACUCCUUAUAGUAAAGAGGGUAUCGUCUGAAGAGAAUCUUGCGGAUCCCCUUACAAAGGGUCUGAGUAGUAUCAAGCAUUUGCAACAUGCGAGGAGCAUUGGUCUGAUGGAUGAUAUUACUUUUAGUGAUUAGAUAGUAUGUUUAGAAACUUGUAAUAGAUAAAUGUAAUUGAAAUUUGAUGAUUAAGUAAUUGAGAUUUAUUUAUAAGUAAAGUUUAGUGUCUUGUGUCGAUUGUUUAAUAUUGUUUCACUUUUGCAUAUUUUACUUCCAGAAUAAUUAGAUUGUUCAAAUUAUCCAGAGUCGAUCAUACUUUGGAAGUAAGUAAUGAGGUUAGACUGUCAUGAAUUGUUUGUAAAUUGUCUAAGUUGAAAGACCCCAACUUUCAUAUGAAGAAACAUUAUUACUCCAAAACAUGCUACAUGCAUAUUUAUUAAACAAUAUCUUACAUUGAUAACGUUAUUACAAAAGACUGAAUACAAACCGACUAUGUUUUAAUAUUUUACAUAACUACCCAGGAUAUUGUAAUUUUAUACAAACAUAAACCGAAGUACAAAAGUAAUAAUAAAAACUAUUCUAAUUCUUCCGACAGUACAUAACUAUACUGGUUGCUUAUUGCCUGCAAUUGUUAAACAUUGAGUGGGGUAAGCAGUGACGCUUAGUGAGUUCAAUAAUAGAUNAUAUAUAUAUGUAUACACACACACACACACAUAUAUAUAUAUAUAUAUGUAUACACACACUUCAGUAUGGCAGAAGCAAAGAGGAACAAGGAACAACAAAGGUAUAUGUGAAUCAUGCGGCAAGCUUUCCAUAUCAAUCGAUGAUUUGAUUCAUUGAUAAACAAUCAGUGAGAUAUAACAAUUUCAAUACUUGAUAUACAUCAAUAACAUUUCAGCGCAAAUGGCACAGAAGACAUACAAUUUUUGAUUAAACAUUUUGGUAGAUUUCAGGCUUUCAGCCCUGUCUAACCUUCUACCAAUGCCAUAGAAUAGAAGUCAUUCUCUUACCAGACAUGCUCUACAUAGCCAGAGGCUACAUACCAAUACCAUCGUUAAUCUAAGUCCUUUCAUUGAUCACAUGGUAAAAGGUAUAACUUUGCUAUCAAAAUAGCUGAAAUAAUAACAUGGAAAAACACAUGGCACAUAUAACACAUAACAUACAAUUGUUCCUAUGUAUUGAACUCACCGUGAAAUAAACCAAAGGAAUAAAUGAUAAUUCGGGCAGCACCUCGGCUCUAAAUAUGACUUUCUGUGAUGAAACCCGGGAUUUUAGUUGAAAACCGGCCUUACACGGGCAGAGUUUCGACUUUAAAAUAUAAUUUUCUCGGGAACUUCGGACCGUCGGGACUUGCUUCGGGUGUCGGGGAUGACACCGGGACUUUGGGGGGUGAAAAGUGUGUAAAAGGGUGAAAGAGGGUGUGAAAGUGUCAAUUAUGUAAACAUAAUACGGCUGCCCUCACAUGCCUUAUAUAGGGUGCAAAGCACCUUACUACGCGGGGCGUAGUCUCGCUGUACGCGGGGCGUACGAGGCUACGUGUCUGAUUCUCGGAAGGGAAGGCACGUGGCUCGGACGUGUCUAAUACGUAGCUCGCAUGCGAAGACCGGAAACGUGGUUGAUACGAGGCCCUUCCAGGCGAACGCUGGGCGUAGCUCUUGUACGUAGGGCGUACCUCCGCGGGCUAGCCUUGAUAUUUGUGACAAAAACUUGUAAAAUUCAUAUCUUUUGCAUAUGAACUCCAUUUUUAACGUUCUUUAUAUCCAUGUGUAGGUGAAAUUAUGCUCUACAACUUUCGUGUAGAUUCCUUCAGCAAAUUUUGACUUUAUUUUUAUUACUAUAUUUUUAACAUGUCGGGACAGGAUAAGACCGUUAAAAAUUUAUAACUUCUUCAUCCGAUGUCCGUUUUGUCUGUCUUUUUACCGUUGUACUACUAUUGAUGAGACCUAUGUUUGUUAAAUAGGUUGCGUCGGCUAAAAAUCACUCGAUCUUUAUUUCGAGUUUUUAGCUGUGUACUGCUAUAACGAAACUUAGAAAAAUCAUAACCUCUUCAUACGAAGUCAGAUUUGGACGUUCUUUUUAUGGAAAUUCUUGGUUUAACGUAUACUAAGACUUUCAUUUAGAUCACUAAGGCUAAAAAGUAGCUAAUCGAAAACUCACUUUUUAUGUCAUUGGCGUCGUGCCGCUUCUGUCGUGAAUCUUCGACUGGUCAUAACUUUUUCGUUAUAACUCGGAUUUCGAUGAGGUUUUCAUCUAAAUGUUUCUAACGAAAUUAUCUACAAUUUUCAAUAAUAAAAUUUUACUUAUUUCAAAUUUUAUAUUUUCGUUAAAUUUUAAUAUUUUCCUAUUGAUUGGAAUCUCAUAAGACUUCCAAUAUCCUCUGAGUGAUUCUAAACAUAGUUUUACUUCAAUUCUAGUAAAAACUAUCUGUUAGAACUCAAUACUCAAUAUCACAUAAUAUUUCAUAAUAUUAUUCAUUAAAAAACAUGAUUUCAAAACGUGUAUGUUACAUAAGUGCUUAGACAUAGCAAAGGGUUGCUGCAACAUUCAUGAGUACUUCUGAAAUAAGAUUUGAGUAUUGGAUUAAACCCACGCUCACAUGAAUCACUUCAUGCAAUUUAUCACGAGUGAUUGUGAGAUGAUAAUAUCAUAUAGUCUUUAAACCAAGAUAUAUGAGUUGUUGUUUACAAGUUGGUUGUGCAGUGAUAAUGCGUAGACGCAUCAAUAACUUGAUGUUAUAAAAUGUGUUGUUGUGUAUGAUUUGACGAGCAAAUAGUACAAGCAUAUAAGUUAAAGUUAUCUGUUCCUUUUAUCCUAAGAGGGUAAAAGCGAUAUCUUGGGCCCCUCGAUGAUUUUGUGUUGACUUAUGUGUCGGGCCCGGUCAGGAGUGAAUUGAUGUGUUCAACGAAGUUCUAUGUCAAACAAAUCAGAAAUCGGGAAACAAACUGUUGGACAUGAAGAAUGAUCAUAUUCCAUGUCUUUGUCCACAUGACAUCUUGCAGAAUGGAGGAUUAUAUGAUCCCUUAUCUAAAGGACACGUCAUUGACUAGGUCAGAGUUCGACAACGGCUUUUGAGAGCUACGAUUGCUAAUCAGAUUUUGAAGUUGUACUUGCGGUUAUAGCUAUUAGACUUAUCCAAGUAAGAGACUACUUGAUUAGGUGUCUAAGCCCAUAACUAUAAUUGGUAUGUACUUGACUCGAUACUAGCAUGGUCCUUUUGGGUUGCCUUAACCAUAGCAAUUGAUAGGAUGAAUAAUAGAGAAAGAGGUUAAUAAAUGAUUUAUUAAUAUAUUAUAAGAAUAAUAUAUUAAUUGGGAAAUAAUAUUAUUUAAUUAGUAUUCAUGAGAAAUUAAUUUGAUGAUCAAUAGAGAUUGAUUAAAUAUAAGGGUGUUGAUAUUGCAAUUUAGCGAUUGUUGCAAGUUAGGCUAUUGGACUCCUAAGGAAAGGAGUUAACGAAAACUCUAUGGGAAGACCACAUAGUGUUCGUCCAUAAGGCUUUCUAGAAGGAUCCUAUGGACCACUUAUGGCCUAAGCAGUCAGAUUAGGGUUUUACCUGGAAACCCUAGUAGCACAACUAUAUAAAGACCCCUUGGCUAGUUGAAAUCGGCUCCUAUGCAUUCUUAGAGAACCCUGGCCGAUUUUCAUAGCCUCCAUCCUCUCUCUCUUGUUCAUCCAUUGCUAGUUGGUGUUUGUGACUCCAUUAGAGGUGCAACAAUUGAGGCACUAAGCUCUUAAAGGUCAAGAUCUACAAUCAACGAAGAAAAGGUAUUCUUCUAACUAUGUUUAGUUAUCAAUUUCGAAAAUUGUAUGCUAGAUUAGGGUUUUUCUUUGGAUAACUUAAUUUGUAUGUAUAACUUGAGAAAAACAUAGAUCCAAAGCAAUUAGGGUUGCAUGUGCACCAUAGGAAUGUUGUAAUGCUCAUAGCCCAACAGUAUGGGCCCAUACUACUGAAAGCAUAGUACCCGUACACGUAUCAAGGAAGUCAUCAACCCUAGGGUUUGGGAAUUGGUUCCCCUAGUUUUAUGUGUGCUUUGUCUGAUAUCUCCCAGGUUUAUUAUCGAGUAUGGAAAGUAUGAGAUGAUUUGAGUCUAGAUCUGGAUCAGGAUCAAGAGCAAAUGGCCAAGAUGGGCCAACAUUGGCUAAGGACCAUGUCAGGGAGAUCACUCAUGAGGAAGUUAUUUCUUUUGUUUCGGGGCAUAUUCUGGAGCUAGUUGAGUCUGUUAAGGCCGCUAUGAUGGAGUACUUUGAUGACCGAUAUGCUACACUUUCUGAGGUUGUUGUUGUUGCAGCCAUUGCAGAUGUUGUUGCCUUUGGGGAUCAAGGAGAGAGAGAUUUCCAGUAUCGGGACUUCGAUUGUCUGAAGCCCCGGAGUUUGAUGGGGUCUUAGACCUGAUUGUUGUGAUGAGAUGGCUGUCUGACGUGGAGGGUUGUUUCUUCACAUGUUCUGGUCCAAAUGACCAGAAGGUUAAGUGUGCCUAAACCUUCUCAGGUUGGGGUAAGGGAUUGGUGGAGACCGGUGACUAGUUCUUCUACUCCUGAGUAAAGGGACACGAUGACCUUGAAAUAGUUCUCAGAGAUGUUCCAUGCAAGGUAUGUUACCCUAGUACAGAGGGAGAGACUGGACCAGGUGUACCUAGAUCUAAGACAGACGAUCGAGUCGGUGAAGAAGAUCACCAAGAUGUCCACUGAGAGGGCCUUGUUGAGUAAUGAGUUUGCUGCUACAGAGCAAGCUCAUGUGACUCGGUAUUUGAGCAUGAUCAAGAUGGAUAUUCGACAGUUUGUGUCCAUCCAACGCUAUGGCUCUCUCGUAGAGCUUCAGGAUGCCAUGAGGAGGCGAGAGAUUGAGAUAGAGACCCAGGUGCGGGAGCAGUGUCAGGCUCCAGAUCAGUCCCAACCUGCAGUAAAGCAGUUCGAGUCCAUUGACCAGAGAUCAGGAUCAGUUGAAGGGAGACGUAGACCUGUUGCAUGUCGCCGGUGUGGCAAGGAGGGUCAUUUUGGAAGAGACUGCAGGCGGAGUGUGCGAGUUUGUUUUCAAUGUGGUCAGGAUGGCCACAUCAGGGAUCAUUGUCCUUUUCCUAGUGAGGUGCUGGAUCCUACGCCUUAGCUUGGCAGUUACCCGAUGGUCAUCAGGGGACCGCCGGGGUCCCGAGGACCGAGAUUUUAGUUAGCAGUUCUCCUAUUUAGCAAUUGUGGUAGUAUUGGUAUCUAUCUGUCAUUUUUGUUGUGUUUCAAGGUUCAAUUAAAAUUUUGGAUGAUCAGUUAAAUGGAAUUAUCUCAUUUAUCUUGUUCCAGUUGAUCUCUUGUUAUGUAUGGAUUAAUUAUCUUUGGCAUCGAUUGCAUGCGAGUUGAAAUGUACGAUUGUUGUGUGAAAUCAGAUUCUCCUAUGUAUGUGGAUAUCAAUGGUUGAGAUCAAGUAGUAGAGUUCAAGUUAGUCGGGUAUCGAAGGACUAUGAAGUUCUCAGUCUCUAGUAUAUUUCAAGUGGGGGAGAUUGGAUCCUUGCAGAAGGAAGACUCUUAGCCAAGAUUCGAUACUCUUUUGGAUUUCUCUAGGUUCUAGAUUUCUGCACAAUUGAUAACUCUUCUGGUUUUGCGAUAAGAUCAUCAUCAGUUGUUGGAAUUUCCCUUUAAUUCGUGUUAGUAUUGGUUGUGAUGACAUCUGUAGGGCCCUUGUGCUUCGAUCCGAAGGUUUUAGUAGCUCAGGUUGAGGGUUAGCGUGUUUUUUAUCGUUUGAUCAGGGGUGAACCCCAGUGUUAAUAGUGGGUAGCUUAGCUGGGCAAUCGGAGCAAAGUAAGAGUGUGGUUUAGUUCAACAUGAGAACAAUUAGUUUUCAUUACGGUGAUGCCUUUUUGGUGUGGGAUUAGAGUGUCGACGUUGGGCCGAGAAGUUCAAAGAUCGAUUGAUUCUGCGGAUUUUGGUUCAUCGUGGUUGUUGUGGGGGAGUGCAUCAUGAAGUAGAAGCAUGAGCUGAUUUCGAGGACGAAAUCUAAUUUAAGUGGGGGAGAAUUGUAACACUCCAUUAAAAAUAAAUAAAUAAUAAUAAUAAAUUAAAUAAAAAUAAAUAAAUAAACAAAUAAAUAAUCCAUAAAACCCAGAGAUGUAUUUUAUAUUUUAUUUUAUUUUAGCCUUAAAUACGUAAUAAUUUAUUAGUGUUAUCCAUAGGAGUUGAAAGUUAUAUUUUCUUGAUGUUAAGGGUUAAAUGGUAACCUAUGGACUUGUAUUUUAUAGCUUUUUAGAAGCACGGGGCUAAAGAGUAAAAUAUGGACUUAAUUUGAAAAGAAAUUAUAGAGGCAGGGACCAUUCUCGUUAAAAUGUGACCAAAAAGUUAGGCUAACCCUUCUCUAACUCUUGGAAAGGGUGAAAGACCAUUUUACCCAUCUAUGGUCUCCAUAAUUCGUGUCUUGACCAAACCCUAAAAGUUAACGGAAGUCAACACUCGUGUUAACACCCCAUGUUGACCCAACUCGUUGAGUGCAUUUAAGCGACUCGUCGAGUUCAUUCAUUUUUUCUGAAGUAUCGGGAAAAUCCAACUCAACUCGUCGAGUUGUCUCACCAACUCGCCGAGUUUUAACGCAUCCAGACUAUCGGGGAAAACCCUAGCCAACUUGUCGAGUUGACUCAUCAACUCGUUGAGUCCCUUCAGUUUAUUCUCUCAUUCAGAAGUUGUUAAGAAGAACUAAGGCCUCAUACUCUAUAUAUAGCCUUCUAAGGCUGAAGUAUUACAUAAAGCUGCAAGCUUUACGUCGAUGCAUGACAUCUAGGGCUCAAAAUGCCAAAACAAGCUAUAUAGAGGAUUUAAUGCAUGAAAGUUGGCCAAUAGCUUGAUAAAUCUUGAAACUUUAGGCCCAAGGAACCUCAUGUUGGAUUAGUGUCUAAGUCAAUAACUAUAAUUGGUAUAUACUUGACCCGACCCGGCAUGGUCCAUUUGGGUUGCAUGGCAUCGGAACAUUUGGGUAGACCUUUUAAUGAGAAGAAGAUAUUUGUGACAUACUAAUAUAUUAUUAUUUCUAAUAUAUUAAUAUGAGAUCAUAUUAGUAUUGACCAAGAAUUAAUUUGGAAUAAAUUUAGUGAUCAAAAAGAGACUAAUUAAAUAUAUGGGGAUUGAUUGUGUAAAUCAUUGAUUCUUAUAUAUGUGGGCUUAUAAUCAAUGAUUCCUUAUGUUGGGUUUAACCCAUGUGGUGGCCCAUGGAUACUCCAUGGAGGUUAAAACCCAUGGAGCAUAAGGAAUGCGUAAAGUCAUAGAUUACAUGGUGUAACCCUAAUAGCCACACUAUAUAAAGACCCCAUUGGUUGGAGAAAUUGGCACUAGUGCAUAAUAUAGAGGGCAAGCCAAUUUCUAUGAACUCACAUCUUCUCUCAUGGUUAUUCCAAAUUUUCAUGGUGUUGUGUGAACUAUUUGAGGUGUCACAUUUGGGGCACUAGGCUCUUGAGCUCCAUGGAAUCAAGCACCAACAAAGAGGUAUGUAUUCUACUAGNUAUAUUAAUUGUACUUCAUAAUAUGCUAGUUAGGAUAAUACCUUGGAAAAUUGAUAUUUUCAUGUAUAAUAGAGAAAACAUAGAUCCAAGGUAUUUAGGGUUGCAUGUACACCAUAAGAGUGUUAAAAUGCUCAUAACCCAAUAGUGGUAUAAGAGCCUAGGGUUGUUUUCACUUAUACUUGAUGAAAACUACUGAAAAAACAAAGAAUUGUGCUGUCUGGACAGGGGACUCGGCGAGUCCAUGAAGGGACUCGAUGAGUCCAAGGCAAAGUCCAUCCAACUUGCCGAGUUGGUUCAUGCACUCGAUGAGUUGGACCCCCAAACAGCAUAUCUUUGAGUUUUGGUGCUGGAAUUGGUCUAGAAUCAUUACCUUUGAUUGUUUUGGAGUUAUAAUACCUGUUUUAAAUGUAGUAAUGAUUAUGUUAAACCAAUUUCAAUUCUAUAAUCAAAGUUUCAAGUUUAUAUAUGUUUAUGUAAUUCUUGAAAAAUUGUUGAUUUAUGAAUGUUCAUGCUUGUGAAUUUUAGUUAGAUCAUACGAAUUAUGUGCAAAUUGUUUUGUUAGUAUAAUUCUUGAUCUUAAUGAAAUUGUAUGGACUCCAUAACUAGUCCUCAAGUUAUGGAUCACCAAAAGUUUUUUUGUGUUACCUUGUUUAUGAGUUAAUUUAGAUUAAUAAAAAAAUUAUGUGUUAGUUGUUUUCAAUCCAUAUUGAUCUAAAAGAAGUUCAUAAACUAUGUUUUUGUAACUUGUCUUCAAGUUAUAUGAAAAUUCAUAUUUAUGAAUCUUAAAACUCAUAAUUAUUGCCAAAGGUUACACAAAAUGAAGAGUCUUAUUCAUUAAAUUGUUUUAUGAGUCCAUAACUUGUCCUCAAGUUAUGGAUAUUUAAGAGUCACUUCUUUAAAAGUGUUAUUAAAGAAUAAGGAGUUACAUAAAAUGAAGAGUCUUCAUUUUAAUGUACAUUAAACUCAUAAGUUAUGAAUAUGAAAGGUUUUGAAUAGUUUCAAAACUUGCCCUCAAGUUUUGGAGUUUGUAAAGUCUCACACACAUUAAUGCUUUAAUUCCAAACUCUAAAAUUUUAAAAGUUAAAAUUCAAACUUUAUGGAUUUCAUUAAAUCAAUUAAAGUGUUUAAUUAAAAGAGUUAAUAGUUCCAUAAAGACAUGUUUCAAGUUUAAUUAAAUUAAGAGUAUAGUUUAAUUAAUAAGAUUAAACCACCAAGUGUUUUAAUUGUAUAAAAUACACUCUUAUACUAUUAUAAUAUUAAAAGUUAAUACUUAUAUAUAUAUAUAUANNNNNNNNNNNNNNNNNNNNNNNNNNNNNNNNNNNNNNNNNNNNNNNNNNNNNNNNNNNNNNNNNNNNNNNNNNNNNNNNNNNNNNNNNNNNNNNNNNNNNNNNNNNNNNNNNNNNNNNNNNNNNNNNNNNNNNNNNNNNNNNNNNNNNNNNNNNNNNNNNNNNNNNNNNNNNNNNNNNNNNNNNNNNNNNNNNNNNNNNNNNNNNNNNNNNNNNUACAAGUUAAAAAUUCAACCCUAUACUAUUAUAUAUUAUUACAAGCUUUAUAUAUGUAUAUAUAUAUAUAUGUAUAUGUAUAUAUAUAUAUAUAUAUAUAUAUAUAUAUAUAUAUAUGUAUAUAUAUAUGUAUGUAUGUAUGUAUGUAUAAGAGUGAAGUCAAUCUUAGCGUUAGUAGGCCUCAAUCACAAAGCUAGUCUCUAGGGGGGGUAUAAGGUUACUACCUAUAAAAUGACGGUUUAAUGAGUGUCCACUCUCACUCACCGCUUCAUUGACUGGUGGAGGGUCGUUAGCCGAACGGGUAGAAUAUGACUAUAAUUCUCCCUUCAUUAAAAGUAUAAUGAUAAAUACUAAGUAACUAAACACUUAUAAAUUCCCAAUCUUAGUAACUUAGGAAAAUGUGAAAAGGUGCUAACCCAUGAAAUUGCACUUUGCACCUUGUAAAGUUGUUAGUGGAUCAUGUGUGGUUAACCGGCACACUAACCUGGGACUGACCAAGUGUGGUAAAGGGUAACUUAAAUUUAUCAUAGAUCGGUGGAGUGUGUGUGGUUAACCGGCACAUCGAUUAGGUGAUAAAUAUUAAGGGUACCAAGUAUAUUUUCAUGGUUAUUCACACCUUUGUUUGUGAUUUCGGCAUCCUAGUCACAAACUUGAGAGGGCACAAUCGAGAUUCAAAUAUGCCAUUGAAAGUUCAAUGUAUCUCAAAAUAUCUAGGAGUUUCAAAUCCAAUUAAAACUUAAUUAUAUUUUGUUUUUCAUGGUGGAAAUUGGUAAAUCGUCAUUUAGCUACCUUCAACUAUUUUAUAACUCGGAUUACAACAUCCCUCUUCCAAAUAUAAGUAGGUUGUUGGGUCCUAGCCUUAAUAUUUCAUAUUGGGUAUUAUAUUAAGGACUUUAAAUCAACUAACUUGAAUUUCUCCCUUAUAGAUGUCUCUUUCAGACAACUAUGGUCUUCCUAAAUUUUUAGGAACAAGCUUCCUAAUGAAGAUGAUAUCCCAAAUGGCAACCAUGGUGAAAGAUCAAUCCCUUUGUUGUGCAUUAGUGGGACUGGAAAUCAUACUUCAUUUCCUCCACCUCCUCCAAUAAAUCUCCUUAUCCCACAAGUUUCAAGACUUGAUAAGUUCUAAGUCACUCAAUCCUUAUUGGCAAGAAAAGUCUAUAUGUCCUUACAUCUUAGAGGUUAAGUCACAUAUUGACAAGCCGGUGUAGUCGGGUGUCGAAGUCUCGAGGUAGCUGGCUGUUGACUUGGUUCUUCAGUCACUCACUGAUGAGAAAUCACGACAUGACCCUUAAUGAUCUUACCUAUUUGCUUGAUGAUGCUGAAUCAGAAAUGAUUUGGAGCAUUGGUAAAGCAAAUUAGACUGGAAGAUCCACUUCACAAACCUAUUUGGACAAUGACAAUGGUGACACUGGAAGUCUAGAAAAACUUUCUCUUCCCAAUUCAAAGGGAUCGGCCAUGGUCAAGUCGUUUGACCUAAUAGUAAGGAGAAAUUUGAAGUCUGUGAUAUUCCCAUACACCAUUUCCAAAGAGUCCAUAUAUUUCUUUUGCCAAUAAAAGGGACACUGGUUCCGAAGCUGCCCAAUUUAUUUGGAAUAUCAUAACGAAGGUAAAGUAAAAAAAGUUUGACUUUGCUUCGGGUAAACUCUAUUAAGUCUCUUUUUGAUAUUCUUAAUACAUGAUGUAAUGUAAUUACAUUUUGAAGUUUUGGAAGAAUCAAAUGAAGCUUAAAGUAUGAUUAUGUGGAUUCUGAUCGCGAAGAUGGAUUUCAAUCGCAUGGUCCAAUGAUCAGAAUUUUGAGCUGCUGCAUAAGAGUUAUGAUAUAUAUUGCUUAGGAAUAGACAAAAAAUGUUUUUCAUAUGUAUUUGCAUUGUAAGGAUAAGUUUUUUCCGCAAGUUUUAAAAUAAAAGAAAAUUUUUGUUUUAUUUAUUUUAAGUAUCCUUACAAUGACAUUUGUGAAAAAAUUGUUGUUUAUAUGUUUCCAUUGAUAAGCAUUAUUGGUAAAUGGAUUUGAUUCUUUCAUUUGUGGUAGUAUCAUAAUUUACCAAAUAAGGAAAGAUUCUCAUCACCCAGGGUUCAGUUGGAUAGAAACUUGGAAUCAUGCAACUUGUAUUGUAUGAUGAAUGAGAAAUUUUCAUCAUUGGGAAAUUAAGACUAAUUCCUUGUUCACAUGUACAUGUGAGUCAGUAAAAGGACUCAAGGAUUGGGUACACUUGGGUGUGCGCUGAUCAGGUCCACCACAAAGACUAUUCCUCAUGAUUUACGAAAGUUUAGUAAAUAUGGUUAUGCUUACAAGUUUAAGAGUAAUUAUGAAACAUUGGAAAGGUUUCAAUGUAUGACAGAACGGAUAAGAAGAAUCAAAUAAGGCAGGAAGAUAAAAGUUUCUCCAAUAUGAAGAGAUGGGAGAGUACUUGAGCAUCUUGUUUUAUGAUUAUCUUAGUGAUUAUGAAACCAUAUCACAAUUGAUCCUCUAAGGACACCUUAGUUCAUUUGUUUGGCUAAGGAGAGGAAUCAUGAAUUGUUGAAAUGGUUAAAUCAAAAGACAAAUCAUACUUCGUUCCAAAAUCAAAUCUUAGAGUCAUACUCCAAGACUGAGCCUUGAGUGACAUAAUCUUAAGAAAUGUUUAAAAAACUUGUCAAAUGUAGAGUAAAGUGUUUUCUUACUCUUGUACAUUUGAAAUUGGUAAGUUGUGAUGUUUUGGAUAAAAUAAAGACCAACUAAGGCCAAUUGUGUGAAUUGUUUGUCUUGAUUAGAAUCUACACUAUCUCUUAAAUAUUUGGCAAGAGAGUCUUAUAUGUCAAGAGGACAAUGGGGGUCUAAAAGAUCCUGAAAUAGUUUGAAGAACUAAUCAAUAGUAUUGUUAAUCACUAGCCCACGACCUUCAGUCCAUAUGUGUUUGGAUUUGCCACUAACCUUGUCUUGUGAUUAUGAUUAUGACAAAUUCACAUGGAUGGGAACACUUACACCACAUAAAAUCUAAGUGUCAUAAGGUUUCUCUCUGAUUCAUGAAAAUGAUGGUGAUGAAACGCUUUCACUAAGUAGAUUUUAAGUAGAUAGCAAUUGUGAUAUUUGCAUUCUCAAAGUCGUUAGUGGAGCGUGUGUGGUUAACUGGCACACUAACAUGGACUUGUGAGAAAUGGCAAAGGUCUAAACAAUUGAGACUAUGAUUAUGACAUCCAUUUUCAUAGUUCUGAAGUUUUUUAGACACACAUGUGUGCUAUCUAAGGAAAGGUGUAUGAUUUUGAUAAAGUUUUAUCAAAGCAUCUUGUAUCAGAAAUCUGAACUUUGGUAAGGAAGUCAAUAAAGUAUUGUACGUUUUUCAAGAAGUCCAGCUGAUUUCUGAGUACAUGUCAAAGCUAGUGGGAGCAUAAGUGUUAUGCUAGUAAGAUAAUAAUCAUUAUGCUAGUGGGAGCAUGAUGAUUAUAGUUAGCAAUGUUAAUUAUUGACAACAAAAUUUUCAAUUCUCUUUGAAAAGUUGUUUUUCUAUAAUUAAGGGAGAUGAUUUUAUACUUCAUUCCAAUUCUACAAGAUUAGAUUGAGAUUUUAAUGAACUUUAGUCAAGGAUAUAUAUGAAUGUUAUGUUGGAAUGGUUCAACAUAAGGAAAUUCUAUAUAUGUUGCUUUUCCAAAAUUCGAUUAUGAUUACGGCCUACCUCUUCAAAGUUUGAAUUAUCUGAACAUGGCAAAUAAAUUUUUUUAUAGCAAAAGAAUGGUAAAGUAUCAUGUCUUUAUGUAAGACAUCAUGAAUUGUGUCCCAUAUGCUUCAGGCAUAGGAUCGAUUACAUGUGCUAUAGUAUUCAUCCAUUCUAAAUUUUCCUAAUGCUUAGGGCAUUAAGAAGGAAAAAGGGAUUAGAACUGGAUAUGACUAAAAUGAUUAAGCAAUUGUCGAGGACAACUUGAGGCUUACCAAAGAUUGGUUACUUAUAGACAAUUGGAAGUAUAUAGUAAGGACCAUAUUGACAUAUUUUGAAAAGAGACAACUCUUGUUCAGAAGUGAUAGUCAAAAUGGUAAUGUGGAAUUGUUUCCAUAGGUGGAAGUUAUUCUUUGAAUCUGUGAAAGAUUAGAAAACUUAAUGCAAAGAAGGAUGUUCAAAGGAAUGUACUUUGAAUUUGAGAUUUCAUUUCCAUGGGAUUGCUUUCCAUUGGAGUACUCUGUAAUAUAUGUUGCCAAGUCUUUGUGACUUUGUGCAUAAUCAUUACAAGGGGAUCAUUGCAUAUAAGUUUAGAAUCUAAUAGAUUAUAGUGAAUGGGAAGAGUUUGGUAUUCUUACAUUUACAAUAAGGAUUGGAAUUAUGAAAUAAGCAUGAUUGAAAUGAUGUCAAUCGAUCUGUUCUAGAAAGAGAGGACCAUAUGUAAACAUAGUAUGCAUACUUGGAGUAUGGCAUAGCUGUUGUUUAGACAAACAUAGUGUGCAUGCUUGGAGCAUGGCAUCACUACUGUUUUAAUUCAAGCAUUAAGUUGAUUAAUCGAAACAUGAAUAAUGAGUAAUCUAUAUGGUUCUUAGAUAAAAUAUGUUUUAUUUACACUCAAAGUGUUGAGGCCAUACAUGAUUAGUAUUAUUUUUGUGUUUUACUUUGCAUGUUUUGACUUCUAGAAUAACUAGUUCAUUCUUCCCGAAUGACUAAGUUAUUCAAACCAUCCACAGUCGGUCAUAUGUUGGAAGUAGAUAUGAAUCAAGACUGUCAUGAAUCUAGCUUGUAAGAUUUGUCUAAUGUGAAUUAGACAUAGAAAUGGUUGCUACAACAUUCAUGACUGCUCAUAAGUUCUGAGUAUUGGAUUAAACCCACACUCAUUUGAAUCAAUUCAUGGAUUUUAUCAUGAGUGAAUCAUGAGAUGAUAAUAUCUUAUACUCUUCAAACCUAGAGAUAUGAGUUGUUGACUAUGAGUUGGUUAUACAUUGAUUGCACGAAAACGCAUUGGUAACUCGAUGUUAUAAAAUGUGCCUUUGUGUAUAAUUCAACAAGUAGUUAGUACAAGCAUAUGAGUCAAAGUUUAUCCAUUCCUUUUACCCUUAAUGGGAUAAAAGCGAUAUAUGUGGGCCCCUCGAUGAUUUAGUGAUGGCACCCAUAAGUGCUUGGCCAAGCCUGGACUGAUUUAAUUUGUUCAAUUAGUCGGUCGUCAUAAAUCAGACAUCGGGAAACAACAAAUGGACAGAGAGAAUGAUUAUAAUCCAUGUCUCAGUCCAUAUGAUAUCUAAAAUGCAGGAAUAUAUGAUCACUUAUCUAAUGGACAUGUCAUUGAUUUGUUCAGAGUUUGCCAGUAGCUUUUAAGAACUACGAUUGUCGGUCAUGUUGUGAAGUUAUACUUGCAAUAAUAGUUAUUAGACUUAUCCAAGUGGGAGACUGUUGGAUUAGUGUCUAAGUCCAUAACUAUAAUUGGUAUAUACUUGACCCGACCCGGCAUGGUCCAUUUGGGUUGCAUGGCAUCGGAACAUUUGGGUAGACCUUUUAAUGAGAAGAAGAUAUUUGUGACAUAUUAAUAUACUAUAGGUUCUACUAUAUUAAUAUGAGAUCAUAUUAGUAUUGAUCAAUAAUUAAUUUAGUGAUCAAAAAGAGACUAAUUAAAUAUAUGGGGAUUGAUUGUGUAAAUCAUUGAUUCUUAUAUAUGUGGGCUUAUGAUCCAUGAUUCCUUAUGUUGGGUUUAACCCUUGUGGUGGCCCAUGGAUCCUCCAUGGAGGUUAAAACCCAUGGAGCAUAAGGAAUAGGUAAAGUUAUAGGUUACAUGGUGUAACCCUAAUAGCCACACUAUAUAAAGACCCCAUUGGUUGGAGAAAUUGGCACUAGUGCAUAAUAUAGAGGGCAAGCCAAUUUCUAUGAACUCAUAUCUUCUCUCAUGGUUAUUCCAAAUGUUCAUGGUGUUGUGUGAACCAUUUGAGGUGUCACAUUUGGGGCACUAGGCUCUUGAGCUCCAUGGAAUCAAUUACCAACAAAUUGGUAUGUAAUUCUUCUAGUUUUAUAUUACUUGUACUUCAUAAUAUGCUAGUUAGGAUAAUACCUUGGAAAAUUGAUAUUUGCAUGUAUAAUAGAGAAAACAUAGAUCCAAGGUAUUUAGGGUUGCAUGUACACCAUAAGAGUGUUAGAAUGCUCAUAAGCCAACACCUCAUACUGUCCAGAUCUGAAGUUUCAACUCCAUGUCAAGAUCAACAAUUUAAGGACCUAAAGAAAGAUGGAAAAAGGGCCAUAAACUCCCAAGUGAAGAGAUCUAACCAAACAAUGAUCAAGGUGAUAGCUUUUUACCUCCAAUUAGCAUCUAACACUAAAAGAACAAUGGAUCCACGGGACUUCAUACUGUCCAGAUCUGAAGUCUCAACUCCAUGGCAAGAUCAACAACUUAAGGACCCAAAGAAAGAUGGAAAAAGGGCCAUAAACUCCCUAGUGAAGAGAUCUAACCAAAAAAUGAUCAAGGUGAUAUAUUUUUACCUCCAAUUAGAAGCUAACACCGAAAGAACAUUGGAUCCAAGGGUUCCUUCUCGCUCUAAGCCUUUUGCUCCUCAAUCUUCUUCCAAAAAUGCACAAGAACAUACAAUAUUAGCCUCUCUUUCUCUCACAGAUGGAUAUAGCUCGAUUAGGGUUUCUCUCAAUGUGUCAAGGUGAUAAGGGAAGCGGAAAUGAAGGCUUAAGGUCCUUUAAAUAAAGUACAAACCCUAAAAUUAGGGUUUUCACACUCAGCUCCUACUCGUCGAGUUGGGGUCCUCCUACUCGUUGAGUUAGGGUCCUCUAAUUCAUCGAGUAGACUCUAAAAUCACGUGGCCAUUAAAACUCUCUACUCGGAGAGGUCGUGCCUCCAACUCAUCAAGUUGCCUUAACAACAUGAAUAUUAAUUAAUUAAUUAUUAUACCUGGGAGUCAGGAUGUUACAAUUAGCUUAUCACGGUAUUCUCCUUUUGCAUGUUUGAAACCCACUUCCCGAGUAUUAGUUUACUCAAACCUCCACAUUUGGUCAUACUUUUAGAAGUAAGUAGUGGUUUAAUACUGUCAUGGAGUUUUAGUAUAUUGUCUAUAUUAUACUGAUUAGGCAUAGCAUAGAGACUGUGACUAACGGUCAUGAGUACUUAAUGAAGAUUUAAGUAUUGGAACAACUCGCACUUAUAGAUUACUUUAUGGAUAAAGUCACAAGUAAUUCUAAGAUGAUAAUAUCUAUUCUUCUUCAAACAAAGAUAGAUAAGGCUUUUGCUUUAGAAAUCUAUUAUGCGUUGGCCUUCUCCGAGGAUAUUUGUAGUUGGUACUAAUAAAGGGUAUGUCCAUGUGUGACAUGGUGAGUAGACAAAAUCUAUGUAAUCAAAUUGUAUUUGUUCCUUCUAUCUUGAAAGGAAAAGAGAUAUAUGGCUCCUUGAUGAUUUGGUGUUGACAUCUAAAGUGCUUAGUCGAUCCUUGAAUGAAAUUGAUGUGUUCAAUUUAGUAUCCAGAUGUAGUUAUCACAAAUAUUUAUUGGAAAACAUAAUAUUAAAUAUUAAGAUUGACCAUUAUCCAUGUCUCUGGUUCAUAUAGAUACAUUUAAGAACAAAUCAAUUGUUGAUCAUUUAUCUAAGCAUUGAAUCUUGAUUUGAUCAAAGUCAGUUGUUGCUUUAGAUACCAUGCUCUUUAUUGACUAUUUGAGAAGUGUUAGACCUUGUACUGUUGAUGACUUGUCUAAGUGGGAGACUAUUGGAAAGAGUGUCUAAGAUCACUAACCAUUGGUAAUAUUUUUAAUAAUAGUAGGGUCCUUUUGGGUUUCCCUCAUAACCGAUCUAAGUAAAAAGAAUUUAGGAGAAAUUAGUUUAUUAAUUUUUCACGGCUUGAUAAAUUAAGAAUUAAUUAACUCAAGAGGUUGAAUAUUAAUUAAUUAAAGGUUAAUGAUUGGAAUAAUCCAUAAUCAGUAAGGGAUAUGGUAAAGGACGAAAUUGGAUAGGGUUUAUCCAUAAUUUUGGAGUUGCUUUAGGACUAAACAAUUGAAGCCAAUAAAUAGGAUGUUGAGGAUCAAACCCUAUUUUGUUCAUUCUCUGCCCCUUCUCCUUGAGGUCAUCGAAUUUCUUAACCUGUCAAGGGUAGUAGAAAUUUCAAUCUAGCCUCUCUCCUAGUUUUUUUUUCUUUUUCUUUUAUUUUAUUUUAUUUUUAUUUUUUCUCUUUGGUGUUCUUGGGCGUGAACCAUUAUAAGGAUUUCAAUUUGGGUACUCCCAUCCAUGAAAGGUGUCAAGAACAAGGUUUCAAGCAAGGAUCGAGAUCAUUGGCUUCUAAAUAGGUACAUAUUUUUUCUUAAUUAUUUUAGUAAUAGCAUUAAUAGCAUGAAAUCUAGAUCCUCUCAGUUGCAUAAACACAUAGGAAUUAUUGUUUCUUUUUGUUGCACAUAAUUGUGUGUUUAGAUGUAGAAAACCUAUCAAAACGAUAUACAAAGGUUGAAAUUUUUUUGUUUUAUAAAAUCAAGUCUUUAUCAAAACCUCCCACAUAUAUUAUUUAUAAAAUCACAAGUGGACAAAAAAAAACAUUACCUUCUUCUAAAAGGAAGUGAAGAUGAUGGUGGGCGUGUUGUCCUCUAUUUGUUAGGCUCUCAUCGUAUUUCACUUUUUGUUGGUUUUAGGGUUCCUUUUUGAACCAUAUGAAAGUGCAAUUUUUGAAGUUUCGAUCAAUAAAAGAGAGACGAUGGGAACCCAAAAUUGAGUUGCGCCAAUGAUUUGGCUUUGUAGUAUGUCACCUUUCUUGAUCAUUUAAUGAAGGAAUUUAAAUAAAAGUUAUAAAGUGAUGGUGAUCGGUUUGAGUGGUCGUCGACGACGGUUGGCGACUAUAAAUUGGAGGUUGGUAGGUGGUGUGACUAAAAGAGAUGGGAAGUUCUGGCUUUGUACAUUUUUUUCGUGUUAGAAAAGUGGGAUGAAGAUGAUGACGGUGGUGAUGUUGUCAUAGGGUUUCUGAAAACUAAUAUCCCUAAUUUAAAGGGUUAUUAUUUGAAUUAGAUUUUUACCAUAAUUAAUUUACAGAUAAGAUUACUAUUAUACCCUUUUAAGAAUUAUUAAUUACUUAAUUAUUUUUAAAUUCUUAUUGUGUCCUUACGUCCGCAUAAUAUUUAUUCAUCCACAAAUGAACCUACCUACCUACCUAUAUAUAUAUAUAUAUANCUUACGUUAUUUUGUUUUUACUAACUAUUGUGUGCCAGAAUGCACAGAUCUGGACCACCGAAUAGAAUAAAAUCAAAUGUCAUGAUCUGAGGGUCUAUGAUCUUAUAAUAGGGUAACAUGUACCAUAUAAUCACCCAAAUUUCAGCAUAAGGGCAUUUUAGUCAAUUAACUCUCAUUAAAAUAGGAAAUUUUCGGAUUUUUAAGGAUAAUUAAUUCAUUUAUUUUUAAAAAUCUAAAUAUUUUAAAUUAAUUCAAAUUUGAAAAUUCGAUUUUAUUCUGUCAGAAUGACAAAAUGCCAACCAUAAAUUAGUAAAUAUAUUUUCGAUUUUAUUCUUGCAGAAUAUAUUUUCCAAUGCAUAUAUUUUUGAUAAUUAACCUGAUUUAAGAAUUCUAUAUUAUUAUUCAUAUACAUCCAAGUUGGGUCUAUGAUUUUAUUCUUAAUACACAUCCGAAAUAAAAUACAAAUUCAUACAUAAUAUCCUUAUACAUUUUAAUAUAUUUAUACACAUUCUAACAGAAUAGCAUCAAAAGAAUGAAUAAAAUUCUUAAAAAAUAGCAUUCUUGAAUAUACUAUUAUUGGACAAAUACACUUGAUCUUCUUCAGUGGUCCAUAUAAUCCACUUGAUCUUUGCAUAUAUACUUGUUGUUGAACUCGAUUCUAAAUAUUUCUCUUGUAUGAUCAAUAUUGAAUUCCUUCUUCAACCAUUCUGAAAGAAUAACAUGCACUACUUGUUAGUAUUACCAUAUAAGCAAAUAGACUUGUUGUUAACAAACAUUCUUAAAGACAUUCUUAUAGAAUGCAUUUAUAUAAAUAAAUUUUGACAGAAUACACCACGAAAUGCACUUAAAUCAUAGUUUUUUCUUCUGUAUGACAAAAAAUAAAACAAACUUUAAAUCAUAGCAUAAUGUUUUUUACUUAUUUCUAUCUUGCAACAUUUUUUUUUCACUUUUCCUAUCUUUACAAAUAAGGAGAUUGAAAUUGAAUUCUAUCAGAAUAAUAGGCAUCAAGUCGAUGAGUGUUACUAACAUCAUUCUAAAAGAAUAUUAUGUUCUCUCAUUCUGAAAGAAUUUGCAGAUUUAAAAUAACGUUCAUUAUAAAUUAUAUUGGUGGAAUACCAAACUUUCCAUGAGUUUACUAUAAGAAAAUCACCUAGACAUGUCCCGUAUGAAGAAACUUAAUAGGGCAACAAAAAAAAAUCAUUAUUUAUAACCAAAUAGAUCACAAACAUGACUAAAAAUUAAGUUGACUUUGAGAGUCAAAUGAAUACAAAUUUUAAUUAGUUAAAAGGUAAUUUGUAAUGGAAAUGGUAUAGUGAAAACUACUUUGUACUUACCAGAAGGAGAAUGCUUCUUCCUUUUCUUGAUUUGUCCAACAAGAUCAUGCCAACAAUAGUGAUAUGAAUAUGUAUUUACCAAUUAGUUAUGUAUUAACACGAUAUGAAAGAAAUGAAACCAAGAAAAAAAAACUAAGACUUAAUAGGGAUUUCACUUGCAUAAAAUCUAAUUCCAUUUAUUCCACACAAGUGUUGGCACGCCAUUAAUCCAACACCAAUCUAAAACAUACGUAAACCAAAAACAAAUUAUAAUUGAAUAAAAUUUACAAAACAUGAAAAAAGUUCUUAUGCUUACAAUAAUCAUCGCAUCAAACAAAUCCAAUACUCUAGCAUAGGAAGUUUUUGAAAAUUAAGUGUAGUCUCCCAUAUAAACAAACAAAGAAACAAGCCCAAAUUGUCAAUUUACGUUUGCACCUUUUUUCUUCCUAUCACUUUUCCUCCUACUAAUUGAAAAAAGACACUACUCAGUUAUUAUUGAUUUUGGUUCCUGCAUAAAUACAAACCUUGCAGUGCGCAUCGACCAUAUCACUUGCAAAAGCCUUACCAACACCUUAUCUAAUGCCUGAUGUGGACGGGUGCGACGAAGCUGAAGGUCGGCAACGGCAACGCUGAUGGAGGCAAUCAUGAUAACCAAGUGUAGGGUUUCUUGAUUAUUAUAGGCUCUGACUUUGAUAUCUUUUGUUUAAAGGGAUAAUAAGUAUUUUAAAUAUUUACCAUAAUUAAAUAUAGCAAAAAUUACUAUUAUACCCUUAAAGAAUUUAUUUAAUUAUUUAUUAUUUCCUAAAUUCUCAUUGGUUCUUAAAAGCACAGAAUAGUUGUUGAAACAUUUGAACCUAACUCUCUNUGUAUGUAUGUAUGUAUAUAUAUAUAUAUAUAUAUAUAUAUAUAUAUAUAUACGCUUAGGUUAUUGUGUUCUAACUAAUUAUUGUGUGUAUGUAGGAAUGAUUGUAGGCCAAUCAUUUUACUUAUUUUAAGAAACUGAUUAAUAAAUAUUAUUGAAUUAAAAAUAAUUGAAAAGUAUCAUCUAAUUUCAUUGUAAGAGUAUUUUAGUCACUUAACAGAAAUUCAAAAAAGGAAAAUUGCGAAAUUUAGAAAAUAAUUAAUUCUCUUAACUUUAAAAAUCCAACUUUUUUUAUAAUAAUUAUAUUAAUUCAGACAUUCUAAAAGAAUGUGUUGACGAUUAUCUUGAAAAAACAUUAUAUUCUGACAGAAUACUAUAAACAUAUAUUAUCAAAAUUAAUAAUUUUUAAUGAAUAAAAAAUUUAUAUGAGACGAAUUUUAAUAGUUAAGAAUCUGUAAUUACAUUCAUUCUUAAAGAAUACAACUAUGAACAUAAAUUACAUUCAUUCUGAAAGAAUACGACUAAUACGGUUAACAAUUACAUAUAUUCUUAAAUAUUGAGAAUGGAUAAAAAUCAAAUAAAACAUUAAAAUCUAAGUAAAGCACUAAUAAUUUGUAAAAGAAUGUUGUGGCAAAUUCCUUCUGACAUAAUAUAUUACUAAUCCCUUCUAAACGAAUAUUGUUGCUACUUCUCACAUAUUGACACAAUGUAUUCCUAUCUGAUGUGACUGUCGUGAGAAUAAAACGCUUUUAUCUUCAUUUCAUUACCUGCAAAAAUAAUAAGAGCAUUAUGUGAAAAACAUAUAUCAUAAUAAUAAUCCCCCAUAGGUGCACACUUUUAAAUGCAAAAGCUAUCAAAUUGCUAAAAUUGGGUAGUGCAAUGAUCUUCUUGUCUUUAGAGGCUACUAUAUAGGAACAAUGGUACUUGGUUUCUAUGGUUUGUUCAUUUGAUUACUCAAAGUUAUAAUCAUUAGCAUAUGACAAUGCACACAACGAUCACAUAAAAUGUGCUUAGGACUAGAUGAAGUGAUGAACAAAAGAAGAAAAUGGCAAAGUCAAUGAAGGCAAAGUGCCAAAGUAAACUUAUCAAUCUGUUUAGCUUAACCAUACCCAAUUUCCGGUUCAAAAUUAGCAGAAUCAGUUCAACUAAAAACAAUUUUGUGACAACCCGUUAUUUUCUAGCCUUUGAAGUCAACAAAAGUCAACCCAUGGUCAUUCACGUCCAAUAAAAUUCAAAUUAAAAAGCGUCCAAAAAUAAAAUGUUAGAUAAAUCCAAUAUCAAUGAACAAAGUGAUCGUAGUCGUAACAAGGGUUCCGAAAAUAUAAAGAACACUGAAAUCUGAGUUAUAAAGAAGAAGUUAUGACCCAUCAAAAUUUCGUGACAGAACCGGCACGACACCAUAUGUCAUAAAAAGCGAGUUUACAAUAAAACACUUUUUUUAGCCUUAACAAUCUAAAUGAAAGUUGUAGAAUACGUUAAAACGAGAGUUUACAUAAAAAGAACAUCUGAAUCUGACUUCGUAUGAUGAAGUUAUGAAUUUUCUAAGAUUCAACAUAGCAGUGUACAACCUGAAACUCGAAUUAAAGAUUGAGAUAUUUUUAGCCAACACAAUAUAGAUGAGAAUAGAAGGUCUUGUCAAUAGUAGUUCAACGGUAAAAAGACAGACGAAAACGGACGUCUGAUAAAGAAGAUAUGAAUUUUAACAGUCUUUUCGUGUCCCGGCCUGUUAAAAAUAUAAUAUUAAAAAUAAAUUCAAAGUUAGCCGACGAAGUCUAAACAAAAGUUUUAGAGUAUAAUCUCACCUACGUGUGGAUAUAAAGAACGUCAAAAGUUGAGUUCGUAUGCGAAAUAUAUGAAUUUUUGAAGUUUGAGGCAUAAUUUUCGAGGCUGGACCAGAGGUGUACACCCCGCGUACAAGAAGUACGCCCAGCGUACUCGGAAACAAGGCUAGGAGCCGGCCACAUCACCCUUCCCUCGCACCGUUGACACGUAUCUCGAACGUUUGACAUUUCCGAAGCCCGGUAUCCGAACACGCGCCACGUAUCAUGUACGCACAACGUACGAGGGUACACCUUGCGUACCGAGUACGCUCAAUGUUUUGUAAUUACGCCUUGAGUAAUGCGAGGUUCAGCCAACCAUAAAAGGAAUGCGAGGUCUCCGGAUUUGGUUUACAAAUUCCACUUCUCCUUUCACUUUAAACACCCUUUCAAGCUACUUUUAACCCCCCGAAGCCUAGGGAAACCCCCUAACACCCGAAGAGCCCGUAGCCCCGAAGUCCACGAGAAAAUAAUCUUUUCCGGUCGAAACUAUGCCUGUGUAGAGCCCGGUUUUCAGCAAGAUUUCCCGGUAUCACCAAGAAAAACCAUUAAUAGCAACGAAGUGCUGCCCAAAUCUUCAUCUUAUCAAGUGAGUUCAUACCCCUACUUUUACAUGUCUUUUUCCACGUUUUAGGGGGGAAUACAAGUAAACGCACGGAAACUCAUGUUAAACUACAAACUUUUGCUAUGGUUUUCUUACAGUUGUUAUAACUAUUAUAUGAAAACAUUAGCAUGCGAAACAUCUUAUGACACCAACAGUCAUAAGUUUAAAUGAAAGAUACAUCUUAAACUAUAAUAGGUAUAGUUUUGGGAAACAUUCACAUUAUUUUACUAUUUCAGGGAAAAGAAAAUGAUUAUAUAAGAAUAUGAUUAUUUUUAUAUAUUACAAAAAGAGUAACAAUUUCAGCUUACUUUUUUAUAUGUUAAGGGGAGGAAUACAAGUAUAACACAAGAAAUAUUGUGAUUAAAAAAAUAAAUUGUUUAUUACAUUCUCUUAUACUUUAUAAAAAAUUUAUACAAAAAUCUAAAUAAACGUUAUUAUCAAACUUUUAAACUUUUUAAGUUGUAAUAAUAACAAGGUUUUAUUUACAUAAAUAACAUGCAUACAAACUAUAAUAGGUAUAGUUUAUAGAGAUUACAGGUUAUUUUUCUAUGAAGGAAAAAUGAUAUGAAAACAAGCAUAUAAGUUAUAAUAAGUAUAAUUUAUGAGUAGUUCCACAAUGUUUAUCGUAAUCGGAUAUAAAUAAAAAGUUACAUUUUUAUUUACAAAAAGGUUUUUCACCGUAUUACUCGUGAACUCGUUGUUAGUGGUAGAUUUGUGAGACAAUGGCUUUUCGUUGUACCCACGAAAGUCCCCACUUAUGAACCAGAGUCUCCUGAGGGAGAGCAUGAAUUUGUGUAUAGAUCUAUACAGGACUGACGAUCUCAUGCCCUAAUUGUUAGCUACAGUCUCUGAGGUAACAAAUGUCAUAACAUUCGAUGCCUGGAUAAUAUCACAUCAGGCAUAUCCCUCAUAAAAGUAUGCUUAUAAGAACUUACAUGGCGGAAACAAUGACUUAUUCACAUAGUAAUAUGCUUCUCAAACAAACUUAAGGGGUAGUAUUUAUAUGAUUACUCUAUAUGUAUCUCAUAUGUACUAAGUAAUCAUAGUAAAACUAAGUAUGGUAAUAUAUUUACACUUUUCAGUCUUGGAUAAUAUUAGACUGCAACUCAACUUAUGGAAAAUAUAGGAUUUUCUGGGAAAACUAUCAUUGUUUUACAAGCAUAUAGUUUAUGAUUCAACUUUCUAAACAUAUAUAUUUUGGUUUCAAGUCAUAAGACUACAUUCCAUUUUAUUAAGAAAAUAUAGGAUGUUUUGGAUAAACACUCGAAGGUUUACAAGAAACAAUGAACAUAUUCUCUUAAGCUAAAUACUUAAGAACUCACCAACUUUAAUGCUGACACUUUUUCAAACCAUUUGUAUUCUUAGGAAAGAUAGUUGACAGGUACUCUCUCGGGCAUUUCGAAGAGGGAGCAUAGUAGCAUUUUGUAUUAUCUUUUUCUAUAGUAUUAAUGUUAAACAAGUAAUGUUUUGAAUACGAUGUAAAUACUAUGUUAUGAAUACAAUGGUUGUUGCUUUGAUUACUAUUAUACAUUUGUUGUGACAUUGUACAUGACGUCCUCCGCCCCCGAACGGUUUCGCCGUUCCUGUUUCGGGGUGUGACAAAUUUCAUGUUCGAAAAAUAAACUUAAAGUCUUUAAACCAAUCUGAUUCACAUUAUUGGCUAUUCAACAAAAUCAACAAACAAUUGAAUCUUAACUUUAUCAAAUCCAGCAUUCUUGGGAAUUCUUAGAUGAAAAACGUUAAAUACACAAUGACAUAUGUUACAAAACUAAACAAAAUAAAGUUUAGAAUGUUAAGAAAGUUACCACGAUCAGAAUAAUUGUUCUGGGUAGAAAACCGAUUUCUAGGGUAGGACAAUAACGAAAACGAACUUGAAGCACCAAUCGAAGAAAUGCAAUCUGGAAACAAGCGGACUGAUAUAGGAGGGAUUCGAUGGUGACUGAGGAUAUGGUAGCAUUGGGGACAAUGGAUUUGCCAUUCAUAAUGGGUUCUAUUUUUGUUAGGAUGAGAAGUAUGAAGGAUGAGUGAACUAAGAAGGGAGGGAUGCAACAAAUUAGAGGGUUUGAUUAUUUUUUUUUUUUGGGAAAGAAGAUCGUGAAACCUGUAGCAGCAGGGAAGAAGGAGGAUUGCGACGGUGAUGGAGUCAUCCGAGUUAAGAACACAAGAUGUAAAAGAUCGACAGAGAGGAGGAACCAACGAAGGAAUGAAUAAACCAAUGUGAGAUUUAAGGGGGUAGGUUAUAGAGAUGGCAACGUGAAUCAAGGGGAUAUCCCUUUAAUUUGAUUAAUUAACAUAAAUAAUUAAUGUGUGAUAUUACUAGUUUACCCUUAUUUUAAGUUUUGAAAUGAUUGAUCCAUAUUUAUUCUUAUAUCCACACAAUAACUAGUUAGAACAUAUUGACCNUAUAUAUAUAUAUAUAUCAUACAUACUUAUAAAGCUAGCAUUUUUUCUUAAAUCUUAUGCAUUUGAAACCCUCUUUUUUAACUUCCUCAAACCACAUUCAUUUGAAACCCCCUUUUUUAACUAAUGCAACUCAAAAGUUUUCUUAAUUAUGAUUUAACACUCAAAAGUUUUAUAGCUUAUAUUAUGUUUAAUUAGCAUUUAGUGAAAAGUUGACAAUAAAAAGGCCAAUCUUUUGGGAAAACAUGCAUACAAAUCAUAUACAAAUUUCAGAAAGAAAAAAAACAAACUUAAAGGUUUUUGUGUUGGAUUGAGGUCUUAUGACCACUUUUGGAGAUAUGUUAUUAUAUUAGAGCUUUUAAUUUGUAAGUUUGUUAUAAUAAUUCGUUUUUAUAUUUUCUUCGUUUUUGGAUUAUUACUUCUCAUGAGCUUUUGGUAAAUCAACCAUAAAGUUAUUUAUAAGUUAGAGCAAUUAACUUUGUUAACAUGUAUGUAUAUUUAUUUUGUCUCUCUCUUUUUAUGUUAAAAAAAAUAUUUUAUGUACAAGAGAACAUUAUUCAACAUGCAUUUUAUGGUAUGUAUAUACUAUGUUAGUUUCUAUUUCUUAUUUUGUAAAUAACAUCGAUGGAGUAAUUUACCUUUAUAUUUUACACUACAUUCAAAAGUUUUUUACACUUAUGGUUAUUAAUGUGCAAUGCUUUUUUAUUUUCCACUUAUUUAAUAUACACAUUAUAGCUAUAUUAGUAGUAUAUAAGUAAGUUUUGAUUAAAGUAUCAUAUGUUUGAAAAGAUUUGUGAUUCAAAAUGAAAGAGUUGAAAAAAAAGUUGUCAUAGUUACUAAUCGACUUAUUUUAAAACUCUUGAUGACAUUUAUGUAUAAUGAUAUAUUUUGUAUGACUUCAUUCUUAAUUUCAAUGUUGAAUAUUUGAAAGUUCAUAUAUGAAACUUUGGAUGUUUUGGUGUAAUAUAAAUAGUAUAAUACAAAGUUUAUUAGUUCAAUAUUGUUUAUUAAUAGCUCAUUCAAAACAACUUAUUUCGUAUUUUUUCCAAAAAAAUAUUAUCGGAUAUAAGAAAGGUAGAUUAUAUUAAUGUUAUACAAAUAUUUAUAACAUAUAUUAGAUAGUAUAAAAGUAAAAUAAACGUUUAUAAGGUAUGAACUAUAUUAGAUAGUAUCAAAAUAUAAGUUGAUGGAUUUUUAUAUUAUUUGAUAAUUCGGUUAAUGCGCAAAACAUGACUAAAAACGUAAAUUUCAACGUAUUUCUAUUUUUUCCCAUAAUUAUUUCAACCACUUAAAUGCAUUGCUGCGCAACGCGAGGUUACGCCUAGUGUAUAUAUAUAUAUAUAUAUAUAUANUAUAUAUAUAUAUAUAUAUAUGUAUUACAUGCCAUUGUUGAAAGCCUUCACACACCUAACCCACCUUUGGUGUGAAUGGCAAAAUUUAUGAUAUCGGGGACUUAAAAACCUCUGCCAAAUUACAUUAUACUUUGGAAUUUUUUUUUUGAAAUGACAGACUAACUAAUCUACUCCUAAAUAACCACCUAUGUCUCCACCGAGACUUGAACCUCUGACCUCUCAUAUGAGAUGGUCACUCCAUACUACUAAGAAGUCAAAAAUAAUAUGUAGAUAAGAGACUGCACCUUUCUAGCUAGCUUUUUCUCAAAUUUGCAAAGAACACCACCACUUUAACAUAAAUCCAGUCUUUGAAGCUAUCAUAAAAAUUAAAGAAAGCAUCUCCCUCGACGGUUGAGAAGUAAAGUGCCACAAGCUAUCCAAAAUCCAGUGGCAAAACCCAUGCCCCCACCAAUAUAAAGCCAUCCCCGAGGUUCAUCACCCUCGCUUUUACUAAGUACCGAUGAUGAUUCUGAUUCUCUAUCUCCUUCUUUAUCUCCUGGACAUUUUUUUGGUAAGAGGAGGUCCACAUAGUCUUGUGUUUCCAUCAUAUCUUGAAGGUUGAAAGGACUGGAGUUGAGUGCUCGUUGGGAUUCUCCCUGACAAGUUAUUAAAUGAAACGUCUAGAUAAUUCAAUAAAGUCAUUUGAGACAUGCUUGGUGGUAUAUGCCCUGAAAAACUGUUUCUGGAUAAAUCUAAAGUCAAACGCUUUUUUAUCUCACCAAUUUUUUCUGGAAUCUCUCCAAAUAAAGCAUUCUUUGACAAGUUCAUGACAAUUAAGUCAUAAAUAUUGGUAAUUUCAUAUGGGAGUUGUCCUGUUAGUUUGUUGCUUGACAGGUCAAUGCUCUUCACCAAUUUCACAGUGCUAAAGAAUUCACGUUCAUCUCCUUGCCACUCAAUCAUAGCAUGGUCAACAUAUAUCUCAGGUUCAUAUGAAUACCUACUUUCAAUUUUAUAAUGAUCUAAACCUUGUGAGAAUCCUUGUUGAACCAUGCUCGUAAGAUUACUGAAACAUGAGGGGAUGCUUCCAUGGAGAUUGUUCAUUGACAAGUCUAGAAUUUGAACAUUUUCUAAUUGACAUAAUUCUAAAGGGAUGGUUCCGAAGAAGUUGUUUGAUCUCAGGAUAAGAACAUACAACCCCGAUAAAUUUUCCCCAAUCCAGACAGGAACAUUACGAGAAAACUUGUUGGCCCCCAAAUUCAACGACUUUAGACUUGUGCAAGUUUUUAAUGACAAAGGCAAUCCUCCAGAGAAGUCGUUCUCGUAUAAAUAUAACACCUUGAGUUGUAUCAAAGAUCCAAUGGAGGGAGGAAUCCGUCCAAAGAGAUUGUUGUGUCCAAUAUUAAGAACUUGUAGUCCUUUGAAACGCCACAAACAGUCUGGGAGUUGUCCGAUUAAUGAGUUAUGAGAGAGGUCAAGAAAUGAUAAGAACCCACCAACAAUUUGGCAUAUAAAGGAGAUUCCUCCAGUGAAACAAUUGUUUCUGGAAAGAUUUAAUGUUGACAAAGUGGAAGAAACAUUUGGUAUCGGACCAGAAAACCUGUUGGAACUCAAAUCUAUCUCUGAAUCGUUGGCAAAAUUUGAUGAUAAAUCCAGUACUGUCUCGCUAAUGUUGUUGGAUGAGAGAUUCAGAUAUUGUAAUUGAGAAGGCCACAUGUCCCAAAACUCGAGAGGAGCUGUGUCUGAAAUUCCAGUAGUAGAAAUGUCAAGAACGGUAAGAUUUUUGAAUGUCUGAAUCCAUUUGGGGAAGCGAGGCCCUAGCAGCUUGCAAGACCUCAGAUAAAUAGAUUGUAGAUAAGAAAGGCGUGACAAGUGGUACUUGGAAGGAACUGUAAGAUUAUUAUAAGAAAGGUCAAGGUAUUCAAGCCUUGGUAGUUUCCAUAAUUUCUCACUUAUACUUCCAUUUAAUUGACUACGAGACAGGUACAAGUAUUGUAGGGAUGAAAACUUUUGAAUCUCAUCGGACAACGACCCUGUAAAUUUGUUGUCUCGAGCAAACAACCCUUGUAAUAUAAGUGUUGCACGUCCAGACAAGUUGUGGAGAAAAUCAGGAAAUUUGACAACACUAGAGUUGUUAUUGAAUUCCAACUGCUCCAAACUACAGAGGUUACCAAGAUAUUUGGGCAUCCCAUCUAAAAUAUUGUCAGACAGAUAAAGGCACUGGAGCUUAUUGCUAGUUAAUGGGAACAACCAAUGAUACAUGGAUGAUGUGAGAUUGUUACCACUAAGAUCAAGGUCUUCAAUAGAUGAAGAAGAAGAAGAGUUGAGAAAUGAAGAAGAAUAUGGAUACAUGACUUGUGACAGCUCACAUCUCCCUAAACUUAACCAUGAUAGUUUUGGGAGACUCAGAAUUACAUCUACCCAUUCAUUUGCUUUGGCUAGGGAAAUUCCAUCCAUUUGAAGUUUCUCCAAAUGAGAGAGACGAGAUAACCACUCUAUGUUUUCAACUCUACAUCCUCCAACAUAUCUAACGGAAAGCACUUGCAAGUUGGUGAGGUUUCCAAAAUCUGGAGGAAUGGUUCCAUAAAGAGAGUUAGAUGAAAGGUCAAGAUACCUUAAUUCUCUUAAGGAACUAAUGGACCUGGGAAUGGUUCCAUUCAAAAAAUUGUAGUGAAGAUCAAGAUGAUUUGAGUAGGUUAAGUUUAGCAAUGAAUGGCUUAACUCACCUCCAAGUUGACCAUACCUAAAAUCAAGCCCUAUGACACAACCUGUUUGGUUGUUGCACGUGACUCCACUCCAUUUACAGCAUUCAUCAUCUUCUACUGUCCAUGAAGAGAGACGACCAUCAGGGUCUUGAAGGGGAGCUUUAAUUAAGGAGGGCAAGUCUCUCCUUAUCCAAACACUUGUUCAUAAUAACAUUAUGAUCAUGAUCUCCUCCUCCUCCUCCUCCUACCACAUCUACCAAUUGGCUGGCAGUUGUAGUAUCAAGGUUUAGCAAAACAAGUGAGAAAAUUAUAAAAAAACAAGGAUUCAUAAUGUAAAUCAAAAUCUUUGUGAUUUUUGGAUUGUAUUGAUGCAUAUAUGCACUGCCCCCAUGAGAGUUUAUAUAGUCUCCACUAUGAAGAUGGAAGAUUGUACGUGGGUGGCCUCAAUUGGUUGAUACUUGUGUGGGGCACACAUUACCUAAUUGCUUUGAAAUUAGAACCAUGCUAUAAGAAAAAUCAAAGAUGAGGAUUGGAAUUAAUUAUUUAAUUACACGUUCUUAGACUUAAAAGUUUUGGCAAUUUGUAGUUAAUAUAAAUAUCUUUUCUCAUCUUGUGAUAUUUUGCGAUUUGUAUCUAUUAUCAAUAUUUUUUGCAUCACACGAUUUUAAUCAUUCAAGAGUUUUCUAUUGCAAUUUUGAUCUUUAUUUGAGGUUGUUAUAGCGUUUUUAGUUCCUAUACAGAGUAAAAUAACUAUUUUUGGGACCAAAAUUGCAAACAUCAUUUACACUUAGGGACCAAAAAUUGUUAUUAACUACUUCAAAUAACAACCAAAAUUGCGAAAUCAGCUUUACUCAAGGACCAAAACUGUAAUUUUACUCUUUUUUUAAACUUUCUACGCUCCCAAGAAGUAUUGGAUAAAGAUUUCACAGUUAAAUUUGAAACAAUAAUCAAGUAAUUUUUCUCAUCUAUUAGGAGAAUUCGAAAAUAAUGGUAUUUUAUAAUUAUUACCUUUUAUUCUCAGCCGUUUCUUUCUCAUGUAGUCAUCCAGGGGCCAUGUGCUGCAAAUAAAACAGACAAAUAAAUAACAGAAAACAAAAUGAAAAUUAUUCAAAAUUCGUCUUACAGUUUUUAUAGUAUUUACAUUGACUUCUUAUUGGAUGCAUACAUCUAUUUGCAGUUUGUUGUUUGGUAGAAGUGUUGUCACCAUUCUUCAUUCACCAAAACCAGAAAAAAAAAAAAAAAAAAAAAAAAAAAAAAAAAAAAAAAAAGGUAUUAGUUAAUGAUGCAAAUAUGAAGAGUAUUUGUAAUAAAUAUUUAAAAAUAAAUAAAUAAAUCACCACUGAUAUAUCCUUUUGGUCAUUCAUCUCACGUACUGCAGCCACUGCUUGAAGCUCCAAAUUCAUGGUUUUAAGCAAUGCAUCUGUGCAGGUGAGUUGAUGUUGCAGUGUUUUUAACUGUGAUGACCAAAAAAGUAUGCAGUAAGUUACAUUUUUGUUCCCUACUACGGCUGAUUUAUUCAAUUUUAGUCUGAAAAAGCUUUCUUCCUUGUAAUAGGUUCCAAAUAAAAUGACUAUAACUAUAGUCAGCUAUGGACCAAAAUGUUACAAGAACCUCAAAUAAUGACCAAAAUUGCAAAAAUCAGCUAUAGUCAGGGACCAAAAACAUUUUAUUUUACUCUGAAAUAUAUGUAACAUACAGAUACAGAAAUUUUCAUUUUGCAACAAAACUUACCUUCUGUUUAGCUAAAUUAAAUCAGGUACAGAUACGGAAGUACAAUGUUAAGUAAGAUGCUAUAAUACAAAAAUAUAUGACAAAUACAUUGUUACUUCUUGCAUUUAACCCAUGAUGUAAUCACAAAAAUAAAUCAUCAACCACAGAUCUUUCAAAUCCUAAUGUUUUUACAAUGGUUUAAUAAGUGUAAAAUUAGUACAUACAAAAUACAAAGAAUUACGGAGAAUUAAUUUUUUUGUCUGUGAUAAGCUUCAAAAUGAUGUUUCUAUCACUCAACAAGAUCUGGGUCAGAACAACAGCAAUGUUUUAAUUUGGAUGACAACUGACAAGGGUUCACAUCUGACAUACCACAGUUUGUGUAAUUCUCAAAUUGAUGUUUUCAUCACUAAUUGCUAUAGAUCGUUUUUAUAAUUAAGUUCAUAUGUUGUUUGUAAUAUGCAUAAAUCAGAAUAAUGCAUAUUAGUUUAAUGAACAAAUGUUUGUAUGCAAUGUGGGUUAUCUAAGUUGUAUAGAAGAAAAGAAUAUUACAACAUUGGUUUUUGGUUUUUAAAACUGAUCCCUACAAAAACAGACCAAUAAUUAUUUUGGUUUUAAAACCUAAACCAAAACAAAUCGAACCAAACCAUGUGCAAAAUCCAAUCAUAGUGAAAAACUAAACCAUAUUGAUUUAAAAACCAGUACCAAAACGUAAUUAGCUGAUAAGUUGUUUUUCAGUGUUUGACCUCACAUCUAUUUACCAAAACAAAUCUAUCUUUGUCACGUGUACUACUAAAGAUUCAUAAGAUACCAUAAGAAUAUUAACAGUGUCCAUGUGUGAAAGCAAAUUUUAAAACAACGUAAAUGCUAAUUUUGUUUGAUUUUUCAUUUUGCAACUGCCUGUGCGUGUCAGUGUGUGUGUGCAUUUGAAGAUAUAUAAAACGUCAUUCUAGAAGAACAUUACCUCACUUACCAAAGACAUUCUAAUCCCAUCUUGUUAAGGGCACACACAAAAUGAGGUUCUCCAGGUAUUUGAAUGCUAACAUCUUCUCAAUUGCUGUCUUCCUCUCCACCUAAAUCACUUCCAUUUACAUCAUUUUCCACUUGGUCCAUACUUUGCACUUCACUAUUACCUGAAAGGCAUUAGCAUUUUAGUCCCAACAAGAUUCUAAUAACUUCCAUUCGACAUAUGCCUGCUUAAACAAUACAUAUAUAUAAUAGAAAUCAAGAGCAAUACCCCUGUUUUGGCGAAUUGAGCCCGUUUUACAAGAUACAAACCCAGUUAUAAUUACUAACAGCCUCAUUGUCUCGAAAUCUAUCAACAGUCAGUACCAUUAGUCAGAUCAAUAGAAGCAACCAACAGUUUAUGCCAAAAAUGCUGCAAAGGAGCAAGAAAAUCAUACUUUGCCACACCCUCAUAAAAAGGAUUAAAUAUAUAUAAUUAAUAACAAAAGGGCUUCUGGCCCUGGUAUCAGGUGGUGCCCUUCCUCUUUCAGGUUGAGGUUAAAGUCUCGUCGUAGACAUAGGUGAAAUUAGGUGUUAGCUUAGGAUUAGAUAUAUUUGUCGGUUCAAAAAAAAUUUAUUAUAUAAUUAAUAAAAUAUUAAAUGACAAGAACGGUCCCUAAUCUUUCCCAAAGGUUGUAAUAUUGAUCGUAUAGAGUGAAAGCUUCCUAAAAAUGUCCCUAAAGUUGUUUACUGUUUCAGAAAUCGUCCCCCUCCUUAAACCCAUUUCAGGCAUCUUUCAGCAUAAGUUAAACCCCCCAUAUACAAAUAAAUUAAAGUACGUUGCUAUUUAUUGUAUUUAUCUCAACAACAUUAACUUUAAAAAAUAUCAAAAAUAAAAUGAGGUAUAUCUUUCACCUUUUUAUUUAUGUUUUCUUUUGUUCGAAAAACCAAAAGUUUUUAAUAAGAAAACUAGCAAGGAGAGAACUGUAGAGAGUAAUACAAAAGAUUAAGAUUGGCUCUUUUAUUACAAAGAGACGAAAACCACGAAUAACUAAUUUACGUAACAUAAUCAAAUACAUUCCAAACGCAUCACCUUCUCUAAAGACUAUGUCACCGUACAUCCAAAGUAGUUAGAUAACAAUAUGUCGAAACAUUUGCUAUCCUUUAGGAGUUAAAAAUAACAUUUUUCUAGUUUACUUAAAAAAAGUAUUUAUCGGGCAUAAAUUUUUCUUAGAAAUCCUCCAAAACCUUGUAGCGACAACAAAUUGAAGAACUGAUAGAUGGAAACAACAUUUUUUUAAGGAAAAAAACGGUAUUAAAACCCGUGUCAAAUUUAUUGAUAUGUUGAACUUAAAACCCCCUCAAAUUACAUUAUAUACCGAUAUUAAAAGCCAAAACUAAAAAUUAGACGAAAACUACAUCUGUCUAGCCUUUUGUAAAUUUGAAAUGAAUGCCACUACCUUCACAUAAACCCUAUCUUUGAAGUUAUCAUAACAGUGAAAAAAAGCAUGUCUUCCACGACGGUUGACAAGUAAAGCGCCACAUGCUAUCCAAAAUCCAGUAGCAAAACCGGUCCCCCCACCAAUAUAAAACCAUCCCCAAAUUUCAUCUCCACCUUCCCCAUCACCCACACUUUCACCAACGACAGGUGGCACUUUUAAAUCUUCAUCAUCAGGACAUUUUUUGUUAAGAGGAGGUCCACAUAGUCCUACAUUUCCAUCGUAUCUUGAAGGUUCAAAGGACUGGAGCUGUGUGCUAGAUGGGAUUCUCCCUUUCAAGUUAUUAAAUGACAUGUCUAGGUAAUUCAGUAAGCUCAUCUGAGACAUGCUUGAUGGUAUCUGCCCUGAAAAAUUGUUUCUAGAUAAAUCCAAAGUCAAAAGAUUUUUCAUAUCACCAAUUUUCUGUGGAAUAUCUCCAAAUAGAUCGUUGUUUGACAAGUUUAGAGAAAUCAAGUCAUGAAGAUUGGUAAUUUCGUAUGGGAUUUGUCCUGCUAAAUUGUUGCUUGAAAGGUCAAUGCUCUUCACCAAUUUUAGAGUGUUAAAGAAUUCCCGUUCAUCUCCUUGCCACCUAAUCAUCGCAUUGUCAACAUAUGUCGUCCAAACAUAUGUUUGACCUCCUUCAGUUCUAUAUACCUUUAUAUCUUGUGAGAAUCCUUGUAGAACCAUGCUCGUAAGAUUACUCAAAUACGAGGGUAUGGUUCCAUAGAGAUUGUUCAUUGACAAGUCUAGAAUUUGAAGAUUUGCUAAUUGACAUAAUUUUGAAGGGAUGGUUCCAAUGAAGUUGUUUGAUCUUAGGAUAAGAACAUACAAUCCUGUUAAGUUUUCCCCAAUCCAGACAGGCACAUUACCAGAGAACUUGUUGGCUCCCAAAUUCAACGAGUUUAAACUCGUGCAAUUCUUUAAUGACAAAGGCAAUUCGCCAGAUAAUUCAUUCUUGUAUAAAUGCAAUACCUUGAGAUUGAUCAGAUAUUCAACAGAGGGAGGAAGCCUUCCAAAGAGAUUGUUGUGCCCCAGAUUAACAAUUUUUAGUUGUUUGAAAUGCCACAAACAGUCGGGGAGUUGUCCAGUUAAUGAGUUAUGAGAGAGGUCAAGAAAUGACAAGAACCCACCAACAAUCUGGCAUAUAAACGAGAUUCCCCCAGAAAACUUGUUUCUGGAAAGAUCUAAUGAUGCCAAAGUGGAAGCAACAUUUGGUAUUGGACCAUGAAAGUUGUUGGAACUCAAAUCUAUCACAGAAAGGUUGGCAAAAUUUGAUAAUAAAUCUGGUACUUUCCCACUAAUGUUGUUGGAAGAGAGAUUCAGAUAUUCUAAUUGAGAAGGCCAUGUGGCCCAAAACUCGAGAGGAGUUGUGUCUGAAAUUUCAGUAUUGGAAAGAUCAAGACUGGUAAGAUUUUUGAGUGUAUGAAUCCAUUUUGGGAAGUGAGGCCCUAUCUUACAAGACAUCAGACCAAUAACCUUUACAUAAGAAAGGCUUGACAAGUGAUAUGUGGAAGGAACUGUAAGAUUAUUAGAAGAAAGAUCAAGAAUUUGGAGCCUGGGUAGUUCCCACAGUUUCUCACUUAUACUUCCAUUUAACUGAUUAUCAGAUAGGUACAGAGAUUCUAGGGAUGCAAACUUCUGGAUCUCAUCGGACAGUGACCCUGUAAAUUGGCUACCUCGAGUAAUCAACAUUUGUAAGGUCAAGGACGUGCAUCCAGACAAGUUGUUGAGAAAAUCAGGAAAUUUGACAACAGCAGAGUUGUUAACGAUGUACAAACGUUCCAAACUACAGAGGUUCCCAAGGUAUUUGGGUAUCCCAUCUAACAUAUUGCCAGAGAGAAGAAGAGAACUAAGCUUAUUGCUGGUUAAUGGAAGCAACCAGCGAUACAUGGAUGAGUUCAGAUUGUUGUUUGUAAGAAAAAGGUAUUCAAUAGAUGAAGAAGAGUUGUGAAAAGAAGAAUAUGGAUACAUGACCUGUGACAGCUCACAUCCAUCUAAACUUAAACUCAACAGUUUUGGGAGACUCGAAAUUACACCUACCCAAUUAUUUGCAUUCGCAAGGGAAAUCCCAUCCAUUCUCAGAUCCUCCAAAUGAGAGAGAUGAGACAACCACUCCAUGUUUUCAACUCUACACCUUCCAGCAGAAUCAAGAUGAAGGUAUUGCAAGUUGGUGAGGUUUCCAAACUGUGAAGGAAUGGUUCCAUAAAGAGAGUUACUGGAAAGGGAAAGGUACCUUAAUCGAGUCAAAGAACCAAUGAAAGUGGGAAUGGUUCCAUGAAAUGAAUUGUCAGAAAGAUCAAGAAGAUUCAAGUAGGUUAAGGAAUGGCUAAUCUCACCUCCAAGACCAUCCUGUGAAAAGAAGUUGUUGAGUUCAAGCUUUGUGACAUGACCAGUUUGGUUGCUGCACUCAACUCCACUCCAUUUACAGCAGUCAUGUUGGUCAGAUCUCCAUGUAGAGAGAGUAUCAUAAGUGUCGUGAAGGGGAGCUUUGAAGAGAAGGAGCGCAAGUCUCUCAUUAUCCAAACACUUUUUCAUAUUAACACGAUUUCUAUCAUCUCCUCCUUCUCCCACUGCUACCAAUUGGCUGGUAGUUGCAGUCACAAGGAGUACCAAGAAAAGUGAGAAAAUUAUAGAAGCACAAGGAUUCAUAAUUUAAUUAAAAAUGAAAAUCUUGGUGAUUUUUGGUUUGUAAUGAUGCCUGCCUAUAUGAACUGCACCCGUGAGUGUUUAUAUAUAUAGUCUCGACUGUGAGCAUAAGUGAUUCUAAACGGGUGGCCUUGAAUUAAUUGUGCCGGGGAUACAAUAUUUAAUUCCCAUGAAAUUAGAACCAAACUAUAAGAAAAAAUCAAAGAUGAAGAUUUGAAAUAAAUGUCUCAAAUUAGUCGUUCAAAGACUUGCAAGUCUUGACAAUUUGCAUAUAUUAUCUAUAUCUUAUCCGAUUUCAUGAUAUAUUCAAAGACUUUAAAGUGAUGUUGACCAUCACCUUUAUUAAAUACAAACAUAUAAGAAUGUAAACGCAAACAUUAAACUGACCACCAAUUUAACAACAACUAUUUAAUAAAUCUCGUAUUCCCAUUCCUUUGUUAAACAAUUUAUGUUUAUGCUAUCCUAAGAGUAUUUUUAUUAAAUCAAUUAGAAAAGUUUUAGCGGAAACAUAUAUCUAAUUUAUCAUAUCAAUUAAUUCAAAAUUUUCGAACAGAAACAUAAACCCAGUAUUCAACAGAAACGAAAAAAAAUUCAAACAAAAUCAAAAGAAACGUUAUUCAACAGAAAAAAUAGAGAACAGGGAUGAAGAGGAGAAAUGCGUUGAGUAUUAGUGACGGAAAACCAAGAAGAUGACAACGGUAGCUAGGCGGCGUCUUCGACGGCAGUGGGGAGGUAAAAAAGCAAAAAAAUUAUGGAUAUUUUUUAGCAAUAUAUUAUAUUAUAUGGACUUGUUCGCGAAAACAUUAUUAUAUUUAUUUAUUGGUUAUGUAUAUAUCAACCUGAAAGAUAUUUUUAUAUUUUUAUCAUACAAUAACCAUUUAUGUUGCUAAAAAAUAUCCAUAAAUUUAUGUGAUUAUUUUUUUCCCACAUUAAUAAAAAAUAACCUCAUAAUUUAAGUUAUUAUUCCCUAAUUUCAGUACUUGACAUCAGAUCAGUGAUAAUUAAUGUUUUGCAAAAACGACAGUUUUGAACCCUAAUCCAAGUUUGAACCUUGAGUUUAUUAUGCUUGGAAAAUAUAAAAUCUAUUCAUAAUUACAAAAGAGUUUCUAAAAAUAAAAUAUUUAUAAAUUUCCAUUUGUAAUCACUAACCUCUCUAGUCUCUAAAGACUUUGAGUGUGUUCUUGGUGAACGUGUAUGUGAGGUGACUUUAAGCAAGACUUGAAGAUAAAACAAAGAGUUUGUUUGUACUCUCCAACAUAAGAAAACAAGGUAUUAGAUCAAAGUUGAAUAUUAUGAGCAAACUCAAGAACCUUAAGUUUAAGGUUUGGACAAAUGAUGACAAUGUUCUUAAAUAAUCAUUCUUUGAUCAUGCAUCAGCCUAUCAUUAAGUGGGAUUGGUGGUUAAUUAAAGAACUAUCAUAGAUUUAAAAAAGAUACAAGUAUUUGAUGCAUAACAUGAAAUGUAUAAGUUGUAUAGUUUGGUAAUAUAGAAUUUCAAAUCAUGUUUAUGAGUAAUUAACAUGUCAUUAGUAGAGACUGGGAAACUAAUCAUGUAUUAGUAUGAGUUUGAAGUUGGUUUUAGUAGUGAUGUAUAGCGUAUAUUGUUACCCUGCAUGAAAAGCAUGAUCGGGGAUUAUGAAGCAAAGGUUUCGUGCAUGAUCGGGGAUCACGAAGCAAAGGUUUCGUACUCCUGUAACACCUAGCUUUCUUUAUAAAAUACAGAACAAAUUACUAAAAUCGUCCUUUUUGUUUGAUUAAAAUUUCAUUUUUGGUUUUUAACUUUUUUUUUUUUUUUUUUUUGCAUUGGGACUGUUCUCAAAAUAUAAUUUUAUUGCGUUUUUCGUCGCUAUCCGGCCUGAAAAGACUAUACUUCCCUCUCUAAUUUAUUUUUUACUUGUUUCUAUUAUUAGUUUUAUAUUUUUUUUAAUAAAAAAAUAGAAUGGGCCCACACUCAACUCUUUGUCUUCUCACAUGUUCAACCAUCUUUCACUUUACUACCAUUCACUACCAAUACUAUGCCAUUACUCACCCACUAAGACUCAUUAUCACCAUCUCCAAUGAGACUAGAAGUCCGACAAGACCAGAACGUCGACGAACAUCACACGUCAUCACCCACCACAUGUCACCCACCUCCACCAUCUCUCCCCGUAAAUCGGUAAACCCUCAUCAAUAAAUCGGUAAACCACUCACCUCCACCAUUUAACCCCCUAAAUUCUUCGGCGAGUCCAUAACGACGACGAACACCACACUCACCCUUACUGUGCUUUUUCCAUAUCUUUCCUCCAUUGGACUACCAAUAAAGAUCUUAAAUAAAAAAUUAGAGAUCUACAACACAAGAUCUUGAACUCAAAUCAAAAUUGGAGAUAUGCAAUAUAAGGUCUGGAACUCAAAUCAAAGAUCUUCAUUGUACUUGUAUCAUAAAUCUCCCAACACCAUCAUCUUCUUAUUAAAAUUGGAGCCACCACCACCACCGUGUUACUGAAAUGGGUGAUUUUCUGAAAUAGGAGGCACCACCACCAUCGCCUUACGUAAACCAAGCCAGAACCAUCAACGCUUCUGAAAAUCGUCUUUCAUUUAUAGGAUAUCAUCAAAUUUUUUCUUUCAUCAUUGACUUGAGGUUGGGGUUUACGUUUUGGGUUUUGAUUUCUAUAUUUGGUUUUGAUUUCAUUUUAUGUUCUGAUUUAACAAUUUCGGGAGUUGACUUUGGUUAGAUUUUGAUUUCGGGAUUAGACGUUGGUCUGGUUUUGAUUCCUUAGAUUUGAUAUUGGGUUGUCAAAUGAUGAAACUGAUGAUGUGGGCGAUGGUGGUGUCGGAAUAGGUGUAUGGUGGUCGUGUCAGAAUCGUUGAGUGGUAGUUGUCAGCAACUGUGGUGGUUGUCGAUGAACGGUGAAUGAAGGUGGUUGUGGUGUAAGUAGGAGUAUGAGUGGGUCCCAAUAAAUCACUUAAUUGAUUUUCAUAAAUCAAUUAAUAAUAAACAAAUAAUAAAAAAAAAAUAGAAAAUAUAAAGGGCGAUAUAGUUUUUUUUAUCUCUACAAGGGACAAAAAACGCAAUAAAAUCAUAACUUAGGAAUGGUCUGAGUGCAAAAAAAAUAAUACUUAGGGACCAAACCAAUAGUUUUUACCAAACCAUAUGGACUAUUUUAGUAAUUUGUUCUAAAAUAAAAUAUUAUAGUUUUAAAACACUUUCUGGCAUUAAACCAUAUUUAUUAAAAUAUGGUCCCGAAAGUUUUCAUUACAAAACAAAUUCCAAUACUUUAAACCGGGUAUUACAACUGAUACAACCAAAGCCAUAGUAAAGAAAUAAUUAGACAUACUCAUAGAAACUAUGUCCAAUUUCUAUCCUUUAAAGCUCAUUUUAUCGGUGCAAAAAAACUCUUUUACAUUUCAUAUCGGACUUGGAAUACAUGGCAUUUAAACAAAACAUAUGUAAGACAAUAAUGUCUCGUAAGGCAUAUGGGGUUAGACCCAAAAUAUUUACAAUAUAGGUAAAAAUUACCACUUUCAAAACUAGAGAACUCUUUCAUAUCUUGAAAACACUUUGAUAACUUGUAAACUUUUUUAUAGCCUGAAAAUACUUUUAUAACUUCUAAACUCUUUUAGAGCUUGAAAAUACUUUUAUAACUUGUAAACUCUUUUAUAUCUUGAAAAUACUUUCAUAAAUUGUAAAAUCUUUUAUAGCUUGAAAAACAUUGAGACUAUACAAUGCAUGUCCUCACUCAAUGCAAACUUGUGGGACUUCACAAAUCUUUUAUCUUUUUUUAACUCAUGGAUAUGUGUUGAAUAUGGUGUCGAAAAGGACAAAAGUUGUGAGAAUAUGUCGAAUAUGGCUUAUCAUGAUAGAUGAAGAAAUCAAUCUACCAUGAUAUAUGAUUUGAAGUACGAGAGGUAUUAUCCGAGUAGUAUCUUGCUAAUCCCUUCUGUUGUGGCUCGCGUGGUAUUCAUUUUACUCAUUUACUAUGCAAUUUACUAUUAUGAUGUGUGAUCACACUUUUCUUGCCAAGACUUGAUCACACAUGAUGCUACGCUUUAAACUUAAUCAUAACAAUUUGGAUAGUAAUAACAUUUUCAUAUAAAACAUAUACUGGUUGGGGGCAAGCUAAGACGUCGCCUAGGGCCCAACUUCCAAUCUGUUAGUAUUUGUAUAUAAAUUACAUUGUCAAAAACAUUAAACAAACAAGUUACAGGCUAGUUGGUAAGGCGCUUCACAUCUUUAUAAUCAACCUUGGUUCAAUUUUAGCCUGGAACAUAAUUGAUUACUUUUUGCUAAAUUUAAUGUUUCUAAUAUUACAAUGAAUUUUAAAAUGAUAAUACAUAGAGCUUGUCCGACAAUACUAGCAGGUAGCGGGUAGCAUUUGCUUUUGGAGUGUUUUGAUGAAAGCUACUCCAUGUAGCUUUUGAUUUUGGAGUGUUUUGUUUAGGAUAAAAGUUAAACGCUCCUGUUGCCAAACAAGGCUUUUUUUUACUAACGUUUUCCUAAAAGCUAGAAACCAAAAGCUCCCAAACGGUGCAUGUCGAACACGCCCAUAAUUUGUAGCCACCUUGGUAAGAACCUAUGAAAUAUGCACACAAAUCCAUGUUCANNNNNNNNNNNNNNNNNNNNCUAACUUAAUUUAUAAUUAUACAAACAUAUUUAAAAGAAUAAUAAACAUUGUGUACAAGUUACAUUUUGUUGGAACUGAUUUAUACAUAAACCUAUUUUUAUAAAGAAAAGAAUAACUCGGAAAACAAAUUACAAUAUUUGAGUUUAAUUUAUUAAUUUGUUUAUUAAUAAAAUUGUUUUCUAUAAUAAAAAUAAUGUGUAGUUCAGUUAGUCAAAAAAGUUAAAUACCUUGCGCAUUAACAACAAUAUUAUACUUAACUUAGCUCAAAUUUAAAAGUGAGUUUUUGAUAUAUUCAGGGGCACUUUAUUUAGUUUUUCUCCCAGGCCCCAAAUAUGUAUGGACCGACUUUGGUCAAAACAUAAAUCAUAAAGCUUGUAAAAUACUUUUUCCUUACAAUACAUUUUGAUAUGUGCAUAUUUAAUCAUGUAUAUCGUGCAUAUUUAUAAUACUUUUAGCUACAAUUAUGCUUAUUUUGGGACAUAAGGUACUUAUUAUGUUUAAAAUAUGUUUUUUAGUAGCAAAAACAUGCUCGGGAUGAAAAGGAAAAAAAACGAGGAGCUGGAAGCAGGAAAAUUUGGGCUAAGUUAAAAAGAAGACAAAGAAUGCAUAAAGUCUGAAGCCUACAGCGUGGUCACUAUAUUCCAUGCCACGGUAAACGGAAGAAUCACGAUCAAUCAUCUGACUUGGAGAAUACGAGAUUUAAGAGAAGACCACAAUGUGGUGCCUAUUCACUAUGCUGGUGAUCAAGUUUAUGGAAACUAUAUAUAUCCGAACAUUAUAUCGAAUGUAGAAACUUCUGGCUGAUUUUCUGAGAGGGAUUGUGACUAAAACCCUCUAGAAAACCUUGGGAAAAUCAGGACUCAAUUGGAGCUCAAGAGUUGAAGAGAUCUAGACGAAAUCAACAUAGAUCUAUUAAGUUUGCUAGCAUUACUCAUGUCUAGUCUUAAUUACAUUGAUUUAGUGUGCUUUUCUGUUGUGAUGAAAGGCUAAAAAUUUUAUACUUCGGUUUGGUGAAGAUGAACCCAAAUCUUAUGUGUUGAUUUCAAUUUAUUGAUGUUUUACAUUGAUUUUACUUGUGUUUGAUAAUAAAAAUCCUAACAUGUUUUAGUUCUAGUAUGUGAAUGCCUUGCUAUGAGUUUAGUGUAGAUGAACCCAAAUCUUAUGUGUUGAUUUCAAUUUAUGGAUGUUUUACAUUGAUUUUACUUGUGUUUGAUAAUAAAAACCCUAACAUGCUUUAGUUCUAGUAUAUGAAUGCCUUGCUAUGAGUUUAGUGUAGUAGAUGAUCAUUCUAUUUGCAUGAACUUGUUUACCUAGUGAUUUAUGAUCAUUAAAUUGCUAUAGCUAGGAUUAAUCACAUCUUAGAUUAGGUAAUUAAAGCUAGUAACUUUAAUUUUGUUAGAGAGCAUAAUAUAUCUUAAAUUGUGCUUCCUUGCUUAACUUAAUCAUAGCAAAGUAACUAUUAGAUUUAUCAUUCAUAGUCCAAUUUGUGCUUAUAUCGAUUUUGUGUUUAACCUAUGCUUGAUCAUUGCAUGGUAAUUCAUAAAUUGGUACAUCUAGGUAUUUGAUCAUAAUAACUAGUAAAUUAAUGAAUUGGUAUAUCCUGAUAGCAUGUGUUUGCACCAUAAUCCAUUGACAAAACAUUGUGAAGUCUCAUCAGCUUAUGGUUUUUUAUGUUGAAUCAAUAACUACUUUUAUUAGAAGAAUCAGGAGAAGAAUGGUAUGAUACAUUUAAUACACUCUAGUGUUUUGGUGUACCCAUCGACAUAGAGUUUCCAAGCUCUCAUUAACAUUUGUUAUUAAAUGUAGAAUCAUAAAACUUUAAAUAAGAAAAUUGGCCAAGAAUGGAUUUAUGCAUGUGAUAGUCUAUGGUAGAUAGACUAACCAUUUGCACCUAUUUUCAAGAUCUCAUCAGUGUAUGGUACUUUACACUGAAUCAUUAAACUUUAAAGAAGAAAAUAAGGCAAUAAUGGAUUGGUGUGUGUGAUAGCCUACACUACAGUAGUACAUAGACUAAUCAUCGACACAAAAUUUUCAAGCUCUCAUCAGUGUAUUGUAUUUUACGAUGAACUAUGAAACUUUACAGAAGAAAAUCAGGGCAAUAGUGGGUUGAUGUGUAUGAUAAACAAUAAUACAUAGUUUAACCAUCAUCAUAGAAUUGUAAACUUUCAUCAGUAUGUGGUUUUCACAGUGAGUUGUUAAGUUCUGGUAAGAAGAAGUUGAGAGAAAUGGAUGUUUCAGUCACACUGAAGUGAAAUCAACGUGAAUGAUAAAAUAGUUUAAACUCAUCAACAAAAGUGUUUUCAUCUUCCAUAUCAUAGAGUUAAGUGUCAGUUUAAAAUAUUCAAUUCACCAUCAAUUUGUUUAAUAUGGUACAAUACAAGAAUGAAAGAAGAUAAGAAAAUGGAAAACAACCAGAAUACUUUAAAGAGAAAAUUUCAAGCUUUUGCAGAAUAAUCAUAAAAAUGAUUGAAACAUUUUGCAAGAGCAUCAUAAAAGUUUAUACGAAAAAUAUUUUGAGUUGAAUACUCAUAAAAGAGUUUCCUUUUUCAAAGAUAUAUCUUAUUAGGAAUUAACUUUAAAAGAUAAGAAAUUAGCAUCUCAAACCAUAAAAAAAAAUACUACAAACAAGGGAAUAGACAUAAUUCUUAUCCAUUGAUAGGAUAAGAGAAUUGAUGAUACGGUCUUUGUAACCAUCGAGUUAAAAGUUUCUAAUAUGUGGGAGCUUCGAGAUGCCGAAAUCAACAGGGAGGUAGUUGAGGUUUUAUUGAAGGUACUUGAGGUUUUAUUGGAUUAUGAGCCAGUAGAUGCACGUAGGAGUAAAUGUAAUAUCAGUGACUGCUUGUAACCAUGACAUAGGAAGGAGGGGUAGGAGAGCAUCGUCAAGAAGAAGAGGACAUGAUUCAGUCUUUCACUUCAUAUCCUCAUUUGCAUAAGAUGAAGGUGGCUGAGGUGACAUCAAGGGCAAUCAGGAAAUUCACUAAGCCUCUAGCUCUUUUAAUAUGGAGUCAAGUGACAAUUCUGAGUGUAAACGUCACCAUUCAUUACUUACGAAUUGAUAGUUGCAACCAUUUCAAGAGUAAGAAGACGAUUCAAUCUUGCAACUUCGGGGAUGUAAGAAAGAUAAGUGAUGCACAAGAAUGAAGAUACAUGAGAAAUAAAUUAGAGAGGCAAAGAGAUGAAAACAAUGUAAUUACUAGAUAUAUAUAGAAAAGGAAGCAAGCAAUGUCAAGAAUUUUUCUAAAAAGAAAGAAAAAGAAUAAAAGCAUUUUGACUUUAUGUUUUUGUGUUUUAAUAAAAGCAUUAAGAAAAUAAGUAAAGAGAAAUUAAGUCAUUGACAACAUUAGGGGUGAGCAUUUGGACCGGUGGAUCGGACCAGACCCGACCGGACCGUUUUUUUGGACCCCCGGGCCGGUUCUCGGUUCUAAGAUUUCUCUCCGGUCCGGUCCGGUUUUUUUCCCGGUUCGGUCCGGUUUUUACCGGGUUUAGAACCGGUUGGACAUGAUUAUGAUUUUUGUGACGUUUUUUAAACACCUAUAACUCAUUCGUUUUAAGUCGGAUUGACCUGCGUUUUUUUCCAAUAUUUAGUUUACAGUUUGUAGAUAAAUUUAGACUAUAAUUUUGUUUAUUUUGGUAUUAUAUUCACCGCGUUACAAUCCUUCAAAGUAGAGCUAUCAAAGCUUAAAAAAUUCAGCCUUUCAGCAACAUUUUGUAAUCUGUGACGUUUUUUAAACACCCAUAACUCAUUCGUUUUAAGUCGGAUUGACCGGUGAGUUUUUUCAACAUUUAGUUUAUAGUUUGUAGAUGAAUUUAGACUAUAAUUUUGUUUAUUUUGGUAUUAUAUUCACUGAGUUACAAUCCUUCAAAGUAGAGCUAUCAAAGCUGAAAUAUUUAAGGUUUUUAGUAUUAUUUUAUACUAUAAUUUCGAGUCCGUGUUUAGCACAUGUGGUAGAGUUGUAAGUAAGUAUCAGACUAGUUUAUCAAUAUUGAUAGUUGAAGCUUUGUUAUGCACCCAAGAUUGGGUGAUAAAGUCUACAAAUUCGAUAGUUGACAACGUUGAUGACAUCUUGAACGAUGAUGAUAUAGCUUUGGGUAAAAAAAAUUACAAUCUUUAUUCUUUUUUUAUACAAUUAUUAUUUUUUAUUAAAUACUAACAACAUUUUCAUUUGUGUUUAUGUAGAGAUUGCACAAGAUUUAAAUAUGUUACUUAUGGAUGACAAUGAUAUGGGGAAGAGACCAAUAGAAGAUUAGAUUAUGAGUUUAUGAAGUUUAUUAGUUUGAUUGAUUUUAAAGUUUAAACUAUGAUUUUUGUUGUUACGGUAAUACUUUUGUAUGUUUAUCUUAAGAUUGUUUAAAUUUUGUUGGCAAACUUGAUUUAUAUGUUAGUUGCUUUUAUUUGGAAAAUUAAUUUUUGCAAAUUGCAAGUUAUAAUAUCAUACAUCAAUGUAGAUUAGUUAGGCAUGAAACGGAAACGUAUUAAUUUUGCAAGUUCUAAUAUUAUACAUCAAUGUAGAUUACUUAUUAUACUCUAUGCAAUUAAACUUGUACCGGUCCAAACGGGUCCAAAAACCGGAAAGCCCGGACCUGGACCUGGACCCGGACACAGACACGACUCAUCCGGUCCGGUCCAUGGUCCACAAAAUUCUCCAUAACCGGUCCGGUCCAAGAGCCGGUCCGGUCCGGGCCGGGCCAAAUGCUCACCCCUAGACAACAUGCCAAGAUCAACAACCAAUUUGUUUAAAGUCUUCUCAUCUUGGGCCUUAGUGAAAAUAUUCUCCACUUAAUCAACGGUAUGGAUGUAGAACAAGUCUACUUUGCCUUUUUGAACAAUUUCCCUGAUAAAAUGAUGGUGGAUAUCAAUGUGCUUUGUCUUUGAAUGUUGUACCGGAUUUUGAAUCAUUUGGAUGGUACUUGUGUUAUCACAGCAUACGAGAGUCUUUGAGAAAGAAAAAACAUAGUCUAGGUGUAACAUCCUGAUUUUCCCAGGUAUAUUAUUUAUUUAAUUAUUUUGGAGUUUGUGGAGGAACUUGGCGAGUUGGAGCCAAGACUAGCCGAGUAGAGUCGCGGUUAUUCAUCCGGGUUCACGUCCGGACUCGGCGAGUCCACGCUGUUUAAUGAAAACCUAAUCCCCCGGGUUUGGAGCCUAUUUAAGGGCACUUAUAGCCUCCCAUUGUGGCUACCAGUCCCUUGAGAGAACCCUAAGAGAGAUAAAAUGUUGUGAGAGAGAAGAAGUCACUUUUUGAUCCUUGUAUCCUUGGUUUAGCAAGAAGAAGGUGACAAGAGCAAAGAGGAGGUGCGAUUCAAGCAGAUCCAGAGUUCAGAGACUUCAUUUUGAGGUAAUAGUUCAGACCUCCUUCAGUUUUAGUGUUUAUCUUUAGAGUUAGGGUUUUCUAACCCCCUUUGGAGAGUGAUUAUGUGUAGCAAAUGGUCCCUCUUCGAGUUUGUGCCUUGGAUUUGGACUCAAAGAGGUCCAGAGACCUUAACCCUUGGAGCUUUAUGGGUUAGUUUGGGGUUAUUGGAAUUAGGUUGCCAUUUUUGGGACCAAAUCUCCUUUUGAUGCCUUGUUGUGGUUAUACAAGCAUCAAGUUUCGAACUUUGCGUGACAUUCAUGCUUGGGGAGGUCAGAUCUAUGGUUUGGGGAAACAGAUCUGACCUCAGGAGGUCAAUAGAGUUUGUGCAUGGCAUGAACUCGCCGAGUUGUUCUUGAGACUCGGCGAUUAGGUUUAGGGUUCCACAUAAAUUGUUCAGCGAGUAGACUCACCGGGUUGGGGGAUGACUCAGUGAGUCAGGAGGGAGUUAGAGGACUGGAGUUCAAGGCGGUACUCACUGAGUUGUUCUUGAGACUCGACGAGUUGAGUCGGGGUGGCCCCACGAUUCAUGUCUGGUAUGACUCGUCGAGCAUAGGGAGGGACUCGGCGUGUCAAGCGGGACAAGAGUUAGAGGACAUGUGGGAACUCAUCGAGUCACCAGGGUGCACUCGGCGAGUAGGGUCAAGGUGUGACCGUUGACUUUUGUUGACUUUUAGGGUUUGGUCAGCGAUGUGGCCUUUGGGCCAAGAGAGGGGUAAAAUGGUAUUUUACCCUUAAGAGGGUGUCAAGAGAGGGUUGAUUCUAGUCUCGAGAGUUAUAUUCAUGAGAGUAUUUUCCUUAUGUGUUAGGCGGUGGCGAGUUCGAGAUUCAAGUGUGAGGAUAUCUACUUUCUGCUUACCAGGUGAGUCUUCUCACUAUACUUUACCUUGAGUGGUAACAGAGUUAUGUGAUAGAGAUAUUACAUGCUAUCUAUGUGAUGUGUGGCACUGCAUUAUUUCUAUGUGAUUUAUGUUGUGUGUAUAUCAGAGUUAGGACCAGAGGGUCCGCAAAGUUAGGGCCAGAGGGCCCACAGAGAGCUAGGACUGGAGGGUCCCACUGAGACAUACUGACCGGAGGGUCAACAGAGAUUAUAGCUUCGAGUGGCUAAUAUGUGUUAGAGUGGUAUUUUGGGGAACUCACUAAGCUUCGUGCUUACAGUGUUUUGUGUUACGUGUUUCCGGUUUCCUCAAGAUCACGGGACGACACUGGCUCGAUUGUACACACCAGAGGAAGCGUUUGUUUGAGGAUCCUGGUUUAUCUAUUGAUUGAACAAAAGAGUCAUGUAUUGUAAUUUAAACCAAAUGGGAUUUCUAUCAAAAUUAUUAAAGAGAUAAGUAAUUUUAGAUGAAAAUUUUGUUUUGAAAAUUUCGGUGUUACAAGUUAAUAUCAGAGCCUUGUUUUGAGGGAUUCGGAUGCACCUUCGAGUAAAUCUGAACUCAAACUGAGGAAGUAAGAAAAGUUUUCAAAGAAAUGAAAUUGUAAAAGUGAAUAAGAGUUCAAAGAGAAAUCGAGAAAAAGCAGUGUGUACAAUCAGCCAGAGCCCGAACGGUGAUUUUCCCAAAAUACCCUUACUUUUGUGUUAUGAGAUAUUAUGAUACAUUUUAUGAGAUAUUAUGCAUGCUAGAGGCAGGCUAGGUAUUUCAUAUCUUAUGAUUAGAGUGGCCUGAUUUGUGAUUCCUUAGCCUAGGAGUUGUUGUUAUAUGUGCUGUGCUUUUGAGUAUGAGGGAGAGUAUUCAGUUGGAAUCCUCUUAGGGGAUUUGAGUAGAGGAGUAACCUAGGAGAGUCGCCUAGAUGAGUAUUGUGGUGCUUAUCGAAAGAAUAGUUAGAACCCAUGAGGGGUAGAGUUGCAGAGUUCAGUGGUGCUUUUGAGAAUGAGCAGAGCAGGCGGAGUUAUCACCCAAGGUGAGUUCUAUGUAUUCUUCGAUGCCCGAAUGCUGCUUGCUUCGUGCUUUGUGGAACUCUCGAUGAUGGGAGUCAUCUACCAAGUGAAUAUGACGAUAUUCAGGAGGUAGAUGGCUAGAAUCAUUAGGAGCUCUUCAGCAGAUGAUGGCGAAGAAGUGGGAGUGACCUUAGCUAGAUGAGUACGCUGGCAGAGUAGAGCAUUUCACUAAGGAGUAAGCACGCGUGGCAGAAUUAGUGAACAAGAAGGUUGAGCAGCUACUUAGGGACUCUAGAAUGGUCUGUGUGGAAAGUAUGGGUAGAUGUGGCAGGUAGUAUGGGCCCGUACUACCGAAAGCAGAGGACCCAUACUCGAUAUAGGGAGUAUUCUGAAGGUUCUAAGUACCAGAUUGAGGAGUGAUGUUAUGGUACGAGUACCAUACAUCAUAGCAGAUUGAGGAGUGAUGUUCUGGUUUGGGUACCAUACGUCGGAGCAGAUUGAGGAGAGAUGUCAGGGGCUGAGUACCAUGGUUCUUAGCAAUUGAUGCUUGUGAUUCUCCAGUUAACCGAUCAGGAUUGAUUGGUGGAGUAUGGACGCGGUGGGGUUUUAGGCCUGAGGGCCAUGAUUAAGUUCAAAAAGGCAUCCCUAGAGAGGGAGGUCGAGAGCAUUUUUAGAGUACCUUGGUAAGAUGUCAAAGGUAGUCGCAAGACUCCGGGAUAAGUAGAGAAGACAUUUAUGGAGGAUUGCGGUUUGAGUGACCAAUCAGCCGAUGGAGGAGAUGUCACCUUCUUUGACUUGUUGGGUGCUAAUUACGUUUCCUUUGGGAAGUAGGAGAAGUGUGGGAUUUCGGUUUUGGGGUUUAGGAGUAAAACCCUGCGGAAUGACAUUUAUGUCGAUGUUCCAACAGAGUAUCAAGCGGCAUGUUCUCUGCAAGGUAAGGAUAUAUCAUGAGCAUGUAGUCGGUUGGAUCUGAGGUGGUAAAGGACCAUGUUGCACCCUAUCUGAGUAUAGUGGGGCGUGUUGUAGCGGUAUCAGUGGGCAAUCCAGAUGAGUAUAUCAGGGCGGCAACUCUUCUGUCUAUGAUGGAUAUUAAGUAUGGGAGUGAAGUCCCUGUUCUUGUGAUGAUUCAGGUGAUGGAACUUGAGUUGAGAAAUUGAGGUUGAGGAGUACGCUGAUUUAUUGUUUCAGUCUAAGAGUCAGUAAUAUUACUGGAUAGUUGAGGUAUUCGGUAUUGGGAUGGUAUGAGGCUUCGAAUGGCUAGAGACAGUCACGAUGAGAAGUCCCUGAGGAUUUCUUUGGAGAUUUAGGGUAUUUGAAGUUUCUUGAUCUCUAAGUGGGGGAGAUCAUUGGUCGACAUGUGGCAUCUUCCGAGGGUAGGUGCGAUAUUUCUAGUGGAAACAGUCUGUGGGGUGGUUGUGCGUCAAUUGGUGUUGGUUCAAACCCUAAGUGGGGGAGAACCGGGUAUUUUAUUGAGGGAACCAGAGAUUGUGCAAGAGAGGUUAGGGAUUGGAUACAGGAAUCUGGUGGUGACCAGGGCCGUUUCAAGGGGAAGACUCGUAACGGUGGUUCAGGCAGUUAAGAACUUCUGGUUCGAAGUAUGGAUUGCAUAUGUCCCUUUUUAGAUGGAUAGGGGAUUAUCGAGCUGCCAAAUUCCGGGCCGGUGUGUGUAUUUCUGGCGUGGAUUUUGAGCAGUAGGGGAAAAGGGUUUCAGAGGAUCACCAACGUAUUUUGAAGCGUUAGUGCUUUCUUUGUUUCCAAUUGAGUGUUUGGGUACACUGAGGUUUCUCAGUGAGUAACAGAGAAUUAUUUAUGGAGUUCAUAGGAAAUGAAUUGUUGUAUCUGUAUGGUGCUGAGAGUAGGAGAGCAGUGUUUGAGGCAGGAUAUCGUGAUGUCCGUAAUGGUGAUCCGUGGUGACCGGGAAUAAUGUCCCGAUUUCGGAGUUAUUUAGAGCCUUGAGUUUGAGACAACCAAUGGUAUAUCAUGUAUCUACGGUUCCAAUGGGAGCCCGUCGAGUAUUGAAAGCAAAAGGGAUUAUUUUAGAAGAUGGAUCUCCCCAGAGGCAAGUAAUUUUGUUAUAGUGGUUGCCGCUAGAGUCUGUAAUGCAUAUGUGGGACAAGUGUGUUGCUAUCUAUGAUAGUCUACGGGCAUGAGUGAGUGGACAUAGUGUGGCGUUCGGAUGAGUUGACAGUGUGGGGUGAAGCUACGGGGAGCCGUAGUAUUCACUUGACAGAGGGUGUUGUGAUGCUACGGGGAGCCGUAGCAUUCACAAGUCAGAGAGAGGGAGUCGUGGUACUACGGGGAGUCGUAGUACCCACUUGAUAGUUGGUGUUGUGGUGCUAGGGGGAGCGGUAGUACUCACUAGUCAAAGGUCGUCGUGUUAUUGCGGGGAGCCGUAAUACUCACUAGACGGCAAGAGAGUGUGAUGUUGGGGUGUUCCCCUAUCAGUGUUUGAUGCAGAAGAAUUUUAGGCUUGAGCAGCCUUAGUAUAGAGUUUUGGAGCCCAGUGGUUGAACCAAGGGUGGAACUGGGGGUCAGAGUUGAGUCGAUCCUUGGUUGGAAUGUAUUUUAGGAAAAGAGAAUCUCGUGACUUGUGAGUCACUGGGCCGGGAUUGUGGUCACGGGGAGGAAGCUAGUGAGAUAUUUUGGAUCACGUUAUAGGUGAUCUUUGGGGGUUCAGCUGUGGAGUCAAAAGUUGAACUGGUGCUCAGUAUCGAAGUGGGAUAUGAGAAAGGAGCUAGAGUUUGUCAUNCUUGUGAGUCACUGGGCCGGGAUUGUGGUCACUGGGAGGAAGCUAGUGAGAUAUUUUGGAUCACGUUAUAGGUUUUCUUUGGGGGUUCAGUUGUGGAGUCAAAAGCUGAACUGGUGCUCAGUAUCGAAGUGGGAUAUGAGAAAUGAGCUAGAGUUUGUCAUGGUGAUAUAUGAGGACCCUCCCAUUUGCUAGGGAGAGGUAGCGCAUGGACCCGAGAGUCCUUGCGAGCAGAUCUAGAACAUGUGCGAUACAUGGAGUAGUGGCAAGGUUGACAAGUGGAUUUCAUUGGGUAAGGAAAGAGAAAGGUAUGUAACUCCGGGAAGGAGUGUUGGUUCACGGAAGUGAAAGCAGUAGUGAAAACGGAUGAUUAAGAGUAUGGUGGUUGAACACUGUGUCUGUUCCAGUGGUAUGGAAGCACAUCCGGGUUGGGUGUCUGUUGAGGUUGCAGAAGAAUCUCCGUUGGUUUAGAACCAGAGGAGUUCGGAAGAGAUGCAUUUAUAGAGCCUUGGAUUUAAGUAUGGUUGUGAUCUGGAGGUUAUGUUUAUAGUGGUAAUGCAUCCUGGGGAUGUCUGUUGGUAUCAACAGUAUGUCGGGUUUUUCCAAACCGAGGAUGUAGAGCAGGCUCAGCAUGUGUAUGCGAUUUCGAUGGAAAGCUCAUGGGAGUUGCUCAAGGGCUGCAGGGUGUGUCAUCCUGUCAACACGGAAGGAAAAGAGUUAGAUUCCGAAAGGAAGCGGGAUAAGUCCUAGCAGUCAGCACCGGGUCAGGAACACGUGGUUCAGGGUGAUAUCCAGCUUGGUAAGGGCUUAAUGAUUGUUGUGAUUUGGAGUGAUGAAAGUAUCAUCGGGUGAUCAUUUGGCUAAUAAGGGUUGUAAUCAGAGAAAGAAGCCGAUGGUCGGCUUGAUUCGAUUGUCGCGACUCUGUGAGAAGGAGUCAGACCUUAUCGGGGUUUGGUAACAAUGUUGAGGGAACCUGGUCUAGUUAAUGUAAGGAGGUGCAUUCUGAGAGUAAUUCUGGAAUUGUGUGUCGCAGGCUUCGAGGGCGAAGCCUAAUUUAAGUGGGGAGAAUGGUAACAUUCUGAUUUUCCUAGGUAUAUUAUUUAUUUAAUUAUUUUGGAGUUUGUGGAGGAACUCGACGAGUUGGAGCCAUGACUCGCCGAGUAGAGUCGCGGUUAUUCAUCCGGGUUCACGUCCGGACUCGGCGAGUCCAUUAGUGGACUCGGCGAGUCCAUGCUGUUUAAUGAAACCCUAAUUCCCCGGGUUUGGAGCCUAUUUAAUGGCACUUAUAGCCUCCCAUUGCGGCUACCAGUCCCUUGAGAGAACCCUAAGAGAGCUAAAACGCUGUGAGAGAGAAGAAGUCACUUUUUGAUCCUUGUAUCCUUGGUUUAGCAAGAAGAAGGUGACAAGGGCAAAGAGGAGGUGCGAUUCAAGAAGAUCCAGAGUUCAGAGACUUCAUUUUGAGGUAAUAGUUCAGACCUCCUUCAGUUUUAGUGUUGAUCUUUAAAGUUAGGGUUUUCUAACCCCCUUUGGAGAGUGAUUAUGUGGAGCAAAUGGUCCCUCUUCGAGUUUGUGCCUUGGAUCUGGACUCAAAGAGGUCCAAAGACCUUAACCGUUGGAGCUUUAUGGGUUAGUUUGGGGUUAUUGGACUUAGGUUGCCAUUUUUGGGACCAAAUCUCCUUUUGAUGCCUUGUUGUGGUUAUACAAGCAUCAAGUUUCGAACUUUAAGUGACAUUCAUGCUUGGGGAGGCUAGAUCUAUGGUUUGGGGAAACAGAUCUGACCUUAGGAGGUCAAUAGAGUUUGUGCAUGGCAUGAACUCGCCGAGUUGUUCUUGAGACUCGGCGAGUAGGGUUAGGGUUCCAUGUAAAUUGUUCAGCGAGUAGACUCGCCGGGUUGGGGGAUGAAUCAGUGAGUCGGGAGGGAGAUAGAGGACUGGAGUUCAAGGGGGUACUCGCUGAGUUGUUCUUGAGAGUCGAUGAGUUGAGUCGGGGUGGCCCUGCGAUUCAUGUCUGUUAUGACUCGUCGAGCAUAGGGAGGGACUCGGCGUGUCAAGCGGGACAAGAGUUAGAGGACAUGUGGGAACUCAUCGAGUCACCAGGGUGCACUCGGCGAGUAGGGUCAAGGUGUGACCGUUGACUUUUGUUGACUUUUAGGGUUUGGUGAGCGAUGUGGCCUUUGGGCCAAGAGAGGGGUAAAAUGGUCUUUUACCCUUAAGAGGGUGUCAAGAGAGGGUUGUUUCUAGUCUCGAGAGUUAUAUUCAUGAGAGUAUUUUCCUUAUGUGUUAGGCGGUGGCGAGUUCGAGAUUCAAGUGUGAGGAUAUGUACUUUCUGCUUGCCAGGUGAGUCUGCUCACUAUACUUUACCUUGAGUGGUAACAGAGUUAUGUGAUAGAGAUAUUAUAUGCUAUCUAUGUGAUGUGUGGCACUGCAUUAUUUCUAUGUGAUUUAUGCUGUGUGUAUAUCAGAGUUAGGACCAGAGGGUCCGCAGAGCUAGGGCCAGAGGGCCCACAGAGAGCUGGGACUGGAGGGUCCCACUGAGACACACUGACCGGAGUGUCAACAGAGAUUAUAGCCUCGAGUGGCUAAUAUGUGUUAGAGUAGUAUUUUGGGGAACUCACUAAGCUUCGUGCUUACAGUGUUUUGUGUUAUGUGUUUCAGGUUUCCUCAGGAUCACGGGACGGCAUCGGCUUGAUUGUACACACCAGAGGAAGCGCUUGUUUGAGGAUCCUGGUUUAUCAAUUGAUUGAACAAAAGAGUCGUGUAUUGUAAUUUAAACCAAAUGGGAUUUCUAUGAAAAGUAUUAAAGAGAUAAGUAAUUUUAAAUGAAAAUUUUGUUUUGAAAAUUUUGGUGUUACACGAGGAGCUGAUUCUAAAUCUAAAGAAUCUAAGUAUAACAUCUUCCAGUGGCUACGUAUUCAGCUUUAGCGGUAGAGCAUGCCACUGAUGUAUGUUUCUUGCUGGAUCAGCUCACAAUCCUAUUUCCUAGCAUUUGAGCUCCUCCAUGAUCACAGUCUAUAAAUCCCACUAGUUUGAACUUAGAGUCAUGAGGAUACCAUAACCCAAGAUUAGGUGUAUGUUUUAAGUAGUGAAAGAUCCUUUUUAUAGCCAACAGAUGGGACUCAUUUAGGGUAGCUUGAUAUCGAGCACACAAUAUCGUAGUAAACAUUAGAAAUUAUCAUUCCACGAUACAAUGUUGCAUUCACAUGAGUGCCAACUUGAUCAUCAAAAAUAGACGUUGAUGGAGACAUUGGAGUUUUUGCUGGUUUAGAGUUAGAAAAACCAUAUCUCUUCAGCAAAUCUGAGAUGUAUUUUUCUUGGAAAAUUUAAGCUUCCAUCAGUGAGUUGCUUAACCUAAAAAGAAUGAUAGUUCACUCAUCAUGCUCAUUUCAAAAAUUUUGGCGAUAACAUUAGCAAACUCAUAACUCAGUUUCUCAUCAGUGGAUCCAAAUAUGAUGUUGUCGACAUACACUUGAGCAAGAAUAAUGUAAGAUCUAGUUGCUUGAUGAACAAAGUGUUGCCGAGUGCUCCAUGUUUGUAUCCAUUCUCUAGAUGAUAACUAGCUAAAGUGUUAUACCAUGUCCUGGGAGCUUGUUUCAAGCCAUAGACGACUUUAUCUAGAAGAUACACCUGAUCAGGGAAUUCUUCACUUUCAAAUCCUAGAGGUUGUUUUAGAAAAACUUCGUCUUGAAGAUCCCCAUUGUAACAGCCCGAAAUCCAGGUAAGCUUAUGACCCUUUUUAUUUUGGAGAGUUGGCAUAUUAGUCCCUCAAAGUUGUAUGUGAUGGGUUUUGAGCAUUCUAACACUUCCUAAGUGUACAUGAAACCCUAAUAGCCUUGGAUCUAUGUUUGUCUAAUUAUCAUGCAAAGUUGAUUUCCAUGUCUAUGAUCCUAUCUAGCAUACAUGGGGAACAAUUUUAACUUAAAUAAUAGAGAGAAUUACAUACCUUGUUGUUGUAAAUGUUCCUUGAAACCUUGUGAGCCUAGCACCCCAAGUGUGAUGCCUCAAAUGCUUCACACAACACCAAAUGCUAUGGAGUAAACUUGGAGAGAAAGUAUAACACACUAAAAUCAGCUCUAGCCCUCUUGUUUCUUGGUGUAACCGGUUUUGGGAGAACACAUGAGCUUUAUAUAGUGUUGACACAUCUUGGGUUACACCAUGUAAACCCUAAUGUGUGAUGAGUCUUCAUUUCCAUGACCCAUGGGUUUGUAACUACCAUGGAGCCUCCAUGGAGCAUCCAAUGGGUUUAACCCAACUUGAUUAUCCAUGGAGCCUCUAAGCCCACUAUAUAAGUUAUGGAUGAUUUACAUACCAGAAAUAGUUAUGGACUUACAUACCUUAUCCAACAGUAUGGUGGAUUAGUGAGUACGUUGGGCGUACUGAAGUGUACGCCGCGCGUACUCACAAGCUUAAAUUGGAUGCAGACUCGCCCGGGUACGCUGGGCGUACCCAGGGGUUACGUUGGGCGUAGCGAGCCCAGAUGCAAACCCUAAUUCCUGGCUUUUUCGCUAUAAAAGGAACAUGUAGUCCCUUGCCCUAGCCACCAUAUCCCCUUGAGUGAGUCCUUUGAGAGCGGAGAUACGUGCUUUAGCUUGUGUGUGUGUUUUUGAGCUUGAAGUUAUCUUUUCAAGGUGAAGAAGGAGAAGAAGGAGCCAUUGUUGGAGCUAGAAGUUGAAGAACAAGUGUAGAUCCGAGUUCUAUAGUGGUUGGAGAUCCUUUCUGAGGUAAAAAGCUCAAAGCUUUCCGUGUUCUUUAUAAGUUUUGCUUUUUGGACCAUUUUUAAGGUUUUUGGUUCAAAGUUGGAGACUUUAUGUGCAAAGAGUCUCCAUCAGCUUAGACCUGACCUUUUCUAGUGUAUAAUGUGUUGAGGAGUCAUAAAAAUCUAGUCUUGGACGUGGAUCUUGUAUUAUGCAUAAGUUAUAGUCUCAUUAUGGAAAGAGGAAAGGUGUUUUAAGCACAAAGUGACCUUUACAGCCAUGCAAAGGCUUAAAGGUUUCAACUUUAUGGAUUAACUCACAUUAGAGGAGUCGGAUCUGAAGUUUGGAUGCAAGUCUUAACUGAUUAAGACCUGCAUAAGAUGGAUAAGCAAACUGGGCAUUAAGUUGGGGGUAAUCCCAGUAUGUGCGGUGUAAGCAGCUGCGCACCCCGUUUCUGUGAAGGCUUCGGGUACGCCCAACGUACACGUUUGGUACGCGCAGCGUAACCCGGGGGGUUGACUUUUAUUGGCUUUUAGGGUUUGGUCAAUUUUAGUGUAAUUGAGCCAAGUAAGGGGUAAAAUGGUCUUUUACCUUCCUGGGAGUGAUUAAAGGGAAUGGUCUAGCAUAGGGAAAUGUGUUAAUGUUGAGUGUUAUUUCAUAUGAUUAGGCAGAGGCUAGAUCUUAUCCUACGGAGUCCGAGAUUUCUGAGAUUUACGAGUUACCGAGCUACACGAGGUGAGUCUUCUCACUAUACGUUACCUAGAGUGGUAUUUAUGUGGACCGGAGGGUCUUAUGUGUUAUCUAUGAGAUUAUAUGAAUCUAUGUGCUAUGUGAUAUUUGCAUGUUAUAUGAUUGUAUAGACUGGACCGGAAGGUCCAAUGAUAUAGACCGGACUAGAGGGUCGAACGAUUCAGACCGGGCCGGAGGGCCCAACGAGCUAUGGGACUGGAGGGUCCCGUUGAGACACAUCGACCGGAGGGUCGUACUGUACCCUCGAGUGGCGUAUGUGUUGUAUAUGGUAUUUUGGGGAACUCACUAAGCAAUUAUGCUUACAGUCGUUGUGUUAUGUGUUUCAGGUACUAGCGAGGACCGUGAGAAGGUGCCGGUGUGACUCGUACACACUAAAGGAGGGAUUUGUUUUUGUGAUCCUGGGAUAUGUUAUGUUUUGAUAACUAUGGUUGAAUACUUUUGAGAAUAUUUUUAUAUAAAUUUGGUUGAUGAAAAAUGAAAAAUUGUUUUGAAAAUCACGUUGUUACAAGUUGGUAUCAGAGCCUUGGUUUGAGGGACUCGGAUGCACCUUUGGGCGUAUCUGAACUCAAACUGAGGAUUUGAGAAAUUUUCAACAAUAAAAACUAAAUUUUCUAAAAGAGCAAAGAGUUUUGAAACAAACAGAUUAGAGCAGUGUGUACGGUCAACCAGCGCCCGAACGGUGAAUCCCCAAAAUACCCUUACAUUAUGUGUUAUGAGAUAUGCUAUGUUAUGUUAUGCAUGCUAGAGUAGGCUAGGUAUUCAUAUUAGGACUAGAGUGGCCUGAUUUGUGAUGCCUUAGCCUAGGAGAUUUCUGCUACUAUGAGAUGCCUUGAGACCGAGUAGGUAGCAGUUAGGAGCUCAUGAGUGGUCUAUCGGAGGGUAGCCAAUGCAUAGUGAGAGUAGAGUACUUGCAAUCCGGGAUCCAAGGAGGAGGACUUGAGGUGAAUGCUAAUACGGUGUGGUCAGUAGUAUAGGGCCCGUACUAUUGAAGACACCGGAUCAGUAUGCAGCCCAAGUAAGAAUCCUUUGGGUAUUGGAGGACGAGUAGGGUUGUGUUAUCGAGUGCGAGUAUGCUCGAUCGAGUCUCUGAUAUAUUUAUUUUGUAUUUCAGAGGCAUCAUGGUUGGGACACGACACACACCUGAGAGUAGUGGGGUCAGUGACAAGGAGAUCCGUCGUUUGAUUCAUGAGGAGGUGGCUAGUGCCAUCCGGGCUGAGAUUCCAGAGAUGUUUGAGGACAUCAAGACCACACUGAUUGAGACCUUUGAUGAGCGGUAUGUAGCGGUGACUGAGGCUGCAGUUGCUGCAGCUACUGCUGAUGUGGCUGCUGCCAGACCUCAGGGAGGUGACUCGUUGUUGUUUCGGGAGUUCAGCAACACGAAGCCACCAGAGUUCGAUGUGGCGCAAGACCCGAUUGCUGCGAUGAGAUGGAUCUCUGAAAUCGAGGGAUGUUUCUAUACGUGUUCUUGUCCAGAACACUUGAGGGUGCGGUUCACUCUGAACCAGCUCCGCUUGGGAGCGAAGGAUUUGUGGAAGUUCGUGACGGCGAGCUUCACUCUGGCAGAGAUUUCUGAGGUGACCUGGGAGAGGUUCACCACCAUGUUCAGAGAUGAGUAUGUUCCCCCGGUGGAGAGGGAACGAUUGAUUCAGGAGUUCUUGACCCUCAAGCAGGGUACUGAUUAUGUUACAGUCAUUACCAGGAAGUUUUAGGAGAGGGCGAUGUUUUCCCUUGAGCAAGUGUCUACUGAGCAGGCUCGCAUGAGCCGAUAUCUGAGUGUUUUGAGGAGAGAUAUUCGAGAGUUCGUGGUGAACUUGACUUACCGUACAUUUGCUGAGUUCCAGGAAAAUGCCCAGAAAAGGGAGAUCGAGUUGGAGACUCAGGCCAGGGUGGAGGCCGAGUCCCAGUGGAUGGAUCGGCGGAAGGCUUAGUCUCAUCCAACAACCAAGUAAGUUAAGCCCGCUGAUUCGAGAUCUAGGGGCGUGAAGGGUCGGACUUGUGGGAAGUGCGGCAAGAGUCACGAGGGGUCGUGUCGGGUUGGAGUAUGCUACAAGUGCUGGAAGGAGGGGCAUAUCACGAGGGAUUGCCCCAAGGGAUUUUCGGUUUGCUUCCAUUGCAACCAGACCGACCAUCGGAAGGCCGAGUGCCCUCAGCUUCCACAGGGAUCUGUGCCGGCGACCAGGACUACUGAGGUUCGUCCAGUGAAGGCUGAGGCGCCAAAGGCUCGUGGGAGGGCCUUUCAGUUGACAGCGGAGGAGGUCCACGCAGCACCCGACGUUGUGGCCGAUAUGUAUUCUUCUCUCUAUUUAUUUAAGUCUGAGAUAUUAUGCUUAUAUUAUGUUAUGCGUAGGUACUUUUCUUGUGAAUUUUGUACCUGCCUUAGUGCUAUUUGACUCGGGAGCGAGUCGAUCUUUUGUGUCAUUAGCCUUCAGUCACCAUAUUAGUAUUUGUCGAGAGGCCUUGAGUCGACCUCUGCGAGUUUCUAUAGCUAAUGAGUGAGCAGUGUAUGCCACAGAUGCGAUUCGAGGAUGUAUCCUUGAGAUCUUUGGUGUGGAGUUCCCGAUAGAUCUGGUUACGAUUGCGAUGGUGGAUGUGUGUGUUAUAGUGGGCAUGGAUUGGUUGAGCCAAUUUGGAGCUAUUAUAGACUGCGAGCGUCAGUUGGUGACAAUACAAGACCCUAGUGGGGGAGUACUUAUGGUGUACGGAGAGGGUACCCAUCCUGAGUCAACAUUUUGUUCAGCUGCUAAGGCGAGACAGAGUUUACAGCAGGGCUGUAGAGGAUUCGUGGCCUAUGUGAUGGACACGCGAGUGGCCGCUGGGAGGCCAAGUUCAAUUGAUGAGGUCCCAAUUGUGCGGGAGUUCCCAGACAUUUUCCCUGAGGAGUUGUCGGGCGUGCCUCCCGAGAGGCAGGUGGAGUUUCAUAUCGACUUGGUGCCAAGGGUGACACCUAUUGCCAAGGCACCCUAUUGCCUUGCGCCGUCCGAGAUGCAGGAGUUAUCCUCGCAGCUUAAGGAGCUGUUGGGAAAGGGGUUUAUUAGACCAAGUAGCUCACCUUGGGGAGCGCCAAUCCUUUUUGUCAAGAAGAAGGAUGGUUCACACUGGAUGUGUAUCAAUUACCGGGAGUUGAACAAGUUGACGGUCAAGAACCGUUAUCCGUUACCAAGGAUUGACGAUCUGUUUGAUCAGUUGCAGGGGUGUCUUGGUUCUCCUAGAUAGACUUGAGGUCGGGAUAUCACCAGAUGAGGGUCUGGGAUGAGGACAUCCAGAAGACAGCGUUCAGAACUCGUUACGAGCAUUACGAGUUCGUGGUGAUGCCAUUCGGGCUCACCAACGCACCAGUAGCGUUCAUGGAUCUCAUGAAUCGGGUGUGCAGGCCGAUGUUGGAUCGAUCGAUGAUUGUUUUCAUCGAUGAUAUCUUGGUAUAUUCGAAAUCCAGAGCGCAGGAUGAGGAGCAUUUGAGGGAAAUCCUCGGAGUUCUGGGAUCGGAGAGGCUUUAUCCAAAUUCUCCAAGUGUGAUUUUUGGUUACGGGAGGUCCACUUCCUAGGGCAUCUCGUUAACCAGCAGGGGAUAUUGGUCGAUUCGGCCAAGAUUGAGGCUGUGAUGAGCUGGGAGGUGCCGAGGUCACCUACAGAGAUCAAGAGUUUCUUAGGGCUAGCAGGGUAUUAUCGGAGAUUUAUCAGGGAUUUCUCCAAGAUCGUCGUGCCAGUCAACAAGUUGACCCGGAAGGGUGUUACUUUUUCUUGGGGUCCAGAGUAGCAGACCUCGUUCGAGACACUUUGCCAGAGAUUAUGCGAAUCCCCGGUGUUGUCCCUUCCGGAGGGAAUGGAGGAUUUCGUGGUGUGUUAUGAUGCAUCAAUAUCAGGGUUGGGAGUAGUGCUUACGUAGAGGGGGCAUGUGAUAGCAUAUGCAUCGAGACAACUAAAGCGUCAUGAUUCGAGGUAUCCCACUCACGAUCUGGAAUUGGGGGCAGUAGUGUUCGCCCUCAAAAUCUGGCGGCACUAUUUGUAUGGGGUUCGGUGUACGAUAUUCACGGACCACAAAAGAUUGAAGUAUUUGAUGGAUCAGCCCAAUCUGAACAUGUGCCAGAGGAGAUGGCUGGAUGUGGUGAAGGAUUACGACUGUGAGAUCUUGUACCACCCAGGCAAGGCUAAUGUUGUAGCCAAUGCCCUGAGCCGAAGGGCAGAGGGCGCCCCGAUACAAGAUGUUUGCAUGAGAUUGACAGUGAUGAAUCCGGUAUGGGGCACCAUUCGAGGGGCCCAGGCAGAGGCCCUGAGACCGGAGAACCACAAGAGAGAGCGAGUGAUCGGGCAGGUAUCAAAGUUUGUUACCGAUAGUUGAGGACUUAUGACCUUCCAGGGUCGGGUUUGGGUACCGUUUGUGGGCGAAACGCGUACCGUCUUGAUGGAGGAGGCGUAUAGAUCGAAGUUCUCGAUCCACCCCGGGGCCACUAAGAUGUAUUUGGACCUGAAGAAGGAGUAUUGGUGGCCAUGUAUGAAAAGGGAUGUUUCAUGGUUCCUAGAGAGGUGCUUGACCUAUCGCAAGGUUAAGGCCGAGCACCAGCGCCCGCAUGGUAUGUUACAGCCGUUAGAGAUUCCCGAGUGGAAGUGGGAACAAAUUACCAUGGAUUUUAUCACCAAAUUGCCGAGGACUGCUGGGGGUGUCGAUGCAAUUUGGGUGAUUGUGGACAGGUUGACGAAGAGCGCUCAUUUCCUUGCCAUCAGUGAGAGCUCUUCUACAGAGAGGCUGGCAGAAUUGUACGUGAAGGAGGUGGUAUCGCAGCAUGGAGUACCGAUCUCGAUUGUCUCAGAUCGAGAUGUGCGUUUCACUUCCAGAUUUUGGAAGAAAUUUCAUGAGGAAAUGGAUACGAGACUGUAUUUUUGUACCGCGUACCACCGACAGAUCGACGGGCAGAGCGAGCGGAUGAUUCAGACACUCGAGGACAUGCUUCGGGCAUGUGUACUGGAUUUUGACAGGAGUUGGGACACGUACUUGCCCUUGGCUGAGUUUUCCUAUAACAACAGCGAUCACUCGCGCAUUGGUAUGCCACCUUUUGAGCUGUUGUAUGGAAGGAUGUGUCGUACCCCCAUUUGCUGGGGCGAAGUAGGACAGCAUGUGAUGGGUAGUAUAGAGAUAGUGCUUCAGACAACAGAGCAUAUACAACAGAUUACACAGAGGUUGACGACCACUCAGAGUCGCCAGAAAAGUUAUGCAGAUAGGCGACGAUCCGAACUCGAGUUCCAGGUCGGUGAUUUUGUGCUCCUGAAGGUAUCUCCUUGGAAAGGAGUGAUCCGAUUCAGGAAGAGGGGCAAGCUGGGACCCCAGUAUAUUGGGCCGUUUAGAGUGAUCGUGAGGGUGGGCAAGGUAGCAUAUCGCUUGGAGCUACCUGCGGAGUUGGACCAGAUUCAUGAUACCUUCCACGUGUCGUAGCUCAGGAAGUGUAUUGUCGAUGAGUCGGCAGUGGUUCCCUUAGAGGAUAUCCAGGUGGGCGAAAGUCUAAAUUAUGCUGAGAAGCCGAUCGCAAGCUUGGAUUGGAGGAUCAAGGUUCUGAGGAACAAGGAAGUGCCCUUGGUUCAGGUCCAGUGGUAACAUCAGAGAGGGUCUGAGCUGACCUGGGAGCCAGAGUCAGAGAUGCGGGAGCAGCAUUCGAAGUUGUUCGCAGCAUAAGACUUCAAGGGCGAAGUCUGGUUUUAGUGGGGGAGAAUUGUAACAGCCCAAAAUCCAGGUAAGCUUAUGACCCCUUGUAUUUUGGAGAGUUGGCAUAUUAGUCCCUCAAAGUUGUAUGCUGGAUUAGUGAGUAUGUUGGGCGUACUGAAGUGUACGCUGCGCGUACUCACGCACUUAAAUUGGACGCGGACUCGCCCAGGUACGCUGGGCGUACCUAGGGUUACGUUANACCCCUUUUAUUUUGGAGAGUUGGCAUAUUAGUCCCUCAAAGUUGUAUGCUGGAUUAGUGAGUAUGCUGGGCGUACUGAAGUGUACGCUGCGCGUACUCACGCACUUAAAUUGGACGCGGACUCGCCCGGGUACGUUGGGCGUACCUAGGGUUACGUUAGGCGUAGCGAGCCCAGAUGCAAACCCUAAUUCCUGGCUUUUGCACUAUAAAAGGAACAUGUAGUCCCUUGCCCUAGCCACCAUAUCCCCUUGAGUGAGUCCUUUGAGAGCUGAGAUUCGUGCUUUAGCUUGUGUGUGUGUUUUUGAGCUUGAAGUUAUCAUUUCAAGGUGAAGAAGGAGAAGAAGGAGCCAUUGUUGGAGCUAGAAGUUGAAAAACAAGUGUAGAUCCGAGUUCUACAGUGGUUGGAGAUCCUUUCUGAGGUAAAAAGCUCAAAUCUUUCCUUGUUCUUCAUAAGUUUUGCUUUUUGGACAAUUUUAGGGUUUUUGGUUCAAAGUUGGAGACUUUAUGUGCAAAGAGUCUCCAUAAGCUUAGAUCUAACCUUUUCUAGUGUAAAAUGUGUUGAGGAGUCAUAAAAAUCUAGUCUUGGACAUGGAUCUUGUGUCAUGCAUGAGUUAUAGUCUCAUUAUGGAAAGAGGAAAGGUGUUUUGAGCACAAAGUGACCUUUACACCAAUGCAAAGGCUUAAAGGUUUCAACUUUAUGGAUUAAGUCACAUUAAAGGAGUCAAAUAUGAAGUUUGGAUGUAAGUCUUAACUGAUUAAGACCUGAAUGAGAUGGAUAAUGAAAUUGGGCAUUACGCUGGGCGUAAUCCCAGUAUGCGCAGCGUAUGCAGCUGUGCACCCCGUUUCUGUGAAGACUCUGGGUAUGCCUAACGUACACGUUUGGUACGCGCAGCGUAACCCGGGGGUGACUUUUGUUGACUUUUAGGGUUGGUCAAUUUUAGUGUAACUGAGCCAUGUAAGGGGUAAAAUGGUCUUUUACUUUCCUGGGAGUGAUUAGAGGGAAUGGUCUAGCCUAGGGAAAUGUGCGUAUGUUGAGUGUUAUUACAUAUGAUUAGGCAGAGGCUAGAUCUUAUCCCACGGAGUCCGAGAUUUCUGAGAUUUACGAGUUAGCGAGCUACACGUGGUGAGUCUUCUCACUAUACGUUACCUAGAGUGGUAUUUAUGUGGACCGGAGGCUCUUAUGUGUUAUGUAUGAGAUUAUGUGAAUCUAUGUGCUAUGUGAUAUUUGCAUGUUAUAUGAUUGUAUAGACCGGACUGUAAGCUCCAAUGAUACAGACCGAACCAGAGGGUCCAACGAUUCAGACCGGGCUGGAGGGCCCAACGAGCUAUGGGACUGGAGGGUCCCGCUGAGACACAUCGACCGGAGGGUCGUACUGUACCCUCGAGUGUCGUAUGUGUUGUAUAUGGUAUUUUGAGGAACACACUAAGCAAUUAUGCUUAUAGUCGUUGUGUUAUGUGUUUCAGGUACUAGCGAGGACCGUGGGAAGGUGCCGGUGUGACUCGUACACACUAGAGGAGGGAUUUGUUUUUGUGAUCUUGGGAUAUGUUAUGUUUUGAUAACUAUGGUUGAAUACUUUUGAGAAUAUAUUUAUAUAAAUUUGGUUGUUGAAAAAUGAAAAUUUGUUUUGAAAAUCAUGUUGUUACACCCAUGUAAGAAAGCAAUUUUUACAUCCAUCUAAUAGACCUUGAAGUUCUUGAUUGAAGAAAAAGCACGAAACAGUCUAAUUGCCUCAAGUUGAGCAAUGGGAGCAAAAGUUUCAUCAUAGUCCAAACUUUCUAGCUAACAAAAUCUCCGUGCCACCAGUCUAGCCUUGUUUCUUACAACAAUCUCAUCUUUAUCCAUCUUGCUUUUGAAAACUGAACAAGUACUGAUGUUAGUUUUUUUGUUAAGGCUCAGGGACAAAUGUCCGUACGUGAUGACGUUCAAACUCAUUCACUUCGUCUUAUAUGGACUUUCGUCAUAAUUUCGUUCACCCUUUAAUCCAUCAGGUUUCCCAGCCCAAAAACCAACUAUCACCCAUUUGACAGUUUAAGCCCCUAUAUUUAAUUAAUCUAUUUUGGCCACCAAAUUAAUUCCUAAUUAAUUUAUGACUAAUACUAAUUAAAUAAUAUGAUUUUCCUUUUAAUAUAUUAAUAAAUCAUAAUUUCCUCUCUCUCUCCAUAAAUUACCUGGUAAAGUUGCUUUGGUGAAGGCAACCCAAAAGGACCAUGCACAACCUGGUCAAGUUCAUACCAAAUAUAGUUUCGGGCUUAGACACUAAUCCAACAGUCUCCCACUUGGAUAAGUCUGAUAACUAUAUCUCACAUAAGACUUCAGGAUCCGAUUAGCAAUCGUAUCUCUUAUACGUUGUUGUCAACUCUGAUCAAAAUCCUAUCCUUUAGAUAACGGAUCGUAUAAUCCUCUGUUCUAGAUAUCAUGCUGACAAUCACAUGGAACAUAGUCAUACUUAUUAUUCAGCACAUUGUUCCUCGAUCUCCAAUUUGUUUGACAUGGAACCUAGUUGAACACAUCAACUUUGUCCUGACCGAGCCCAGCACAUAACUCAAACCAAAUCAUCAAGUGGCCAGAUAUCGUUUUCAUCCUCUUGGAAUAAAACGAAAAGAUAAACUUCGACUCAUAUGCUUUUAUUAUUCACUGGCUAACUCAUACACAACAAUACGUUCUAUAACAUCAAGUUACUGAUGCGUUUACCCAUUAUCAAUGCACAACCAACCAACAAAUAAUAACCAUAUCUCUAGGUUUAAAGAUUAUAUGAUAUUAUCGUCUUGCGAUCACUCGUGAGAAAUUCCAUGAAGUGAUACCAGCAAGCGCGGGUUUAUUCCAAUGCUCAAAUCAUACUUCAUAAGCACUCAUGAACUUUGCAGCAAACCUUUGUCAUGCCUAAAACCUUUUAGACAAUCUACAAACAAAUUCAUGACAGUCUUCUUUCAUAUCUACUUCCUGAUGGGUUUUGAGCAUUCUAACACUUCCUAAGUGUACAUGCAACCCUAAUAAACCUUGGAUCUAUGUUUGUCUAAGAUACAUGCAAAUAAUUAUUUUUCCAAGGUUCAUAUCCUAACUAGCAUGGCAUGGGGAACAUGAAUCAAAUAAAGCUAGUAGAAAUACUUACCUUGUAGUAGUAGUUCAUUGCUUGGAGUUUUAGAGCCUAGCACCAAUAGUGUGGAUGCCUCAAAUGGAAAUCACAAAUCACCACAAACUUGGAACUUUGAGAGAAUAGUCACUACUAUCUUGAAAUCGGCCCUCACCUCAACAAGUGUCAACUAGUGUAAUUUCAAGAACCAAAGCCUCAUUUAUAUAGUGUGAUGUAUCAGGGUUACUUCCAUGUAAACCCUAAUACCCAUGUCUCUUCAUUUCCAUGAGAUCCAUGGGUUAAAGCUCCAUGGAGUAUCCAUGGACUUUUCCAUGCAAGCCUAGCCCAUUCCAAAUAAGCAUUAGCCCACACUAUAUAAAUAUAGAAGCCCAUAUUUAAUUAGUAAUAUCUUUGAUCUCUAAAUUAAUCCUAGAUUAAUUAUAGAUCAAUACUAAUUAAAUAAUAUGAUCUUAUAUUAAUAUAUUAGAACUUAUAAUAUAUUAAUAAAUCAUAACUUGUACUAUUCUCAAAUAUUAUCCAUAAAUUGUUCGGGUGAAGUGCAACCCAAAUGGACCAUGCCGGGUCGGGUCAAGUACAUACCAAAUAUAGUUAUGGACUUAGACACUAUAUCCAACAGUCUCCCACUUGGAUAAGUCUAGUAACUAUAUUUGCAAGUAUAACUUCAGGAACCGAUCAGCAAUCGUAGCUCUUUAAACUCUGUUGAACUAGAACGCGCCAUUUAGAUAAGUGAUCAUAUAAUCCUCUGUUCUAGAUAUCAGCCGGACAAAUACAUGGAACAUUGUCUUACUUAUUGUCCAGCAGUUUGUUUCCCGAUUUCUGAUUUGUUUGACAAAGAACUUAAUUGAACACAUCAACUUAGUUCUGACCGGGCCCGGUACAUAGGUCAAAACAAAAUCAUCGAGUGGCCCAGAUAUCAGCUUCUAAUCCAAGAAGGAACAGAUAAACUUCGACUCAUAUGUUUGUUCUACCACUCAUUGAAUUACACACAAAAGCACGUUUUAUAACAUCGAGUUACCAAUGCGUUUUCGUACAAUCAAUGCAUAACCAACUCGUAAGUAACAAAUCAUAUCUCUAGGUUUGAAGACUUAUAUGAUAUUACCGUCUCACGAUCACUCGAGAUAAAAUUCCAUGAAGUGAUUCCAGUGAGCGUGGGUUGAGUCCAAUGCUCAGAACUUAUGAGCACUCAUGAUUGUUGUAGCCUUGUCCAACACCUUAGACCUCUGCAACCAAUCAUGACAGUCUUGAUUCAUACCUACUUCCGACAUAUGACCGACUGUGGAGGUUUGAAUAAUAUGAUAUACCAAACAUAAUUAUUCUGGAAGUCAAAACAUGCAAAAGAAAUAUAGUAAAAGAUCGACAAGAGAUAGCAACACUUUACUCAUAAAUAAAACACCUUUUAUUCAUCAUCAAAUGUCAAUUACACUUUACAAAUUUCUGGGUUAUCUAACUACUAAAACUUAUAUCAUCCUUCAGCCCUAUGCUCCGAGCAUGCUGGAGAUGCUUAACCCUACUCAGUCCCUUCGUGAGGGGAUCUGCCGGGUUCUCAUCCGAUGAUACCCUCUUCGCCAUGAGGAGUCCUUCUUCAAUUCGAUGUCUGAUAAAAUGGUAUUUUCUGUCGAUGUGUCUGGAUCUCCCGUGAUCCCUUGGUUCCUUGGCUAAGGCAACCGCACUAUUGCUGUCACAGAAAAUCUCCAUUGGCUCUUUUAUAGCUGGUACAACUCCAAGGUCUCCGAUGAAGUUCUUUAGCCAUAUAGCCUCCUUUGCUGCCUCGCUUGCUGCUAUAUACUCUGAUUCACAAGUGGAAUCAGCCACUGUCUCCUGCUUGGAACUCUUCCAAGAAAUUGCUCCUCCGUUUAGGGUAAAGACCCAGCCUGACUGAGAGCGGAAAUUAUCCCUAUCAGUCUGGAAGCUAGCAUCACUAUACCCUACAACUCUCAAGUCAUCACUCCCACCGAAGGUAAGGACCCAGUCCUUAGUCCUUCGCAGGUACUUGAGGAUAUUCUUUACCGCAGUCCAGUGUUCCUUGCCAGGGUUCGCCUGAUACCUGCUAACCAUGCUCAAAGCAAAGGCUACAUCAGGUCGAGUACACGUCAUAGCAUACAUGAUCGAUCCUACAGCUGAAGCAUAAGGAAGUCGACUCAUUUCUGCUAUCUCAGCCUCAGUACUAGGGCUUUGUGUCUUACUCAAUCUGGCGUUACUCUGAAUGGGUAACUCACCUUUCUUGGAGUUAUGCAUGUUGAAUCUUUUCAACACUUUGUCCAAGUAGGUACUUUGACUAAGUCCAAUUAGUCUUUUACUCCUGUUUCUCAAAAUCUUUAUCCCUAGGAUAUAGGCAGCUUCACCAAGGUCCUUCAUAGCGAAACACUUCCCAAGCCAGGACUUUACUUCCUGCAGGGUUGGGAUGUCAUUUCCUAUGAGUAGUAUGUCAUCCACAUACAGUACCAAAAAACUGACUAUGCUCCCACUAGCCUUGAUAUAGACGCAAGAUUCAUCUUCACUCCUUGAAAAGCCAAAUUCCUUGACUUUCUCAUCAAAGCAAAGAUUCCACCUGCGAGGUGCCUGUUUCAAUCCAUAAAUGGAUUUCUCGAGUUUACACACUCUAUUAGGGUACUCGUUGCUGACAAAACCCUCUGGCUGACUCAUGUAAACAUCUUCAGCCAACUUUCCAUUAAGGAAAGCGGUUUUGACAUCCAUUUGCCAUAUUUCAUAGUCAUGAAAUGCAGCUAUGGCUAACAGAACCCGAAUAGACUUAAUCUUGGCUACUGGAGAAAAGGUCUCAUCAUAGUCCACUCCAGGAAUUUGAGAGAAGCCCUUUGCAACCAGUCUCGCCUUAUAAGUGUGUACUUUACCAUCCAUGUCGGUCUUCUUCUUGAAGACCCAUUUGCACCCUACAGUCUUACGACCUGGUACAUUCUCAACCAAGUUCCAAACUUGAUUGUCAUACAUGGAUUGUAUCUCGCUAUCCAUGGCCUCUUUCCAUUUAGCAGCCUCAGGGCCUGCCAUGGCUUCCAUGUAGCUGUUAGGUUCAUCCAGACCUACUAGUGUCUCAUCACUAAUAAGUGUCUCACCUUCCGCAGUAAUAUGGAAACCAUAGUAAUGCUCAGGUGCAUUCCUAACUCUCGUGGAACGCCUCAGAGGUACAGGCUCAUCAACUGGCUCAACAGGAGUUUCCUCCUCAAGUUGAGGGCUAGUGUUUGAAGUUCCUUCACCGCUUGAUUCUUGAAUUUCUUCAAGAUCAAUUUGCCUCCCACUGUCUCCUUGGCUUAUAAAUUCUCUCUCUCGAAAGACUCCUCUUCUUGCUACAAAGACCACAUUGUCACUAGGUCUGUAGAAGAGGUAACCAAAGGAUCGCUGUGGGUAACCGAUGAAAAUACACCUCUCGCUUCGAGGUUCGAGCUUAUCAUGAGUCUCGCGUCUCACGAAAGCCUCGCAACCCCAAAUCUUGAUGUGGUCUAGUUUAGGUACUUUACCAGUCCACAUCUCGUGAGGAGUUUUGGCAACUUUCUUUGUAGGGACUAGAUUAAGAAUAUGGGCGGCAGUCUCUAAGGCAUACCCCCAGAAUGAGAUUGGUAGCGUAGCUCGACUCAUCAUGGAACGAACCAUAUCCAACAAGGUUCGAUUACGCCUCUCAGCCACACCAUUCAACUGUGGUGUCCUGGGAGGUGUCAAUUGUGAGACUAUCCCACAUUCCCUAAGAUAGUCGAGGAACUCUGAACUAAGAUACUCACCACCUCGAUCGGAUCGAAGCAUCUUAAUGUUCCUGCCCAAUUGAUUCUCGACUUCCUGUUUAAAUUCCUUAAACCUCUCGAAAGUCUCUGACUUAUGCUUGAUUAAGUAGACAUAUCCAUAUCUACUAUAAUCAUCAGUAAAAGUCAAAUAAUAACGAUUAGCAUCCCUUGUGGCAUGUUUGAAUGGUCCACACACAUCCGUGUGUAUAAGGUCCAACAAACCUUCACCCCUCUCACACGAACCUGUGAAGGGUGACUUUGUCAUUUUUCCAAGUAAGCAUGAUUCGCAACUAUCAUCUGACUUUAGGUCAAACGACUCCAAGACUCCAUCCUUUUGGAGUUGGCCUAUGCGUUUCUUGCUUAUAUGUCCAAGACGACAAUGCCAUAAUGAUGCUUUAUCCAAGUUAUUAUUAGUAGAAUCAAUACACAAAACAUUAUUUCCCAAGUUAUCUACAACAGAUACAGCUUCAUACACACCAUCACAAGGUAAUGCUUUAAAAUAAAAGACAUUAUUAUAGAAAACAUCUAUAGAACCAACUUCAUUAUUAAAUGAAAAGGUAAACCCUUGUUUGUACAAAGCAUGAAAGGAAAUAAUAUUUCUUGCCAUUCCUGGCGAAUAACAACACUUAUUCAAAUCUAAACUAAACCCACUACUUAGCGAUAAAGUAUAAACUCCAAUCUUGGUAACAGGUAUAGCUUUCCUAUUCCCCAUGAUCAAGUUUAUCCUUCCUUGCUCCACAUCCUCACUUCUUCUUAGUCCCUGCAAGUCACAACAAAUGUGAAUACCACACCCGGUAUCAAGGACCCAAGAAUUAGAAUGGGGUGAGUUAUUAGAAAUGAUAGUGUAAAUACCUGCAUGGUUGGGUUUAACUUUCCCAUCCUUCACAUCUUGCUGGUAUUUUGGGCAGUUCCGCUUCCAAUGAGCUUUUUCAUGGCAAUAGAAGCAUUCAGCCUCUUUUGGGUCAGAAGAAGGAGUAAUGAAACCUUUCUUGGUUCCACUUGAAGAAGAGCCAUCAAGGGUCCGAGCCUUGGUACCCUUAGAAGAGCUCUUUCUCUUCCUCCCUCGACUUUUCCCGAUUGCCAAAACCGGAGUAGAGUUUUGAGUAGGAGUGAUAGCAACCGACUUCCCCUUAAGACCUGUUUCUGCGGUCUUGAGAAGUCCCUGAAGUUUGCUGAGGGUGACUUCUUCCUUGUUCAUGUGAUAUGUCAUGCGGAAUUGAUCAUAGCACGAUGGUAAGGAAUGCAAAAUAAUAUCUAUUGCAAGAUCCUCCGGGAAGUUCACAUUAAGCUUCAGCAAACGAUCCACAUACCUUUGCAUUUUCUGCAUGUGGCUCGUGACGGAUUCCCCGUCCUUCAUCAUGGUUGUUAUCAUGGAGCAGAUGAUUUCAUACCUCUCUUGUCUUGCACUUUGAUGGUAUCUUUCCAUCAAAUCUUGGUGCAUGUCAUAAGGGUAGAAAUCCUCAUAAGACUUUUGGAGUUCCGCUGUCAUCGUGGCCAUCAUGAUGCAAGCCACUUUCGUAGCAUCCCUUUCAUGUGCCCGAAAUUCAGCGAUCUCCUGAGGAGUUGCAGUGGACUCAUCAAUCUCCUUAAGCUCCUUGUCAAGGACAUAUUCUUUGUCCUCGUAGCGGGUAAUCAUCCUGAUGUUUCUGAUCCACUCAUUGAAGUUGGAUCCAUCAAAGGUGACUUUCCCACACAAGUUCAUAAGGGUAAAGGAGCCAUUAGGAUUAGAGCCAGAAGCAUUGUUGAAAGACAUCUGAAGGAAAGAGGACAAGAUUAGUUUAGAUAUAAGAGAGUCCUUAAUAAAACACCCAAAUGUAAUAUUAAGGCUAGGAUCCAAUCACAAUAUAAUAUAACUUAGAAGAGGUAUGCCGUAAUCUAAGCUAUAUCAUAUUUGAAAGGUAGGUGAAUGACGAUUCACCAAUUUCCACCACGAAAACCGCAAUAUUUUAGUAUUAGGUUUUUGAAUGGUUCUUAGAAAUUCCUAGAUUCUUUGAGAUUCAAUGAACUUUUCAAAGGCAUGUUUCAAUCUCGAGUGUGCCCUCCAAGUUUUGUGACUGGGAUACCGAGGAUCACAAAACGAGGUGUGAAGUAACCAUGCAAAUCACUUGGUACCCUUAAAGUUUAUCACUCAAUCGAUGUGCCGGUUAACCACACACGCUCCAUCGAUACUAUAAUAAACCCUAAGUCACCCUUUACCUACCUUGUUAAGUCCAAGUUAGUGUGCCGGUUAACCACACACGCUCCACCAACGACUUAAUCAAAGUGUAAAGUGUAAUUUCAUGGAAUAGCACCUUAUUCACAUUUUUCCUAAAGUAACUAAGAUUGGGAAUUUAAUAAAACAUUUAGUUACUUUAUAAUAUUCAUCAUACUUUGAAUGAGAAUUAAUAAGUCCUUGUCUUACCCGUUCGGCUAACGACCCUCCACCGAUCAAGCAAGCGGUGGGUGAGAGUGGACACCCAUUAAGUCACCAUUUUAUAGGCAACAACCUUAUACCCACCUUAUAGACCGGCUUCGUGAAUGAGGCGUACUAGCGGUAAGACGACUUUGUUCUUAUACAUAUAUAUAUAAUUAUUAAAUCAUAAUAAUAUAAGUAUAAGGGUUGAAUUUUAACUUUUAAAAUUCUAGGGGUUGGAACUAAAGUUUUAACUUAACUUUACUUGUUCCAAAACUUGAGGGCAAGUUUUGUAAACUUUCAAAACUUUUCAUUUCUUGUAACUUAUGAGUUUAAUAGAGUAAUAAAAUGAGGACUUUUCAUUUUUCCUAACUCUUGUGUUCUUUUAAUGGUUUUUAAUCCAAGAGACUUUUGGUUUUCCAUAACUUGAGGACAAGUUAUGGACUCCAUUAAAACACAUUAUGAUCAUGAAUUAAUCUACCACAUAGGUUACAAAUAAUUCCUAUGAUCAUCUAAACAUCAUAAGAACAAGAAUAUGAAUAUGAACACUUUCAAGAAUCAAAAUCACAUUUAAUCUUUGUAAUUUUGAUAACUAGUUGUUGUAAAUGAGUUAGAAAAGACAUUACACCUUCUAAAAUAAGUUUUCAAGUACCAAAACAUUUUAGGGUAAUGAUUCUAAUCCAUUUCCAGCAACUCAAGUCGAAAUUCUGCACUCUGUCGACCCUACUCGCCGAGUGCAUAAACCUACUCGCCGAGUAGGUUGAAGAUACACAUGAACUCGACGAGUCCUCCCCAUGGACUCGCCGAGUCCAUCAGUCAGACAGCAGAAUUUUCGACUUUCUUCAACUUUUAAGCACAAAUAACAAACAAACAAGCCUAGGCUCUGAUACCACUGAUGGGUUUUGAGCAUUCUAACACUUCCUAAGUGUACAUGCAACCCUAAUAAACCUUGGAUCUAUGUUUGUCUAAGAUACAUGCAAAUAAUUAUUUUUCCAAGGUUCAUAUCCUAACUAGCAUGGCAUGGGGAACAUGAAUCAAAUAAAGCUAGUAGAAAUACUUACCUUGUAGUAGUAGUUGAUUGCUUGGAGUUUUAGAGCCUAGCACCAAUAGUGUGGAUGCCUCAAAUGGAAAUCACAAAUCACCACAAACUUGGAACUUUGAGAGAAUAGUCACUACUAUCUUGAAAUCGGCCCUCUUGCUUUACUCACCUCAACUAGUGUGAUUUCAAGAACCAAAGCCUCCUUUAUAUAGUGUGGUGGAUUAGGGUUACAUCCAUGUAAACCCUAAUACCCAUGUCUCUUCAUUUCCAUGAGAUCCAUGGGUUAAAGCUCCAUGGAGUAUCCAUGGACUUCUCCAUCCAAGCCUAGCCCAUUCCAAAUAAGCAUAAGCCCACACUAUAUAAAUAUAGAAGCCCAUAUUUAAUUAGUAAUAUCUUUGAUCACUAAAUUAAUCCUAGAUUAAUUAUAGAUCACUACUAAUUAAAUAAUAUGAUCUUAUAUUAAUAUAUUAGAACUUAUAAUAUAUUAAUAAAUCAUAACUUGUACUAUUCUCAAAUAUUAUCCAUAAAUUGUUCGGGUGAAGUGCAACCCAAAUGGACCAUGCCGGGUCGGGUCAAGUACAUACCAAAUAUAGUUAUGGACUUAGACACUAUAUCCAACACUUCCAACAUAUGAGCGACUGUGGACUGAUUGAAUAAUCUUAUUAUUCAGGAAGUCAAAACAUGCAAAAUUGAAACAAUAGGUAAAUAAUCAGCACAAGAUAGUAGCUUUACUCAUAAACAAUACACCUUUAUUUAUUCAUCAAAUGUCAAGUACAAAUUAUCUAUUACACAUUUCCUAUUUAUCUAAUUUAAACUUAUAUCGUCCUUCACCCUAUGUUCCUCGCAUGCCGCAAGUGCUUAACCCUACUAAGUCCCUUUGUAAGGGGAUCUGCUGGGUUAUCUUCUGACGAUACCCUCUACACCACGAGGGGUCCAGCUUCUACCCGAUGUCUAAUGAAGUGAUAUUUUAUGUCGAUAUGUCUGGAUCUGCCGUGAUCCCUUAGUUCCUUGGUCAAGGCAACCGCACCUUCAUUAUCACAGAAAAUCUCCAUAGGCUCCUUUAUGGAUGAAAAAACUCCAAGGUCUCCACUAAAGUUAUUCAACCAUAUUGCCUCCUUUGAUGCUUCACUUUCCGUAAUGUAUUCUGAUUCGCACGUUGAAUAAGCUAUCGUCUCUUGCUUGGAACUUUUCCAACUCACUGCUCCUCCGUUAAGGCUAAAGACCUAGCCAGGCUGCGAUCGGUAAUUAUCCCGAUCAGUCUGAAGACUAGCGUCACUGUAUCCUCGUACCCUUAAGUCAUCACUCCCACCGAGGACUAGAAACCAUUCCUUGGUCCUCCGAAGGUACUUAUGAAUAUUCUUAACUGCAGUCCAAUGAGCUCUACCAGGGUUUCCCUGAUAUCUGCUCACCAUGGUUAAAGUGAAGGCCACAUCAGGGCGAGUACAAGUCAUAGCGUACAUGAUUGAGCCAACUGCGGAAGCGUAAGGUAGUCGACUUAUCUCUGCUAUCUAUGCCUUUGUACUUGGGCUCUGAGUCUUACUCAGCUUGGUAUUGCUUUGGACUGGCAAUUCCCCUUUCUUGGAAUUUACCUUCCUAAAACGUUUUAGUACCUUAUCCAAGUAUGUAUCCUGACUGAGUCCUAUCAGUCUUUUACUCCUGUUUCUUACUAUCCUUAUUCCCAGAAUAUACGCAGCUUCUCCGAGGUCCUUCAUAGCAAAGCACUUCCCAUGCCAGGACUUGAAUUCCUGCAAGGGUGGGAUGUUGUUUUCCUAUGACAGGAGUUGGGACACGUAUUUGCCCUUGGCUGAGUUUUCCUAUAACAACAGCGAUCACUCACACAUUGGUAUGCCACCUUUUGAGCUGUUGUAUGGAAGGAUGUGUCGUACCCCCAUUUGCUGGGGCGAGGUAGGACAGCAUGUGAUGGGUAGUAUAGAGAUAGUGCUUCAGACGACGGAGCAGAUACAACAGGUUAGACAGAGGUUGACGACCACUCAGAGUCGCCAGAAAAGUUAUGCAGAUAGGCGACGAUCCGAACUUGAGUUCCAGGUCGGUGAUUUUGUGCUCCUGAAGGUAUCUCCUUGGAAAGGAGUGAUCCGAUUCAGGAAGAGGGGCAAGCUGGGACCCUAGUAUAUUGGGCCGUUUAGAGUGAUGGUGAGGGUGGGCAAGGUAGCAUAUCUCUUGGAGCUACCUGCGGAGUUGGACCAGAUUCAUGAUACCUUCCACGUGUCGCAGCUGAGGAAGUGUAUUGUCGAUGAGUCGACAGUGGUACCCUUAGAGGAUAUCCAGGUGGGCGCAAGUCUAAAUUAUGCUGAGAAGCCGAUCGCAAGCUUGGAUUGGAGGAUCAAGGUUCUGAGGAACAAGGAAGUGCCCCUGGUUCAGGUCCAGUGGUAACAUCAGAGAGGGUCUGAGCUGACCUGGGAGCCAGAGUCAGAGAUGCGGGAGCAGCAUUCGAAGUUGUUCGUAGCAUGAGACUUCAAGGGCGAAGUCUGGUUUUAGUGGGGGAGAAUUGUAACAGCCCAAAAUCCAGGUAAGCUUAUGACCCCUUUUAUUUUGGAGAGUUGGCAUAUUAGUCCCUCAAAGUUGUAUGCUGGAUUAGUGAGUAUGCUGGGCGUACUGAAGUGUACGCUGCGCGUACUCACGCACUUAAAUUGGACGCGGACUCGCCCGGGUACGUUGGGCGUACCUAGGGUUACGUUAGGCGUAGCGAGCCCAGAUGCAAACCCUAAUUCCUGGCUUUUGCACUAUAAAAGGAACAUGUAGUCCCUUGCCCUAGCCAUCAUAUCCCCUUGAGUGAGUCCUUUGAGAGCUGAGAUUCGUGCUUUAGCUUGUGUGUGUGUUUUUGAGCUUGAAGUUAUCAUUUCAAGGUGAAGAAGGAGAAGAAGGAGCCAUUGUUGGAGCUAGAAGUUGAAAAACAAGUGUAGAUCCGAGUUCUACAGUGGUUGGAGAUCCUUUCUGAGGUAAAAAGCUCAAAUCUUUCCUUGUUCUUCAUAAGUUUUGCUUUUUGGACAAUUUUAGGGUUUUUGGUUCAAAGUUGGAGACUUUAUGUGCAAAGAGUCUCCAUAAGCUUAGAUCUAACCUUUUCUAGUGUAAAAUGUGUUGAGGAGUCAUAAAAAUCUAGUCUUGGACAUGGAUCUUGUGUCAUGCAUGAGUUAUAGUCUCAUUAUGGAAAGAGGAAAGGUGUUUUGAGCACAAAGUGACCUUUACACCAAUGCAAAGGCUUAAAGGUUUCAACUUUAUGGAUUAAGUCACAUUAAAGGAGUCAAAUAUGAAGUUUGGAUGUAAGUCUUAACUGAUUAAGACCUGAAUGAGAUGGAUAAUGAAAUUGGGCAUUACGCUGGGCGUAAUCCCAGUAUGCGCAGCGUAUGCAGCUGUGCACCCCGUUUCUGUGAAGACUCUGGGUAUGCCUAACGUACACGUUUGGUACGCGCAGCGUAACCCGGGGGUGACUUUUGUUGACUUUUAGGGUUGGUCAAUUUUAGUGUAACUGAGCCAAGUAAGGGGUAAAAUGGUCUUUUACCUUCCUGGGAGUGAUUAGAGGGAAUGGUCUAGCCUAGGAAAAUGUGUUGAUGUUGAGUGUUGUUACAUAUGAUUAGGCAGAGGCUAGAUCUUAUCCCACGGAGUCCGAGAUUUCUGAGAUUUACGAGUUAGCGAGCUACACGUGGUGAGUCUUCUCACUAUACGUUACCUAGAGUGGUAUUUAUGUGGACCGGAGAGUCUUAUGUGUUAUGUAUGAGAUUAUGUGAAUCUAUGUGCUAUGUGAUAUUUGCAUGUUAUAUGAUUGUAUAGACCGGACUGUAAGCUCCAAUGAUACAGACCGAACCAGAGGGUCCAACGAUUCAGACCGGGCUGGAGGGCCCAACGAGCUAUGGGACUGGAGGGUCCCGCUGAGACACAUCGACCGGAGGGUCGUACUGUACCCUCGAGUGGCGUAUGUGUUGUAUAUGGUAUUUUGAGGAACACACUAAGCAAUUAUGCUUAUAGUCGUUGUGUUAUGUGUUUCAGGUACUAGCGAGGACCGUGGGAAGGUGCCGGUGUGACUCGUACACACUAAAGGAGGGAUUUGUUUUUGUGAUCUUGGGAUAUGUUAUGUUUUGAUAACUAUGGUUGAAUACUUUUGAGAAUAUUUUUAUAUAAAUUUGGUUGUUGAAAAAUGAAAAUUUGUUUUGAAAAUCAUGUUGUUACACCCAUGUAAGAAAGCAAUUUUUACAUCCAUCUAAUAGACCUUGAAGUUCUUGAUUGAAGAAAAAGCACGAAACAGUCUAAUUGCCUCAAGUUGAGCAAUGGGAGCAAAAGUUUCAUCAUAGUCCAAACCUUCUAGCUAACAAAAUCUCCGUGCCACCAGUCUAGCCUUGUUUCUUACAACAAUCUCAUCUUUAUCCAUCUUGGUUUUGAAAACUGAACAAGUACUGAUGUUAGUUUUUUGUUAAGGCUCAGGGACAAAUGUUCGUACGUGAUGACGUUCAAACUCAUUCACUUCGUCUUAUAUGGACUUUCGUCAUAAUUUCGUUCACCCUUUAAUCCAUCAGGUUUCCCAGCCCAAAAACCAACUAUCACCCAUUUGACAGUUUAAGCCCCUAUAUUUAAUUAAUCUAUUUUGGCCACCAAAUUAAUUCCUAAUUAAUUUAUGACUAAUACUAAUUAAAUAAUAUGAUUUUCCUUUUAAUAUAUUAAUAAAUCAUAAUUUCCUCUCUCUCUCCAUAAAUUACCUGGUAAAGUUGCUUUGGAGAAGGCAACCCAAAAGGACCAUGCACAACCUGGUCAAGUUCAUACCAAAUAUAGUUUCGGGCUUAGACACUAAUCCAACAGUCUCCCACUUGGAUAAGUCUGAUAACUAUAUCUCACAUAAGACUUCAGGAUCCGAUUAGCAAUCGUAUCUCUUAUACGUUGUUGUCAACUCUGAUCAAAAUCCUAUCCUUUAGAUAACGGAUCGUAUAAUCCUCUGUUCUAGAUAUCAUGCUGACAAUCACAUGGAACAUAGUCAUACUUAUUAUUCAGCACAUUGUUCCUCGAUCUCCAAUUUGUUUGACAUGGAACCUAGUUGAACACAUCAACUUUGUCCUGACCGAGCCCAACACAUAACUCAAACCAAAUCAUCAAGUGGCCAGAUAUCGUUUUCAUCCUCUUGGAAUAAAACGAAAAGAUAAACUUCGACUCAUAUGCUUUUAUUAUUCACUGGCUAACUCAUACACAACAAUACGUUCUAUAACAUCAAGUUACUGAUGCGUUUACCCAUUAUCAAUGCACAACCAACCAACAAAUAAUAACCAUAUCUCUAGGUUUAAAGAUUAUAUGAUAUUAUCGUCUUGCGAUCACUCGUGAGAAAUUCCAUGAAGUGAUACCAGCAAGCGCGUGUUUAUUCCAAUGCUCAAAUCAUACUUCAUAAGCACUCAUGAACUUUGCAGCAAACCUUUGUCAUGCCUAAAACCUUUUAGACAAUCUACAAACAAAUUCAUGACAGUCUUCUUUCAUAUCUACUUCCUGAUGGGUUUUGAGCAUUCUAACACUUCCAUCUGCGAGACGCUUGCUUCAAUCCAUAGAUGGAUUUCUCAAGCUUGCACACUCUAUUGGGGUGCUUCACAUCGACAAAAUCCUCUGGUUGUUUCAUGUAAACAUCCUCAGCUAACUUCCCAUUAAGGAAAGCAGUUUUAACGUCCAUCUGCGAUAUUUCAUAGUCAUGAAACGUAGAUAUUGCGAGCAUCACCCUAAUAGACUUUAUUUUCGCGACUGGUGAAAAGGUCUCAUCAUAGUCAACUCCUGGAGUUUGUGUAAAUCCCUUCGCAACCAAUCGUGCUUUAUAAGUGUGUACUUUCCCAUCCAUGUCCAUCUUCUUCUUAAAGAUCCAUUCGCACCCGACCGUCUUACGACCUGGUACAUUAUCAACCAAAUUCCAAACUUAGUUGUCGUACAUAGACUGAAUCUCACUAUCCAUUGCUUCUUUCCAUUUAGCAGACUCCGGGCCUGCCAUGGCUUCCUUGUAGUUGCUAGGUUCGUCCAAAUUUACUAGUGUACUAUCACUAAUAAAUGUAUCCCCUUCAGUAGUAAUAUGGAAUCCAUAAAACCGGGGUGGAACACUAGCCCUACUUGAAUGUCUAAGAGGUAAUGACUCGUCAACAGGUUCAACAGGAGAUUCCUACUCAGGUUGAUCGCCAGUGUUAGAGGUUCCUUCAUCACUCGACUCUUGAAGCUCUUCAAGAUCGAUUUUCCUUCCGCUGUCCCCUUGGCCUAUGAGUUCUCUCUCUAGGAAAACCCCUCUCCUUGCAACGAAGACAACAUUGUCACUCAGUCUAUAGAAGAGAUAUCCGAAGGACGUUUGCGGGUAGCCGAUGAAAAUACAUCACUCAUUACGAGGUUCGAGCUUGUCGUGAGUCUCUCGUCUUACGAAAGCCUUGCAACCACAGACCUUGAUAUGUGCCAACGAGGGAGCUUUCCCUGUCCACAUCUCGUGAGGUGUUUUGGUAACCUUCUUCGUGGGAACUAGGUUAAGGAUAUGGGCAGCAGUCUCUAAGGCACACCCCUAUAAAGCUAUUGGUAACGAAUUCCGACUCAUCAUAGAAUGAACCAUGUCCAACAAGGUCCGAUUACGUCUCUCAGCCACACCGUUCAGUUGUAGCGUCCUAGGAGGCGUCAAUUGCGAAACAAUUCCGCAUCCCUUUAGAUAGUCGUGAAACUCAAGACCUAGGUACUCUCCUCCUCGAUCAGAUCGAAGCAUCUUGAUUUUCCUGCCCAGCUGAUUCUCCACUUCAUUCUUAAACUCUUUGAACUUUUCAAAGGUUUCUGACUUUUGCUUUAUUAAGUAGAUAUAUUCAUAUUUGCUAUAAUCAUCUGUAUAAGUCAUGUAGAAGUGGAAAGCAUCCCUUGUGGUGGAUCUAAAGGGACCACAAACAUUUGUGUGUAUGAGAUCCAAUAGACCCUCACCCCUUGAACAAGUGCCAGUAAAGGGUGACUUGGUAAUCUUCCCAAGUAAACAAGACUCACACGUGUCAUUGUCCCUAAGGUCGAAUGACUCCAACACUCCAUCCUUUUGGAGUUGGGCUAUGCGUUUCUUGUUGACAUGGCCAAGGCAACAAUGCCACAAGCAUGAUUUGUCCAAACUAUUGGACGUAUCAAUAUUUAACACAAAAUUUCCUAAGUUGUACACAACCAACACAGAUUCAUAUAUUCCAUUACAAGGUAGUGCAUUAAAAUAGAAAACACCAUCAAGAGAAACAUUAAUAGAACCAUUACUAUUAUCAAAUGAAUAUCGAAACCCUUGUCUAUAUAAUCCAUGAAAAGAAAUGAUGUUCGUUGCCAUGUCUGGCGAAUAGCAACAAUUAUUUAAAUCUAAACCUAACCCAUUACUCAACACUAAGGAAUAAACUCCAAUCUUGGUAACUGGUGACGAUCUUCUGUUUCCCAUGACCAAGUUUAUCCUUCCAUGCUCCACUUCCCUACCUUUUCGCAGGCCCUACAAAUCAGAACAAAUGUGGAAACCACAUCCAGUAUCAAGAACCCAUGAAGUAGCAAGUGAUGAGUUAUUAGAUUUAAUUGAAUACAUACCUGCGAAGGUGGGCUUUAUCUUCCCAUCCUUAAUAUCUUGCAAAUAUUUUGGGCAACUUCAUUUCCAUUGGCCCUUAGAUCUCAUGGCAGUAAAAGCACUCUGCAUCCUUAGGGACAGAAGAUGGUUUAACGGAACCAACUUUGGUCCCACUAGAAGAGGAACCAUCUUGGGACUUCCCCUUUUGGUGGCUCUUAGAAGGAGCCUUCCUCUUCUUACCCUUUCCCUGCCCAAUUGCUAAUAUAGGGGCCGAUUCAGUAGGAAUAGAUGCAACAAAUUUAUCCUUUAGGUUCCUCUCAGCAGUUCUCAACAACCCUUGAAGCUUGCUCAAAGUGACCUCCUCUUUGUUCAUGUGGUAGGUCAUUCUGAACUAGUUGUAGCACGAAGGCAAGGAGUGGAGGAUGAUUUCGAUAGACAAAUCCUCAUCAAAGUUAACAUUUAACUUUAGAAGAUGAUCAACAUACCUCUGCAUCUUCUGCAGAUGCGAGGUUAGGGAUUCUCCACUCCCCAUCCUAGCGGUGAUCAUGUUAGUGAUGAUCUCAUAACGCUCUUGCUUCGCGCUUUGGUGGUACCUAUCCAUUAAAUCUUGAUGCAUCUCGCAUGGAUACAUGUCCUCGUAGGACUUUUGGAGUUCUGCAUUCAUAGUCGCGAGCAUGAUGCAAUGAACCUUCAUAGCAUCACGCUCAUGUGCCUCAAAGGCAACAAUUUCUUCAGGGGUGGCAAUGUAUGGAUUGAUCUUUUCAAGCUUCUCGUCGAGGACAUACUCCUUGUCCUCGUAGCGAGUGAUCAUCCGAAUGUUUCAGAUCCACUCGUUGAAGUUGUUGCCAUUAAAGAUCACUUUCCCACACAAAUUCCUGAGUGAGAAUCACCAUUAGCCGCAGGAGCGUUGUUCUUGUUUGCGUUAGACAUCUGAAAAUAGAAAGGGACAAGUUUGAUUAGAAUGAAUCCCCAAUUAAUCACUGAAAUGAGAAAUUAGGGUUAGGAUCCAACAACAUUAUUUACAACUUAGAAAAGGGAUAUCGUAAUCUAAAAGCAAAUAAUUUGAAGGUAAGUGAAUGACGAUUCACUAAUUUUCCACUAUGAAAAACAAAAGAAGAUUAUGUUUUAAAUGUUUUAUGAAAAACUCCUAGAUCUUUGAGAUUCAUUUAACUUUUCAAUGGCAUGUCUCAAUCUCGAUGUGCCCUUCAAGUUUGUGACUAGGAUACCGAGGAUCACAAACAAGGUGUGAAUAACCAUGUGAAUCAACAUGGUGCACUCAAUGUCACUAUCACCUAAUCAAUACGCCGGUUAGCCACACACAUUCCAUUGAUCUAUGAUAAACAUUGAGCCACCCGUUGCAACCAAUGUCAACCCCAAAUUAGUGUGUCGGUUAACCACACACGCUCAACUAACGUUUGACAAGGGUACGAAGCGUAAUUCCAUGGAAUAACGUCAUUUUCACAUUUUACAAUAAAGUAACUAAGAUUGGGAAUUUGAAAAACAUUUAGUUACUUGUAAUAUUCAUUAUACUUAUAAUGAGGAAUUAAAUGCCCUAUCAUAUCCGUUCGGCUAACGACCUUCCAUCAAUCAAGGAAGCGGUGGCUGAGAGUGGACACCCAUUAAGCGCCAUUUUAUAGGCAGCAACCUUAUACCCCCCUUAUAGACCGGCUUCGUGAAUGAGGCCUACUAGCGAUAAAAGUAGCUUAUUCUUAUACAUAUACAUAUAUAUAUAUAUAUAUAUAUAUAUAUAUAUAUAUAUAUAUAUUUAUAUUAUAAUAAAUAAAAUAUAAGUUUAANAGGUUAAAUUUUAAACUUGUAAAAUUCUAAGGGUUUGAAAUUUAAAUAAUUCAAAAUUAAACUUUUAAUCAAAAAUUUAAAUUCCAAAAGUUGAGGACAAGUUUUGAACUUUUCAAAACACAAAGGAUCAAAUAACAAAUAAUAUAAAUUAAACAAUUAAUUUUGUGAUUAUCUAUAUAUGACCUAAUCCAAUGUUAUUCAUAAGAUAAUUACCAAAUAAUUUAAACAAUCAACAUUUAUCAUAUAAAGAAACUAUUAUUCAAAUGAUUUGAAAUUAUCUUUUGUUUUGGUAAGGAUAAUCAUUUAAACACAAUAAAAUUCGGAUUUUAUCAUUAAAAAACAGCUUUGGCAUUUAUCCUUUAGCAAAACAACAAUAAAUCCCGAAAAUCUUUUUGUCUGACAGCUAAACUCGCCGAGUCUACCUUGGAACUCGUCGAGUUCAACCUGCUCGUCGAGUUCCUCAUGGAACUCGUCGAGUUCAUCAGGCAGUUAGCAAUAAAAAACGAUUUGAAAGCUUGAACAAAUAAACUAGGCAUCAAUACAAUAGAAACCAAACCAGUCUCUGAUAACACUAAUGGGUUUUACACACAAGAACUUUCCUAUGUGCUCAUGCAAACCCUAAUGUUUGGAUCUAGGUUUCUCUAUUGUACAUGCAUUGUAUCCAAGACUUACAAACCCUAAUCUAGCAUACAUAUUUCGAAAAUAUCAAGAUAUACCAGAUCUAGAUGUUUACCUCUUGAAAAAUCUUGGAUCUUCUUCUUCUUGGAGCUUAGAGUCACAAGUGUAACUCCUCUAAUGGCUUACAAACACCACACAAGCAAGAAGUCAAUAUGAGAGAGGGAAGAGAUGCUAAAAAUCGGCCCUAGGGUUUCCUUGGAAUCAAGUGGCUGAAAAUUGCAUGUAGGGGUCUCUAUUUAUACUGUAGGUUGCUAGGGUUUCAGUCAAAAACCCUAAUGGACAGCUUAAUCACCAAGCAGCCCAUGGAACCUUCUGGAAUAAGGCCUAUGGAUGAAAUUAUGAUUUCAAUAAUAAUUUCGUUCAACCUUUAAUCCAUUAGGUUUCCCAACCCAAAAACCAACUAUCACACAUUUGAUAGUUUAAGCCCCUAUAUUUAAUUAAUCUCUUUUGGCCACCAAAUUAAUUCCUAUUUAAUUUAUGACUAAUAUUAAUUAAAUAAUAUGAUUUCCCUUUUAAUAUAUUAAUCACAUAAUAUAUUAAAAAAUCAUAAUUUCCUCUCUCUCCAUAAAUUACCUUGUCAAGUUGCUUUGGUGAAGGCAACCCAAAAGGACCAUGCACAACCGGUUCAAGUUCAUACCAAAUGUAGUUUCGGGCUUAGACACUAAUCCAACAAGUUAUCGAUUCAGUUGAUGAUGCAGAGGUAUGUUAGAAAUAGCAACCUACUUUGAUUUCUUCCUUUUACAUCAUUGUCCUUUAAAGUACAUUGCAUGUAUAAGAAACAUUGAAACUAUUUCUUACAUUCAGCCCAAUACAAUUUUUGUUUUUGUGUCAGGUGAAAGUGGGAGGACAGGUGCAAAAUAAAGGGUAGGCAAUAGAAAGAAAUGAAAGUAAGUGUUGUGUGAUGUUGUAAUAGAAAGAAAUGAAAAUGAGAUGCCAUAAUAAUCAAAUAAAUGAAAUUAUAUUGCUAUUUCUUACAUUUAGCCCAAUAACAUUGUACAUUUGGCUCAACCCUUCCUAACCAUACAAUUGAAACAACAAGAUUCUAAUAGAAAGAAAUGGAAGUAUGACGCUAUAAUAACAUAUAAAUGAAAGUACAUUGAUAUUGAUUGCAUUAAUCUUAACAACAUUAUAUAUGGUGGACAUUUGAAAGUGUUGACAAAGACAAUAACACAUUGUUUGAAGAAGUGAGGAUCAUGGUUUUAAAAUAAAAGGUGGAGCAGUUGGAAAAAAAAAUCCUACACUCAAUGUGAAAAGCACUCCUUAAUGCCAUGAGAGGUUAAACUUUCUGCACAUAUAAUAUCUAUAUUACUUUGUAUCUGUCUGCAUUAGCCCGUUAUAAAUGUCCUAUAAUUUUUGUAUUAUUUUUUUGUUUGCAUUUUUUAGAAAAUUUGUAGCCUUUAUUAUAUUUUGAUUGGACAAUCGGAGACACCUAAGAGAUGUAUAUUUUUAGUGGCUUUUUUCUUAUACUAAAUGACAAAUGAAGGAAAGAUAGUAAAAAGAUAAUUCAAGUUGAAGGAGGGUUGGUAGUAAAGGAGUAAACAUUUGGUUAUGAUUGCAUAUUUUAGGGUAUAUUGGAAAAAUUAGCUAUAAUAAGGGAAUAAAAUGUUAAAAUAACCUCAAAUAAGGACCAAAAUUGUAAGAUGGAAAAAUAAGCUCUAAUCAUUGGUCUCUAUUCAAACUAAAGGAGUAACACAGGUCCUAUUCAAAGUAAAAUAUGUAUAGUUUUAGGACAAAAAUUGGAAAAAUCAGCUAUGAUCGGGGAUUAAAAUAGUCAUUUCGCUUGGAACAAUGACACAACAUGUUACAAUAACGGCCUAUAUGUAUAGUUUUAUGGUACACACUUUUGCGUAUCAUAAAUCACUGUGUGUCAUAGUUUGCGCGUCAUUAAAGGCCUAUAUUCUAGAAGUGAACCUCAAAUAAGGACCAAGAAUGCAAAGAUAAAAACUUUCUGGGACCAAAAUUGAAAAACAUAUAUACUCAUGGAUCAAAAUAUAAUUAAAUCAUAAUCUUAUGUUUCUUUUCUUCAGCAGGGUGUUAAGAUAAAUGAUCCACAAGCGUUUAAUGACCAAGAGGUGGAGGUUUGGUCGCGUGUUGUGUGGAAGCCAAAAUGGGCAGUUACAUUUUUGAUGUUAAAAGGAAAUCGAUGGAAACAACAACUAUGUUUUUCAAAAAUCUAAUUUGGGCAUUAGAGGUCGUAUUGUUCUUAUUGAAGAUGUGUCACUUGAUGGAACUUAGUUAUCAGUUCACUUGAUGAUUUCGAGUUAUGUUAGAAAUAGCAAUGUACUCUCAUUUACCCCAACCUAACCUAUUUAAUGAGCAGGUUGAACCUGAGUUGAUCUAUUCAAAUUUCCAAUAAUAUAUCCUUGAAAAUCAACUAAUCCUUCAAACACAAUUACAUAAAACUUAAAAACUCCGAUAAUUGUUCACGUUUGAAAAUAAUACAACGAUAAGUCUCUAGUAGAAACACAAAUAAAGUGUUUACAACCAUAAAAACAUUAUACACGUUUAAUCUUUAAAUGCUAGACAGCUCAACUUUCAAUAAUGAUCACCAAUCCACAUUUUUUGAGUAGAUAAUAUUAAAAAAAUUUAAGCGGGUUCGCUAGCUGUAAGCAGAUUGAGAAUUUUAACCCUAACAUAGCCCAUUUAAUUAAAUAUAUUAGAUGGGUUAAGCCGUUUAGUUAAACGUGUUAAAGAUCUCAACCAAACCAGCUAAUUACCAACCCUAAAUAAAGGGUGGAUGAUUGAAAGUGUUGAUAAAAACAAAAGUCUGUUACCUAAAGAAAUGAAGAUUGGGGAUUUCAAAAUUAAUAUAAAUGGAGCAAUUGGAAACAUCUUAUAGUGAACCUAGGAAGCAUUCCUUGAAGCCAUGAGGUUAAACUUUUUGUAUAUUUGAUUCUAACCAUAUGGUGCUAAUAUGACGUUCAUGUGGAUUUUCUCUUUUAUUUAAUUCUUAUUUUAUUAAACGUUAAAUUUAUUUUAAUAUAAAAGAAUAAUUAAUAUGUAUAUUUUUAUGUAUUGAAAACCUUAGAGUGAUAUUAUGGGCAAAAAGUGCAAGUUCAAACGGUACCUAUUACCUUUUAUUCUCAACCUUUUCUUUCUAAAAAACUUGUUCAUCUAUAGUCAUCUUUGGGUCAUGCGUUGCAGAUGCAAUAGAGGCCGUUUGUUGCAAAUACAAUAGAGAACUCAAUAAUAGAAAUGAUAAACUAGAGUAAAUUAAGCUUUCAAUUUCCAUUUAUAACUUUUUUUUUUUGGGGNNNNNNNNNNNNNNNNNNNNNNNNNNNNNNNNNNNNNNNNNNNNGGGGGGAGGGAGGGGGAGGGGUGAAAUUUUCGGUUGCUCAUUUAUUUCGGAAUCAUUGAUGCAGAAAACCGAUGCUAAUCAUGUUUUCCAUUGCGAAAUAUAAUGGAAGUGCCAAAGUAUGAUAUCUAAUGGAUUUACCAUUACACCGUUACUAAACAGGUUGUUCGUUUCAAACAAAAUUGAUUUGUAUCAAACUAUUUUUUUUCCACAAUGGUCCGGUUCGGUUUCCAAUUUUUUUAGUGUGCCUCUAAUUUUCAUUGUGUUUUUUUAUGCUAGAAUGUAUGAUUUUUUUAGGAUAUAUUAUUUCAUACAAAACAGGGAAAAUGGCCACCCAUGGUGUUGGUGGCAAAUAUAUUGAUAUGGGGGAUUUAAAAACUCCAACCAAAUUACAUUACAUUACAUACUGGAAAAUAAGAAAUCAAAAAUAAAAACUAGAUGACAAACUACGUGUGUCUAGCCUUUUGCAAACUUGAAACGAACACAACCACUUUCACAUAAACCCAAUCUUUGAAGCUGUCAUAAAAUUGAAAAAAUGCACGUCUCCCUCGACGGUUGAGAAGUAAAGCGCC